rnacentral:lncRNA from 1 species
AGGAAGCAGGGCAGGAUAUGAAAUGAGAAGCUCAUUGGUGGAAGUAUUGCCAGUAGCAGAACCCAAUGAAAAUGAAACUAUUUCAAGGCAGCAGUUGGCAGUUGCAAGUGAAUGGAGGCCCUUGACAAAAUUCUCAAGCGGUUGCAAUGCAAUUACGAUCAUCCUCAGCCUCAGGUAAUUUCUUCUCCUGCUUUGUAUUUAUUUGUUAUCUAAUUAGGAAGCGUAAAGUAUCUUGAAUCAUUUUCUGUAUCUGGAAUAUAUGCAAGAGUUUCUAAAAUUUUGAUAUGAGUGUAAUGAUGGUAAUUUCUGUUUUCUGUCUGUCAUCAAAUGUUAGAAAACUUUCAUUGAGACCCUUGAACCGAGUCAUUUUUGACAAGUGAAGGACAAUUGCUGAAGAGUGGGAAUGGUGCUAGAUUGGGGAAUAAAGACAAAGGAGGUAAAUUAUUUGCAGUUUAUUCAGCAUUAUUUGCUUUGGACCAGCGCCUGAUUCACAAGUCUCCAUAAUUUGGCUUUUGACCAGUUAAUAAAUUUUUAAUUCCAUUGGUGCUAAAUGUACACGUGAAGCAGGCAGAGCAGGACUGUGGAAAUGAGAAGGUUUUUAGUGAAAGCUUAAACUCAGGUAAUUCUAAAAAGUACAUGUUUUUGCUGAUUUAUCUAAAUCAGGAAAUUUUAUUUCCAUCUGUUACAAGAUAAAACAGAAACAGUCAAACAGAACACACAGAAAAAUAUUCUACUUCUUGUGGCAAUCUUGCCUUCAUUCAGACAAUGAAACCAUUUCCUUUCACCAAUUUCUUCCAAAAGUUUGAAUAAGUUUCAUGGUUGGACAUAGUUAGCUUCUUUUUCUUUUGGUGCAUUUAGGUCCUAUCAAGUGACAGCCAUAAGUAUGAUUGCAUUAUUGGAAAAUUUUAGGUUUGGAUGGUUCCCCAUGUUAUUGCCAAGAAAGUCCUCAUGUCAGAAGCUGCGGUUCUUUUCAUCAGCCUGAACCCGAACCUGUCGUUAUGGAUAACUCAGGUUUUUGUCGUCAACUAUAUCAUCUUUUUUACUGUUUUGAAACUCUUAAGAUUAAACUUCAGUAAAGUUGUUUCAGUUAUCCAUGUAAUCCGGCUAAGGAUAUUUAGCAGCUUAUUUAGGCAACUGCCAGAAUUCAGUUUGUUUGCUCGAAACUUGUAUGGUGACAAGGAUACUGGCAAGGAUAGUGAGAUAGUUUUUUGUGUGAGUGAAAUUUGAAAGCUUGGGUGUUCUGGGAUUUGCAAUUGCAAUCAUCCUCUGAGUCAGGUGAUUUCUUCUCCUGCUCUGUCUUGAUUUUCUCUCUAAUUGAAAGCAUAAAGUAUUUCAAUCAAAUUCUGUACCAGGAAUACGUAAAAGUUACUAAUAUUUUAUUUCCAUCUGUUUGCAUUGAUAACUCGGCCGCAUAUGUUCUAGUUAAAGAACAAACAGAAACAGAGUUCAGGAAAAAGUUUCUUCGGCCACCAUAUUUGAAAAUGAAACCAUUUCCAGGAAGCAGUUGGCAGCAAAUUCAUAUGGAGUGUAGACAAUGAUGAGCGAAAAGGUGAUUCGCAAUUUCUUUUUUUUUUUUAAGUGAAAUUAUUUGUUAGAUUGAAGCUGAUAUUGUAAGAAGGCCAUUGAGCUAACCUAUGUCGCCACUUGCCUAGAUUGCAGGGGGUCAAGACUCAAAAGAAGCACUGAAAUUUAAAAAGCAUGCAAUAGUUCUUUUGCCAUGUGUCAAUUAAUGCAAGUUUGAAUAAGUUUAUUGGCUGAACGAUGUUAGCUUCUUUUCCUUUCGUGCACUUUGGUAUGCUAUCAAGUGACAGCCGUAUGUAUGGCUUGCAUAUAGCUGCUGCUGGGAAAAUUGACGAUUUCAUGGCUGGCCGUGUUAUUGUCUUAAAUUAGUUGUGAUAAGCUGUUGCUUGGAGAUUCUGUUGCCAAGACUUUGCUCACAUCAGAAGCUGUGGAAUCUGAACCCUUCGUUAUGUAUCAUCUUUUUCAUUGUUUUAAAACUCUCAGGAUUAAACUUGAGCGAAUUUGUUCGGUUGUCUAUAUAAUCAUGUAUUGAGUAAACUCUCAGGAAACUGAACAUGCAAAUGUUAUAACUCGGGUUGUUAGCCAAAAACUUGUUGAAUAGGGAUUUGGAUUUGUUAGGAAGUUAUCAUUUUUUAUUUUUUAUUUUGUUUUAUUUUUUUAUUUUUUUAUUUUUAUCUUCUGGUGGUGCUAUAUUUUCAAACGACAGUCCGAUUCAAAACUUGAUAUUCCAAUUAUAUUCAUAAGCUUCUAUAGUUAUCUUCAAAAAGACAAAUGGAAGGCUUUGAACGGCUUGGGUCUGAGUAUUGUAGUUUGAUUUAUUUUGAUGAAAGAACCUUUUGACAUUAAGAUUCUUUCAUGAGUUAAACAUUCUUUUUAAAACCAACUUAUUAAAAAAAAGUAACGAACAUAUAUUAUUUUGUUAGUGCUUUUUAAAUCAAAUAUAAAAAAGAGAACUGUAAUUCUUAGCAACCAAUUUUUCACUGAGUACAGCUACAACAAACUAUUAAAAAAUAAAGUGAUAGAAAAUGCCUGAUUUUUCGUACUUUCUAAUUACUUUUGGUCCUAAAAUAUGGCGAUUUGUGUAAUAAUAAGUCCAUGUAUAUCUUUAUGCCAUUAGUUUGAUAAAUAGCUAUCAAGGAUAACUUAUUAAGCUAAAAAUAUUUGAAGGAUAAAAUGAUAAAACUAAAAGGGUGGAGUAAUAUAGUUAUUUAGGAUUACAUAGUAAGUCAACUAUAUUCAAGGGAUAAAAUAUUAAAACUUGAAUAGUGAUAUUAAAAAUAUCUCGGUUAUUAUACUAUUAAAUCAUAUGCCGUAAUAGUAUUUUUUUUCAAACUUUAAAAAAUUCAGGAUUUUAAAUUAAAACAUGGAUUUCUUUAAGAUGCUAUAUAUGUUUUUUAUAGUAUUGAUAUUGGGAUUAGUGUGGACCCUUAGAUGAAAGAGUUUUAAUCUGAAUCAUUCAUUUAAUAUAAUAGAUAAUUAAAUAAUUAAUUAAAAUAUAGCAGGUAACUUAUAGGUUGUAGGUAAAAAAUUAAUUUUUUAAUUUUAAAUUAAAAUUAAUUUGGAAAAAUACCAUCCACACCCCUAAAGUUUACUUAAAUGAUCAUAUAAAUCCCUUUAGUUUCUACAUAGUUAUACAGAGCCUCUUAAUUUCAUAAAUUAUUAUUAUACUUUUAAUUAAAACAACCUAAAUGAAUAUAAAUAUAGUAAUAGGAUAGAAAUAAUAAAUAAAUAUCAGAUGAAACAAAUAAAAUAUUACAAUAAAUACAAUUAAUUAAAUAAUAUGUAUGAUGAAAAUUUUAUUCAUAUUAAGUUAUUAUUAGUCUAUCCCGAUGGAUUUACUCAAAUCAAUUAAUCCAAAAUUUAAUUUUAAGAUUGAUAUUAAUAUGGACAUAAUUAAAUAAGAUGUUGUAAUAUAUACUACUUUGAAUGUUAAGUAUAAUUAUCUAAUAUUAUUAGUAUGUGAAAUAGAUUUUAAUAUUAUUAAAAGAAUAUGACAAUAUAUAAUUUUGAAAUAAAUUUUUUAGUAUUCAUAAUAUUUUAUAAAUUUUAUCUUAUUUUAUAUAUUAUAUUUUUUUAUUUUAAUGUAUUAUAUAUGAUCAUUUAAGCAAAUUUUGGAGGUGCGGUGGUCUUUUCCCUAUUAAUUUUAUAGCAUAUUUAAAGUGUUAUAUCAUACAUCAUACAUCGCACUUUUGUUAAAGUGUUAUGUUAUUAAAAAUUAAACUUUGCAUUUAUAAUAUACUACCAUUUUAAUGUAAAGGUAAUAGAAAAUAUGAAGAUAUUUUUAAGUAGUCAAUUGUAGUUUUCUUUUACAAAAUAGCAGUAUAGAAAUACACACACACACACACACACAUAUCAAGUACUUGUAUGUUCCCCUAACUUUUAUUAAUAGGAAGGAAAUUAAAUUCAUAAUUUUCCCGGUGAAUUAUGAAUUGAUAAAUGAAAUAUAAAUAUUAGAAAAAAUUAAUUUGUCGACUAAAGAAGUAAACCAUAUUUUAUGGGCAUUUAAUACAUUAAUUUAAGGUCAAAUGAGAUAUAUCACAUGAUAUUUGAUAUAGUAGUCCAAUUUUCAACAUUUGCAUAUAGUUUCUAAGCUAGUAAUCUAAUAAAAUAUACCAAAUGAGAAAUUGAAGGCUAUUAUUUAUAUUUCACCAUUGGACAAACACCAUACAUUAGAAUAAAAAAAUCUCACAGUAGAGACGGCAUCUGUUUGCAUGUUUUGAAAAUAGAUUUUGAAAUUAGUUUAAUUACAUGAUAAUUAAAUUAUAUUAUAAAAUUAAGAAUAUGAUUUAAGUACUAUUUUAGCAAUUUUGAGUCUCACAUUGAGUAUUGAAGUUAAUUAAAUGUUGAAACUCUUUUCUAUUUGGCUUGAAAUCACUACUUAAUAAAAUUACAAAAAGUCAAUAAUGAAUGAUGUAGGACACAUAUGUAAAAUAAAUUUUAAAGUGUAAUUAAACAUUCCUAUCAAUAUUAGUUUUGUAUACAUAUUCAUAUAUUUUACUGAAACCAUAUAUAAUUAAAUUUUGUGUAAUUAAGUAAAAUAUAUUAUUCAAGUGAAUUUAUGAGAAUAUGUAAAAUUGUAGGGGUGGUCACUGAAAUUUGCCAAACUUGAGCCAACCGUGCAUGAUCCAAACAGUUUAUUUUAAUAAUUCUCAAUAUGUUAGUCUGUUUGACUGUUGGCAAAAUGAAUUCCUAUCAGCAAUGCAACACAAUUCAAAAUCAUAUCUGCAUACAACGAACAAUAUCUCAUCAAAGAUCAAAUUAUACAUUUUUUACACCAAAGCAUAAAUAUCUAAAUUGUCCCUCUUCAACUCACCAAGCUCAUACCUAACAACAGCAAGAUUAAAUGUCAUUUGAUCCAUCUUUUUUAUUAAGCUUUAUCAAUUCUUCUCAUGGUUGCAAUUUUGAAAGCUCGCUUCGCUAUUUCCAUUUGCUUUUAUGCUUUGUUUGAGCUCCAUCUACAUUUUACACUGUAAAAAAAAUUUAAAAAAAAUUACAAAGCUUCUUAUACUAGAAUAUGAGCAACAAUAUAAAUAAUAAACAAUAAAGUUAUGAUAGCACAGCAUACUCAUUAAAGUGCUUCUUUUUUUUUUUCAGCAAGAAAUUACUACUGAAUUAAAGAAUUGGCUUUGCAUUAAGGUUUGCCUUCAAUAACUCAACUCCCCACUUGGGUUUUGUCGUUUUCUUAAAAUCUCUGCUCAAUCAAUUUAAAGAUCCAUUUUUUUUUUCUUUCCAAAGAUCUAAAAGCAAUGUCUUUUAUUGGUACCCAACAAAAAUGCAAGGUCUGUGAGAAGACAGUUUGUCCAGUUGAACAGUUAUCUACUGAUGGGGUUGUUUAUCACAAGUCUUGCUUCAAGUGCUCUCACUGCAAAGGCACACUCAAGCUAAGCAAUUACUCAUCCCUGGAAGGUGCUCUUUACUGUAAGCCUCACUUUGAGCAGCUUUUGAAGGAGUCGAGUAACUUCAACAAGAAUUUCCAAUUACCUGCAAAGUCAGCUGAGAAGUUAACUCCUGAGCUGAGAAGGUCGCCUAGCAAAGUUGCCAGCAUGUUCUCUGGGCCCAAUAAAAAUGUGCUUCUUGCAGUAAAACAGUGUGUCCGUGGGAGAACGUAGCAGCGGAAAACCAAGCCUCUCACAAGACAUGUUUCAAGUGCUCACAUGGUGGUUAUUCCAUUAGCCCGUCAAAUUACGCAGCCCUAGAAGGCAUCUUGUAUUGCAAACAUAAUUUCUCCCAAUUGUUCAAGGAAAAAGGCAGCUACAACCACCUUAUAUAAAAUCUGCUUCCAUGAAGCGUGCUGCAGUCUCUGUUCAAGAAGCUUGAACAUGUUAUGUUAUCUUCCAUAAAUCUUAUUUGGCGUGGGUUUUCUCUGGCUUGAGGGUGUGCUUUCUAUUUUGAUCCCUCUUGUUGUUUUUGCGGGGAACUACCAAACCUUCGGUUCCCUCUGCUUCUUUGGAUCAUCUUUGUUGGGACAAAUUUCAUGUAAUUAGAGAUACUGAUUUAUGGGAGGCAUAAUCCCAUGGUCGUAAAUUGACCAUUUUCUGGCAAUGUUCUUUUUAAAAAGAGAUGAGCAGUUGUUUAACAAAAAAAAUAGCUGGCCUUCAUCAUGGUAUGUUACCAAACUGCUAUGUAUAGCUGCUAACUAUGAGCAUCCGAAAAUAUGGUGCAUCGUGAUUCAUGUAGUGCAAUAUGGCUACCAACGCAUCCUAAAUGGAGUAUUACUCAGUUAGUCAGCAAAAUAAGACAACAUAACUGAUAUUAAAAAAAUAAAAAAACUACAUUAAUAAGUGGGCAAGAUCAUGCCAGUUUAACUUUUCGCGCGUCGCUGCUGGAGAUAAUCAAAUCGGGGCAGAGAAAAGGAGAAUGGAAUCAGAGGCUAAGAUUAAUAAGUGGGCUUCUGCUUGCUUUGCCCCUCUUUCUUAAACGAUUGGUAGACUGCUGCUUCCACCGAUUAACCGGGUCUUCAACCACUGCUUUUACUGCCUGCCAUCUUGUUGUUUGUCGAAGGGAUGAAUUCGAGUCGAAAAGAGAAAGCGCGCUGAAAAAGAUAAAUCACUAGUGGUUAACUGCUUACUCAGCCAAGUGUUGGCUUCACUUGAUUCACCGAUUGAGGUUAUUUUGUCUUCUAUCUAAUGCAGCGAAGAAGCUUUGCUGCUUAACAUGCUGCAAUGCAACUUUAUCCUUUGAAGUUCACACUUCAGGGCUGCGCACUUUAUGUAAUCCUAUGAGUAAAAAGAAUUUGUUUUCAAAUGUGAAAAAAGAAAAUGUAAGGUAGUAACUAAAUAUUUUAUAGCAUCAAAGCAAUAUUUGAUAUGAAUUUAGUACAACAAAGAACAUCAAAUCUGUGAUUCCUUGUCUAGUGUCACCAUCGAGCAACAAAUUUAAAAGCCUACCUAUCAAAUACACGAGGCAAUAAACGGAGAAAAAGUUGAAUUACAAGAACAAGUUUACAAUUCUUGUCAAUGGUUAAUGAUUUGUGAACUGAGACAGCUUUCAAGAAUCCAAUUUCAAUACAACAACGUAAAAGAUAAACAGAUGAUGAAUUCUAUGAGAUAAAGAAGGAGAUCGUGUUUUAUCGUAUCUCUAUUUUCUUUCUUUUUAAAUUUAAAAUAAGCUUUUCAACCGGUUUGUUAACCGGUUAUAAUAUUUUUUAAAAUAAUUAAAUAUUUUCAUUAUUAAAAAUAAUGUGUACCGUUGAUUACAUCUAACGGUAUAUAUUUCUUACACUACUAAUAUCGUAAAAAAAAAAUACAGCAUCAUAGAGGGACCCUUAAAACAUUUUCAUUUGAAAUUAUUUGGUGAAGUGAAAAAGUUAAGAAAGAAAUAGUUGUCCCUUUGGUCAUUUCACAAAAAUGAAAGCCCCAUAUAACAUGGACUUGAAUGGAAGCCCAAUUGUUGUGUUUGAUUUCAAGCUUUAUCGGACCUUUGGACCUGGAUACUUUACUGCGGCCUCUAAGCGCUACAAAUUUUUUUUUUGGGAUAAAAGGCGCUUCAAUGAAAAAGCACUUUAAAACUUUGGAUUUUGCCAAAACUUCAAAGCGGUUGGUCCGGUUACGGUGUUAUGCUAACGGGUUUAAAGGUUCUGAUCCAAUGAGUUAGGGUGGAAUAUGAAUAUAUAAAUUCCAUAGCAUGUGAGGACUAGGAUUUGUUUGUUCAUAUCAAGAAAAAAGAUCUGAAAAUUUGAUGAUCAGAAGAUAAAAACACUUAAACACGUUUAUUACAGAGAAACAAACGACAACACGAUACUAGUAGUAGUUAUUCUUUUCAUCCGAUAUAUUACAUGGUAAUAUCACCACUCGUUCCACUGGUUUCAUAUACACCAUCGACCAGCAACAUGAUAAUUUUGUGUCAGUUCAUUUUGUUUGUAGGAAAGAGCAGUAUCUUUUUUAGAACUUGAAAAUAAUAAAAAGAUUUUAAAAUAUAAAUUGCAUAUUUGUUUAUUGCUGUUGUUUGGUCUAAUUUCUUACGUAGAAUUGCUUGUCAUUCUUUGUACGUUAUUGAUUAUAUUUUUGUCAGACUUGGCGUAUAUAUUCACAUAUGUUUUAUUUUGUCAUUUUGUAGAACAUUUUUACAUGCCAUAUUAUCACGACUCUUCUGUGUCUGAAUAAGAAGAAAGCAUAAUGCGACCCUCCAACAGCUUAAUCUAUGGAAUUAUCGUGUUUUGUAAGUUGAGGUCCAAUGGCGUUUUGGCACAUCAUAUGAUAGACCACUAUAUUGCGUUGCUUUACAAAAGAUUAAUAUUUUUAAAAUUAUUAGGUAAGUUUAGGCUCAGUGGCACUUUAACUCAUGAUAUGAUAGUCCAGGUUUUCAUCAGCCUGAACAUGGACCUGUCGCCAUGGAUAACUCAGGUUUUUUUUUUUUUAAUCAACUACGUCAUCUUUUCCACUGUUUUGAAACUCUUAAGAUUAAACUUUAGUAAAGUUAUUUUAGUUAUCCAUGUAAUCAAGCUGAGGAUACUUAGCUGCCUAUUUAGGCAAAUGUCAGAAUUUAGUUUGUUCGCUGGGAACUGGUGUGGUGACAGCGUCCUGGCAAAGGAUGAUGAGAUAGUUUUUUGAUUGAGUAAAUUUUGGGAGCUUGAGUGUAUUGGGAUUUGCAAUUACAAUCAUCCUCUGCCUCAGGUGAUUUCUUCUCCUGCCCUGUCGUUGUUUGUUCUCUAAUUCAAAAUUAUAAAAUUUUUCAAUCAAAUUUUAUGCCAGGAAUAUGCAAAAGUUUCUAAUAUUUUAUUUCCAUCUGUUUGCCUUGAUAACUUUGCGGCAUAUGUACUAGUUAAAUCCCUCAAAACGUAAACAAAACUCUGUUGGUAUUGAUUCCUAAGGUGGACCAUCCUACCAGUUUAACGAUGUUUCGGCCUAUAAGUUUAUGCACUGUCGCCUAUAAGACAGUGACUAAAAUUAUUGCCACUCGUUUACAAGAACUAUUACCUGAGCUGAUCGGGCCUCAUCAGACAAGUUUUGUUCCCGGACGACACAUUGUGGACAACAUUGUUAUUGCUCAGGAAGUGGUUCACUCCAUGCGCAGAAAAACUGGUAAAAGAGGGCUUAUGGCUAUUAAGGUGGAUCUCGAGAAGGCAUAUGAUCGGCUGAACUGGUCGUUUAUUUUUGAAACUCUUCAAUUGACAGGGCUCCCGAUUCAAUUAUCUCGGCUCAUCAUGGAAUGUGUUAAAUCAGCUAGCAUGAAUAUUUUGUGGAAUGGCGAGGUAACUGAGGAGUUUUUUCCGGGAAGAGGUAUUCGGCAGGGUGACCCUCUAUCUCCGUAUAUUUUUGUGCUCUGCAUCGAGCGUUUGAGCCAUGGAAUAUCCCAAGCUGUGGGGGAUGGAAGUUGGAAGCCAAUUCGGCUGGCUAAACAUGGCACUCCCCUUACCCACCUUUUUUUUGCUGAUGAUUUGCUUUUAUUUGCAGAAGCUUCGAUUGAUCAAGCUCAUAUCAUUGAUGCGGUUUUGGAGAAUUUUUGUCGAAGUUCUGAAGUAAAGGUUAACAAAGUGAAAACUACAAUUUUCUUUUCGAAGAACGUUGCUGCAAGAGAGGCCAAGCUCAUUGGUGCUGCCUUGGGGGUUUCGAUUACUCAUGAUCUGGGAAGCUAUCUUGGAAUGCCGUUACUUCAUUCGAGGGUGAAUAAAGCUACGUAUCAAUCUAUUUUAGACAAGGUAGACAUAAGGCUCAGUGGCUGGAACGCGGCUCAUUUAUCCUUUGCUGGUCGUGUUACUUUGGCGCAAUCGGUGAUUCAAGCUAUGCCAAUUUAUGCAAUGCAAACGACCAUGCUUCCUGCUUCGGUGCGCCAUAGAAUUGAUAAGAGCUGCCGUAGAUUUAUUUGGGAUGGGAAGUCGAAGAGUCCUAAGAUGUGCAUGGUGGGCUGGGAUAAAAUCUGCUUGCCGAAAUCAAGUGGUGGCUUGGGGUUUAAGAACUUAGAGGUGAUGAAUCAUGCCCUGUUGAUGAAGAUUAGUUGGGGCAUUAUCUCCAACUCAGAUAAGUUAUGGGUGCGGGUUCUCUGUUCCAAAUAUGGAUUGGACCCAUGCAAUUUGCCGUCUUCCCUCCCUGACAAACAAGGUUCGCGUAUCUGGUCUGCUAUAAGAAAAACGUGGAAUGCAACCAUGCAUGGAGCUCGCUGGGCAGUGUGUGAUAGUGCUCGAAUUCGUUUCUGGCUGGACUGUUGGGUGACGAAAUAUGAGCCUUUGAUUCACCUAGCUCUCCAACCGAUCCCUCAGGCCUCUCUCAAUGCUACGGUUAGCGAAUUUACUAAUGAUUAUGGUGGCUGGAGAUGGGCGAGCUUUGAAUUCCUACUGCCCCCUUCUGUUCUUAUGCAGAUUGCCUCGAUCAUGCCACCUGCGCCGCAUCUUGGUCCUGAUAGACUAUAUUGGAGUUAUAAUCCAAGAGGGUUGUUCACAGUCCGAACUGCUUAUGAGUCUCUUUGCUACCAUAACUUAGACACUCAAGAUAAAGUAUGGAAAUUGCCAUGGUCUUGGAAAGGGCCCCAAUCUAUAAAGCUCUUUAUUUGGCAGACUUUGCAUGGCAAAUUGAAGACCCACAGUGAGCUUAAUAGGCGUAAUAUCCCCGUUUCUGAAGUUUGUGUUAGGUGUGGGGUUUCGGCUGAGGGCAUUCUUCAUGCUGUGAGAGAUUGUAGUUGCAUUAAGAAUCUAUGGCUUAGUCUUGUUCCAACCUGUCAUCAACUUGCUUUCUUCCAAUCCAACUUACGUGCAUGGGUUGCUGCCAACAUGCAAAAUACGUGGAAAAUUGAUUCGGAGCUUCCUUGGGAUUGUAUUUUUGGAGUGGCUAUUUGGAGAUUAUGGUUUUGGCGUAAUCAAUUUAUUAUGGCUGGGAAUUUGGUAGAUAGCAAGACAAUAUAUUCGGAUAUUAUGGCCAGAGCUAGUGAGAUCCAUAGAAUUAAUAACUCACAUCUCAGCCCACAACCAAGGCGUAAGGAGAUUUUUAUUGGUUGGUUGCCUCCUCCAUGGCCAUGGUGUAAGUUGAACACAGAUGGUUUCUGUAAACAUACAGGAGCAACUGCAGCGGGUGGGGUUAUUCGCGACUCCGUUGGUAACUGGGUCUCAGGCUUUAGUAUGAAUAUUGGGGAAAGCUCAGUGAUUAUGGCUGAACUUUGGGGCCUGUAUCAAGGAUUGUCCCUCGCCUGGAAUGUUGGAAUUAGACAUCUUUUGGUGGAAGUAGACAGCCUCUGUGUAACUCAGAUGAUUUCUCAACAGAUGGUUGUGCCUAAUGUCUCCUACGCUUUAGUGGUGGCAAUUCGUGAUUUUUUAAACAGAAAUUGGCAGAUUAAUAUCUCGCAUAUCUACCGUGAAGCGAACUCAGCUGCGGAUUUCAUGGCAAAUAUGGCCCAUUUAAUACCGCAUGGUCUACAGUUAUUCUCUAACCCGCCUGUGGGUAUUUAUUCUAUUCUUUCACAAGACAUGUAUGGGGUUUGUCAACCCCGCAUUAUUCCUAUCUAGCUCGCCUUGAUGAGCCCCUUUUAAUAAAAAAAAAAAGAAGAACAAAUCGAAACAGAGCUCAGUUAAAAGUUUCUUCUGCCGUCAUAUUUGAAAAAUGAAACCAUUUCCAGGAAGCAAUGGGCAGCAAAUUCAUAUAAAGCGUAGACAAUGAUGAGUAAAAAGGUAAUUCACAAUUUCACUUUUUUUUUAAUGAAAUUAAUUGUUUGGUUGGAGAGGAUAUUGUUAGAAGGCCAUUGAGCUAACCUAUGUCACUACUUGCCUAGAUUGCAGGGGGUCAAAACUCAAAAGAGGCAUUGAUUUUAAAAGGCAUCCAAUAAUUCUUGUGGCCAUAUAUCAAUUCAUGUAAGUUUGAUUGUAAUUAUUGGUGAAGGGGUUUCACUUCCCGUCUCUAAAUAAAAAUACUGAUUCUUUAAGGUACAUGCCACUAGGGAUUGCGAGAUUAACGAGUCUUUGGACAUUGGAAGAGCUCCUUGUGAGUGGAGGAGGAGGUGUUGAUGGUAGCAAAGCAUGUGGGCAGUGGGCUUGAAUCUCUUAAAAACUCGGAACUCCUCCAAGCGUAAGUAUACGUAUACUGGGAAAUGUGUUAGAUGUGGAUGAGGCUAAGAGAUUAGAGCUUGACAAAAUGAAAUACCUCUUUCAUUGAGACUUAAAUUUGAUGGGGAAGAAGAAAAAGAAGAGGGAAGGAGGAAGAAUGAGGAUAAUCAACUUGUUCUUGAAGCCUUGCAACCACCUCUGAAUUUGAAGGAAUUAGAGAUUUGGUCAUACAGAGGCAACAUUUGUUUUCAAAUGUGAAAAAAGAAAAUGUAAGGUAGUAAUUAAAUAUAUUAUAGCAUCAAAGCAAGAUUUGAUAUGAAUUUAAUACAACAAAGAACAUCAAAUCUGUGAUUCCUUGUCUAAUGUCACCAUCGAGCAACAAAUUUAAAAGCCUACCUAUCAAAUACACGAGGCAAUAAACGGAGAAAAAGUUGAAUUACAAGAACAAGUUUACAAUUCUUGUCAAUGGUUAAUGAUUCGUGAACUCGGACAGCAUUCAAGAGUCUAAUUUCAAUACAACAACGUAAAAGAUAAACAGAUGAUGAAUUUUAUGAGAUAAAGAAGGAGAUCGUGUUUUAUCGUAUCUCUAUUUUCUUUCUUUUUAAAUUUAAAAUAAGCUUUUCAACCGGUUUGUUAACCGGUUAUAAUAUUUUUUAAAAUAAUUAAAUAUUUUCAUUAUUAAAAAUAAUGUGUACCGUUGAUUACAUCUAACGGUAUAUAUUUCUUACACUACUAAUACCGUAAAAAAAAAAUACGGCAUCAUAGAGGGACCUUAAAACAUUUUCAUUUGAAAUUAUUUGGUGAAGUGAAAAAGUUAAGAAAGAAAUAGUUGUCCCUUUGGUCAUUUCACGAAAAUGAAAGCCCCAUAUAACAUGGACUUGAAUGGAAGCCCAAUUGUUGUGUUUGAUUUCAAGCUUUAUCGGACCUUUGGACCUGGAUACUUUACUGCGGCCUCUAAGCGCUAUAAAUUUUUUUUUGGGAUAAAAGGCGCUUCAAUGAAAAAGCACUUUAAAACUUUGGAUUUUGCCAAAACUUCAAAGCGGUUGGUCCAGUUACGGUGUUAUGCUAACGGUUUUAAAGGUUCGGAUCCAAUGAGUUAGGGUGGAAUAUGAAUAUAUAAAUUCCAUAGCAUGUAAGGACUAGGAUUUGUUUGUUCAUAUCAAGAAAAAAGAUCUGAAAAUUUGAUGAUCAGAAGAUAAAAACACUUAAACACGUUUAUUACUGAGAAACAAACGACAACACGAUACUAGUAGUAGUUAUUCUUUUCAUCCGAUAUAUUACAUGGUAAUAUCACUACUCGUUCCACUGGUUUCAUAUACACCAUCGACCAGCAACAUGAUAAUUUUGUGUCAGUUCAUUUUGUUUGUAGGAAAGAGCAGUGUAUUUCUUAGAGCUUGAAAAUAAUAAAAAGAUUUUAAAAUAUAAAUUGCAUAUUUGUUUAUUACUGUUGUUUGGUCUAAUUUCUUAUGUAGAAUUUUCAGAAUCUGUAGGACGUUAAUUUAUAACUUUGGUAAUUUAAUUAUUUUCUUUUUAUUAAUGUCCGGACAAAAAAUUAUUAUAAAAGGGUAAUAUUGUAAAAGUAAGCCAAAAUAAAUAACAAAUAACGAUAAGAGUAUCAAUAUUUUAAUAGCAGGGAUAUUUCGAGAUAUUUUUAAAAAUACAGAGACUAACUGGACAUUAAUCUUAAAAUAUAAGGACUAAAUGAGCUUUUACCCUUUUUAUAAUCCACACCAUCCUGAUAUAAUUAAACACCAUUAAUAAUGUACCAGCCUUUUAAUAGUAAUUAAUUUAUUUAGUUGGCCACCUAAAAGAAUCCUGCAGGAAAUACUAGUUAAAAAAUUUAUUAAAUUUGAUUACCUCUGUAUCAUUAUAUAUAUAAAGACUGAAAUCCAAAUGAAAUAUUUUAUCAUUCAUUCAGCAAACACUUAUAAAACACAAAUAGUGAAUCUAUGCAUUGACAAUGUGGAUUAAGAAUUAUAACACAUGAAUUCAAACAUACCCUCGUGAAGUUAAGAAUAAGUUCAUACUUCAAAUGAUUUUUUUAGCUAAUAAAGCAAUCACUUUCAUUAAACGACAGUGUUGAAGGAAUUGUGCAAUUUUUUACGUUCUUUUCUAGACAGACGUUACAGAGAUGGGGAAAGUAGAGGACUGGCCUCAGAUAUCUCACAAUUAUUAUUCUUUUUCAUUGUUAUAAUAAUAAUUUUUUUCUUUUGACAGUUCUGCAGGACAAGUGAUCAGAGCUCAAUGAAUAUAUCCGUGGAGGGUGAACUUAGGUUGAUGUCAAAAGAGGUAAAUGAAUUGGCCUGUUUAUAUAUAUAUAUAUAUAUAUAUAUAUAUAUAUAUAUAUAUAUAUAUAUAUAUAUAUAUAUAUAUAUAUAUAUAUAUCAUAUAUAUAUAUAUAGAGAGAAAUGUUCCAGUCAGGAAUUUUAAAGUGCAGGAAAGUACGGGAAACCUUUAAAACCGCAUGGUUUUAAAGGCUUAAAACUGUAAGCCUUUAAAGCNNNNNNNNNNNNNNNNNNNNNNNNNNNNNNNNNNNNNNNNNNNNNNNNNNNNNNNNNNNNNNNNNNNNNNNNNNNNNNNNNNNNNNNNNNNNNNNNNNNNAGAAUUUCUCUGUUAAUAUAUAUAUAUAUAUAUAUAUAUAUAUAUAUAUAUAUCAUAUGAUGCAGGCCACAGCAGAGCAGGAUUAUGAAAAAGAGAAGCUUAUUAAUAAGUGUUUACUUGCUUUUGAAAUAUAUAUAUAUAUAUAUAUAUAUAUUUCAAAUUCAAGUUUACUUGCUUUUAUAUAAUAAGUGUUUUGGCCGAUUUAUCUAAUUCACCAAAUGUCAUUUCCGGUACAUAUCUCCAUUGGUAUCAAGAAGAGGCAGAACCCAAAGAAACGUUUCUUGCAUCUUCAUAUUUAUGCGAAUUCAUCCUUUCAUUGAGAAUAACCAUUUCCAGCCGGCAGUUGGCAAUCAAUACGCACGUCGAUGCUAUUCAUAGAUAUUAAAGACAAUGAUGAACCAAAGGUGAUAAAUCAUAAAUGUAUAAUUACCAAACAUCCAUCCUUCUCUCAUUAUGAUUUGAUUUUAAAUGAAUUAUUGCUUGGUAACAUUAUUUCCAACCAUUGCAAGAUUAUUAUUAUUAUUUUUUUUUGGGAGAAAUUUCAAUUGAAAGUGAAACCUUUAGACAUUUACCUAAUGAAGUUAGUUACUCGGGAGGGUGGAAAAAAAAAAGUUGACGCAAGUCAAUACACAAUAAUUAAUUAAAUCCGGAGUGACUAAAACAGAGCCACUACUUUUUCAAAAAUAUCUGCAUUCAUCACUUUCUCCAGCAGCUAGUCAGCUACACACGAAUCAAUUUCUCUCCUCGUUUGUCAUCCAAAAUUAUUCACCAAUACCAUGGUUGAUGCCGUCGUUUCCACUAUCUUGGAGCAGCUGAUUUCCUUCGCUGCUGAAGAGAUAAAACAACAGGUGAUCGAAGUUACACCCCUCAUAUUACAAAUACUUCCAAUGAUUUUAAUAAAUUUUGUUUUUAUCAAAAACAUUAUAUAUUUUUGCUUUAUUUUAUUUAUCUGGUAAUUUUAGAUUUUGAAAUUUGAAUUGAAUUUAAUUAAAAGGUGAUGUAGUUAGUAACCACUUAUUUUUAUUUUAUUUCAUUUAUAUUCUCAAUAACUACUCAUAUUUUGGUAACUUACUAUAACUUUCAUAUCUAAGAAAUGAUCAAAACCCACAAUUUUAACUCAGCACGAAUAUUCAACGUUGAGUCAUUAAUUCUAAACUCAGCACUGAAUCCCAUAGCUAUUACUUAGACUCUAUGAAAAAUUUCAUAGUUUUCUUACGUUCUUUGAGUUUGGUAAGUGAUUUCGUAUAAUUUCUUUUCAAGUUAAAUUUUAAUUUGGUUUAUGAUAUAGUCUCUGUGCCGAAUUGUAUCUUUUAUGAUUCUUGGAUUUUGGGCUUCAACUUUUUAGGAUUUGAUAGUCAUAUAUUUAUGCCAUGCUCAGAUUGAUUUUCAUGAUUUUUAGUAGCCGUUAAGUGACUUACAAUUUGACGAAAGUUUGAAAGGAAAAAUGUUUCAGGAUUCUGUUUUAAUUUACCUUUUAGUAGAAAUAGGAUGCUUAUAACUUAAUGUGGAUGGUUCGUAAAAUCAUGAAAUUUGGAUAGGAUUCACUAGAAAUAUGUACAAGACUCUCCAUAAAGUUUCAUAAUUUUUCAUUCGGUAUGGGGUGGUACAGGUGAAACUUGUGGUUGGUGUUGAAAAAGAAGUGAAAAGCCUUACCAGCCACCUUGAAGCCAUUCAAGUUGUGCUCGAUGAUGCAGAGGAAAAGCAAGUGAAGGACAAAGCUGUUAGUCUUUGGCUGGGUAGGCUCAAGUACGCAUCCUACGACAUUGAAGAUGUGUUGGAUGAGUGGAUCACAGCAAGACGCAAAUUGCAAAUUGAGGGUGGCGUUGAUGAAAAUGCUCUUGUUGUUCCUCAUAAGAAAAAGAAGGUAUGUCUCUGCUUUCCCGGCUCUUGUUUUGGAUUCAAACAAGAAGAAUUUGGUUUCAAACAAGUCUUUCUCCGUCAUGACAUUGCCGACAAGAUCAAAGAAAUCAAUGAAGAGCUACAUGAUAUUGCCGCUCAAAAAGACAUGUUUGAUCUUGUUAAGAGUGGCAAUAAAAGUAGUGAAAGACCAAGGCGUGUACAGAGUACCUCCUUGAUUGAUGAGGAAGAGAUUUGUGGUAGAGUUGGUGAGAGGAAUGAACUCAUAAGCAAGCUGUUGCGUGAGAGUAGCGAGCAACAAAAAGGCCUCCAUAUCAUCUCAAUUGUUGGUAUGGGAGGCAUAGGGAAAACUACUCUUACACAACUAGCUUGUAAUCAUGAUGAGGUGAAGAGAAAGUUCGACAAAAUUCUGUGGGUGUGUGUAUCAGAAACUUUUGAGGAGUUUAUGGUAGCCAAAGCGAUCGUUGAAGUUUUGGAUGGUCGUGAAUCUCAUUUAGCUGAAUUCCAUUCUCUUCUUCAACAUAUUUAUGAAUCAAUUGCAGGGAAGAGCUUUCUUCUUGUCUUAGAUGAUGUGUGGGAUGGAAAUUACUUGAAAUGGGAACCAUUCUACCGUUGUCUAAAGAAUGGUCUCCAUGGAAGUAAAAUUUUAGUUACCACACGUAGUGGGUCUGUUGCAUCCACGAUGGGAUCCACAGAUAUUAUCUCCGUCAAGGAGUUAGCUGAAGAGGAAUGUUGGUUGUUGUUUAAAAAGAUAGCAUUUUUUGAUCGGUCCAUCGAGGAACGUGAAAAAUUAGAACAAAUUGGGCAAAGAAUUGUAGGCAAGUGCAAAGGUUUACCUCUUGCAGCAAAGACAAUAGGGAGUCUCAUGCGUUCUAAACAAACUGAAGAAGAGUGGAAAAGAAUUUUAAAUAGUGAUUUAUGGAAAGUAGAAGAGAUUGAGAAAGAUGUUUUGUCCUCUUUAUUGUUGAGUUAUAAUGAUUUGCCAUCUAGAGUAAAAAGAUGUUUUUCAUAUUGUGCUGUCUUUCCAAAAGACUACGAUAUAAAAAAAGACGAACUAAUCACAUUAUGGAUGGCUCAAGGUUAUCUUAGUGCGGAACAAGAUGAAGAGAUGGAGACAGUAGGUGAAGAGUAUUUUGGCAUCUUAGCUUCUCGCUUGUUUUUUCAAGAGUUUAAGAAAAGUUAUGAUAAUCGUAUUAUAGAGUGCAAGAUGCAUGGUAUGGUACAUGAUUUUGCCCGAUUUGUAAGUCAAAAUGAAUGUUUUUCGAUGGCAAUUAAUGGUAGUGAAGAACCAAACGCCACAAACUCUCUUGAUGAGAAGGUCCGUCAUUUAAUGUUAAUCUUUAGUAAAGGGGCUUCAUUACCUGUUUCCACUCGUAGAGUUAAAAGAAUGCGUACCCUCGUAAUUAACGAUAGUAGAUCAUUAAAUGGCGAGAUCCUAGAAGAAUUAUUUAGGGAAUUGACAAGUUUAAGGGCAUUAGAUUAUGGCGGAUCGCCCCACUCAAGGCCGUUGUUGACUGCGGAGGUUCCAAGAAACAUAGAAAAGCUGGUACAUUUGAGAUACCUUAAUUUGUCUUUUCAGAAAAUAGUGAAACUACCGGAGACAUUGUGCGAGUUGUAUAAUCUAGAAAAGUUAGAUAUUAGUUGUUGUUUGUAUCUUAGAGAAUUACCUGAAGGGAUUGGGAAGUUAAUAAACAUGAAGCAUUUACGAAAUAGAGGUACUAGUUCUUUAAGGUACAUGCCAGUAGGGACUGGGAGAUUAACGGGUCUUAGGACCUUGGGUCAGUUCCAGGUGAGUGCAGGAGGAGGUGUUGAUGGUAGGAAAGCAUGUAGGCUUGAAUCUCUUAAAAAAUUGGAACACCUUCAAGUAUGUGGUAUACGUAGACUGGGUGAUGUAUCAGAUGUGGGCGAGGCUAAGCGAUUAGAACUUGACAAAAAGAAAUACCUCUUCAGUUUGACCCUUGAGUUUGAUAAGAAGGAAAGAGGAGGAGAAACGAGGAAGAACGAGGACGAUCAACUUCUUCUUGAAGCCCUGCGACCACCUCUGGAUUUAAAGGAAUUAGUGAUACGGUACUACCGAGGCAACACUGUUUUCCCCAGCUGGAUGACGUCAUUAAUCAACUUAAAGAGUUUAGAUCUCUCUUCCUGCGAAAAUUGCGAGCAGCUGCCUCCUUUGGGAAAAUUGCCGUCCCUUGAAAAACUCGGCCUAUCGGACAUGAAGAGUGUGAAAAGAGUGGGUGAUGAAUUUUUGGGGAUAGAAAGUGAUCAUCAUGGCUCAUCUUCAUCUUCAUCGGUUAUUAUUGCCUUCCCCAAAUUGAAAUCACUCUCAAUUGAGUUUCUGCGCGAAUUGGAGGAGUGGGAUUAUGGGAUUACAAGAACGGGAAACACCGUCAUCAACAUCAUGCCACGUCUUUCUUCAUUGACAAUUGUUGAUUGCACCAAAUUAAAGGCACUGCCCAACCACAUUCAUCAAACGACAACGUUGAAGGAAUUGUGCAUUGUGGAUUGUGAGCUUCUGGAAGAACGUUACCGCAAGGGGGAAGGAGAAGACUGGCCUAAGAUAUCACACAUUCCCAACAUAGAUAUUUUUUAAGAAGGAUUUGCGCAUUCGAGAUUUGGCGUUGACAAGUAAUUUCUUCUCUUACUCUGAUUUGCUUUGUUGUUGUUUUUAAUCUAAUUAAGAAGCGUAAAUAGCAUUUUGAAUCAAACUCUAUAUCCGAAAUCUGCAAUACAUACUUUCUAAUAUUCUGAUUUUCAUAUCCUACCAUUUUUAAUUUGUGAGAUGGGUAACGUUACUGUAAAAGAUUAUUAAUGGAACAUGAGUAAUUCUUUUGCAGGACAAGUGACCUACAUUUAGUUUGGCUUUGGAGUUGAAUAAUAACCUUUCAAGGCCAGGACCCAAAAGCAGGAAAAACAAAAAAAGGAACGAAGCUUAAUUUUGCCACAGAUUACAUGUAUUGCCAUUAUUGACAAGUUUCUGGACAAGUGAUCAAGGGUGAGAGUGGUGCUACAACAUUGAAUAAAGCAGUCGUGACUGAAUUUAGGUUGUGUCAAAAGUGGUAAAUUAUUUGCAUGUGUAGCUAAUUUGACCAUUUCCUGAUCUAUAAGUCUAUAUUAAUUUUGAUUUUUAGUUGAGUGAUUACAUUUCAAGGUUUGCUUACUUAACAGGGCGACCAAUUUCUUUUAACUAAAUGUAUUAUAUGAUGCAGGAAGCAAGGCAGGAUAUGAAAUAAGAAGCUUAUUAAUGGCAGUUGGCAGUGAAUGGAGGCCCUUGACUAAAUUCUCAAGCGGUUGCACUGCAAUUACGCUUAUCCGUAGCCUCAGGUAAUUUCUUCUUCUGCAUUUUUGUAAUUUGUUAUCUAAUUAAGGGGCGUGAGCUAUUUUGAAUCAAAUUCUAUAUCAGGAAUAUAUGCAACAUUUUUUAAAAUUUUGAUAUGAGAGUAAUGAUGGUAAUUUCUCUUUUUUGUCUGUCAUCGAAUGUUAAAUAACAUUCACUAAGACUCUUGAGAGUCAUUUUUUGACAAUUGCAGGACAAGCGACGAAGAGUGAGAAUGGUGUUAGAUUGGGGAUUGAGGCAAAAGGAGGUAAAUUAUUGGCAGAGAAUUUGGGAGCUUGAGUGUACAGGGAUUUGCAAUUACAAUCUUACUCUGCCUUAGGUGAUUUCUUCUCCUGCUUUGUCAUUGGUUGUUCUCUAGUUGAAAAGCAUAAAGUAUUUCAAUCAAAUUCUAUACCAAGAAUAUGCAAAACUUUAUUUCCAUCUGUUUGCAUUGAUAACUUUGCGGCAUAUGCGCUAGUUAAAGAACAAACAGAAACAGAGGUCAGGAACAAGUUUCCUCUGCCGUCAUAUUUGAAAAUGCAACCAUUUCCGGGAAGUAGUUGGCAGCAAAUUCAUAUAAAGUGUAGACAAUAAUGAGCAAAAAGGUGAUUCACAAUUUUAUUUUUUUUAAAUUAAUUGUUAGGUUGGAGUUGUUAAAAGGCCAUUGAGCUAACCUAUGUCAUUAGUUACCUAGAUUGCAGGGGGUCCCGAGACUCCAAAGAAGCAUUGAAUUUUAAAAGGCAUGCAAUAAUUCUUGUGGGCGUAUGAGUUUGAUUUAGAAUCAAACUCUAGAUCAGAAAUCUGCAAUGCAUAUUUUCUAAUAUUCUGAUUUUCAUAUCCUACUAUUUUUAAUUUGUGAGAUGGGUAACGUUACUGUAAAAGAUUAUUAAUGUAAUAUGAGUAAUUCUUUUGCAGGACAAGUGACCUACAUUUAGUUUGGCUUUGGAGUUGAAUAAUAACCUUUCGAGGUCAGGACAACAAAAAAAUGAAUCUUAAUUUGCCACAGAUUGCACUUAUUGCCAUUAUUGACAAAUUUCUUCACAAGGGAUCAAGGGCGAGGAUGUUGAUAGAAUAUUGAAUAAAGCUGCCGUGACUGAACUUACGUUGAUGUCAAAAGAGGUAAAUUAUUGGCAUGCCUGACUAUUUUGACCAUUACAUGAACAUGAGUUUACAUUAAUUUUGAUUUUGAGUUGAGUGACUUUUUAAGGUUUGCUUACUUAACCGGGUGAUGUGAUGCAGGAAGCAGGGCAGGAUAUGAAAUGAGAAGCGUAUUAGUGGAAGUAUUGCCAGUAACAGAACCCAAAAAAAAGUGGAACCAUUUUAAGGCAGCAGUUGGCAGUUGGGAGUGAAUGGAGGCCCUUGACAAAAUUCUCAAGCAGUUGCAAUGCAAUUACGAUCAUCCUCAGCCUCAGGUAAUUUCUUCUCCUGCUUUGUUGUUAUUUGUUACCUAAUUAAGAAGCAUAAAGUAUCUUGAAUCAUUUUCUGUAUCUGGAAUAUAUGCAACAGUCUCUAAAAUUUUGAUGACUGUAAUGAUUGUAGUUUCUGCUUUCUGUCCGACAUCGAAUGUAAGACGACUUUAUUAAGACUCUUGAACCGAGACAUUUUUGACAAUUGAAGGGCAAGUGCUGAAGAGUGGGAAUGGUGCUAGAUUGGGGAAUAAAGCAAAAGGAGGUAAAUUAUUGGUAGUUUCUGCAGCCUUGUUUUCUUUGAAUCAGCACCUGAUUCACAAGACUCCAUUAAUUUGGCUUUUGAUGAGCUGAGUGAUAAAUUUUCAAUUUCUUUGGUGCUAAAUGUAUGUGUGAAGCAGGUAGCAGGGCAUGACUGUGGAAAAGAGAAGAUUUUAGUGAAAGCUGAAACUCAGAUAAUUCUACAUUUAUCUAAUUCACGAAAUUUUAUUUCCAUCUGUUACAAGAUCAAACUGAAGCAGAACUCAAAGAAAGUAAUCUACUUCUUGCGGCAAUCUUGCCUUCGCUCAGAUUAUGAAACCAUUUCCAUGCACCAAAUUCAUCCAAAAGUUUGAAUAAGUUUCAUGGUUGGACACUGUUGGCUUCUUUUUCUUUUGGGGUGCAUUUUGGUGCUACCAAGUGACAGCUGCAAGUAUGAUUGCACUAACCUGCUGCUGGGAAAUUUGAGGUUUUGAUGGCUGCCCAUGUUAUUGUCAAGAAACUCCUCAUGUAAGAAGCUGUGGUUCUUUUCAUCAGCUUGAACCUGAAACUGUUGCUAUGGAUAACUCACGUUUUUAUUCUCAACUAUAUCAUCUUUUUUAGUGUUUUGAAACUCUUAAGAUUAAACUUUGGUAAAAUGUUUUCAGUUAUCCAUGUAAUCAGGCUGAGGAUAAUUUAGUAAAGUUGUUUCCGCUAUUCAAAUGAAAAACCCCAUUGAUUUUAACCAUGAUAAAGCUAAUGUUCCCAAUGAUUACUGCAGGUGAGACUUGUGAAGAGGGUGAGUGAGGCAACUGCUAAAAUUCCUGGCUGGGAUACAGUAACUAGAGGCUGAGAUCAGGUGGUGGAAUUUUUUGUUCCGUGGAUGAUACCAGAAUUGUCCAGAAAAGAUUUGUUGAUACUAAUUACAGAUGAUAGAAAGAGGUAUAGGUGGAGAAGAGAAAUCUGCGAGUCAAAUUAGGGAUAAUUGAUUCUGAUACUAGUUAUAUUGAAAAUAAUAAUAACAAUUGCAUGAAGAUAGUCAAUAUUCUUCUCUAGAUAUAUUGUAUGGACUUCCUUGCUGCCUUUAUCUAUGUGCAUGUUGACUAAAGCUAAUCUAGAAUCAAUAGAGAGGGAUAUUUAUCUAUUUUGUUUAACAUAAGAGUGCUGUAUAAUUUUUCACUAAAUACACCUACAACAAACUAUUAAUAAUAAAGUGAUAGAAGAAUGCCUAAAAUAUAGGUAUUAAUGUCAUAAUAAGCCCAUGUGGAUCUCAGUGCCGCAAGUUCGAUAAAUGGCUAUCAAGGAUUGCUUAUUAAGUCAAAAUAUUCAAAGGACAAAAUGGUAAAACUAUAAGGGUGGAGUAAUAUGGCUAUCUUGGGUUACAUAGUAAGUCAACUACAUUCAAAGUAUAAAAUAUUAGAACCUGAACGGCGGAGUAGUCGUCGUUAGAACCUGAACGGCGGAGUAAUCGUCGUUAGAAUCUGAAUGAUAUGUCUAAGACGUUGCAUGCAUCUAGAAAAUUGCAGAUGAUUAGACCUUGCCAUCUAUGCGUUGUAUGAGGUUAUAGCAACUAUCUAUCUGGUCACCGUUUUCAAGUCUCAAUUGGUAGUCCAAACUCCAAAGAAAAGAAUGAUUCUACAAUAGCAUUAAGUGUUAAUUGGACACAAAAAGAAAUGUUUUAACCACUUUAAGGAAAGUAAAUGUAAUUUUGUGUCCUAAAGAAAAGGUAAAUGUAUGCACUGUCAAUUAAUCUUUGGUCGACCAGCAACAUCAUAAUUUUGUGUAGGUUCAUUUUUGUUUCUUAGAGUUUGUAAAAAGAAUGGGAAGAUUUUAAAAUAUAAAUUUCAUAUCUGUUUAUUACUGUUGUUUGGUCUAAUUUCUUAUGUAGAAUUUUCAGAAUCUGUAGGACAUUAGUUUAUAAUUUUGAGAUUUUGCAGCCAUAAAUGUUUUUUUUUUCUUUUUUCUUUCUUUUUUUUUUUGUUGGCAUUUUAUUUUGCUCCUUUAUCUAUGUGCAUGUUGACUGGCUGCAGUGAGUGAAAAUUUACCCAUAUAUGCUGGCUAUUCUUGGACAAUAUUAGAGAAAAUAAUCAUAUUAUUUCGCUUGAUGUGAACUUCCAUAACUUAUCAAUUGAAUUGCUGUAAAAUAUUAAAUAGUUUUAUUUUUCUUUUAUCGUGUAACUUGGACCAAAAAAGGAAAUGAGUUUAACACGACCCUCAUUCUGCUUCUUGCUUUGGUUUCAAACAAGUCUUUCUCCUUUAUGACAUUUAUUGUAAUUUCAUUUGGAGACAUAUAUCUGUCGUUCAAAUAUAUUUCAUACGUAAGCUGUUAAUAAUUCUGCUUGCAGAAAGCCUACAAAGCAGCUGUGUGAUGUAAUAGAAGACCAUAGUCUCGUCAAUUUUUCAACAUUAGAUAUUCAGGUCAUCAGCUUCUCAUGAAUUCUUUCCUGAGUUUCUUUGAAUUAUUUGUGAUGUAAUAACUUGUGCAUUUGAGAAACUGUUCUCAUGAAUUCUUUCCUGAGUUUCUUUGAAUUAUUUGUGAAUAAGUUCCUAAUCGGCUGCUUCUCCUCAGGAUAAGGAAAGUGUUGCAAACUGGUGAAGCAGCUGAUAGAUAAAAGCAAUGGGUACAUCUUUGCUGGCAUGGAUCGAUGCCAGUGCGGUUGAAUUCAGCAAGACUGCCGUUCGUGAUGUUGUUGAUUGGGAUUACAUUAAGGAUGAUGACAACAUUGAUUAAAAUGGGACGUGAAGAUAUAUGGUGUGCAAAUUAACCCAACCCAACCAAACCCGUACAUUUUAUCAACCCAACCCAACCCAACCCGUAAAAAAUCACACGGAUUAGGUUGGUUUCACGGAUUGGGCGGGUUAAUUCUAAUUUCUUUAUAAGUUUACCAAAAUUAGAUCUGCUUACCUUUGUUCAUUCAGCAACAACACUUACAAUUCACAGCUAGAGAAUCUAUCCAUUGACAAUUGUGGAUUAAAAUUAUAACACCUGAAUUCAAACAUAUCCUUAUGAAGUUAUGAAUUUGUUCAUACUUCAAAUGAUUUUUUUUUUCCAAGCUAAUAAAGCAACGACUUUGAUCAAACGACGACGUUGAAGGAAUUACGUAUUUUCAAUGUCCUUUGCCAGACAGACGCUGGAGAGAGGGAAAGGAGAAGACUGGCCUAAUUAAGAUAUCUCACAAAGAUUAUUAUUGAGUUAAAAUGUUAUUGUAAAAGAUGUUUAAUACAAUAAUAGUACUUCUUUUGCAUUGUUAUAAUGAGGCUGGCGGGUUUCCUCAGAGGAUGGAUCUGGCUCGCUAGUAUGCAUUUGGGAAGCUGCUAAUUAUCGGCCAUAAAAAGUCAGGGGGUUGUGGCUCGUCCGUCGCCCAGAAAUUCCUAAACUCAUAUAUCAAACUUCAGAUGAACUUGGGCAUUAUGUAAAUAUGUAUUUUUGAGAAUUAAACUAGUGCGUUAGAAAAAUUUUGAGCCAUUGUAAUCAUUUUAUUUUGCUAAGAGAAAAUUUUACUCUGUGUUUCGCUUUGCCUUUUGUUUUUUCUGUGAUAAUAUGAUUCAUACGAAUGUGAUUACACACUAUCAUGCAUCUAUUUUCAUUUGCUUGUCAUGAAUGAUCAACAUGCUCGAAAUAUUUAUUUAGGUUGGAAAUAUUUAAAUCUAUUAAAAUACUAUACACACCCAUUUAAAAAUAAAAAUAUGAUUAUCAUAAUGAUCGCGAAGAUAACACGAUAUCAUACAUAAAAUAAAAUAUUUCGCAAAAAAGAAAAGAUACACUUGAAUACAUUGGUAUAAAAAAUAUUUUAGUGGAUUCAAGUAGCACUAAUGCCCCCUUAUCAAAAAAUAUAUAAAGAUAACUAAUCUGAUUGGGUAUACCGUGUGUGUGUGUAAUAUUUUUUGAUAUUAUUAUAUAAUAUUUUUUAAAAAGAAGAGAGUGGGCAAAGUCCAAAUCAAUUUUCUAAUCCCUAUCUCCUUUAGGAUUUCUAGUCAAAGAGGCUAAAUUGCACGAAAUUGUGCUAGCUUAUUUGAUUUUAAAAUUUUCCAAUGCACUGUAACACACUCUCAUGCUUGUACAUAGCUCGAAAAUCUCUAGAAUUUACCAGAGUAGUGUACCAUGUAGCUUGUACAUAGGUUUUUCUGGAACACUCCAAGCGUUACUAAGCAUAAGAGCUUUGAGAACUCUCUAGACAUAAAACAUUCAAGGGUAGGCCUACCCUAAAAAUAGGGCAUGAUGAUUGCCAUUUGAGCAUACAAGAAGUAAGAACAAAUCAAGUAUAUUUGUAAGCUCCCAAACUCUCUCGUACACACUCUUGUGAAUAAUAUGCUUUCUCUUUGACUACAUUACUCUCUCUUCUCUCUAGUUUUUUUCGUAAGUAUCAUAGCUUAGCUAGUCGAAAAGUUCAAGUAGGAAUGAUAAUUUUUCCUGACAGGAUGUGGGAUCCCAUCUCAUUUGGGACGGGAUUGGGACACAUUUUUAUCCCACAAAAAAAUAUAGGGACGGGAGUAGAAAUUUUUUUAUCCCACUUGUAUAUAUGGGACAGGACUGAGAUUAACAAAUUCAGUCUCGUCCCGUCCCGUCUCAUUACCAACUAGGGAUGGAAAUUUUUCCAAUUGGGAUGGGCUCUCGCAGAAUCCCAUUUAUUUUGGGAUGCAAUUGAGACAUAUUUUUAUCCCAAAAAAAUAUAUCGAGAGUGAGACUUUUUUUUAUCCCACUUGCAUAUUCGGGACGAGACUGAGAUUAGUAAAUCUCACCCUAUCCCAUCCCAUUGCCAACCCUAAGUUCAAGGCUUACUUUGCAAUUAUCUCAUAAAAGUUGUUUUAAGUACCACAGGAGUUUGUUGUGCAAAAUACUCAUCCCGUGACAUUAGCUAAAUAAAAUUAUUUGAAAGCCACUUACCCAAACUAUUAAACAAAUAUUAUUCUUUUAAUAUGUAAUCUUUUAAUAUAAAACUUUUGUCUUAAUUUUCUAUCUCCUACAAUAAAUUUUAUGAUUUUAAAAAUUGAAAAAAUUAGUAACUUUUAGAUAGAGCAUUCCUUACUGUGAAAAGAAAUAUGAAUGGUAAUAUAAAACUUACUUAUUAUAGUAUAAUGCUUUUAGUUUUUUGAAAUAUAGGUUCUUAUUUUUUUCAAGAUAAAGUUCAAAGAAAACAAGUUAAAUGUUGUGGAAAAUCUUACGCACAUACAAUAAAUUAUGACAGCUAAAUGCAAACCUGGCUGAAGUAUUAGUUGUUUUAUUACAGAGACAAAAGGACAAUAUCACUAUCCAAGUCAAAAGCAACUCAAUGUGAGUCUUAGGGCACUCGCAGUGAAUCCCAAGAUAAACUAAUUUCACUAGCAAGUUGGAUACCAAAGAGUAAGGCUUCAGCCUCAAUUAUAUUAACAUUAGCUGAGUAAACAUUAAAUACCACAAUCAAUCUCAGAAAUCAUAAUUAAACUAUCAUGAUUAAAAAUAAAGUUUUUUUUUUAGAUAUCCGUUUGUAGUAUCUCUUUAGAUGACAAGUAGGAGAUAAAGUAAAUAAAUAUUGGUUGCGUAAAUAAAAAUAAAUAAAUUUUUUAACUGAAAAAAAAAUUCCUAAAAACUAAAUAGUUCAAACUUUUUUUAACAUGAAAUAAAUAUUUGAUGCGUAAAUAAAAAAAAUUUAACUGAAAAAAAUUCCCAAGAACUAAAUAGAUCAAACUUUUUGUUUAACAUCAUGGGUUUUGUAUAUUCAAUUGAACCGAACAACUAAAUUAAAUCGAAAUUACCAUGUUCGGUUCAAAUGAAUAGACGAAAACCGAACAGUUUAUAUUUUUAUGAACUGAUGGUGCGUUUACUUCAUGAAAUGAAAAUAUGGUGGAAUGAGAAUGUGUUAAAAUGAAAAUGAGGAAUGAGAAUGAGAUUCUAAUGUUUAUUUAGUAAAAAUAAAGGGAAAUGAGAAUGUGCUGGAAUGUCAUUGAUGUGUUUAUUUGACAAAAUAAAUGACAAAAGUAUCAAUUCGGAUCCUGCUAAUGAUAGUUUGCCAUAUCCUUUGUCAUUGAACUUUCUUACAAAUGCUGUGGUUUGUUGUAGUAUAAUUAGUUCAAUCAGAAACUUCCUUGAUGUUAAUAUAGAUAUGAGUGUGCUGUGAAUAUUGAGGACUUCAUUAGACUAAGUGAUGUGAUGAUGGAGCAUUCACUUGGUCCCAAUGGAGGUUAGUCAGCCCAUUGUUGUUUACUCUUUCUUGCUUUAUCACGCAAUGAUAUUCCUUUGCUUCACAACAAAUUUCAUGAAAUUAACUUCAAUCGAGUGGCUAUGUUCAUACGCUAUUGAGAUUUUAUGGACAAUGAUUUGGUAGACUUUAUAUGCCGUCUUCUUUCUUUUUGCAGUGAUAUGUUUGUAUGCAAUGCACUUGUACUUGUUCUAUGGUUUCUAAAGUAGGCGUUUUUAUGAUAAACUAGGUCUUGGGUAUUGUAUGGACUAUCUAGAGAAGAAUAUUGACUGGUUGCAGUCGAAAUUGGAACCACUUUUGAAAGGUAAGAAGUGGCCAUUUUCCUUCAUUCUAAUGCCAAUAAUGCUGUCAUGAGACUCAUAAAAAUUGUUAAAACGUUAAUGUUUUUGGUAUUUUGCAGAUCAUUAUCUUCUGUUUGAUUUUCCUGGCCAAGUUGAAUUAUUUUUUCUUCAUUCCAAUGCCAAGAAUGUUAUAAUGAGACUCAUAAAGAAGUUAAAUCUCAGGGUAUUGUUACAUCUUACGUCUAUGAAGGGACUCAAAGAGUUGAGAUGAAUUCAUCAUUAUUAUUUUGAUGCCAGAAUUGUGCAAUUCUCAGUUGCUUCCUUUCACAUGCAGUUGACUGCAGUGCAUCUAGUUGAUGCGCAUCUUUGCAGUGACCCCGGGAAGUAUGUUAGUGCUUUGCUUCUCUCGUUGUCGACGAUGCUACAUCUGGAAUUUCCCCCAUGUCAAUGUCUUGUCUAAGAUCGGCCUGAUUGAGAAUUAUGGAAAGCUAGGUGUGGUUUUAAGUGUAGCUCUCCUACUUGUUUGUUUAGAUUGAGAUAUCAGAUAUUGUCACAAGCUCCUAUCUGCUACAUUUCCUCACCAAUCAAUUACUUUGGGUAUGUUGCAGCUUUUAAUCUCGAGUACUAUACGGAUGUGCAAGAUUUGUCAUUUUUACAGCAUGCUCUGGGUCAGGACCCUCGUUCUGCUAAGUAUAGGUUUGAAUUCUAGCUGAAUCAAUGAUGCAAAUUAUGUCCAUUGCUAUUUCUGACUGUCGUUUCUAUCAUUUUCAAUUGUUACCUCCCCUUGCCAUCUACUGCCAUACUGCAAUGCCCACACAAAUGUUAUGAAAUUUGUCAAUGGAAAUGACAUUCUAUUUGUCCAGAGACAGCUCUUAGAUGCAAGUGAACAAUUUUUGGCUUUGGCCGUAGUACAGCCUUAGAUUUCAACUUGCCAUAUCUUGUCUCGGAAGUCAAAAGAAAGCAUAUAUGUUAGCCAAAUUUUAUUUGAAUUUCUUGUGUAACAAUGAAUGGGGAAAAAAAACAGUUCCUCUUUUGUUUUGAUCAGACUCAAUGAAUAAGUGGUUAAAAUGUGCCUGUACUAGAAAUAUAGAUGUGUGGUUUCAUAAAAUUUUCUUGAUCUUAAGAAAGAGUUAUCUUGAAAAGAAGAUAACAUGGGGAAUUGAACAACUAUACAGUCAUAUUGAUGUCUGUCAACUUGGGUCAUAUGGUGUCGUUUGGAUGGAGAUGUUAGGUCCCAGAUGGUAAACUUGUUAUCGAAUUCCAGUCUACUUCAUUCAUGCUUUGAUGACAUAUGUGGUGCAGCUUCUUAUCUAAGACCUGCAUAUGUUACAGUCAACAUUCUGUUCUGUAUUUGGCUGCCAUUCUUUUCAAUGAAUUCAAACCACUUUCUGAAUACUUGGAAAUUCAUCCAGUGUUGUCAUUGAGAUGCCAAUAUGAAAAGAAGCCAUAAUUGCCCUUGAUAGUAUGCUUAUUGAUUGCCUCUUGCCUCACUCAACCUCAGGAAUCUGCUUGUAUGGUGUUCUUCUAAUUUCAAUUGGAGAUAAAUAAUAUCUGUUGUUCAAAUAUAUUUUAUUUACAAGCUGUUAAUAAAUCUGCUUGCAGAAAGCUUACAAAGGAGCUGUGUGAUGUAAUAGAAGUCUACAGUCUGGUCAAUUUUUCAACCUUAGAUAUUCAGGUCACCAGUUUCUCUUGAAUUCUUUCUUGAGUUUCUUUGAAUUAUUUGUGAAUAAGAUCUUAGUUGACUGCUUCUCUUCAGGAUAAGGAAAGUGUGGCAAAACUUGUGAAGCUGAUAGGUAAAAGCAAUGGGUACAUCUUUGCUGGCAUGGAUGCCAGUGCAGUUGAAUUCAGCAAGAUUGCCGUUCGCGAUGUUGAUUGGGAUUAUUUCGGAUAUCCUUCUUUUCACCUAUUUUCAAUCUUGUUAUUCUCAUAUUCAUAAAACUUUUUGGUUAUUUAAUUAUGGUUCAUCAUAUGCAUCUGCAUCUUCUAACUUGUUCGUUUGAGAAACUAAUUUUGCCGUUAGGUAGGCUUCGAGCUUGAUGAGUUGAUUCAUGCUUUUUCAUAAAUGUACCAAAAUCAUGGAAACUUCUUUUUCCCAGAUAUUGUAUCCACACUUUUCCCAUAUAAUUGGGUCAGACAAGUUUUGCUUAACAAAGAUAUCUACAGUAGCCGAAGUGCAGGAGAAGUACAUUAAGGAUGAUGACGAUGUUAACUAAAAUGAGACGUGAAGAUAUGUGGUGUGCAAACCGUAAGCCUGCCUCUUAAUUUUGUGCAUGUUUACUUGCUUGUGAUUCACGUUUGUUAAUCUAUUUUGCUCUCUUGCAGGAGUUAUAAAGUUUUCAAUCAAUCAAACAUUUAACUCAAGUCCUUAGCUCUUCACGGCUUGAAUGGGUCAGAUAGGACAAGCGCCGAAGAGGUGGUUUUAAUCAAACCCCUCCUAAUUAUGAUGUAUGGUCCGAAUCUCGGACUUUUUGUACAAUAUCAAGCGAUUUUUUUUUGGUUGAAUCGGCUAGUGUACGCAAAUGUCGAUUAUUGAUUUUUCUCCAGUAUUGUUUGUAAUUACAAGAAACGAAGUAAUGAAAUUUAUCACUGCGUUCAUAGUUAUGCUUAAGCUCAAAGAUUACCGUCAAGAUCAUUUUGGGCCCUCAAAGAAACAUGAUGUUGACACAUGUAAAAUUAUGAAGCUUGUGAUUAAAAUACUUUUCACAUAUAUAUGUUAAGUUCUAUUAAUAAUUAAAUAUAUGAAUAAAUAUGGUCAAUGAGGAGAGGAUAAAAUAAAAUGGUUUCAUUUUUUGAAUUACCCAUCCGCUUCAAACUUCUAAGAAGUAGAUAUACAAUCAGUGGAAUACUGAAUUGAGUACGAGCUGCGGAUAACUUAUAAAAUUGGGAUACAAGCUUCAAGGAAAGUGUAUUGCUAUUCAAAUGUAGAUUUCAAAUUAAGAAGAUAUGCCAACAAAUUAUUCUAAAUGAUGAAAUGAGCUAUCUUGAUCAAAAGGUCAAGAACCUACCUUACUUCUCUUAGAGAUAACUUGCAUCAACCGUUGUGGUAUUGAUACUUGUCUUCAGCUAGUAAAAGUGAAAGUUUCACAAUUGAAAUAAAGCUAAGGGAAGAUGCUAUGCUCCAUUUAUUAUUAUUAUUAUUAUUGACGUGGUCGAGAAGUAAAGCCGUGCAUAUGAUGAAGUAUAAAUAAGAAUGCAAUAGCCCGGAAUUCAUUUACACAAACACUUCAAUAUCCUUUCGAUCACUUUUGCAAACAUCAAUUUGUCUCCUCUUGUAUUCACCAUGGUUGAUGCCAUCGUUUCCCCUCUCGUGGAGCAGCUGACUUCCUUCGCUGCUAAAGAGAUAAUACAACAGGUGAUCGAAGUUACACCCCCCAUAGUAUAAAUACUUCUAAUGAUUUUAAUUGGUUUUGUUUUUAUCGAAAACAUUAACUUUGCUUUAUUUUACGCAUUUAGGCAUUUUAAAUUUUGAAAUUUGAAUUGAAUUUAAUUAAAAUGUGAUUUAGUUAGUAACCACUUUUUUUUUUCAUUUAUAUUCUCAAUAACUACCCAUAUUUUGGUAACUUACUGUAACCCCCGUAUCUAAGAAAUUAUCAAAACCCACAAUUUUAACUCCACAUAAAUAUUCCAUGUUGAGCUAAGUUCGAUGUUGAGGUAAGUUUUUUGCAUAACAUUCAAAUUUGUCAAAUAGUCAUUAAUUUAAUGUUUAGUAAAAACUCAUCUCUGAAAAAUUUCAUAAUUUUCUUACAUUAUUUGAGUCUGGUAAGUGACUUCAUAUAAUUUCUUUUCAAUUUAAAUUUUAAUUUGGUUUCUGAUAUAGUCUCUUUACUGAAUUUAUAUCUUUUAUGAUUCUUGGAUUUUGGGCUCCAACUUUUUAGGAUUUGAUAGUCACAUUUUAUGGCAUGCUUAGAUUGAUGUUCAUGAUUUUUAGUACUCGUUAAGUGACUGAGAAUUUGACAAAAGUUUGAAAGGAAAUCCGUUUCACGAUUCUUAUGUGGAAGGUUCGUAAAAUCAUGAAAUUUGGAUAGGAUUCAUUAGCAAUAUGUACAAGACUGUCCAUAAAGUUUCAUAAUUUUUCAUUCGGUCGGGGGUGGUACAGGUGAAACUUGUGGUUGGUGUUGAAGAAGAAGUGAAAAGCCUUACCAGCCACCUUCAAGCCAUUCAAGCUGUGCUCAAUGAUGCAGAGGAAAAGCAAGUGAAGGACAAAGCUGUUAGACAUUGGCUGGGUAGGCUCAAGUAUGCAUCCUACGACAUUGAAGAUGUGUUGGAUGAGUGGAUCACAGCUAGACACAAAUUGCAAAUUGAGGGUGGCGUUGAUGACAAUGCUCUUGCUGCUCCUCAAAAGAAAAAGAAGGUAUGUUUCUGCUUUCCUGCCUCUUGUUUUGGAUUCAAACAAGAAGAAUUUGGUUUCAGACAAGUCUUUCUACGUUAUGACAUUGCCAACAAGAUCAAAGAAAUGAAUGAAGAGCUACAUGCUAUUGCUACUCAAAAAGACAUGUUUAAUCUUGUUAAGAGUGGCAAUAAAAGUGGUGAAAGACCAAGGCGUGUACAGAGUACCUCCUUGAUUGAUGAGGAAGAGAUUUGUGGUAGAGUUGGUGAGAAGAAUGAACUCAUAAGCAAGCUGUUGCGUGAGAGUAGCGAGCAACAAAAAGGCCUCCAUAUCAUCUCAAUUGUUGGUAUGGGAGGCAUAGGGAAAACUACUCUUGCACAACAAGCUUGUAAUGAUGACGAGGUGAAGAGAAAGUUUGACAAAAUUAUGUGGGUGUGUGUAUCAGAAACUUUUGAGGAGUUUAGGGUUGCCAAAGCAAUGGUUGAAGCUUUGGAUGGUCGUGAAUCUCAUUUAGGUGAAUUCCAAUCUCUUCUUAAACAUAUUGAUGAAUCCAUUGCAGGGAGGAGCUUUCUUCUUGUCUUGGAUGACGUAUGGGAUGGAAAUUACGUGAGAUGGGAACCAUUCUAUCGUUGUCUAAAGAAUGGUCUCCAUGGAAGUAAAAUUAUAGUUACCACACGUAGUGGGUCCGUUGCAUCCAUGAUGGGAUCCAUAGAUAUUAUUCCCAUUAAGGAAUUAGCUGAAGAGGAAUGUUGGUUGUUGUUUAACAAGAUAGCAUUUUUUGGUAGGCCUAUCGAGGAACGUGAAAAAUUCGAACGAAUUGGGCGAAGAAUUGCAGGCAAGUGCAAAGGUUUACCUCUUGCUGCAAAGAUAUUAGGGAGUCUUAUGCGCUCUAAACAAACUGAAGAAGAGUGGAAAAUAAUUUUAACUAGUGAUUUAUGGAAAGUAGAAGAGAUUGAGAAAGAUGUUUUGUCCUCUUUAUUGUUGAGUUACAAUGAUUUGCCAUCUAGAGUAAAAAGAUGUUUUUCAUAUUGUGCUGUCUUUCCAAAAGACUACAAUAUAAAAAAAGACAAACUAAUUACAUUGUGGAUGGCUCAAGGUUAUCUUAGUGCAGAAGAAGAUGAGGAGAUGGAGACUAUAGGUGAAGAGUAUUUUAGCAUCUUAGCUUCUCGCUCUUUCUUUCAAGAGUUUGAGAAAAGUUAUGAUAAUCGUAUUAUAGAGUGCAAGAUGCAUGAUAUGGUACAUGAUUUUGCCCGAUUUGUAAGUCAAAAUGAAUGUUUUUCGAUGGAAAUUAAUGGUAGUGAGGAACCAAACACCAUAAACUCUCUUGAUGAGAAGGUUCGUCAUUUAAUGUUAAUCUUUAGUAAAGGGGCUUCAUUACCUGUUUCCACUCUUAGAGUUAAAAGAAUGCGUACCCUCUUAAUUAACGAUAGUAGAUCUGAUCAUUCAUUAUUAAAUGGUGAGAUCCUAGAAGAAUUAUUUAGGGAAUUGACAAGUUUAAGGGCAUUAGAUUUUGGCGGAUCGUACACACAUUUUUCUUUGACUCUGGAGAUUCCAAGAAACAUAGAAAAGCUGGUACAUUUAAGAUACCUUAAUUUGUCUUGUCAGAAAAUAGUGGAGCUACCGGAGACAUUGUGCGAGUUAUAUAAUCUACAAAAGUUAGAUAUUAGUGAUUGUUUUAAUCUUAAAGAAUUACCUGAAGGGAUUGGGAAGUUAAUAAACAUGAAGCAUUUACGAAAUAGAAGUACUAGUUCUUUAAGGUACAUGCCAGUAGGGAUUGGGAGAUUAACGGGUCUUAGGACCUUGGGUGAGUUCCACGUGAGUGCAGGAGGAGGUGUUGAUGGUGGGAAAGCAUGUAGGCUUGAAUCUCUUAAAAACUUGGAACACCUUCAAGUAUGUGGUAUACGUAGACUGGGUGAUGUAUCAGAUGUGGGCGAGGCUAAGCGAUUAGAACUUGACAAAAAGAAAUACCUCAUCAGUUUGACCCUUGAGUUUGAAAAGAAGGAGGAAGGAGGAGGAAGGAGGAAGAACGAGGACGAUCAACUUCUUCUUGAAGCCCUACAACCACUUCUCAAUUUAAAGGAAUUAGAGAUACAGUACUACCGAGGCAACACUGUUUUCCCCAGCUGGAUGACGUCAUUAACCAACUUAAAGAGUUUAGAUCUCUCUUUGUGCCUAAAUUGCGAGCAGCUGCCUCCUUUGGGAAAAUUGCCGUCCCUUGAAAAACUCAGCAUAAUGUUUAUGCCUGUGAAAAGAGUGGGUGAUGAAUUUUUGGGGAUAGAAAGUGGUCAUCGUGACUCAUCUUCAUCUUCAUCGGUUAUUAUUGCCUUCCCCAAAUUGAAAUCACUUUCAAUUGAGUCUCUGGACGAAUUGGAGGAGUGGGAUUAUGGGAUUACAAGAACGGGAAACACCGUCAUCAACAUCAUGCCACGUCUUUCUUCAUUGGAAAUUAAUUACUGCCCCAAAUUAAAGGCACUGCCCGACCACAUUCAUCAAACGACAACAUUGAAGGAAUUGCGCAUUUGGGGGUGUGACCUUCUGGAAGAACGUUACCGCAAGGGAGAAGGAGAAGACUGGCCUAAGAUAUCACACAUUCCCAACCUCCAUAUUGGGCUUUGACAAGUAAUUUCUUCUCUUACUCUGAUUUGCUUUGUUGUUGUUUUUAAUCUAAUUAAGAAGCGUAAAUAGCAUUUUGAAUCAAACUCUAUAUCAGAAAUCUGCAAUACUUACUUUCUAAUAUUCUGAUUUUCAUAUCCUAUGAAUAUACGAUUUUUAAUUUGUGAGAUGGGUAACGUUACUGUAAAAGAUUAUUAAUGCAAUAUGAGUAAUUCUUUUGCAGGACAAGUGACCUACAUUUAGUUUGGCUUUGGAGUUGAAUAAUAACCUUUCGGGAACUGGUGUGGACUGGCAAAGGAUGAUGAGAUAGUUUUUUGAGUGAGUAAAUUUUGGGAGCUUGAGUGUAUUGGGAUUUGCAAUUACAAUCAUCCUCUGCUUCAGGUGAUUUCUUCUCUUGCUCUGUCAUUGUUUGUUCUCUAAUUCAAAAGCAUAAAAUAUUUCAAUCAAUUCUUAUACCACGAAUAUGCAAAAGUUUCUAAUAUUUUAUUUCCAUCUGUUACAAGAUCAAACUGAAGCAGAACUCAAACAAAAGUAUGCUACUUCUUGCGGAAAUCUUGCCUUUGUUCAGAUUAUGAAACCAUUUCCAUGCAGCAAAUUCAUCCAAAAGUUUGAAUAAGUUUCAUGGUCGGACACUGUUGGCUUCUUUUUCUUCUGGGGUGCAUUUAGGUGCUAUCAAGUGACAGCUGUAAGUAUGAUUGCACUAAGCUGCUGCUGGGAAAUUUGAGGUUUUGAUGGCUGCCCAUGUUAUUUUCAAGAAACUAUUGAUGUAAGAAGCUGUGGUUCUUUUCAUCAGCUUGAACCUGAAACUGUCGCUAUGGAUAACUCAGGUUUUUGUUAUCAACUAUAUCAUCUUUUUCACUAUUUUGAAACUCUUAAGAUUAAACGUUAGUAAAGUUGUUUCAGCUAUUCAAAUGAAAAACUCAUUGAUUUGAGACUUCCUUCAUUAUUGUUUCUAAUUACAAUGCUAACGAUCCAGAUAAGAUAAUAUUUAAUCGGCGAAGGUGUCCCUUGGAAGUACAUCCUUCUUUUUCUUUUAUUAUAUAAAUUCUUGCAAUGAGCUUAGUGAAGCUGUUGUGCUAAUCAUGCCACUGCAUAAUUUGGCCCCUAAUGUGGGUACUCUGUUACAUUGUUCUGCAAAUUCUCCAGAAGUUAAAAUCAAUAAAUUUUCUAUUAGCUCUAGUGCUUUGACCUAAAUGCUAUUCUAUAUUCUGAUUACAAUGUUUUAACCUUUAAAUUAACUACCCCUAGAUGUUGGAUUUUCUAGAACUUCAAAUUAUAUAUAACCUUUAAAUUAUAUAUUUCUGUGUCUCUAUUUAUAGAUGACAUUUAAGCAUCCAUAAACCGUCAGACAGAGGAAGGGGGUUCAGUGCAAAGAUUCUGUUGACCUAGGGUUGACUGCAUAUGUCACUUGUUCGCAAUCUAAUAUUUAUUUUAUAUUUUGAAAAAUUUAAUGGGUAAUCCUAAUUGUUUGUUUUGGCAGGUAUGUGUUGUUAUCUCCUUCUAUCUUACAGUCGUACCUAAAUAGCAUAGUUUCAUCUGUGUUACCAUGUGAUGUACAUAAUUUCACAUUUGCCUCAGAUUAAGCUUAAUUUCCCACAGAAUAGAGCUGUCGCGACUGGACUUAGUUUGAUGUCCAAAGAGGUAAAUUAUUGGCAUGCCUAGAUAAUUUGGCCAUUUCCUAAUUCAUAAGUCUACAUUAAUUUUGAUUUUGAGUUGACUGAUUUCUUUUCAAGGUCUGCUUCCUUAACGGAGUGACCAAUGUUUUUCAACUAAAUUUAUCAUAUGAUGCAGGAAGCAGGGCAGGAUAUGAAAUGAGAAGCUCAUUGGUGGAAGUAUUGCCAGUAGCAGAACCCAAUGAAAAUGAAACUAUUUCAAGGCAGCAGUUGGCAGUUGCAAGUGAAUGGAGGCCCUUGACAAAAUUCUCAAGCAGUUGCAAUGCAAUUACGAUCAUCCUCAGCCUCAGGUAAUUUCUUCUCCUGCUUUGUUUUUAUUUGUUAUCUAAUUAGGAAGCAUAAAGUAUCUUGAAUCAUUUUCUGUAUCUGGAAUAUAUGCAAGAGUUUCUAAAAUUUUGAUAUGAGUGUAAUGAUGGUAAUUUCUGUUUUCUGUCUGUCAUCAAAUGUUAGAAAACUUUCAUUGAGACCCUUGAACCGAGUCAUUUUUGACAAGUGAAGUGCCGAAGAGUGAAGAGUAAGAAUGGUGCUAGAUUGGGGAAUAAAGCAAAAGGAGGUAAAUUAUUGGCAGCUUCUUCAGCCUUAUUUUCUUUGGACCAGUGCCUAAUUCACAAGUCUCCAUAAUUCGGCUUUUGACCAGUUGAUAGAUAAAAUUUUAAUUUCAUUGGUGCUAAUGUACCCGUGAAGCAGGCAGAGAAGGACUGUGGAAAAGAGAAGGUUUUUAGUGAAAGCUUAAACGCAGGUAAUUCUAUAAAUUAUAUGUUUUUGCUGAUUUAUCUAAAUCAGGAAAUUUUAUUUCCAUCUGUUACAAUAAAACAGAAACAGAACACAAAGAAAAAUAGUCUACCUCUUGUGGCAAUCUUGCCUUCAUUCAGACUAUGAAACCAUUUCCUUUCACCAAUUUCUUCCAAAAGUUUGAACACGUUUCAUGGUUGGACAUAGUUAGCUUCUUUUUCUUUUGGUGCAUUUAGGUGCUAUCAAGUGACAGCCAUAAGUAUGAUUGCAUUAUUGGGAAAUUUUAGGUUUUGAUGGCUCCCCAUGUUAUUGCCAAGAAAUUUUAAGUCCUCAUGUCAGAAGCUGCGUUUCUUUUCAUCAGCCUGAACCCGAACUGAGGUUUUUGUCAUCAACUAUAUCAUCUUUUUCACUGUUUUGAAACUCUUAAGAUUAAACUUCAGUAAAGUUGUUUCAGUUAUCCAUGUAAUCAGGCUAAGGAUAUUUAGCAGCUUAUUUAGGCAACUGCCAGAAUUCAGUUUGUUUGCUCGAAACUUGUAUGGUGACAAGGAUACUGGCAAGGAUAGUGAGAUAGAUUUUUGUGUGAGUGAAUUUUGAAAGCUUGGGUGUUCUGGGAUUUGCAAUUGCAAUCAUCCUCUGCUUUAGGUGAUUUCUUCUCCUGUUCUGUCUUUAUUUUCUCUCUAAUUGAAAGCAUAAAGUAUUUCAAUCAAAUUCUGUACCAGGAAUACGAAAAACUUACUAAUAUUUUAUUUCCAUCUGUUUGCAUUGAUAACUUGGCCGCAUAUGUACUAGUUAAAGAACAAACAGAAGCAGAGUUCAGGAAAAAGUUUCUUCGGCCACCAUAUUUGAAAAUGAAACCAUUUCCAGGAAGCAGUUGGCAGCAAAUUCAUACAAAGUACAGACAAUGAUGAGCAAAAAGGUGAUUCGCAAUUUCAUUUUUUAAAAAUGAAAUUAUUUGUUAAGUUGGAGCUGAUAUUGUUAGAAGGCCAUUGAGCUAACCUAUGACACUACUUGCCUAGAUUGCAGGAGGUCAAGACUCAAAAGAUGCACUGAAUUUUAAAAGGCAUGCAAUAAUUCUUAUGGCCAUUUGUCAAUGGUGGAAUGCUUUUAGCUUCUUUUCCUUUCGUGCAUUUUGGGGUUCUAUCAAGCGACAGCCGUAUGCAUGGAUGGAUAUAGCCGCUGCGUUGAUUUCUAAUGCGUUGUAUGAUGUUAUAGCAACUAUCCAUCUGGUCAAUGUUUCAAAAGAAUAAAACACAGGGAAAAAGAGAAAGCAAGUGGCCAAUCAAGUAUUCAUGUCCCAAAGAAAAGAAUGAUUCGACAAUAGCAUUAAGGGUUAAUUGGACACAAGAGAAGUGUUUUAACCACUUCAAGGAAUGUAAAUGUAAUUUUCUAUUCUGAAGAAAAAGUAAAUAUAUGCACUGUCAAUUAAUCUUUGGUCAACCAGCAACAUUCAUAAUUUCGUGUAAGUUUCAUUUCUGUUUGUUGGAAAUAGCAGUGUAUUUCUUAGAGUUUGUAAAAAAUGGAAAGAUUUUAAAAUAUAAAUUUCACAUCUGUUUAUUACUGUUGUUUGAUCUAUUUUCUUAUGUAGAAUUUUCGGAAUCUGUAGGACAUUAAUUUAUAAUUUUGAGAUUUUGUAGCCAUAAAUGUUUUUGUUCUUUUUUUCUUUUUUUUGUUGGCAUUUUAUUUUGCUCCUUUAUCUAUAUGCAUGUUGACUAAAGCUAAUCUAGAAUCAAUAGAGAGGGAUAUUUAUCUAUUUUGUUUAACAUAAGAGUGCUGUAUAAUUUUUCACUAAAUACACCUACAACAAACUAUUAAUAAUAAAGUGAUAGAAGAAUGCCUAAUUUUUCGUACUUUUUAAUUUCUUUCAGCCCUAAAAUAUAGGUAUUAAUGUCAUAAUAAGCCCAUGUGGAUCUCAGUGCCGCAAGUUCGAUAAAUGGCUAUCAAGGAUUACUUAUUAAGUCAAAAGUAUUCAAAGGACAAAAUGGUAAAACUAUAAGGGUGGAGUAAGAUGGCUACCUUGGGUUACAUAGUAAGUCGACUACAUUCAAAGGAUAAAAUAUUAGAACCUGAACGGCGGAGUAGUCGUCGUUAGAACCUGAACGGCGGAGUAAUCGUCGUUAGAAUCUGAAUGAUAUGUCUAAGACGUUGCAUGCAUCAAGAAAAUUGCAGAUGAUUAAACCUUGCCAUCCAUGCGUUGUAUGAGGUUAUAGCAACUAUCUAUCUGGUCACCGUUUUAAAAGAAUAAGACAAAGGGAAAAAGAGAAAGAAAAGAAUGAUUCGACAAUGGCAUUAAAGUUCAACGUACCCCAAGAUCUUGUAAUAAUGCCAUUAAUCAUUCUCUAGCUAGGCUAGCCUUAGAGAAAAGUGAAACUGUUGCACAGGUAGAAUCACACCCCUCAGAGAUAAUGUAUUUAUUCAGCUCUUCGAAUGAAUGAAGUUUAUUUUCUCGUCAAAAAAAAAAACUGCUCGCUCCGCUGGUUUCAUACAAUGUCAACUAGAAACAUCAUACUUUCGUGUAAGUUCAUUUCAGAAUAUUUCUUAGAGUUUGUAUAAAAUGAAAAGAUUUUAAAAUAUAAAUUUAAUAUUUGUUUAUUACCGUUGUUUGGUCUAAUUUCCUCGGGAGAAUUUUCAGAAUUUAUAGGACAUUAGUUUAUAAUUUUGAAAUUUUGUAACCUAAAUGAUUUUUUUUUCGGUUACCAUUUUGUUUUCCUGCUUUAUCUACGUGUAUGUUGACUAAAACUAAUCUAUUUUGUUAAACCUUUACCACUCUAGACAUUGCACUAAAUAUGAGUUCGUGAUGCUUGCAUUUUAUUGAUGCUGAUGAUUCGUUGAAUGUUUUAUGUUUUUGAUUUUUAAGUAUUCCGGAUCGAAGUUUGUGUCUACGCGGAAAUUGUAAAGGCAGCAUAUAAAGUACUCGUCGUUCUUUAGAUUUUAUUGAGUACACUUUUGUCACAUUUAGCGUAUGCUAUACACUACUGAUUUGCGCAUUGACAUAUAUCUUUUUUUUUUAUGAGAGGGGGCUCGUCAAAACGAGCUAAACAGGAACAAACCGGGGGUUAGAAAUCCCAAACAAGUCUUGCGAAAUGAUAGAAUAAACACCCAUAGGAGGGUUAGAGAACACAUGGAGGCCAAGAGGAGCUGAAUGAGCCAUAUUAGCCAUGAAAUCCGCAGCUGAGUUUGCUUCGCGAUAAAUAUGGGUGAUAGCAGUCUGCCAAUUUCUACUUAGUAAUUCCCGGACAGCUGAUAAUAAAGCAGUGAACGCAUUAGGAACAACCACCUGCUUAGAAAUCAUUUGUGUAAUACAAAUACUAUCCACUUCCACCAACAACCGUUUUAUGCCUACAUCCCAAGCAAGAAUUAGGCCCUGAUACAGCCCCCAAAGCUCAGCCAUAAGCACUGACCUGUCCCCAAUUUUCAUACAAAAGCCGGAUACCCAAUGACCAACUGAGUCUCGAAUAACACCUCCCGCUCCUGCUUCCCAAGUAUUUUUACAGGAGCCAUCUGUAUUUAAUUUACACCAUGGCCAAGGCGACGGCAGCCAAUGAAUAUAAAUCUCCUGUCUCCUCGGCUGCUGGCUUAGGCAAGAAUUAUUUACUCUGCAAAUUUCUUUAGCUCUCGCCAUAACAUCCAUAUAGAUUGUUAGACUAUCCACCAGCUUUCCCUCAAAGAAAAAAUGGUUCCUCCAGAACCAUAGCCUCCAAACUACCACACCAAAGAUACAAUCCCAGGGGAGGGGAGACCCAAUCUUCCAUUUAUUUUGCAGGUUCCCAGCAAUCCAUUCUCGUAAGUUCGAAUUGAAGAAAGUGUUAUGACUGGCCAUCGGAACAAGCUUCCGCCAAACCUGCUUGAUACAGCUGCAGUCUCUCAAUGCAUGGAGGAUAUCUUCAACCGCACCCCCACACCUAUCACAAUCCUCAGGAACAUUAAUAUGGCGCCUAACAAGUUCAUCACGAGUCUUGAGUUUCCCAUGCAUAAGCUGCCAAAGAAAAAGGCGGAUGGAUUGAGGCCCCUUCCAACUCCAUGGAAGCUUCCAAUUUCUGUCAUGAACAGCAGCUUGAUGAUAGCAAAGUGAUUCAUAAGCUGACCGAACCGAAAACAUGCCGCUUGGAUCAAAGCCCCAGUAAAUAAUAUCAGCCCCAAGAUGAGGAGCCGGAGGCAAGACUGAAGCAAUCUGCAUGAGAAUACCAUGCGGCAGAAGAUGCUCAAAGCUCGACCAAUUCCAUCCCCCAUGCCCAUUCGUAAAGUCACUCACAGUGGCAUUGAUAAGCUCGUGAGGAAUCGGCAAGAUGGCAAGGCUGAUCAGAGGAUAUUUCGUAGCCCAACAAUCAACCCAGAAUCGAGUUCUAACACCAUCACGAACUGACCAGCGAGCUCCCUGCACUGUUGCCAACCACGUGCUACGAAUAGCCCUCCAAAUCUGAGAACCCGGUUUGUCUGAAAGAGACAUUGGUAGGUUGCGAGACUCCAAACCAUAUUUGGAGCAGAAGACUUGCACCCACAGUUUAUCCGAAUUGGAAACAACCUCCCAGCUCAAUUUCAUCAACAUCGCCUGAUUCAUUUCGUCCAUUUUUUUGAAUCCCAGGCCUCCAUGUUUUUUCGGCUUGCAAAUUUUGUCCCACCCCACCAUACUCAUCUUGUGACUCUUUGAAUUCCCAUCCCAAAUAAAUCUUCGACAAGCUUUGUCUAUUUUAUGUCUCACUGGAGAAGGAAGUAAGGUCGUUUGCAUGGCAUAAACAGGCAUUGCUUGCAGGACUGAUUGAGCCAGAGUGACGCGUCCAGCAAAAGAUAGAUGAGCCGCGUUCCAACCAGUUAACCGCUUAUCCACUUUAUCAAGGAUGGAUUGAUACGUGUAUUUAUUAACCCGCGAAUGGAUUAAGGGCAUUCCAAGAUAAUCACCCAAAUUAUUUGUGGCCGAAACUCCCAAAGUCGAGCCUAUGAUAUUGGCAUCCCGAGAAGCGACAUUUUUUGAGAAGAAAACUUUAGUUUUCAUUUUGUUGACUUUUGCUUCCGAACUCCUACAAUAAUUAUCCAGAACAGCAUCUACGACAUAAGCUUGAUCAAUUGAAGCUUCCGCAAAUAAAAGCAAAUCAUCUGCAAAAAAGAGAUGCGUUAAAGGAGUUCCAUAUUUGGCCAACCGGAUAAGCCUCCAUCUCCUCUCCAUCACCGCUUGGGUUAUACCAUGGCUUAACCGUUCAAUGCACAGAACAAAAAGAUAAGGCGAGAGGGGAUCGCCCUGACGGAUACCCCUUCCCGGAGUGAAAGCUUAUGUCGCCUCGCCAUUCCACAAAAUACGCAUACUAGCUGAAGUUACGCAUUCCAUGAUUAGUCUAGAUAAGUGAAUUGGAAUACCAGUCUGGUUAAGCGUAUCAAAAAUGAAAUCCCAACUGAGCCGGUCAUAAGCCUUCUCAAGGUCGACCUUAAUGGCCAUAAAUCCUUUCCUGCCAGUUUUUCUGCGCAUAGAGUGAACUACUUCCUGAGCCACUACAAUAUUAUCUACUAUAUGCCUCCCAGGAACAAAGCUCGUCUGAUUGGGGCUUAUUAGAUUGGGCAGCAGUGUUUGCAAUCGAGUGGCUAUAAUUUUAGUCACCGUCUUGUAGGCCACUGUGUAUAGGCUUAUGGGCCUAAACAUCUUUAAGCUAGUGGGGUGCUCCUCUUUAGGAAUCAAAACCAAGAGGGUAGUAUUUAUCUCUUGCGGCACCUUCCCCGUUGUAAAAAUAUCAUGAAUAAACCUGCAAAACGACGGACCAACCACAUGCCAUUGGGAUUGAUAAAAUAUAGCGUGCAAACCAUCCGUACCUGGGGCUUUCAGCGGCUUCAUGCUAAACACAACGUUCCGAAUUUCCUCCCUCAAAAUUGGGGCUGCAGCCCCAUCUACGUCAUGAGAAUCCAAGGCUGGGAAAAAGUUUGGAGCAUGGUAAUUCCGAUAAGUUGCAUUAUCACUUGUAAAUAGGUCAGAAAAAUACCCCACUACAUGCCUCCUUAUAUCCUCCUCAUCAUAUAGCCAAUUCCCCGAACAGUCUCGGAUGGCCUCAAUUCUAUUCCGCCGCCUUCGAGCAAUGGUUUUUUGGUGGAAAAAAUUCGUAUUUCUGUCCCCAUGCAGAAGCCAAUCCUUUCGAGAUUUCUGAAGCCAAAGAAUUUCCUCCGAUUCAUCACCAUUUCGAGCUCAUUUUGCAUGCGGGCUUAUAAGCGCAACAAACUGUUAGAGCUAUAAUUCUCUAGAGUAGCUUGAAUUCCAUUAAUCCGAGCCAUAAGCCGGCGUUUUCUCUGAAAGAUAUUCCCAAACACAUCUCGAUUCCAAGCUUGAACCUCCUGGACAAAAUGAGAGGCUGCUGCACUAUAAUGGAUUUGCGGAUUCCACACCCGCUUAAUAAAGUUAUGAAAAUGCUCGUGAGUUAACCAAGCAGCCAAAAAGCGGAAAGGCCUGUUCCUCCUGUGACCGGCCACAGCUCUCUCAAACCGAACCAGCACCGGCCUGUGAUCCGAGGCAACCUUCGGGAGGUGGAGGACAGAAUUAUUCGGAUACUUAUGUAGCCAAUCACUAUUGCACAGAGCUCUAUCAAGCCGUUUAAAGAGCAAUCCACGUGACCAAGUAAACCUUGGACCUUUAAACUUUAAAUCAAAAAUUUGGUGCCCAUCAAACCAUUUCCGAAACAGAUUACACACUCCUGGGUUCCUGGCCUCACCCCCCUGCUUUUCAGAGGCAUAUAAGAUAGAAUUGAAAUCCCCACCUAUCAGCCAAGGGCCUCGAAUUGAAGGCGCAAGGUUCUCCAUAUGGCUCCACAACUGUCUCCUUAGCAUUGGAUUUGGGCUGGCAUACACAGCCGUUACCCAAGACACAAAGGUCUUAUUCAUACAAAAUUUAAAGUGAAUGAACUGCCUAUGAUUAAUUAAGACUUCCACCUCUAUGGAAUUUCGCCAAAGAAGCCAAAUUCCUCCAGAAAAACCCACAGCUUCCACCCGGUGCGAAUACUCAAAUCCACUUUUCUUUAUAAAGUCAUCGGCUUUAGCACCACUAGUGCGAGGUUCCAUUAACACCACCAUCGAUGGAUUGUAGUUUUUAAUAAUUGUUUUAAACGAGCGCCUAAAUACCCCCGAGGCUGCCCCUUGUACAUUCCAGAACAUGAUACUAGCUGACAUAAUAAAAAUAACAGGAGAGAAACAAACGUCUACUGCUGCUGUCCAAGGACUUCCUCCAUCCACGCCAAUGGCGUUUCUUGAACCAUCUCAACUUCAUUCUCAACCAUCCCAUCGCCAUCAACACCAUUUAUAGGUACAACUGGAUGGUUAUGAGCACUGUCACCUUCAUUCACCCGAUGGAUGGUUUGAUCAUCUGGAGGGUCUGCUACUUGUUGUGGAUCCGGACCUUGCCUCUCUAUGUGUUCCGCGGUCACGUCCCUUUCAUCACCAUUAGGAAGGGUUUGGGAGGAGCAAACAAACACUGUGUGUUUAGAGGGGUCCAGGGUGGUUGCGAAUGGUGCCACGAGUUGAUUGCUAGAAGCUUUCUGAGGGAAAAUAUGGGGUUCAAAGCUUCGGUUUGCAUGAGGUAGGAUGGAUAUUUCCUUCUCUCUGGUGCUGAAGACACUAGGCUGGAGAGGGUUACAGGUAGGAGUUACUGGGACGUUUGGUUUCCUGCUCUGAUUCCUUGCUGCCACGGCCUUAUUUUGCGGCUUACGACGAGCCAUAGUCUUUGCUGAGGUAUCUGCUCUGGCUGUGAAAGUAUGGUUUGAUGCGGGCAUGAAAGGUUGCCGUGAGGUGGAAGGGAAGUCUGGGCAAGCCUCAUGCACAUGGUUUCCACCUUCAUCCGAGACUUUGGAUAAUAUGUGAAACCGUGAGGUACCAGCUCCAGUAAACUCCCUAUUACGGUUUGAGUCUCCAGUGUUCUCCUUACCAAUAUUCGGCUUCCUUCCUCUCCUAGUGGCAAUCAUCCAGGGUCCGAAUAGUUCCACAUUAUUAUCACCAUUACUACCUACAGCCUGCUGGCCAGGAGCCUCAUUUUCCGGCACUGCCUGUUGGGGUUGACCAGCAUCUUCAGGGCUUGUCGAACUCUUAGCAUCCUUACAGUUGCUGCUACUAUGCCCGUAAGAUUCCACACUUAUAACAAAUUACUGGCAAUCCCUCGUAUUCCACCUUCUGGAUCUUCCCAUCCAAUUCAAACUGAGAUACCAGCGGCCUUGUUAACGAGAUACUUACUGCAAGACGUGCAAAUCUUCCACGAGAUGAGGAGGCUGUAUUCGAAUCGAUUUUAAUCACGUUACCCACUAACUGACCCAGCUUCUGUAGAACUUUUCGAUUAUAAAGAUGAACCGCAAGGCCUGGUAAACAGAUCCAUACCGUGACUUGAUCAAGAUCCGCAUUUGUGAAAUCAAAAGAGGGUGUCCAUGGCUGCACAGUUAAAUAUUGACCCAUUAUAAGCCACGGUCCCUUAGUUAAAACAUCCAUAGCAUCCCCUACCGAUCUGAAACGAACCAGAUAAUAAUUGUUUUCCAAGUCAAUCACGGAAAAACCCAUGGCUGAUUUCCACAUGACAUUUAAUCUUGCACACAUAGCUCUAUAGCCAAUUGUGCGGCCAAGCAACUUCACAACCACCGAGUUCUUCCAAGGCUCACUUAACUUAGCAUGAACCCUAGCCGAAAAAGUGAUGGAUGGCAUGGGUCCCUCGUUAGUUUCAAUAAUGUCUCCUUCCUCAAAAUCCCAGUCCUCUAGUCCACCUCCAAUUCCUUGCUCCAUCGCUUGUGUUGCAUUCACUAGGGUUUCUUUGUACGAAAACUGUACAGUGGUAUCCCCAGCAUGUUCUUCAUCACGAAAUCUUGCUUUUUUAAUCGUUCUAGCCUCCCUAAACGGCGGGGGAAAAAUCCCUCCGGAGUUAGGGUUUCCUUCACGUCCGAGGUUUUCGGAGCCUUCCAUAUGGUGUUGAUCUUUUUAAGUCACUCGUUUCAAUAUUUCAUUUAUUUCCUUUUCAAGCUAACAAUUAAUGUAUAUGAAUGUGCGGAUGCAUUGACAUAUAUCUUAUUUUAUCAUUUUGAAUGAAUUGCACGGCGAGGCUUAUCAACUUUGGAUGAAUCCUCCAAUUGUCGCAGUCCAAGACUGGCUGCAGUGAGUGAAAAUUUACCCAUAUAUAUGCUGGCUAUUUUUAUUGGCGACGAAUUCGUUGUAGUUGGUCCAUCUUGCUAUUCUCGGACAAUAUUAGAGAAAAUAAUCAUAUUAUUUCGCGUGAUGUGACCUUCCAUAACGUAUCAAUUGAAUUACUGUAAAAUUAUUGUGUAAGUUUAGGCCCAAUGGCACUUUAGUUCAUCACAUGAUAGCCUGGAUUUAAAAGGAAAACUAUAUUGCAUUGCUUCAAAAAAAAAAUUUAAUGUUUUUAAUAUGAAUAUUUUUAACUAUAUUCAGUUAAAAUAAUAUAUUCUUAAUAUUAAUAUUCAUAGAUGAAAUUCUUUUGCGGAUUUAAGAAUAAAAUAUCAAAUAGUUUUAUUUUUCUUUUGUUGUGUAACUUGGACCGAAAAAGAAAAUGAGCUUAACAUGACCCUCCUUCCGGCACUAUGCAUGUUUUUCUUUUAUUUUUCUUGUAUUGAUGACAGUGCUCUUGGUGCUUCUCAUCUGCUUCUUGCUUUGGUUUCAAACAAGUCUUUCUCCGUCGAGACAUUUAUUGUAAUUUGAUUUGGAGACAUCUGUCGUUCAAAUAUAUUUCAUAUGCAAGCUGUUGAUAAUUCUGCUUGAGAAAGCCUUCAAAGCAGCUGUGUGAUGUAAUAGAAGACUAUAUAUGCAAGCGGGUACCGAGCUCGAAUUCUUUCUUGAGUUUCUUUGAAUUAUUUGUGAAUGAGUUCUUAAUCGGCUGCUGCUCUUCAGGAAAAGGAAAGUGUUGCAAACUGGUGAAGCUGAUCGAUAAAAGCAAUGUACCAUCUUUGCUGCCAUGGAUCGAUGCCAGUGAGUUUUUUAAUUUGUCAACCUUUUUAAUAAUGCAUAUGUGUUUCUUCAACUUGAAGCGGCAUUUAAGACGAAAGAAGUGAUCUUUAAAGCAUUCUAUAGCAUUAUCCUUUCCUAUUAUAUAUAUCCAAUUGCUCCAAAUUAUUUGUAAAUUACUGAACACGAAUGCUGAUGAAUAAACUGAUGGCUCUAUGUAUGUAUGCACAUGCAUGGAGAAAUUUUAAGUCAGACAUUCCCAUAUAUAACUCGUGCUACCAAAUCAUUAAAUAAUCUUGAAAUCAAAGUAAUAAUUAAAUACAAAUAAAUUGCUCGAAUUGUACAUAUAUCUGAAUCAUGUAGUGAAGAAAAUACAACAACAACAACCAAUGGCUCAAAUUCCCCAUCAACUUCUAAUCUCAACACUUUUGAGUGUCAGAAGCAUUACUCUGCUACCAGUUAACAAACAUAUAAUUAGUAAUUUGCCAUUCACUUCCCUUUUAGGCCUAACACAUUUUCUAUAAAGGAGCCACAGAGUGAACUCAGCAGGAAACACUCAAUUUCAACCUACGUAGGACCAGGAAUUUCAACCAAAAAAAAAGUGUGCAAUUGCUUAUCCUAUCCUAUUGCUACUAGAAAGAAAGUGAACAAUUAAUUUCAGUGAAUAAAUUAAAAAAAAUUACUUCUGCAGAUACUCAAGCUAAGAACACAUUAACCCAUUAAAGACUCCAAAUUGCAUCAAACAAAUUGUUGUUAAACAAGUAAAACAAAGAAAGAGAGUUAAGGAAGCUGACCUAGUAGUAGGGGAGCUGAAGAAAGACUGCCAGUGAAUGUAAGAGAAAAUAAAAUGCAAUAAAUGGUGAAGUGCAGCUUUUCAUGUCAACUUGAAAUUGUUUCUUCUGUUUUUUUUUUUUUUAAUCUUUUGGAUUUUUAAAACAAAGAAAAUGAGGAGCAACCAGGGAGAUAAAAAGGGCGCCAAGGCAACUGUGUGUUGGGUUUAGAGCCCAAAAAAAAAGGAGGAUAAGACAUCGUGUUCUUGUGGAGACCAGACCUAUUACGUAACGUCCCCUUCAAUACCACUUGUUCCGUAUCUGGUUUUUUCUUCGUCUUUUACAUAUUUAUCCUGUGAUUUUACAAUAACUAAAUAAUCCCCGCAUAGUUUGCAAUUUUAUUCAUUUGAGCCCUACAGAUUUCAGUAAUAGGUAGAGUUGGCAAAACGGGUCAUCGGGUCGUGUUCGUGUCAUGUCAAAUUUAAGUCGACCCAAACCCGACCCAUUUAAUAAUCGUGUCAAAAUAUUGAGACCUAAAUCCGACACGGAAAAAUAAUCGGGUUACCCAAUAACUCGUUUAAUAUCAAUAUAUUGAACAAAAGUUACAUCAAAUAUUUACACACUAUCAUACAUACAUACAUAAUUUAUCGAUAUUAUAAAAUAUAUAUAUCUACUAAUAUAUUACACAUUUACACUAUUGAGGUUUUAAUUAUAUAUAUAUAUAUAUAUAUACCUACGAUGAUUGUUUAAGCCGCGGUAAACGCUUCUAGAACGCCCUCUGGCAGGAAGGAAGGUACUCAAAGAAAGUGGAGAUGAGGGAAACUCCGCUGGAGUGAGGGGAUUUAUCGGAAUCUCGUUCAGAGUGAGGAGUCAAUGAGGGUUUGCUUGUACUUGUGGUUCUAUUGAUAGGUGUUUGCAAUGGGCUUUCGUCUCAGGUAGUUCAGUCUCCGGGGUUACGCUUAGUUUCAUAUAAAAUAAAUGAAGAAGACAGCUGGACUUCAGAGUGGGAUCCUCCUAUGUUGUCGGCUGUUUGUUUGUCCGCAGCUAUUACAGCUUGUGCUCGAAUAUAUAUGUAUCCAUAUAUUUCCAGAUAUUAUAUAUCAAUAUAUAUAUAUAUUAUUUAUCAAUAUUAUAAAAUCUACAUAUCUAUCAAUUUUUUCACAUUUACACUAUUGAAGCUCUAAAUGUAUUUAAAAUUUUAUAAAUAAAAUAUUAUGUUUAUAUUCACCCUUUUAAAGAAUAAAAAAGAAAAUCAUUACUAAUAUUUGAGUUUUAAUGAUAAGAAUAUGUAAAUUAUUUUAAAAUAGAAAAUAUAAUCGGGUCAUUGAUCGGGUAAAUGGGUCAAGAAUUUUAACUCUAACCCGACACGGAAAAAAAUCGUGUUGACCCGGACCCGACCCAUUUAAUAAUCGUGUUAAAUUUGACGACCCAUAUUCAUUUAUUUAUGUCGUGUUCGUGUCGAGUAAUCGGGUCGUGUCAAAUUUUGCCAGCUCUAGUAAUAGGAAUUAUUAAGGGACAAGAGCGCAAAACAAAAACUCUGUCCACUACUGAUGAUAUAACAACGAACCUUUGUUUUUUUCUUCUUUUUUUUUUACAAAAUAUCAUUAGAGAAAUGAAAAUAUUAACUAACAUCACCCUACUGAUGAUAUAACAACGAACCUUUGUAGUUUCUGCCUGUUAAUAUGAAUUGAUCAGGAGUGUUUCCUCACUUAAAAAUUACGAAUUUACAAAUAUGUAUGUAAGUAUGUAUGUAUGUACGUACGUACGUGAGUAUGUAUGUACAUAUAUGCAUACACCUAUGUAACAUUUACUUAUCCAUCCUUUUGAGUUUAAAACUUAAUACACAUUUUCAUGAAAUUUUUAUUUUAUUAAGUAUACAACUACAGUAAUGUAUAUAUUUUUUAUAUAAGACAUGCCGUCAUAUUAUUCAUAAGUAAAACAAUGUGUUGUAAAUAGUUUAAUUAUUAAAUAUCAUACAAUAUCUUUCAACAACCGGCAAUAGACCUUUACCCAUUUUUCUUUUUCGACCAUUAGAUUCAUUCAGUUUACAUCCAACGGCAGUUUAGGAUGGAGACAAAAAGUGUGGUACGUUACCACAGUGGUAACAUUGGAUUGGGAUUGUAUGUCGUGUUUAAUUUGAAUUGGUUGAUUCCUCUAAUGAAUUAUUUUGAUAAAUUUAGUAGCAGUAUUUGGCGGCAAAAGUAUCAUUAAUUUUUGGAAAUAUGAUUAUGUUAUUAAUUAUUUUAGCAUUCUAAAAAGUCAAUGGUUAUGUUGGAAAUACUCUAAGGUAGAAUAGAGUACAAAUCACAGUCACACAUACAAAAUGAUAAAUAAUAAAAAAUAUAUUAUAUUUUUGAUCAUAUGAUUAUGAAGACGUAUUUUACCUUAAAGAAGUUCUAAUAAGCGAAUUCUUCUAAAACAAUAUAAAAUUUCUUUUUUAUCAUACUCAACCGCUUCAAACUUCUAAGAAGUAGAUAUACAAUGAGUGGAAUACUGAAUUGAGUGCGAGCUGCGGAUAAUAUAUAAAAUUGGGAUACAAGCUUCAAGGAAAGUGUAUUGCUAUUCAAAUGUAGAUUUCAAAUUAAGAAGAUAUGCCAGCAAAUUGUAUAAAAAUGUAUAAAUUGAUCAGUAACAUUAAUUCCAAAUGAUGAAAUGAGUUAUCUUGAUCAAAAGGUCAAGAACCUACCUUACUUCUCUUAGAGAUAACUUGCAUCAACCGUUGUGGUAUUGAUACUUGUCUUCAGCUAGUAAAAGACUAAAAGUGAAAGUUUCACAAUUGAAAUAAAGCUAAGGGAAGAUGCUAUGCUCCAUUUAUUAUUAUUAUUAUUGAUGUGGUCGAGAAGUAAAGCCAUGCAUAUGAUGAAGUAUAAAUAAGAAUGCAAUAGCCCGGAAUUCAUUUACACAAACACUUCAAUAUCCUUUUGAUCACUUUUGCAAACAUCAGUUUGUCUCUUGUAUUCACCAUGGUUGAUGCCAUCGUUUCCUCUCUUGUGGAGCAGCUGACUUCCUUCGCUGCUAAAGAGAUAAUACAACAGGUGAUCGAAGUUACACCCCCCAUAUUAUAAAUACUUCUAAUGAUUUUAAUUGGUUUUGUUUUUAUCGGAAACAUUAACUUUGCUUUAUUUUAUUUAUUUAGGCAUUUUAAAUUUUAAAAUUUGAAUUGAAUUCAAUUAAAAUGUGAUGUAGCUAGUAACCACUUUUUUUAUUUCAUUUAUAUUCUCAAUAACUACCCAUAUUUUGGUAACUUACUGUAACCCCCGUAUCUAAGAAAUGAUUAAAACCCACAAUUUUAACUCCACAUAAAUAUUCCAUGUUGAGCUAAGUUUUUGCAUAACAUUCAAGUUUGUUAAAUAGUCAUUAAUUUAAUGUUUAGUAAAAACUUAUCUCUGAAAAUUUUCAUAAUUUUCUUACAUUCUUUGAGUUUGGUGAGUGACUUCAUAUAAUUUCUUUUCAAUUUAAAUUUUAAUUUGGUUUCUGAUAUAGUCUCUUUACUGAAUUUAUAUCUUUUAUGAUUCUUGGAUUUUGGGCUCCAACUUUUUAGGAUUUGAUAGUCACAUUUUAUGGCAUGCUUAGAUUGAUUUUCAUGAUUUGAGUACUCGUUAAGUGACUGAGAAUUUGACAAAAGUUUGAAAGGAAAUCCGUUUCACGAUUCUUAUGUGGAAGGUUCGUAAAAUCAUGAAAUUUGGAUAGGAUUCGCUAGCAAUAUGUACAAGACUCUUCAUGAAGUUUCAUAAUUUUUCGUUCGGUCUGGGGUGGUACAGGUGAAACUUGUGGUUGGUGUUAAAGAAGAAGUGAAAAGCCUUAUCAGCCACCUUCAAGCCAUUCAAGCUGUGCUCGAUGAUGCAGAGGAAAAGCAAGUGAAGGACAAAGCUGUUAGACAUUGGCUGGGCAGGCUCAAGUAUGCAUCCUACGACAUUGAAGAUGUGUUGGAUGAGUGGAUCACAGCUAGACACAAAUUGCAAAUUGAGGGUGGCGUUGAUGACAAUGCUCUUGCUGCUCCUCAAAAGAAAAAGAAGGUAUGUUUCUGCUUUCCUGCCUCUUGUUUUGGAUUCAAACAAGAAGAAUUUGGUUUCAGACAAGUCUUUCUACGUUAUGACAUUGCCAACAAGAUCAAAGAAAUGAAUAAAGAGCUACAUGAUAUUGCCACUCAAAAAGACAUGUUUAAUCUUGUUAAGAGUGGCAAUAAAAGUGGUGAAAGACCAAGGCGUGUACAGAGUACCUCCUUGAUUGAUGAGGAAGAGAUUUGUGGUAGAGUUGGUGAGAAGAAUGAACUCAUAAGCAAGCUGUUGCGUGAGAGUAGCGAGCAACAAAAAGGCCUCCAUAUGAUCUCAAUUGUUGGUAUGGGAGGCAUAGGGAAAACUACUCUUGCACAACUAGCUUGUAAUGAUGACGUGGUGAAGAGAAAGUUCGACAAAAUUCUGUGGGUGUGUGUAUCAGAAACUUUUGAGGAGUUUAGGGUUGCCAAAGCAAUCGUUGAAGCUUUGGAUGGUCGUGAAUCUCAUUUAGGUGAAUUCCAAUCUCUUCUUAAACAUAUUGAUGAAUCCAUUGCAGGGAAGAGCUUUCUUCUUGUCUUAGAUGACGUGUGGGAUGGAAAUUACUUGAAAUGGGAACCAUUCUAUCGUUGUCUAAAGAAUGGUCUCCAUGGAAGUAAAAUUUUAGUUACCACACGUAGUGGGUCCGUUGCAUCCACGAUGGGAUCCAUAGAUAUUAUUCCCAUUGAGAAAUUAGCUGAAGAGGAAUGUUGGUUGUUGUUUAACAAGAUAGCAUUUUUUGGUAGGCCUAUCGAGGAACGUGAAAAAUUCGAACGAAUUGGGCGAAGAAUUGCUGGCAAGUGCAAAGGUUUACCUCUUGCAACAAAGACAAUAGGUAGUCUCAUGCGUUCUAAACAAACUGAAGAAGAGUGGAAAAGAAUUUUAAAUAGUGAUUUAUGGAAAGUAGAAGAGAUUGAGAAAGAUGUUUUGUCCUCUUUAUUGUUGAGUUACAAUGAUUUGCCAUCUAGAGUAAAAAGAUGUUUUUCAUAUUGUGCUCUCUUUCCAAAAGACUACGAUAUAGAAAAAGACAAACUAAUCACAUUGUGGAUGGCUCAAGGUUAUCUUAGUGCAGAAGAAGAUGAGGAGAUGGAGACUAUAGGUGAAGAGUAUUUUAGCAUCUUAGCUUCUCGCUCUUUCUUUCAAGAGUUUAAGAAAAGUUAUGAUAAUCGGAUUAUAGAGUGUAAGAUGCAUGAUAUGGUACAUGAUUUUGCCCGAUUUGUAAGUCAAAAUGAAUGUUUUUCGAUGGCAAUUAAUGGUAGUGAAGAACCAAACGCCACAAACUCUGUUGAUGAGAAGGUCCGUCAUUUAAUGUUAAUCUUUAGUAUAGAGGCUUCAUUACCUGUUUCCACUCCUAGAGUUAAAAGAAUGCGUACCCUCUUAAUUAACGAUAGUAGAUCUGAUCAAUCAUUAUUAAAUGGUGAGAUCCUAGAAGAAUUGUUUAGGGAAUUGACAAGUUUAAGGGCAUUAGAUUUUGACAAAUUGUACCACUCAAUUUGGUCUUCGACUCUGGAGAUUCCGAGAAACAUAGAAAAGCUGGUACAUUUAAGAUACCUUAAUUUGUCUUCUCAGAAAAUAGUGGAGCUACCGGAGACAUUGUGCGAGUUAUAUAAUCUAGAAAAGUUAGAUAUUAGUUUUUGUUUUGAUCUUAGAGAAUUACCUGAAGGGAUUGGGAAGUUAAUAAACAUGAAGCAUUUACUAAAUUAUGAUACUGAUUCUUUAAGGUACAUGCCAGUAGGGAUUGGGAGAUUAACGGGUCUUAGGACCUUGGAUGAGUUCCACGUGAGUGCAGGAGGAGCUGUUGAUGGUAGGAAAGCAUGUAGGCUUGAAUCUCUUAAAAACUUGGAACACCUUCAAGUAUGUGGUAUACGUAGACUGGGUGAUGUAUCAGAUGUGGGCGAGGCUAAGCGAUUAGAACUUGACAAAAAGAAAUACCUCUUCAGUUUGACCCUUGAGUUUGAUAAGAAGGAGGAAGAAGAAGGAGAAAGAAGGAAGAACGAGGACGAUCAACUUCUUCUUGAAGCCCUGCGACCACCUCUGGAUUUAAAGGAAUUAGAGAUACGGUUCUACCGAGGCAACACUGUUUUCCCCAGCUGGAUGACGUCAUUAACCAACUUAAAGAGUUUAAAACUCUCUUUCUGCGAAAAUUGCGAGCAGCUGCCUCCUUUGGGAAAAUUGCCGUCCCUUGAACAGCUCUUCAUAUCGUACAUGUCGAGUGUGAAAAGAGUGGGUGAUGAAUUUUUGGGGAUAGAAAGUGAUCAUCAUGGCUCAUCUUCAUCUUCAUCGGUUAUUAUUGCCUUCCCCAAAUUGAAAUCACUUUCAAUUGAGUUUCUGUGCGAAUUGGAGGAGUGGGAUUAUGGGAUUACAAGAACGGGAAACACCGUCAUCAACAUCAUGCCACGUCUUUCUUCCUUGACAAUUGCUCUUUGCCCCAAAUUAAAGGCACUGCCCGACCACAUUCAUCAAACGACAACAUUGAAGGAAUUGCACAUUUGGGAUUGCAGGCUUCUGGAAGAACGUUAUUGCAAGGGGGAAGGAGAAGACUGGCCUAAGAUAUCACACAUUCCCAACCUCCAUAUUGGGCAUUGACAAGUAAUUUCUUCUCUUACUCUGAUUUGCUUUGUUGUUGUUUUUAAUCUAAUUAAGAAGCGUAAAUAGCAUUUUGAAUCAAACUCUAUAUCAGAAAUCUGCAAUACUUACUUUCUAAUAUUCUGAUUUUCAUAUCCUAUGAAUAUACGAUUUUUAAUUUGUGAGAUGGGUAACGUUACUGUAAAAGAUUAUUAAUGCAAUAUGAGUAAUUCUUUUGCAGGACAAGUGACCUACAUUUAGUUUGGCUUUGGAGUUGAAUAAUAACCUUUCGGGAACUGGUGUGGACUGGCAAAGGAUGAUGAGAUAGUUUUUUGAGUGAGUAAAUUUUGGGAGCUUGAGUGUAUUGGGAUUUGCAAUUACAAUCAUCGUCUGCCUCAGGUGAUUUCUUCUCCUGCUCUGUCAUUGUUUGUUCUCUAAUUCAAAAGCAUAAAAUAUUUCAAUCAAUUUUUAUGCCAGGAAUAUGCAAAAGUUUCUAAUAUUUUAUUUCCAUCUGUCACAAGAUCAAACUGAAGCAGAACUCAAACAAAAGUAUGCUACUUCUUGCGGAAAUCUUGCCUUCGUUCAAAUUAUGAAACCAUUUCCAUGCAGCAAAUUCAUCCAAAAGUUUGAAUAAGUUUCAUGGUUGGACACUGUUGGCUUCUUUUUCUUCUGGGGUGCAUUUAGGUGCUAUCAAGUGACAGCUGUAAGUAUGAUUGCACUAAGCUGCUGCUGGGAAAUUUGAGGUUUUGAUGGCUGCCCAUGUUAUUUUCAAGAAACUAUUGAUGUAAGAAGCCGUGGUUCUUUUCAUCAGCUUGAACCUGAAACUGUCGCUAUGGAUAACUCAGGUUUUUGUUAUCAACUAUAUCAUCUUUUUCACUAUUUUGAAACUCUUAAGAUUAAACGUUAGUAAAGUUGUUUCAGCUAUUCAAAUGAAAAACUCAUUGAUUUGAGACUUCCUUCAUUAUUGUUUCUAAUUACAAUGCUAACGAUCCAGAUAAAAUAAUAUUUAAUCGGCGAAGGUGUCCCUUGGAAGUACAUCCUUCUUUUUCUUUUAUUAUAUAAAUUCUUGCAAUGAGCUUAGUCAAGAUGUUGUGCUAAUCAUGCCACUGCAUAUAAAUUCUCCAGAAGUUAAAAUCAAUAAAUUUUCUAUUAGCUCUAGUGCUUUGACCUAAAUGCUAUUCUAUAUUCUGAUUACAAUGUUUUAACCUUUAAAUUAACUACCCCUAGGUGUUGGAUUUUCUAGAACUUCAAAAUGAUUAAUGGAGAAAGAUCCCAUUAUCGUUAUUGCUAUAAGAAAUUGAUUUAUGCAUCCAAAGAUACAUUAUAUAUUUCUGUGUCUCUAUUUAUAGAUGACAUUUAAGCAUCCAUAAACCGUCAGACAGAGGAAGGGGGUUCAGUGCAAAGAUUCUGUUGACCUAGGGUUGACUGCAUAAUGUCACUUGUUCGCAAUCUAUUAUUUAUUUUAUAUUUUGAAGAAUUUAAUGGGUAAUCCUAAUUGUUUGUUUUGGCAGGUAUGUGUUGUUUUCUCCUUCUAUCUAACAGUCGUACCUAAAUAGCAUAGUUUCAUCUGUGUUACCAUGUGAUGUACAUAAUUUCACAUUUGCCUCAGAUUAAGCUUAAUUUCCCACAGAAUAGAGCUGUCGCGACUGGACUUAGGUUGAUGUCCAAAGAGGUAAAUUAUUGGCAUGCCUAGAUAAUUUGGCCAUUUCCUAAUUCAUAAGUCUACAUUAAUUUUGAUUUUGAGUUGACUGAUUUCUUUUCAAGGUCUGCUUCCUUAACGGAGUGACCAAUGUUUUUCAACUAAAUUUAUCAUAUGAUGCAGGAAGCAGGGCAGGAUAUGAAAUGAGAAGCUCAUUGGUGGAAGUAUUGCCAGUAACAGAACCCAAAGAAAAUGAAACUAUUUCAAGGCAGCAGUUGGCAGUUGCAAGUGAAUGGAGGCCCUGACAAAAUUCUCAAGCGGUUGCAAUGCAAUUACGAUCAUCCUCAGCCUCAGGUAAUUUCUUCUCCUGCUCUGUUUUUAUUUGUUAUCUAAUUAAAAAGCAUAAAGUAUCUUGAAUCACUUUCUCUAUCUGGAAUAUAUGCAGCAGUUUCUAAAAUCUUCAUAUGAGUGUAAUGAUGGUAAUUUCUGUUUUUUGUCUGUCAUUGAAUGUUAGACAACUUUCAGUGAGACUCUUGAACCGAGACAUUUUUGACAACUGAAGGACAAUUGCUGAAGAGUCGGAAUGGUGCUAGAUUGGGGAAUAAAGACAAAGGAGGUAAAUUAUUUGCAGUUUAUUCAGCAUUAUUUGCUUUGGACCAGCGCCUGAUUCACAAGUCUCCAUAAUUUGGCUUUUGACCAGUUAAUAAAUUUUUAAUUCCAUUGGUGCUAAAUGUACACGUGAAGCAGGCAGAGCAGGACUGUGGAAAUGAGAAGGUUUUUAGUGAAAGCUUAAACUCAGGUAAUUCUAAAAAGUACAUGUUUUUGCUGAUUUAUCUAAAUCAGGAAAUUUUAUUUCCAUCUGUUACAAGAUAAAACAGAAACAGAACACAAAGAAAAAUAUUCUACUUCUUGUGGCAAUCUUGCCUUCAUUCAGACAAUGAAACCAUUUCCUUUCACCAAUUUCUUCCAAAAGUUUGAAUAAGUUUCAUGGGUGGACCUAGUUAGCUUCUUUUUCUUUUGGUGCAUUUAGGUCCUAUCAAGUGACAGCCAUAAGUAUGAUUGCAUUAUUGGGAAAUUUUAGGUUUGGAUGGCUCCCCAUGUUAUUGCCAAGAAAGUCCUCAUGUCAGAAGCUGCGGUUCUUUUCAUCAGCCUGAACCCGAACCUGUCGUUAUGGAUAACUCAGGUUUUUGUCAUCAACUAUAUCAUCUUUUUUACUGUUUUGAAACUCUUAAGAUUAAACUUCAGUAAAGUUGUUUCAGUUAUCCAUGUAAUCAGGCUAAGGAUAUUUAGCAGCUUAUUUAGGCAACUGCCAGAAUUCAGUUUGUUAGCUCGAAACUUGUAUGGUGACAAGGAUACUGGCAAGGAUAGUGAGAUAGUUUUUUGUGUGAGUGAAAUUUGAAAGCUUGGGUGUUCUGGGAUUUGCAAUUGCAAUCAUCCUCUGAGUCAGGUGAUUUCUUCACCUGCUCUGUCUUGAUUUUCUCUCUAAUUGAAAGCAUAAAGUAUUUCAAUCAAAUUCUGUACCAGGAAUACGUAAAAGUUACUAAUAUUUUAUUUCCAUCUGUUUGCAUUGAUAACUCGGCGGCAUAUGUUCUAGUUAAAGAACAAACAGAAACAGAGUUCAGGAAAAAGUUUCUUCGGCCACCAUAUUUGAAAAUGAAACCAUUUCCAGGAAGCAGUUGGCAGCAAAUUCAUAUGGAGUGUAGACAAUGAUGAGCAAAAAGGUGAUUCGCAAUUUCUUUUUUUUUUUAAGUGAAAUUAUUUGUUAGAUUGAAGCUGAUAUUGUAAGAAGGCCAUUGAGCUAACCUAUGUCGCCACUUGCCUAGAUUGCAGGGGGUCAAGACUCAAAAGAAGCACUGAAAUUUAAAAAGCAUGCAAUAGUUCUUUUGCCAUGUGUCAAUUAAUGCAAGUUUGAAUAAGUUUAUUGGCUGAACGAUGUUAGCUUCUUUUCCUUUCGUGCACUUUGGUAUGCUAUCAAGUGACAGCCGUAUGUAUGGCUUGCAUAUAGCUGCUGCUGGGAAAAUUGACGAUUUCAUGGCUGGCCGUGUUAUUGUCUUAAAUUAGUUGUGAUAAGCUGUUGCUUGGAGAUUCUGUUGCCAAGAAUUUGCUCACAUCAGAAGCUGUGGAAUCUGAACCCUUCGAUUCUGUUGCCAAGAAUUUGCUCACAUCAGAAGCUGUGGAAUCUGAACCCUUCGUUAUGUAUCAUCUUUUUCAUUGUUUUAAAACAGUAAACUCUCAGGACACUGAGCAGGCAAAUGUUAUAACUCGGUUUGUUAGCCAAAAACUUGUUGAAGAUUCUUGACAAAGCUGCGUCGAGUGAAUUGUCGGAGCUCUGAGGGUGAGAGAAAUUAGAGGGUGUAUAGGGAUUUGGAUUUGUUAGGAAGUUAUCAUUUUUAUUUGUCCGAUUCAAAACUUGAUAUUCCAAUUAUAUUCAUAAGCUUCUACAGUUAUCUUCAAAAAGACAUUCCAAUUAUAUUCAUAAGCUUCUACAGUUAUCUUCAAAAAGACAAAUGGAAGGCUUUGAACGGCUUGGGUCUGAGUAUUGUAGUUUGAUUUAUUUUGAUGAAAGAACCUUUUGACAUUAAGAUUCUUUCAUGAGUUAAACAUUCUUUUUAAAACCAACUUAUUAAAAAAAAAGUAACGAACAUAUAUUAUUUUGUUAGUGCUUUUUAAAUCAAAUAUAAAAAAGAGAACUGUAAUUCUUAGCAACCAAUUUUUCAUUGAGUACACCUACAACAAAUUAUUAAAAAAUAAAGCGAUAGAAAAUGCCUGAUUUUUCGUACUUUCUAAUUACUUUUGGUCCUAAAAUAUGGCGAUUUGUGUAAUAAUAAGCCCAUGUAUAUCUUUAUGCCAUUAGUUUGAUAAAUAACUAUCAAGGAUAACUUAUUAAGCUAAAAAUAUUUGAAGGAUAAAAUGGGAAAACUAAAAGGGUGGAGUAAUAAAGUUAUUUAAGAUUACAUAGUAAGUUAACUAUAUUCGAGGGAUAAAAUAUUAAAACUUGAAUAGUUAUAUUAAAAAUAUCUCGGCUAUUAUACUAUUAAACCAUAUGCCGUAAUAAUGUUUUUUUUCAAACUUUAAAAAAUUCAGGAUUUUAAAUUAAAACAUGGAUUUCUUUAAGAUGCUAUAUGUGUUUUUACAGUAUUGAUAGUGGGAUUAGUGUGUACCCUUAUAUGAAAGAGUUUUAAUCUGAAUCAUUCAUUUAAUAUAAUAGAUAAUUAAAUAAUUAAUUAAAAUAUAGCAGGUAACUUAUAGGUUGCAGGUAAAAAAUUAAUUUUUUAAUUUUAAAUUAAAAUUAAUUUGGAACAAAACCAUCCACACCCCUAAGGUUUACUUAAAUGAUCAUAUAAAUCCCUUUAGUUUCUACAUAGUUAUACAGACCCUCUUAAUUUCAUAAAUUAUUAUUAUACUUUUAAUUAAAACAACCUAAAUGAAUAUAAAUAUAGUAAUAGGAUAGAAAUAAUAAAUAAAUAUCAGAUGAAACAAAUAAAAUAUUACAAUAAAUACAAUUAAUUAAAUAACAUGUAUGAUGAAAAUUUUAUUCAUAUUAAGUUAUUAUUAGUCUAUCCCGAUGGAUUUACUCAAAUCAAUUAAUCCAAAAUUUAAUUUUAAGAUUGAUAUUAAUAUGGACAUAAUUAAAUAAGAUGUUGUAAUAUAUACUACUUUGAAUGUUAAGUAUAAUUAUCUAAUAUUAUUAGUAUGUGAAAUAGAUUUUAAUAUUAUUAAAGAAUAUGACAAUAUAUAAUUUUGAAUUAAAUUUUUUAGUAUUCAUGAUAUUUUAUAAAUUUUAUGUGAUUUUAUAUAUUAUAUUUUUUAAUUUUAAUGUAUUAUAUAUGAUCAUUUAAGCAAAUUUUGGAGGUGCGGUGGUCUUUUCCCUAUUAAUUUUGUAGCAUAUUUAAAGUGUUAUAUCAUACAUGAUACAUCACACUUUUGUUAAAGUGUUAUGUUAUUAAAAAUUAAACUUUGCAUUUAUAAUAUACUACCAUUUUAAUGUAAAGGUAAUAGAAAAUAUGAAGAUAUUUUUAAGUAGUCAAUUGUAGCUUUCUUUUACAAAAUAGCAGUAUAGAAAUACAAUUGGUAAAAUGUAAUAAAAAUGGUAUGGAAAAAAGUUAGUAGAGGCAAUUAUUCUUGUAGUUGCUAAAACAUAUGAAGUGACACACACACACACACACAUAUCAAGUACUUGUAUGUUCCCCUAACUUUUAUUAAUGGGAAGGAAAUUAAAUUCGUAAUUUUCCCGGUGAAUUAUGAAUUGAUAAAUGAAAUAUAAAUAUUAGUAAAAAUUAAUUUGUCGACUAAAGAAGUAAACCAUAUUUUAUGGGCAUUUAAUACAUUAAUUUAAGGUCAAAUGAGAUAAUAUCACAUGAUAUUUGAUACAAGAGUCCAAUUUUCAACAUUUGCAUAUAGUUUCUAAGCUAGUAAUCUAAUAAAAUAUACCAAAUGAGAAAUUGAAGGCUAUUAUUUAUAUUUCACCAUUGGACAAACACCAUACAUUAGAAUAAAAAAAUCUCACAGUAGAGACGGCAUCUGUUUGCAUGUUUUGAAAAUAGAUUUUGAAAUUAGUUUAAUUACAUGAUAAUUAAAUUAUAUUAUAAAAUUAAGAAUAUGAUUUAAGUACUAUUUUAGCAAUUUUGAGUCUCACAUUGAGUAUUCAAGUUAAUUAAAUGUUGAAACUCUUUUCUAUUUGGCUUGAAAUCACUACUAAAUAAAAUUACAAAAAGUCAAUAAUGAAUGAUGUAGGACACAUAUGUAAAAUAAAUUUUAAAGUGUAAUUAAACAUUCCUAUCAAUAUUAGUUUUGCAUACAUAUUCAUAUAUUUUACCGAAACCAUAUAUAAUUAAAUUUUGUGUAAUUAAGUAAAAUAUAUUAUUCAAGUGAAUUUAUGAGAAUAUUUAAAAUUGUAGGGGUCGUCACUGAAAUUUGCCAAACUUGAGCCAACCGUGCAUGAUCCAAACAGUUUAUUUUAAUAAUUCUCAAUAUGUUAGUCUGUUUGACUGUUGGCAAAAUAAAUUCCUAUCAGCAAUGCAACACAAUUCAAAAUCAUAUCUGCAUACAACGAACAAUAUCUCAUGAAAGAUCAAAUUAUACAUUUUUUACACCAAACCAUAAAUAUCUAAAUUGUCCCUCUUCAACUCACCAAGCUCAUACCUAACAACAGCAAGAUUAAAUGUCAUUUGAUCCAUCUUUUUUAUUAAGCUUUAUCAAUUCUUCUCAUGGUUGCAAUUUUGAAAGCUCGCUUCGCUAUUUCCAUUUGCUUUUAUGCUUUGUUUGAGCUCCAUCUUUUCUCUCCAUCUACAUUUUACACUGUAAAAAAAAUUUUAAAAAAAUUACAAAGCUUCUUAUGCUAGAAUAUGAGCAACAAUAUAAAUAAUAAACAAUAAAGUUAUGAUAGCACAGCAUGCUCAUUAAAGUGCUUCUUUUUUUUUUUUUUCAACAAGAAAUUACUACUGAAUUAAAGAUUUGGCUUUGCAUUAAGGUUUGCCUUCAAUAACUCAACUCCCCACUUGGGUUUUGUCGUUUUCUUAAAAUCUCUGCUCAAUCAAUUUAAAGAUCCUUUUUUUUUUCUUUCCAAAGAUCUAAAAGCAAUGUCUUUUAUUGGUACCCAACAAAAAUGCAAGGUCUGUGAGAAGACAGUUUGUCCAGUUGAGCAGUUAUCUACUGAUGGGGUUGUUUAUCACAAGUCUUGCUUCAAGUGCUCUCACUGCACUGCAAAGGCACACUCAAGCUAAGCAAUUACUCAUCCCUGGAAGGUGUUCUUUACUGUAAGCCUCACUUUGAGCAGCUUUUGAAGGAGUCGAGUAACUUCAACAAGAAUUUCCAAUUACCUGCAAAGUCAGCUGAGAAGUUAACUCCUGAGCUGAAAAGGUCGCCUAGCAAAGUUGACAGCAUGUUCUCUGGGCCCAAUAAAAAUGUGCUUCUUGCAGUAAAACAGUGUGUCCGUGGGAGAAGGUAGCAGCGGAAAACCAAGCCUCUCACAAGACAUGUUUCAAGUGCUCACAUGGUGGUAAUUCCAUUAGCCCGUCAAAUUACGCAGCCCUAGAAGGCAUCUUGUAUUGCAAACAUAAUUUCUCCCAAUUGUUCAAGGAAAAAGGCAGCUACAACCACCUUCUAUCAAAUCUGCUUCCAUGAAGCGUGCUGCAGUCUCUGUUCAAGAAGCUUGAACAUGUUAUGUUAUCUUCCAUAAAUCUUAUUUGGCGUGGGUUUUCUCUGGCUUGAGGGUGUGCUUUCUAUUUUGAUCCCUCUUGUUGUUUUUGCGGGGAACUACCAAACCUUCGGUUCCCUCUGCUUCUUUGGAUCAUCUUUGUUGGGACAAAUUUCAUGUAAUUAGAGAUACUGAUUUAUGGGAGGCAUAAUCCCAUGGUUGUAAAUUGACCAUUUUCUGGCAAUGUUCUUUUUAAAAAGAGAUGAGCAGUUGUUUAACAAAAAAAAUAGCUGGCCUUCAUCAUGGUAUGUUACCAAACUGCUAUGUAUAGCUGCUAACUAUGAGCAUCCGAAAAUAUGGUGCAUCGUGAUUCAUGUCGUGCAAUAUGGCUACCAACGCAUCCUAAAUGGAGUAUUACUCAGUUAGUCAGCAAAAUAAGACAACAGUAAGAUAUUAAAAAAAUAAAAACUACAUUAAUAAGUGGGCAAGAUCAUGCCAGUUUAACUUUUCGCGCGUCGCUGCUGGAGAUAAUCAAAUCGGGGCAGAGAAAAGGAGAAUGGAAUCAGAGGCUAAGAUUAAUAAGUGGGCUUCUGCUUGCUUUGCCCCUCUUUCUUAAACGAUUGGUAGACUGCUGCUUCCACCGAUUAACCGGGUCUUCAACCACUGCUUUUAUUGCCUGCCAUCUUGUUGUUUGUCGAAGGGAUGAAUUCGAGUCGAAAAGAGAAAGCGCGCUGAAAAAGACAAAUCACUAGUGGUUAACUACUGACUCAGCCAAGUGUUGGCUUCACUUGAUUCACCGAUUGAGGUUAUUUUGUCUUCUAUCUAAUGCAGCGAAGAAGCUUUACUGCUUAACAUGCUGCAAUGCAACUUUAUCUUUUGAAGUUCACACUUCAGGGCUGCGCACUUUAUGUAAUCCUAUGAGUAAAAAGAAUUUAUUUUCAAAUGUGAAAAAAGAAAAUGUAAGGUAGUAACUAAAUAUAUUAUAGCAUCAAAGUAAGAUUUGAUAUGAAUUUAGUACAACAAAGAACAUUAAAUCUGUGAUUCCUUGUCUAAUGUCACCAUCGAGCAACAAAUUUAAAAGCCUACCUAUCAAAUACACGAGGCAAUAAACGGAGAAAAAGUUGAAUUACAAGAACAAGUUUACAAUUCUUGUCAAUGGUUAAUGAUUCGUGAAUUGAGAUAGCAUUCAAGAAUCCAAUUUCAAUACAACAACGUAAAAGAUAAACAGAUGAUGAAUUUUAUGAGAUAAAGAAGGAGAUUGUGUUUUAUCGUAUCUCUAUUUUCUUUCCAUUUAAAUUUAAAAUAAGCUUUUCAACCGGUUAUAAUAUUUUUUGAAAUAAUUAAAUAUUUUUAUUAUUAAAAAUAAUGUGUACCGUUGAUUACAUCUAACGCUACAUAUUUCUUACACUAUUAAUACCGUAAAAAAAAUCAUAGAGGGACCCUUAAAACAUUUUCAUUUGAAAUUAUUUGGUGAAGUGAAAAAGUUAAGAAAGAAAUAGUUGUCCCUUUGGUCAUUUCACAAAAAUGAAAGCCCCAUAUAACAUGGACUUGAAUGGAAGCCCAAUUGUUGUGUUUGAUUUCAAGCUUUAUCGGACCUUUGGACCUGGAUACUUUACUGCGGCCUCUAAGCGCUACAAAUUUUUUUUUUGGGAUAAAAGGCGCUUCAAUGAAAAAGCACUUUAAAACUUUGGAUUUUGCCAAAACUUCAAAGCGGUUGGUCCAGUUACGGUGUUAUGCUAACGGGUUUAAAGGUUCCGAUCCAAUGAGUUAGGGUGGAAUAUGAAUAUAUAAAUCCUAGUCAUGUAAGGACUAGGAUUUGUUUGUUCAUAUCAAGAAAAAAAAUCUGAAAAUUUGAUGAUCAGAAGAUAAAAACACUUAAACACGUUUAUUACAGAGAAACAAACGACAACAUGAUGCUAGUAGUAAUUUUAUUUUUCUUUUAUUGUGUAACGUGGACCAAAAAAAAGGAAAUGAAUUUAAUAAAACCGUCAUUCCGCAAUAAUAAUGUACCAGCCUGGUUUUUAUAAUCCAUACCAUCCUGAUAUAAUUAAACACCAUUAAUAAUGUACCAGCCUUUAAAUAGUAAUUAAUUUAUUUAUCUAAUUCACCAAAUGUCAUUUCCGGUACAUAUCUCCUGGUAUCAAGAAGAGGCAGAACCCAAAGAAACGUUUCUUGUAUCUUCAUAUUUGUGCGAAUUCAUCCUUUCAUUGAGAAUAACCAUUUCCAGGCGGCAGUUGGCAAUCAAUUCAUGCGCAAGUCGAUGCUAUUCAUAGAUAUUAAAGACAAUGAUGAACCAAAGGUGAUAAAUCAUAAAUGCAUAAUUACCAAACCUCCAUCCUUCUCUCAUUAUGAUUUGAUUUUAAAUGAAUUAUUGCUUGGUAACAUUAUUUCCAACCAUUGCAAGAUUAUUAUUAUUUUUUUUUGGGGAGAAAUUUCAAUUGAAAGUGAAACCUUUAGACAUUUACCUAAUGAAGUUAGUUAAUGGGGAGGGUUGGAAAAAUUCCCAAGCCGUUGCACAGCAAUUACGAUCAUCCUCGGCCUCAGGUAAUUUCUUCUCCUGCAUUUUUGUUAUUUGCUAUCAAGUGACAUUCGUAAGUAUGAUUGUAUUAAGCUGCUGCUGGGAAAUAUAAGGUUUUGAUGGCUGCCCAUGCUAUUGUCAGAAGCUGCGGUUCUUUUCAUCAGCCUGAACCUGGACCUGUCGCCAUGGAUAACUGAGGUUUUUUUUUUUUUAAAUCAACUACGUCAUCUUUUCCACUGUUUUGAAACUCUUAAGAUUAAACUUUAGUAAAGUUGUUUUAGUUAUCCAUGUAAUCAGGCUGAGGAUACUUAGCUGCCUAUUUAGGCAAAUGUCAGACUUUAGUUUGUUCGCUGGGAACUGGUGUGGUGACAGCGUCCUGGCAAAGGAUGAUGAGAUAGUUUUUUGAUUGAGUAAAUUUUGGGGGCUUGAGUAUAUUGGGAUUUGCAAUUACAAUUAUCCUCUGCCUCAGGUGAUUUCUUCUCCUGCCCUGUCGUUGUUUGUUCUCUAAUUCAAAAUUAUAAAAUAUUUCAUCAAAUUUUAUGCCGGGAAUAUGCAAAAGUUUCUAAUAUUUUAUUUCCAUCUGUUUGUCUUGAUAACUUUGCAGCAUAUGUACUAGUUAAAGAACAAAUCGAAACAGAGUUCAGUUAAAAGUUUCUUCUGCCGUCAUAUUUGAAAAAUGAACCCAUUUCCAGGAAGCAAUGGGCAGCAAAUUCAUAUAAAGCGUAGACAAUGAUGAGCAAACAGGUGAUUCACAUUAAUGAAAUUAAUUGUUUGGUUGGAGCGGACAUUGUUAGAAGGCUAUUGAGCUAACCUAUGUCACUACUUGCCUAGAUUACAGGGGGUCAAAACUCAAAAGCGGCAUUGAAUUUUAAAAGGCAUCCAAUAAUUCUUGUGGCCAUAUAUCAAUUCAUGUAUGUUUGAAUGUAAUUAUUGGUGAAGGGGUUUCACUUCCCGUCUCUAAAUAAAAAUACUGAUUCUUUAAGGUACCUGCCACUAGGGAUUGCGAGAUUAAUGAGUCUUUGGACAUUGGAAGAGCUCCUUGUGAGUGGAGGAGGAGGUGUUGAUGGUAGCAAAGCAUGUGGGCAGUGGGCUUGAAUCUCUAAAAAACUUGGAACUCCUCCAAGCGUAAGUAUACGUAUACUGGGAAAUUUGUUAGAUGUGGAUGAGGCUAAGAGAUUAGAGCUUGACAAAAUGAAAUACCUCUUUCAUUGAGACUUAAAUUUGAUGGGGAAGAAGAAAAAGAAGAGGGAAGGAGGAAGAAUGAGGAUAAUCAACUUGUUCUUGAAGCCUUGCAACCACCUCUGAAUUUGAAGGAAUUAGAGAUUUGGUCAUACAGAGGCAACAUUGUUUCCCCCCGGAUGAUGCAAAAAUUGAAGGAAUUUACCAAUCUAAGGAGUUUGACACUCUUUAAAACUGCAAAAAUUGAGAGCAGUUGCCUCCUUUGGGAAAAUUGUGAUCCUUUGAAAAUCUCAGCAUAUUGUACAUGGAGAGUGUGAAAACAGUGGGUAAUGAAUUUCUGGGAAUAGAAAGUCAUCUUCAUGACUCAUCUCCAUCUUUAUCAGUUAUUAUUGCCUUCCCCAAAUUGAAAUCACUUUCAGUUGAGGGAUUGAUGGAAUUGGAGGAGUGGGAUUAUGGGAUUAAAAGAACAGGAAACACCUUCACCAACAUUAUGCCACGUCUUUCUUCCUUGGAAAUUAGUGUGGGGUUAUGGGAUCGCACAACCACGUUGAAGGUAUUGCAGAUUGUGGCAUGUGGUACUCUAAGAAGACGUUGCAGACAGGGGAGAGCAGAAGACUGGCCUAAGUUCUCUCACAUUCUAGACAUCAUGAUUGUGUGAAAAGAGGCCCUUGACAAAAUUCUCUAGGCGGCUACAUGGAGUACAAUCAUAAAAUGCUAAUGUGGCCACCCUGGUUCUUAAUUAAGGUUGUGAAAUAUUAUUGUAAAAGAUGAUUAAUUCAAUUUGAGUCAUUCGUUUGCUUUGAUAAUGAUAGUAAUUUUAUAUUUUGACAAUUUGCAAGGUGAGAAUGGUGCUGAUUGGUGAUACAGGAUACGGUUCAAACACCAUUGAAUAAAGCUACGGACAUGGUGGCUCAACUUAGCUAUUGCUGUCAAAAUUGGUAAGUUGGCUUGUCAAUGUAUUGAUGCUUUUGUUUUCUCUCAACCCUAAUUACCUUACCUUCAUUUAGUUUGGCUUUGGAGUUGAGUAAUAACUUUCAAGGUUCUCAAACAGAGCAGGACAACCGAAAAAAAAAGCUUAAUUUGCUACUGAUCACGUGUUACCAAUUAUUAAGGUAAUUCUCGUUUACUUGCUUCUACACUAUAGAGUACGUGUUCUGGCUGGUUUAUCUAAUUCAUCAAAUGUUAUUUCCUUAUUGUUCCAUUGAUAUAUUUGUUAGAAAGUGAAACCAUUUCCAGGCAGCAGUUGGCAGUGAAUUCAUGCAAAUGUUGAUGCCAUUCAUAGAUAUUGAAGACAAUGAUGAGCCAAAGGUGAUAAAUCAUUAAUGCAUAGUUACCAAAACCUCCAUCCUUCUCUCAUUGUAAUUUGAUUUGAAAUGAAUAAUUUCUAGGUAAUUGAAGCCAAUAUUGUUAGAAACGGUGUUGAGCUACCCAAGCUAAGAAGUUGGCUGCCAAAAAAUGCAGGGGAUCAAAAGAAGCAUUGCAUUUGAAAAGGAAUGAGAUUCUGGUUGCUACAUGUCAAUUCGUAGAAGUUUCAAUAAAUUUAAUGGUUCAAGAUUUUAGUUUCUGUUUAAAUUUGUGCUACUGCAGUGCUGCAGUGCUGCUACUGGGAAAUUUAAAUCCCAUAUUAGACUUUCCUCACAUAAGAAGCUGUGGAUCUUCGGACAUCAGGUUUUUUCACAGUUCUGAAACUCUCAGGAUUAAACUCUAUUAAAGUUGUUGUAGUUGUCUACGUUCUCAGGUCAAGGAUUCUAAGCUGCCGAUUAAGGCAAAAUGUCAGAAUUCCCCUAUUAUUUUUUUUUUCAUGUAAAAUUAUGUUGUUGUCUUCGCCCAUGAAUCUUAGCUAAAUUCUGAACCAAUUGUUUGCUAUUAUAAAUUUCAUUGUUAAAUAUUAAUUGUGAUGUUGGUGUUGAGUUUCUUUUAAAGUCAGAGAAGCCUGACGAUUGAGUUCCAUGGGAUUCUGAGAAGCAGUAAUAUUUUGAACAAGUGAAGGUUCUUCGUUUUUACAGUAUGUGCAGAUGUCUAAGAGGCAGGAUUUUUAUUUCUGUAAUGCUAAAUUUCGCAAAACAAUAAAAAUAAAUAAAUGCAUGACAGUGACUUCAAGAAUUUAGAUUAUUGAAUUUGGUCAUUUUAAAAUUGUUGGAAUGUUGAACUUAAGUAAUUUUUAUAAACCAGAGCUCAGAAAUGUAGAAUAUAAAUAUUGGAGAUUUGGACUUCAAUCAUUAGACUUGAAGCUAAAGAGGUAAGCCAUUAAUUAUAUCAAAGGAUUUGGAAAAUGGAGGGAUUGGAAAAAGGAAACAUUUUCAUAAACUUCAAGAGGAACGUCACAGAAAGGGGUAAAGAGAAGAGUAGCCUAAGAUAUUAAAGACAAUGUUGAGCCAAAGGAAACAUAAAUCCCAACCAUUGCAUGUGAACAUGAUCACAAUAAGGUCAAAAACCAUUUUUUUGAGAAUUUUCAAUUGAAAGUGAAACCUUUUGACAUUUACCUAGUAAAGUUAGUUAAACGAGAGAAAUAAAGGGGAAAAGAAAAGUUGACUCAAGUCAAUACAGAAUAAUUAGUUCAAUCUGGAGUAACUAAAACAGAGCCACUAUAUUUUCAAAAAUAUCUGCAUUCAUCACCUUCUCCUCCAGCUAGUGAGCUACACACGAAUCCUUUCCUUUUAGCAUUUUUGCAGCAUCAAUUUCUCCCCUCGUUUGUCAUCAAUUUCUCCCUUCGUUUCACCAAUACCAUGGCUGAUGCAAUCGUUUCCCCUCUCUUGGAGCAGCUGAUUAUCUUUGCUGCUGAAGAGUUGAAACAACAGGGGAAGCUGGUGAGUGUUGGAUGAGUGGAUCACAGCAUGCGCCAAAUCGCAAAAUAGAUCAAUGCUCUUGGUGCUCCUUAUCUGAAGAAGAAGGUGCAAAUUGGGAGCUGCAUUUCACUGUCAUAACAUUUAUUGUAAUUUCAUUUGGAGAUAUGUAAUAUCUGUUGUCCAGAUACAUAUCAUACACCAGUUGCUAUGUAAUUUCGUUUAGGUUCAUUUUUGUUUCUUAAGAGUUUGUAAAAAGAAUGGAAAGAUUUUAAAAUAUAAAUUUCAUAUCUGUUUAUUACUGUUGUUUGGUCUAAUUUCUUAUGUAGAAUUUUCAGAAUCUGUAGGACAUUAGUUUAUAAUUUUGAGAUUUUGCAGCCAUAAAAAAAAUUUUUUUUUUUUGCCAUUUUAUUUUGCUCCUUUAUCUAUGUGCAUGUUGACUGGCUGCAGUGAGUGAAAAUUUACCUAUAUAUGCUGGCUAUUCUUGGACAAUAUUAGAGAAAAUAAUCAUAUUAUUUCGCGUGAUGUGAACUUCCAUAACUUAUCAAUUGAAUUGCUGUAAAAUAUUAAAUAGUUUUAUUUUUCUUUUAUCGUGUAACUUGGACCAAAAAAGGAAAUGAGUUUAACACGACCCUCAAUAUAACCUCCAUUUCAGCACAAUACAUGUUAAUUGUUCCCCAAGGACUUCUCCUGUUUCCCAUUCCCACCUCCAUGCUCUCGAGAGGAAUUUAGCACCCAUCAAUUUUUAUUUUUGAAAACUCGUAAUGGUCUGAUAAAAUUAAACAACAUCAAUAAUGUUACCAGUCUUUAAAUAGUAAUUAAUUUAUUUAAUUUGCCACCUAAAAGAAUCCUGCUGGAAAUAGAGGUUAAAAAUUUUAUUAGAUCUGCUUACCUUUGUUCAUUCAGCAAAAACACUUACAAUUCACAGCUAGAGAAUCUAUCCAUUGACAAUUGUGGAUUAAAAUUAUAACACCUGAAUUCAAACAUAUCCUUAUGAAGUUAUGAAUUUGUUCAUACUUCAAAUGAUUUUUUUUUCCAAGCUAAUAAAGCAACCACUUUGAUCAAACGACGACGUUGAAGGAAUUACGUAUUUUCAAUGUCCUUUUCCAGACAGAUGUUGGAGAGAGGGAAAGGAGAAGACUGGCCUAAUUAAGAUAUCUCACAAAGAUUAUUGAGUUAAAAUGUUAUUGUAAAAGAUGUUUAAUACAAUAAUAGUAAUUCUUUUGCAUUGUUAUAAUGAGGCUGGUGGGUUUCCUCAGAGGAUGGAUAUGGCUCGCUAGCAUGCAUUUGGGAAGAUGCUAAUUAUCGGCCAUAAAAAGUCAGGGGGUUGUGGCUCUUCCGUCGCCCAGAAAUUCCUAAACUCAUAUAUCAAACUUCAGAUGAACUUGGGCAUUAUGUAAAUAUGUAUUUUUGAGAAUUAAACUAGUGCGUUCGAAAAAUUUUGAGCCAUUGUAAUCAUUUUAUUUUGCUAAGAGAAAAUUUUACUUUGUUUCGCUUUGCCUUUUGUUUUUUCUGUGAUAAUAUGAUUCAUACGAAUGUGAUUACACACUAUCAUGCAUCUAUUUUCAUUUGCUUGUCAUGAAUGGUCAACAUGCUCGAAAUAUUUACUUAGGUUGGAAAUAUUUGAAUCCACUAAAAUACUAUACAAACCCAUUUUAAAAUUAAAAAAAUGAUUAUCAUAAUACUCGUGAAGAUAACACGAUAUCAUACAUAAAAUAAAAUAUUUCGCAAAAAAGAUAAGAUACAAAUCUUGAGUAAAUAGGUACAAAAAAUAUUUUAGUGGGUUAAGUAGCACUAAUGCCCCCUUAUCAAAAAAUAAAUAAAAAUAACUAGUCUGAUUGGGUAUACCGUUUAUAUAUAUGUACAUAUUCUUGAUAAUGUGUAAUGUACAUUAUAGACAAAGAUUUUGAAAGCAAUAUUUUUUAAAAAGUCGAGAGAAUAGGAAAAGUCUAAAUCAAUUUUCUAAUCUCUACCUCCUUUAUGAUUUAAACUUUAGUGUUUAGUGUCGCGAGCCACUCAAAUUUUCUAAUCAAAGAGACUAAAUUGCACGAAAUUGUGCUAGCUUAUUUGAUUCUAGAAAUUUCUACUACACUGUAACACACUCUCACGUAGGGAUGGCAAUGGGGAGGGGAGGGGAGGGGACCAAUCUCCCCAUAUCCAUCCCCGAUAUUUUACAUAUGUCCCCGUCCCCGUCAGAAUUGCUUGAGAGAAUCCCCAUCCCCUCCUCGAAUAAUAACAGGGGAUCCCCGAGGGUCCCCGGUCCCCGAAUAACUAAUAAUCUAAUACAUUUUUUUAUUUUCGAUUUUAAAUUAAUCAUAUUAAAAUAAACUCAUACCGCUAUUGUAAGCUCGUAACCAAUUUUGACAGCACAUUAAGGCCUCCAAUGUGCUUGGAUGAAGUCUGUUAUGGUAUGGGCUCACAACUCUACCACUAGUGUUAAAAGCUGAUUCAGAAGCAACUGUUGUAAUUGGAAUUGCCAAAAUAUCUCUAGCAAUUCGAGCUAAUGUAGGAUACCUAUUAGCAUUUGUCUUCCACCAACUCAAAAUAUUAAAAUCUUCCAUCCGAGGUAUAACUUUCUCAUCCAAAUAUGAAUCUAAUUCAUCUGCAACAACUGCACAAUCUCCAUUGUUUACAUAAUCAUCAAAACCUAUCAUCCAUUUGGUUGCUUUCUUAUAAGAAUCCCCUGUAGAUCUAGUAGAAGAACUACUACCAGUAUAAUCAAAGCAAUAAACAGUUGGUGAAAACUUCAAUUAAUACUCUUCAACUAAUUCCCGGCAAAGGAUGACCACUUUCCCAACAUACAACUAUUUUGAUAUUUAUUAUUUUUAACAAUAUUUAUAAUUUUGUUAUUUAUUUAUUAGUAAUUUUAAAAAUAAAAAUAAAAUUAAAAAUUAAAAUGGGGAAAUGGGUAGGGGAUGGGGAUUCCACCUCAUCCCCGUCCCCUCCCCGAAUAAAAAAUUGGGUAAAAAAUUUUCCCCGUCCCCUCCCCGAAAAAAAAAUUGGGUAUAAAAUUAUCCCCGUACCCUCCCCGAAUGGGGAAAAUCCCCGAGGGUAUCCGUCCCCGUGGGGAUUUUUGCCAUCCCUACUCUCACGCUUGUACAUACCUCGAAAUUCUCUAGAAUUUACUAGAGUAGUGUUGCAUGUAGCUUGUACAUAGGUUUUUCUGGAACACUCCAGGCAUUACUAAGCAUGAGAGCCUUGAGAACUCUCUAGCCAUAAAACAUUCUAGGGUAAGCCUACCCUAAAAAUAGGGCAUGAUGCUUGCCACUUGAGCAUACAACAAGUAAGAACAAAUCAAGCAUACUUGUGAGCUCUCAAACUCUCUUAUACACACUUUUAUGAAUAAUAUAUUCUCUCUUUGGCUAUAUUGCUCUCUCUUCUCUCUAGUUUUUUUCGCAAGCAUCAAACCUUAGUUAGUCGAAAAAUUCAAGGCUUACUUUAUAGCUAUCUCGUAAAAGUUGUUUAAGUACCAUAGAGAUUUGCUGUGCAAAAUACUCAUCACAUGACAUUAGCUAAAUAAAAUUGUUUGAAAGCCACUUACCCAAACUAUUAAACGAAUAUUGACUUUUGUCUUAAUUUUCUAUCUCCUACGAUAAAUUUUAUAGUUAAAAAUUGAAAAAAAUUAAUAACUAUUAGAUAGAGCAUUCUUUAUUGUUAAAAGAAAUCUAUAUAGAUAGAUAGAUGGUAAUAUAAAAACUUACUUAUUGUAGUAUAAUGUUUUUAGUUUUUUGAAACACAGAUUCUCACUUUUUAAAGAUAAAAUUCAAAGAAAACAAGUUAAAUGUUGUAGAAAAUCUUCCAGCCAUACAAGAAAUUGUGAUGGCUAAAUGCAAACCUAACUAAAGUAUUAGUUGUUUUAUUACAAUCUCCAAAAAGAUGAGCAAUUCCAAAAUCUUUUUUUGUGACAAUAAACACUACACGUCAGUAAUUAUCCAGGUCAAAAGCAAGCUACUCUAUUAAAAAAAAAAAAAACUUGCAGUGAAUUCGAAGAUAAACCAAUUUUACUAGCAAGUUGGAUACAAAAGAGUAGGGCUUCGGCCUCAAUUACUCAGUGUACCAACAACUCAAUCUCGGUGAGUUAAAAUCAACUUCCAUCAGUCUUUUAUUUGUUGAUAGAUCGAUUAAGGUACCAAAAAGAAUAAUUAAAGAUGUAUUAGUUCAAGUUAAUAAAUUCAUAUAUCUUGUGGAUUUUAUUAUUUUGGAAACUGAACCAAUUGCUAAUGAAUGCAAACAAAUUCCUGUUACAUUGGGUCGUCCAUUUUUAACUACUGCUAAUACAUUGAUUAAUUGCUGGAAUGGAGUAAUGAAUUUAUCUUUCGGCAACAUGACAUUGGAACUUGAUGUGUUCAACAUAUGUAAACAACCUCACCACCAGGAAGAUGAUGAUAAUGAGAAUUAGGAGAUUGAUUUCAUCGAGCCAAUCAUUGAGGAACACAUUCAGAAUAAGAAUUUUACAAAUUCUGUGGAAAUUUAUUCUUCUUGUUCUUUUGAAUCGAGUAAAGAAUUAAAUUAUGAUACUGCUAACAUAUAACCUACAAUUGAUUCUAUGCAGGUACAUGCUGACAAUGGCCAAUCAAACUUUAAAGAUACAGAACAACCUGAAGAACCAAACGAAGAGCAAGUACCAGAGCUCAAAUUAAAGCCCUUACUGGAAGAAUUGAAGUAUGUCUAUCUUGGAGAACAACAGAUUUAUCCUGUGGUAAUUUUUUUCCCAACUCACGCUUGAUCAAGAAGGUAAGUUGUUGUCUGUACUAAAAAGGCAUAAAACUGCAUUUGGCUGGACUUUAAAAGACAUAAAAAACAAUAAUUCUUUAAUCUGCACACACCGAAUACACUUAGAGGAAAAUACCAAAACAACCCAUCAACAUCGACAUUAUAUGUGUAAACAUUAAAUACCAAAAUCAACCCCAAAAACUAUAAAUAAAAUAUCAUGAUUAAAAUGAAGUUUUUUUUUAGAUAUUCGUUGUAGUAUCUCUUUAGAUCGCAAACAAGAGAUAAAAUAAAUAAAUAUUUGCUAUGUAAAUAAAAAUAAAUAAUUUUUUUUAACUGAAAAAUAUUCUCAAAAACUAAAUAGUUCAAACUUUUUUUAACAUCAUGUGUUUCUAGGGUUGGGCAUUCAGUUCGGUUUUUACCGAACCGAACAACUAAAUUAAAUCGAAAUUACCUGUUCGGUUCAAUUGAAUAGACAAAAACCGAAGAGUUUAUAUUUUCAUGAACUGAAUGAUUUGUGUUUCAGUUGAGUUCGGUUCGAUUCUGGACCUGAACCGAACCGAACCGAUCCGUGAAUCGUAAACUGCCCACCCUUACGUAGUAGUUUCCGUUAACCGACGUUGUAUUGCUCGUAUAAAAUUGUUCAAAUGUUCAAAUCACAGUCUCCCGCUCUCAGCUCAGUCAGAGUUUCCAGGUCCAGAGACUUCCCGCUGACUGAGAACUUUUUCGUAGCAGGUCUACAAAUAAUGGAGUAGAGCUGAUUUUAUGAUUAAUUUAUUUCCUUUUUCAAUUUCUCUUGAUUGCGAUUUAAUCUGGAAAGUUAAACGUGAAUUGUUUAGUGCGGAUUAAAUGUUCGACGAAUUUCCCACAAGAGUAUUAAGUUCAAGAGAAAAAAAGAAAACAAUUGAGCGUGAGCGUGAGCGAGAAUGGUGUUUGGGCAAGUGGUGAUUGGUCCGCCCGGCUCGGGAAAGACCACUUACUGCAAUGGCAUGUCUCAGUUUCUCAGCCUUGUUGGCAGGUAACUUCGUUUCUUGAUUUCAAGCAGCUUUAUCUUCGAUGACCAAAAAUAUUGAUUUGGGCUUUGCCAUUAAAUGAAUGUAAGAGCAGUAGGGAAUAACUGAGUUAUAGGAUUAGCUUUAAGUGAACAUUGAUGGUAAUGUGAAGGUUGUAUGUGUUCAGUGGCAAGCUGUAUGCCAAUUUGGUCUAUAUGGUUGCUUAGGUAGUAACUUAUUAAUUUUUAGGCAGGAAGGUUGCAGUCAUCAAUUUAGUUCCUGCUAAUGAUAGUUUGCCGCAUCCUUUGUCAUUGAACUUUCUUACAAAUGCUGUGGUUUGUUGUAGUAUAAUUAGUUCAAUUGGAAAUUUCCUUGAUGUUAAUAUAGAAAUGAGUGUGCUGUGAAUAUUGAGGACCUCAUUAGACUAAGUGAUGUGAUGAUGGAGUAUUCACUUGGUCCCAAUGGAGGUUAGUCAGCCUAUUGUUGUUUACUCUUUCUUGCUUUAUCACGCAAUGAUAUUCCUUUGCUUUACAACAAAUUUCAUGAAAUUAACUUCAAUCAAGUGGCAAUGUUCAUACGCUGUUGAGAUUUUAUGGACAAUGAUUUGGUAGAAUUUAUAUGCCGUCUUCUUUCUUUUUGCAGUGAUAUGCUUGUAUUCAAUGAGCUUGUACUUAUUCUAUGGUUUCUAAAGUAGGUGUUUUUAUGAUAAACUAGGUCUUGUGUAUUGUAUGGACUAUCUAGAGAAGAAUAUUGACUGGCUGCAGUCGAAAUUGGAACUACUUUUGAAAGGUAAGUAGAGGCCAUUUUCCUUCAUUCUAAUGCCAAUAAUGCUGUCAUGAGACUCAUAAAAAUUGUUAAAACGUUAAUGUUUUUGGUAUUUUGCAGAUCGUUAUCUUCUGUUUGAUUUUCCUGGCCAAGUUGAAUUAUUUUUUCUUCAUUCCAAUGCCAAGACUGUUAUAAUGAGACUCAUAAAUAAGUUAAAUCUCAGGGUAUUGUUACAUCUUACAUCUAUGAAGGGACUCAAAGAGUUGAGAUGAAUUCAUCUUUGUUAUUUUGAUGCCAGAAUUGUGCAAUUCUCAGUUUGUUCCUUUCACAUGCAGUUGACUGCAGUGCAUCUAGUUGAUGUGCAUCUUUGCAGUGACCCCAGGAAGUAUGUUAGUGCUUUGCUUCUCUCAUUGUCUACGAUGCUACAUCUGGAACUUCCCCAUGUCAAUGUCUUGUCUAAUCGAUCUGAUUGAGAAUCAUGGAAAGCUAGGUGUGGUUUUAAGUGUAGCUCUCCUGCUUGUUUGUUUAGUUUGAAAUAUCAGAUAUUGUCACAAGAUCCUAUUUGCUACAUUUCCUCACCAAUCAAUUAUUUUGGGUCUGUUGCAGCUUUUAAUCUCGAGUACUAUACAGAUGUGCAAGAUUUGUCAUAUUUACAGCAUGCUCUCGGUCAGGACCCUCGUUCUGCUAAGUACAGGUUUGAAUUCUAGCUGAAUCAAUGAUGCAAAUUAUGUCCAUUGUUAUUUCUGCUGUUGUUUCUAUCAUUUUCAAUUGUUACUUCCCCUUUCCAUCUACUACCACACUACAAUACCCACACAAAUGUUGUGAAAUUUGUCAAUGGAAAAAAAACAGUUCCUCUUUUAUUUUGAUCAGACUCAAUGAAUAAGUGGUUAAAAUGUGCCUGUCCUAGAAAUAUAGAUGUGUGGUUUCGUAAAAUUUUCUUGAUCUUAAGAAAGAGUUAUCUCGAAAAGAAGAUAACAUGGAGAAUUCAACAACUAUACAGUCAUAUUGAUGUCUGUCAACUUGGGUCAUAUGGUGUCGUUUGGAUGGAGAUGUUAGGUCCCAGAUGGUAAACUUGUUAUCGAAUUCCAGUCUACUUCAUUCAUGCUUUGAUGACAUAUACGGUGCAGCUUCUUAUCUAAGACCUGCAUAUGUUCAAUCAUCAUUCUGUUCUGUAUUUGGCUGCCAUUCUUUUCAAUGAAUUCAAACCACUUCUGAAUACUUGCAAAUUCAUCCAGUGUUGUCAUUGAGAUGCCAAUAUGAAAGGAAGCCAUAAUUGCCCUUGAUAGUAUGCUUAUUGAUUGCCUCUUGCCUCACUCAGCCUCAUGAAUCUGCUUGUAUGGUGUUCUUGUAAUUUCAUUUGGAGAUUAGUAAUAUCUGUUGUUCAAAUGUAUUUUAUAUACCAGCAGUUAAUAAUUCUGCUUGCAGAAAGCUUACAAAGGAGCUGUGUGAUGUAAUUUUUCAACCUUAGAUAUCCAGGUCAUCAGUUUCUCUUGAAUUCUUUCUUGAAUUUCUUUGAAUUAUUUGUGAAUAAGAUCUUAGUUGGCUGCUUCUCUUCAGGAUAAGGAAAGUGUGGCAAAACUCGUGAAGCUGAUAUAUAAAAGCAAUGGGUACAUCUUUGCUGGCAUGGAUGCCAGUGCAGUUGAAUUCAGCAAGAUUGCCGUUCGCGAUGUUGAUUGGGAUUAUUUCGGAUAUCCUUCUUUUCACCUAUUUUCAAUGUUGUUAUUCUCAUAUUCAUAAAAUUUUUUGGUUAUUUAAUUAUGGUUCAUCAUAUGCAUCUGCAUCUUCUAACUUGUUCGUUUGAGAAACUAAUUUUGCCGUUAGGUAGGCUUCGAGCUUGAUGAGUUGAUUCAUGCUUUUUUCAUAAAUGUACCAAAAUCAUGGAAACUUCUUUUUCCCAGAUAUUGUAUCCACACUUUUUCCAUGUAAUUGGGUCAGACAAGUUUUGCUUAACAAAGAUAUCUACAGUAGCCGAAGUGCAGGAGAAGUACAUUAAGGAUGAUGAUGAUGUUAACUAAAAUGAGACGUGAAGAUAUGUGGUGUGCGAACCGUAAGCCUGCCUCUUAAUUUUGUGCAUGUUUACUUGCUUGUGAUUCACGUUUGUUAAUCUAUUUUGCUCUCUUGCAGGAGUUAUAAAGUUUUCAAUCAAUCAAACAUUUAACUUAAGUCCUUACCUCUUGCUGCAAAGACAAUGGGAAGUCUCAUGAGCUCUAAAAAAACUGAAGAAGAGUGGAAAAUAAUUUUAAAUAGUGAUUUAUGGAAGGUAAAAGAGAUCGAGAAAGGUGUUCUAACCCCUUUGUGGUUGAGUUAUAAUGAUUUGCCGUCCAGAGGAAAAAGAUGUUUCUCGUAUUGUGCUGUCUUUCCAAAAGACUACAAUAUAAAAAAAGACAAAUUAAUUACUUUGUGGAUGGCUCAAGGUUAUCUUAGUGCAGAAGCAGCAGAACAAGAUGAGGAGUUGGAGACUAUAGGUGAAGAGUAUUUUGGCAUCUUAGCUUCUCGCUCUUUCUUUCAAGAGUUUCAGAAACGUUAUGAUAAUCGUAUUAUAGCGUGCAAGAUGCAUGAUAUGGUACAUGAUUUUGCCCAAUUUGUUAGUCAAAAUGAAUGUUUUUCGUUGGAAGUUAAUGGUAGUGAGGAACUAACCGUCACAAACUCUACAAACUCUCUUGAUGAGAAGGUCCGUCAUUUAAUGUUAAUCUUUAGUAAAGGGACUUCAUUACCUGUUUCCACUCGUAGAGUUAAAAGAAUGCGUACCCUCUUAAUUAACGAUAGUAGAUCUGAUCAUUCAUUAUUAAAUGGUGAGAUCCUAGAAGAAUUAUUUAGGGAAUUGACAAGUUUAAGGGCAUUAGAUUUUGGCAAAUCGUAUAACUCAAGUUGGUCUUCGACUGUGGAGAUUCCGAGAACCAUAGAAAAGCUGGUACAUUUAAGAUACCUUAAUUUGUUUUAUCAGGGAAUAAAGAAACUACCGGAGACAUUAUGCGAGUUGUAUAAUCUAGAAAAGUUAGAUAUUAGUUUAUGUUUUAAUCUUAAAGAAUUACCUGAAGGGAUUGGGAAGUUAAUAAACAUGAAGCAUUUACGAAAUAGAGGUACUAGUUCUUUAAGGUACAUGCCAGUAGGGAUUGGGAGAUUAACGGGUCUCAGGACCUUGGAUGAGUUCCACGUGAGUGGAGGAAAGCGUGUAGGCUUGAAUCUCUUAAAAAAUUGGAACACCUUCAAGUAUGUGGUAUACGUAGACUGGGUGAUGUAUCAGAUGUGGGCGAGGCUAAGCGAUUAGAACUUGACAAAAAGAAAUACCUCUUCAGUUUGACCCUUGAGUUUGAUAAGAAGGAGGAAGAAGAAGGAGAAAGGAGGAAGAACGAGGACGAUCAAGUUCUUCUUGAAGCCCUACAACCACCUCUCAAUUUAAAGGAAUUAGAGAUAGAGUACUACCGAGGCAACACUGUUUUCCCCAGCUGGAUGACGUCAUUAACCAACUUAAAGAGUUUAGAUCUCUCUUCCUGCGAAAAUUGGGAGCAGCUGCCUCCUUUGGGAAAAUUGCCAUCCCUUGAAGCACUCAGCCUAUGGGACAUGAAGUGUGUGGAAAGAGUGGGUGAUGAAUUUUUGGGGAUAGAAAGUGAUCAUCAUGGCUCAUCUUCAUCGGUUAUUAUUGCCUUCCCCAAAUUGAAAUCACUUUCAAUUGAGGUUCUGCGCGAAUUGGAGGAGUGGGAUUAUGGGAUUACAAGAACGGGAAACACCGUCAUCAACAUCAUGCCACGUCUUUCUUCCUUGACAAUUGCACUUUGCCCCAAAUUAAAGGCACUGCCCGACCACUUUCAUCAAACGACAACAUUGAAGGAAUUGCACAUUUGGGAUUGCAGGCUUCUGGAAGAACGUUAUUGCAAGGGGGAAGGAGAAGACUGGCCUAAGAUAUCACACAUUCCCAACCUCCAUAUUGGGCUUUGACAAGUAAUUUCUUCUCUUACUCUGAUUUGCUUUGUUGUUGUUUUUAAUCUAAUUAAGAAGCGUAAAUAGCAUUUUGAAUCAAACUCUAUAUCAGAAAUCUGCAAUACUUACUUUCUAAUAUUCUGAUUUUCAUAUCCUAUGAAUAUACGAUUUUUAAUUUGUGAGAUGGGUAACGUUACUGUAAAAGAUUAUUAAUGCAAUAUGAGUAAUUCUUUUGCAGGACAAGUGACCUACAUUUAGUUUGGCUUUGGAGUUGAAUAAUAACCUUUCGAGGUCCCGACAACCAAAAAACGAAGCUUAAUUUGCCACAGAUUGCACGUAUUGCCAUUAUUGACAAUUUUCUGCACAAGCUUAGGUUGAUGUCAAAAGAGGUAAAUUAUUGGCAUGCCUGACUAUUUUGACCAUUACACGAUUCAUAAGUUUACAUUAAUUUUGAUUUUGAGUUGAGUGAUUAGUUUUCUAGGUUUGCUUACUUUAACUGGGUGACCAAUUUCUUGUAACUAAAUGUAUGAUGUGAAGCAGAACUCAAACAAAAGUAUGCUACUUCUUGCGGAAAUCUUGCCUUUGUUCAGAUUAUGAAACCAUUUCCAUGCAGCAAAUUCAUCCAAAAGUUUGAAUAAGUUUCACGGUUGGACACUGUUGGUUUCUUUUUCUUCUGGGGUGCAUUUAGGUGCUAUCAAGUGACAGCUGUAAGUAUGAUUGCACUAAGCUGCCGCUGGGAAAUUUGAGGUUUUGAUGGCUGCCCAUGUUAUUUUCAAGAAACUAUUGAUGUAAGAAGCUGUGGUUCUUUUCAUCAGCUUGAACCUGAAACUGUCGCUAUGGAUAACUCAGGUUUUUGUUAUCAACUAUAUCAUCUUUUUCACUAUUUUGAAACUCUUAAGAUUAAACUUUAGUAAAGUUGUUUCAGCUUUUCAAAUGAAAAACUCAUUGAUUUGAGACUUCCUUCAUUAUUGUUUCUAAUUACAAUGCUAACGAUCCAGAUAAGAUAAUAUUUAAUCGGCGAAGGUGUCCCUUGGAAGUACAUCCUUCUUUUUCUUUUAUUAUACAAAUUCUUGCAAUGAGCUUAGUGAAGCUGUUGUGCUAAUCAUGCCACUGCAUAAUUUGGCCCCUAAUGUGGGUACUCUGUUACAUUGUUCUGCAAAUUCUCCAGAAGUUAAAAUCAAUAAAUUUUCUAUUAGCUCUAGUGCUUUGACCUAAAUGCUAUUCUAUAUUCUGAUUACAAUGUUUUACCUUUAAAUUAACUACCCCUAGAUGUUGGAUUUUCUAGAACUUCAAAAUGAUUAAUGGAGAAAGAUCCCAUUAUCGUUAUUGCUAUAAAAAAUUGAUUUAUGCAUCCAAAGAUACAUUAUAUAUUUCUGUGUCUCUAUUUAUAGAUGACAUUUAAGCAUCCAUAAACCGUCAGACAGAGGAAGGGGGUUCAGUGCAAAGAUUCUGUUGACCUAGGGUUGACUGCAUAAUGUCACUUGUUCGCAAUCUAUUAUUCUUUUCAAGGUCUGCUUCCUUAACGGAGCGACCAAUGUUUUUCAACUAAAUUUAUCAUAUGAUGCAGGAAGCAGGGCAGGAUAUGAAAUGUGAAGCUCAUUGGUGGAAGUAUUGCCAGUAACAGAACCCAAAGAAAAUGAAACUAUUUCAAGGCAGCAGUUGGCAGUUGCAAGUGAAUGGAGGCCCUUGACAAAAUUCUCAAGCGGUUGCAAUGCAAUUACGAUCAUCCUCAGCCUCAGGUAAUUUCUUCUCCUGCUUUGUAUUUAUUUGUUAUCUAAUUAGGAACCGUAAAGUAUCUUGAAUCAUUUUCUGUAUCUGGAAUAUAUGCAAGAGUUUCUAAAAUUUUGAUAUGAGUGUAAUGAUGGUAAUUUCUGUUUUCUGUCUGUCAUCAAAUGUUAGAAAACUUUCAUUGAGACCCUUGAACCGAGUCAUUUUUGACAAGUGAAGUGCUGAAGAGUGAAGAGUAAGAAUGGUGCUAGAUUGGGGAAUAAAGCAAAAGGAGGUAAAUUAUUGGCAGCUUCUUCAACCUUAUUUUCUUUGGACCAGUGCCUAAUUCACAAGUCUCCAUAAUUCGGCUUUUGACCAGUUGAUAGAUAAAAUUUUAAUUUCAUUGGUGCUAAUGUACCCGUGAGGCAGGCAGAGAAGGACUGUGGAAAAGAGAAGGUUUUUAGUGAAAGCUUAAACUCAGGUAAUUCUAAAAAUUAUAUGUUUUGGCUGAUUUAUCUAAAUCAGGAAAUUUUAUUUCCAUCUGUUACAAUAAAACAGAAACAGAACACAAAGAAAAAUAUUCUACUUCUUGUGGCAAUCUUGCCUUCAUUCAGACUAUGAAACCAUUUCCUUUCACCAAUUUCUUCCAAAAGUUUGAACACAUUUCAUGGUUGGACAUAGUUAGCUUCUUUUUCUUUUGGUGCAUUUAGGUGCUAUCAAGUGACAGCCGUAAGUAUGAUUGCAUUAUUGGGAAAUUUUAGGUUUUGAUGGCUCCCCAUGUUAUUGCCAAGAAAUUUUAAGUCCUCGUGUCAGAAGCUGCGUUUCUUUUCAUCAGCCUGAACCCGAACCUGUCACUAUGGAUAACUGAGGUUUUUGUCAUCAACUAUAUCAUCUUUUUCACUGUUUUGAAACUCUUAAGAUUAAACUUCAGUAAAGUUGUUUCAGUUAUCCAUGUAAUCAGGCUAAGGAUAUUUAGCAGCUUAUUUAGGCAACUGCCAGAAUUCAGUUUGUUCGCUCGAAACUUGUAUGGUGACAAGGAUACUGGCAAGGAUAGUGAGAUAGUUUUUUGUGUGAGUGAAUUUUGAAAGCUUGGGUGUUCUGGGAUUUGCAAUUGCAAUCAUCCUCUGCUUUAGGUGAUUUCUUCUCCUGUUCUGUCUUUAUUUUCUCUCUAAUUGAAAGCAUUUCAAUCAAAUUCUGUACCAGGAAUACGAAAAAUUUACCAAUAUUUUAUUUCCAUCUGUUUGCAUUGAUAACUUGGCCGCAUAUGUACUAGUUAAAGAACAAACAGAAGCAGAGUUCAGGAAAAAGUUUCUUCGGCCACCAUAUUUGAAAAUGAAACCAUUUCCAGGAAGCAGUUGGCAGCAAAUUCAUACAAAGUAUAGACAAUGAUGAACAAAAAGGUGAUUCGCAAUUUCAUUUUUUUAAAAUGAAAUUAUUUGUUAAGUUGGAGCUGAUAUUGUUAGAAGGCCAUUGAGCUAACCUCUGACACUGCUUGCCUAGAUUGCAGGAGGUCAAGACUCAAAAGAUGCACUGAAUUUUAAAAGGCAUGCAAUAAUUCUUAUGGCCAUUUGUCAAUGGUGGAAUGCUUUUAGCUUCUUUUCCUUUUGUGCAUUUUGGGGUUCUAUCAAGCGACAGCCGUAUGUAUGGAUGGAUAUAGCUGCUGCGUUGAUUUCUAAUGCAUUGUAUGAUGUUAUAGCAACUAUCCAUCUGGUCAAUGUUUCAAAAGAAUAAGACAGGGAAAAAGAGAAAGCAAGUGGCCAAUCAAGUUGCAUCAACCAAAUUGUUGUUAAACAAGUAAAACAAAGAAAGAGAGUUAAGGAAGCUGACCUUGUAGUAGGGGAGCUGAAGAAAGGCUGCCAGUGAAUGUAAGAGAAAAUAAAAUGCAAGAAAUGGUGAAGUGCAGCUUUUCAUGUCAACUUGAAAUUGAUUUUUCUGUUUGUUUUUUUUUUUUUGUAAUCUUUUGGAUUUUUCAAACAAAGAAAAUGAGGAGCAACCAGGGAGAUAAAAAGGGCGCCAAGGCAACUGUGUGUUGGGUUUAGAGCCAAAAAUAAAUAAAUAAAUAAAUAAGACAUCGUGUUCUUGUGGAGACCAGACCUAUUACGUAACGUCCCCUUCAAUACCACUUGUUCCGUAUCUGGUUUUCUCUUCGUCGUUUACAUAUUUAUCCUGUGAUUUUACAAUAACUAAAUAAUCCCCGCAUAGUUUGCAAUUUUAUUCAUUUGGGCCCUACAGAUUUCAGUAAUAGGAAUUAUUAAGGGACAAGAGCGCAAAACAGAAACUCUGUCCACUACUGAUGAUAUAAUAACGAACCUUUGUUUUUUUUUUUUAAAAAAAAAAAGAGUAACAAAAUAUCAUUAGACAAAUGAAAAUAUUAUCUAACAUCACCUAUUCACCUUACUGAUGAUAUGAAAAUAUGUAUGUAUGUAUGUAUGUAUGUACAUAUAUACAUACACCUAUGUAACAUUUACUUAUACAUUCUUUUGAGUUUAAAUCUUAAUACAACUACAUACAACCACAUCAAUGUAUAUAUUUUUUACAUAAGACAUGCCGUCCUAUUAUUCAUAAGUAAACAAUGUGCCGUAAAUAGUAUUCUGUGUUUUCUCAAAGUUGACUUUUCGUCUUUUAUUUUCAGACGCAGACGCUAUGUCAUUUUGUAAUCGUCCGAACAUAUACAGAGCAGAAUUGGUGUUAUCUGAUUUUGUGAUGCAAUAAGAUUUGCACUUCCUGUGCAUUCAAUGGAAUCAUGCCACGCUAGUAGACAAUAUGCUAGUUUGAACAAACUUGUUUGAAUGGCAAAAACGACAUGACCUGCUGUAGUAUUAAUUCUUUCCCGAACCAACGGGUGAUUUGCUACGUUGGAUCAUGAAAAUUAACCAAAAUAAAAAUUCUUAAGGAAUUAGUUAGUUAAUUGAUUGAUCGAAUUUAAUCUAAAUUUGAAAAUGAUAAGAUAAAUUUAAAUUUAUUAUUAUUAUUAUUAUUAUUAUUUUAAAGUGGGUGGGUUUAUACAAUUUGAGCGGUGGAAAUAUCACUGCUGAAUUAUUAAAUAUACAGUGUAAAAUUUUGACCUUUAAAAUAUUCCCUUUUUUUUUUUAUUUAGCACUAUAAGUUUAAAAAUUUAACAUUUUACCUCAAUAAUUAAAUACUUUUAACUUUAAUCUUCAAAUAUUUACCCUACAACAUUUGGACCUAAAUUUUUAAUCCGACUCGGCCCCUGACCCAAGUGGGAAGAAGAUCAGGCUUAUAAGUUAUAACUAUCACCAACAUAACAUCUUCUGGAAAAUAAUAAGAUUACUCACCUGCAAUUAUGUGAUCAAACUAAUGGUAAGCAAAAUAGAACAGCGUUAUUUCAGUCCCCUUUCAGUUUCUUUAUCAUUUUUCUUUUCCUAUUUAUAAGCUUAAUUCGGUUCAAAAUCGGCUAAUUCACUUUGAUUUCACUUUUCUUUCUUUCGGUUCAAAAAAAUUGAACCCAUUGGCUGUCAAUUCAAUUUUGUUGAAAACCAACUUUGCCUGAAUUUAAGUAAUAAUAGAGGAAAAAAAAAGAGUACUUAGCAGAAGAGAUUUCUCAUUUUUUUCUCAUUCAAACUUCUAAAAUAAAAGAAAAAAAAACAAGAGUAAUUGUUAAUUAUCAAAAUUUUGUUUAUACUAUUCCACCAAGAAAAUUAUACAAAAAAAAAAAUUUUAAAAAUUGGAGAAGAAAUAUGAGGUGAAAUACGUGGAUGGCUUAGACUAAUAAUGUGAACAAAUUCCUCUUGGAAGCAUGUCAUUGUUCAUCCGGACAACACGCGGCGAUGAGAUUCGAGAAUAAAAGGAUAGGAAUCAACUGUAACCUCAUAAACAAAUGGCCUUGGAGUUGUAACCAAAGCUUUUAAUUAUUGAUCAUUAAGAUCGAUAUAAAGUAUCACGAAAUGAUGUGUACGACGACAAUAUCAAUAGCGUAGUGUGAAGACCUGGCUGUAAACACAAGGCUCGGCAGAUUAAUUAAACAAGAGUAUCCGAAUUUUCUAUGAUAAUCUCUAGGAAACGAUCAGCUAUAAUGUACGAAAUUAAAAUAUUGCAUAUAUUUUUGAAUUUUUGAACUCAUGCAUUAAUUUAAAAAAUUAUAUCGUAUUAUAAUUUAUUCACAAAAGAAAGAAAAAUUCACUAAUCAAGUGAAAUCGUAUUCUUAUUGAAAUGAAUUCCAGUAAUUGGAUAAAUAUAAGUAUUUCUUCCGUUGUAAUUUUUGUUUAACAGAAAAUCUAUUUGAGAUUUUGUGAGAAGAAACUCAACAAUAAAGUUUGAUAGACUUUGUGGAUAUUAAGAGUUUGACAAGUAAUUGAAAUCUGAAGUUUACUGAAAUUUACGAGCAAACAAACUGAAAUCCGAAGUUUACUGAAGUUUACUAUCAAGAGUUUCAAAACAGUGAAAAAGAUGAUAUAGUUGAUGACAAAAACCUGAGUUAUCCAUAGCGACAAGUAACAUACUGAAGUAAGCCGUUGGGAGCUGGCCUGUUCAUGGGCUAUUUUUCUCUGAUGAUCUGCAUUUUUCUUCCUUUUAAAGUGAACCUUGACUCGUAUCAAACCUGUCAAAAGAACAGUUCAUCAACUGAGCUGAGAUUUGCUUUCCUUUUUCAAAACCCACCUGAGAUAUUGUAAUUCCCAAAUUUCUCUCUCUCAGCUACACGAGCAAGCAGCCGCUUUUUCACUUCAUCGAAGAAGGUAAGCGAUUUAUCUAUUUCGUCCGAUUGAUUUCUUGUUUCGUUUUCAGUGUUCGGGUAAAUUAUUGGCAUGCCUGACUUUUUGACCAUUACAUGAUUCAUAAAUUUCUAUUAAUUUUGAUUUUGAGUUGACUGGUUACUUUUAUAGGUUUGUUUACUUUGACUAGGUGACCAAUUUCUUGUAACUAAAUUUAUGACGUGAUGCAGGAAGCUCGGCAGGAUAUGAAAUGAGAAUCUUAUUAGUGGAAGGAUUGCCAGUAACAGAACCCAAAGAAAAUGAAACCAUUUCAAGGCAGCAGUUGGCAGUUGGGAGUGGAUGGAGGCCCCUGACAAAACUUCAGUAAACUUCAGAUUUCAGUUUGUUUGCUCGAAACUUGCAUGGUGACAAGGAUACUGGCAAGGAUAAUGAGAUAGUUUUUGUGUGAAUGAAAUUACGAUCAUCCUCAGCCUUAGUUGUUAUUUGUUACCUAAUUAAGAAGCAUAAAGUAUCCUGAAUCAUUUUCGUUGUCUGGAACAUAUGAGUGUAAUGAUUGUAAUUUCUGUUUUCUGUCUGUCAUCGAAUGUAAGACAACUUUAUUAAGAUUCUUGAACCGAGUCAUUUUUGACAAUUGAAGGACAAGUGCUGAAGAGUGGGAAUGCAAAAAGUUUUGUUGUUUCUAGCCUUGUUUUCUUUGAACCAGCGCCUGAUGAUAUAACAGAAACAAGGCUAGAAACAACAAAAACUCUGUCCACUACUGAUGAUAUAACAACGAACCUUUGUUUUUUUCUUUUUUCUUUUUUUUUUUAAAAAAAGUAACAAAAUAUCAUUAGAGAAAUGAAAAUAUUAUCUAACAUCACCCUACUGAUGAUAUGAAAAUAUGUAUGUAUGUAUGUAUGUAUAUACGUAUGUAUGUACAUAUAUACAUACACCUAUGUAACAUUUAAUUAUACAUUCUUUUGAGUUUAAAUCUUAAUACACAUUUUCAUGAAAUUUUUAUUUUAUUAAGUAUACAACUACAUACAACUACAUUAAUGUAUAUAUUUUUUACAUAAGACAUGCCGUCCUAUUAUUCAUAAGUCAACAAUGUGUUGUAAAUAGUGUUCGUGUCUCAAAGUUGACUUUUCGUCUUUUAUUUUCAGACGCAGACGAUAUGUCAUUUUAUACACAGCAGAAUUGGUGUUAUCUGAUUUUGUGAUGCAAUAAGAUUUGCACUUCCUGUGCACUCAAUGGAAUCAUUUCUUUGUAACUAAUUGGGUGCUGGAAUGGUGGUCAAAUCUCGAACGAAGACAGAUCUAUCAAACUCCAGAAUUGGUGUUAUCUGAUUAAUUGAUUGAUCGAAUUUUAUCUAAAUUUGAAAAUGAUAAGAUAAUUUUGAAUUUAUUAUUAUAAUUAUUAUUUUAAAGUGGGGUGGGUUUAUACAAUUUGAGCGGUGGAAAUAUCACUACUGAAUUAUUAAAUAUACAGUGUAAAAUUUUGACCUUUAAAAUAUUCCCUUUUUUUUUUAUUUAGCAUCUAUAAAUUUAAAAAUUUAACAUUGUACCUCAAUAAUUAAAUACAUUUAACUUUAAUCUUCAAAUAGUUACCCUACAACAUUUGGACCUAAAUUUUUAAUCCGAUUCGGCCCCUGAUCCAAGUGGGAAGAAGAUCAGGCUUAUAACUAUCACCAACGUAACAUCUUCUGGAAAAUAAUAAGAUUAUUCACCUGCAAUUAUGUGAUCAAACUAACGGUAACCAAAAUAGAACAGCGUUAUUUGAGUCCCCUUUCAGUUUCUUUAUCAUUUUUCUUUUCCUAUUUAUAAGCUUAAUUCGGUUCAAAAUUGGCUAAUUCACUUUAAUAAGUUUAUUGGUUUGAACGCUGUUAGCUUCUUUUCCUUUCGUGCAUUUUGGUAUGCAACAGUUCUUGCCUAUGACACUGCUUGCCUAGAUUGCAGAAGGUCAAGGCUCAAAAGAAGCACUGAAUUUUAAAAGGCAUGCAACAGUUCUUGUGCCAUAUGUCAAUUCAUGCAAGUUUGAAUAAGUUUUUUGGUAUGCUAUCAAGUGACAGCCGUAUGUAUGGUUUGCAUAUAGCUGCUGCUGGGAAAUGUGAGGAUUUCAUGGCUGGCCGUGUUAUUGUCUUAAAUUAGAUGUGAUAAGCUGUUGCUUGGUGAUUCUGUUGCCAAGAAUUUGCUCACAUCAGAAGCUGUGGAACCUGAACCCUUCUCUAGAUAUCAUCUUUUUCAUUGUUUUAAAACUCUCAGGAUUAAACUUGAGUAAUUUUGUUCGGUUGUCUAUAUAAUCAUGUAUUGAGUAAACUCUCAGGAUACUGAGCAGGCAAAUGCCAUAACUCGGUUUGUUCUUCAAAAACUUGUUUAAGAUUCUUGACAAAGCUGCAUGAAGUGAAUCUUGGGAGCUUUGAGGGUGAGAGAAAUUAGAGGGUGUAUAGGGAUUUGGGCUUAUUAGGAAGUUAUAUAUGUAUUUCGUCACUUAUCAUUAUCAUUUUUUUUUUCACAGAAAACCUUCUGAUGGUGCUAAAUUUUCAAACACCGGUCCGAUUCAAAACUUCAUAUUCCAAUUAUAUUCAUAAGACAAAUGGAACACUUUGAACGGCUUGUGUCCGAGCAUUGUAGUUUGAUUUAUUUUGAUGACAGUACCUUUUGACAUUGAGAUUCUUUCAUGAUUUAAACAUUCUUUUAAAAACUAAAUUAUUAAAAAAAAAGUAACUAACAUAUAUUAUUUUAUUAGUGCUUUUUAAAUCAAAUAUACAUAGGAGAACUGUAAUUCUUAGCAAUCAAUUUUCCACUAAAUACACCUGCAACAAACUAUUAAUAGCAAAGUGAUAGAAAAUACCUGAUUUUUCAUACUUUCUAAUUUCUUUUGGUCCUAAAAUAUGGGCAUUUGUGUAAUAAUUAGCCCAUGUGGAUCUCUAUGCCAUGAGUUUGAUAAGUAGCUAUCAAGGAUCACUUAUUAAGCUAAAAAUAUUUGGAGGACAAAAUUGUAAAACUAAAAGGGUGGAGCAAAUAUGGCUAUCUAGGAUUAAAUAGUAAGUCAACUAUAUUUAAAGGAUAAAAUAUUAAAACUUGAAAUGUGAUAUUAAAAAUAUCUCAACUAUUAUGUUAUUAAACCAUAUGUUGUAAUAGUUUAUUUUUUAAGCUUCAAAAUGUUCAGGAUUUUAGAUUGAAACAUUUUCAUUUGAAAUUAUUUGGUGCAGUCACAAGUUAAGAAAGAAAAAGUUGUCCCAUUGGUCAUUUCACAAAAAUGAAAGCCCUGUAUAACAUGGGCUUGAAUGGAAGCCCAAUUGUUUGUGUUUGAUUAAUUGAUUUCAAGCUUUAUCGAACCUUUGUACCUGGAUACUUUACUGCGGCCUCUAAGCGCUAUAAAUUUUUUUGGGGAUAAACGGCGCUUCAAUGAGGUCAUCUCCGAUGCUUAACACCAUUUUGGUGUAAUACCAACAUUAAAAAUAUACAUUUUUCACACUAAAUUACUAUUUCAUCUCCAACCCAUUUACACCAAAAAAAAUAUUUUUCUUUUUAUUCUUUUAAUUCUCAAGAAUUAAUUCAAUUAACACAAUAAAUACUACUAUUAACAUAGAUAAUUAAGUAAUAAGUAAUUUUAUCGAUUAACAAAAAAAUAUAGAAAAUUAUUAAAUUUGCAUUUAAUUAACUAAAUUAGUACAUUAUGAAAAUUAAACAUUACAUUAAUAUAGAAAAAUACAAUAACAAUAAUAAUAAUUUUAUAUCUAAUAUUUUGAUGAUAUUGGAGGAUCUAAUAAUGAUCUUCCAGAUUAUUAAAUAAUUGUUCUAAUUUAUACUAGUAGUAGUAGCUUUUUUAAUUUGUGUUAAUUUAAUUUUGUAAUAUGUAAUAUAGUAAUUAAUGUUACUAGCAUUUUAUUAUUAUUAUUAAUUUUUGUGUUGAAUAUUUUUUAUUUAAAAUAUUAGUAUAAUAUUCAAAAAUUAAAAAAUGAAAUAAAAAUAAUAACAAAAAUAAUAAUAAUAAUAACUUAAAAUAUUAUAUAAAAUAGGACAUAUAUGUAAAUAAGAAAAAGUAAUAAAGAUAUUUAAGAGCUUUUUUUCCUAGCACCAAAUGAAUAGUGUUACACCAUAUUUGGUGCAAUACUAUUCACAACACCAUUUUGUUGUUGGUUUUGGUGUUACAUUGGAGAAGCAUUUUACACCAAAAAUAGUGUAAAAGGUGGUUUGGUGUUAGUUUUGGUGUCACAUUGGAGAUGGCCUGGAAAAGCACUUGAAAACUUUGGAUUUUUGGUUCGUCCAGUUACGGUGUUAUGCUAACGGGGUUAAAGGUUCCGAUCCAAUGAGUUAGGAUCCGAAGGUUACUGAAGUUUACUAUCAAGAGUUUCAAAACAGUGAAAAAGAUGAUAUAGUUGAUGACAAAAACCUGAGUUAUCCAUAGCGACAAGUAACAUACUGUUUAUUACAGAGAAACAAACGACAACAUGAUACUAGUAGUAGUUAUUCUUUUCAUCCGAUAUAUUACAUGGUAAUAUCACUACUCGUUCCACUAGUUUCAUGUACACUGUCGACCAGCAACAUGAUAAUUUCGUGCCAGUUCAUUUUGGUUUGUUGGAAAAAGCAGUGUAUUUCUUAGAACUUGAAAAUAAUAAAAAUAUUUUAAAAUAUAAAUUGCAUAUUUGUUUAUUACCAUUCUUUGGUCUAUUUCUUCUGUAGACUUUUCAGAAUCUGUAGGACGUUAGUUUAUAACUUUGGGAUUUUGUAGCCCUAAUUUUUUUUUUUGGCAUUUUAUUUUGCUGCUUUAUCUAUGUGCAUGUUAACUAAAUUAAGCUAAUCUAGAAUUAAUAGAGAGGGAUAUUUAUCUAUUUUGUUUAACCUUUACCACUCUAGGCAUUGUACUACAUGUGAGCUUGUGAUGCUUGCAUUUUAUUGAUGUUGAUGAUUCGUUGAAUGUUUUAUUUUUUGAUUUUUUAAGUUUUCCAGAGUCAUGUUUGUGUCUACGAAGAAAUUGUAAAGGCUGUGCACGAAGCACUUGUCAUUCUUUAGACUUUAUUGAUUAUAUUUUUGUCAGAUUUGCGUGUAUAUUCACAUAUGUUUUAUUUUUUCAUUUUGUAGGACAUUUUUACAUGCCAUAUUAUCACGACUCUUCUGUGUCUGAAUAAGAAGAAAGCAUAAUGCGACCCUCCAACAGCUUAAUCUAUGGAAUUAUCGUGUUUUGUAAGUUCUGGUCCAAUGGCGUUUUGGCACAUCAUAUGAUAGACCACUAUAUUGCGUUGCUUUACAAAAGAUUAAUAUUUUUAAAAUUAUUAACUCAUGAUAUGAUAGUCCAGGUUUUCGAGGACCACUAUAUUGUAUGGAUUUAAAAAAAAUUAAUAUUUUUUAAUAUUAAUAUUCUAAAUUAUAUUCAGUUAAAAUAUUAAAUAUUAAAUACAUUCUUAACAUUAAUAUUCUUAGAUGAAAUUCUUUUGCUGACUUAAGAAUAAAGUAUUAAAUAAUUUUAUUUUUCUUUUAUUUUGUAACGUGGACCCAAAAAAAAAAGGAAAUGAAUUUAAUAAAACCUUCAUUCCGCCAACAUGCAUGUUAAUUGUUUCCAAAUUCCAACCUCCGUACUCUCUUGAGGAGUUUCCCAUUCAUCAAUUAUUAUUUUUUAUAAUCCAUACCAUCCUGAUAUAAUUAAACACCAUUAAUAAUGUACCAGCCUUUAAAUAGUAAUUAAUUUAUUUAUCUAAUUCACCAAAUGUUUUUUUCCGGUACAUAUCUCCAUUGGUAUCAAGAAGAAGCAGAACCCAAAGAAAUGUUUCUUGCAUCUUCAUAUUUGUGCGAAUUCAUCCUUUCAUUGAGAAUAACCAUUUCCAGGCAGCAGUUGGCAAUCAAUUCAUGCGCAUGUCGAUGCUACUCAUAGAUAUUAAAGACAAUGAUGAACCAAAGGUAAUAAAUCAUAAAUGCAUAAUUACCAAACCUCCAUCCUUCUCUCAUUAUGACUUGAUUUUAAAUGAAUUAUUGCUUGGUAACAUUAUUUCCAACCAUUGCAAGAUUUUUUUUUGGAGAAAUUUCAAUUGAAAGUAAAACCUUUAGACAUUUACCUAAUGAAGUUAGUUAAUCGGGAGGGUGGAAAAAAAAAAGUUGACGCAAGUCAAUACACAAUAAUUAAUUAAAUCCGGAGUCACUAAAACAGAGCCACGACUUUUUCAAAAAUAUCUGCAUUCAUCACUUUCUCCAGCAACUAGUCAGCUACACACGAAUCAAUUUCUCUCCUCGUUUGUCAUCCAAAAUUAUUCACCAAUACCAUGGCUGAUGCAAUCGUUUCCCCGCUCUUGGAGCAGCUGAUUUCCUUCGCUGCUGAAGAGAUAAAACAACAGGUGAUCGAAGUUACACCCCUCAUAUUACAAAUACUUCCAAUGAUUUUAAUUGGUUUUGUUUUUAUCAAAAACAUUAUAUAUUUUUGCUUUUUUUUAUUUAUCUGAUAAUUUUAUAUUUUGAAAUUUGAAUUGAAUUUAAUUAAAAGGUGAUGUAGUAACCACUUAUUUUUAUUUUAUUUCAUUUAUAUUCUCAAUAACUACUCAUAUUUUGGUAACUUACUAUAACUUCCAUAUCUAAGAAAUGAUCCAAACCCACAAUUUUAACUAUGUAUAAAUAUUCAACGUUGAGCUAAGGUUUUGCAGAACAUUCAAGUUUAUCAAAUAGUCAUUAAUUUAAUGUUUUAGUAAAACCUCAACUCAUCACUGAAUCCCAUAGCUAUUACUUAGACACUAUGAAAAAUUUCAUAGUUUUCUUACAUUCUUUCAGUUUGGUAAGUGAUUUCAUAUAAUUUCUUUUCAAGUUAAAUUUUAAUUUGGUUUCUGAUAUAGUCUCUUUGCCGAAUUGUAUCUUUUAUGAUUCUUGGAUUUUGGGCUCCAACUUUUUAGGAUUUGAUAGUCACAUUUUAUGCCAUGCUCAGAUUGAUUUUCAUGAUUUUUAGUACCCGUUAAGUGACGUACAAUUUGACAAAAGUUUGAAAGGAAAUAUGUUUCAGAAUUCUGUUUUAAUUGACCUUUUAGUGGAAUUAGGAUGCUUAUAACUUAAUGUGGAUGGUUCGUAAAAUCAUGAAAUUUGGAUAGGAUUCACUAGCAAUAUGUACAAGACUCCCCAUAAAGUUUCAUAAUUUUUCAUUCGGUCUGGGGUGGUACAGGUGAAACUUGUGGUUGGUGUUGAAAAAGAAGUGAAAAGCCUUACCAGCCAUCUUCAAGCCAUUCAAGUUGUGCUCGAUGAUGCAGAGGAAAAGCAAGUGAAGGAAAAAGCUGUUAGUCUUUGGCUGGGUAGGCUCAAGUAUGCAUCCUACGACAUUGAAGAUGUGUUGGAUGAGUGGAUAACAACAAGACGCAAAUUGCAAAUUGAGGGUGGCGUUGAUGAAAAUGCUCUUGUUGUUCCUCAUAAGAAAAAGAAGGUAUGUCUCUGCUUUCCCGGCUCUUGUUUUGGAUUCAAACAAGAAGAAUUUGGUUUCAAACAGGUCUUUCUCCGUCAUGACAUUGCCGACAAGAUCAAAGAAAUCAAUGAAGAGCUACAUGAUAUUGCCGCUCAAAAAGACAUGUUUGAUCUUGUUAAGAGUGGCAAUAAAAGUAGUGAAAGACCAAGGCGUGUACAGAGUACCUCCUUGAUUGAUGAGGAAGAGAUUUGUGGCAGAGUUGGUGAGAGGAAUGAACUCUUAAGCAAGCUGUUGUGUGAGAGUAGCGAGCAACAAAAAGGCCUUCAUAUCAUCUCAAUCGUUGGUAUGGGAGGCAUAGGGAAAACAACUCUUGCACAACUAGCUUGUAAUCAUGACGAGGUGAAGAGAAAGUUCGACAAAAUUCUGUGGGUGUGUGUAUCAGAAACUUUUGAGGAGUUUAGGGUUGCCAAAGCGAUCGUUGAAGUUUUGGAUGGUCGUGAAUCUCAUUUAGCUGAAUUCCAUUCUCUUCUUCAACAUAUUUAUGAAUCCAUUGCAGGGAAGAGCUUUCUUCUUGUCUUAGAUGACGUGUGGGAUGGAAAUUACUUGAAAUGGGAACCAUUCUACCAUUGUCUAAAGAAUGGUCUCCAUGGAAGUAAAAUUUUAGUUACCACACGUAAAGGGUCAGUCGCAUCCAUGAUGGGAUCCAUAGAUAUUAUCUCCGUUAAGGAGUUAGCUGAAGAGGAAUGUUGGUUGUUGUUUAACAAGAUAGCAUUUUUUGAUCGGUCCAUCGAGGAACGUGAAAAAUUAGAACAAAUUGGGCAAAGAAUUGCAGGCAAGUGCAAAGGUUUACCUCUUGCAGCAAAGACAAUAGGGAGUCUCAUGCGUUCUAAACAAACUGAAGAAGAGUGGAAAAGAAUUUUAAAUAGUGAUUUAUGGAAAGUAGAAGAGAUUGAGAAAGAUGUUUUGUCCUCUUUAUUGUUGAGUUAUAAUGAUUUGCCAUCUAGAGUAAAAAGAUGUUUUUCAUAUUGUGCUGUCUUUCCAAAAGACUACAAUAUAGAAAAAGACAAACUAAUCACGUUAUGGAUGGCUCAAGGUUAUCUUAGUGCAGAAGAAGAUGAAGAGAUGGAGACAGUAGGUGAAGAGUAUUUUGGCAUCUUAGCUUCUCGCUCAUUUUUUCAAGAGUUUAAGAAAAGUUAUGAUAAUCGGAUUAUAGAGUGUAAGAUGCAUGAUAUGGUACAUGAUUUUGCCCGAUUUGUAAGUCAAAAUGAAUGUUUUUCGAUGGCAAUUAAUGGUAGUGAAGAACCAAACGCCACAAACUCUCUUGAUGAGAAGGUCCGUCAUUUAAUGUUAAUCUUUAGUAUAGAGGCUUCAUUACCUGUUUCCACUUGUAGAGUUAAAAGAAUUCGUAGCCUCUUAAUUAACGAUAGUAGAUCUGAUCAUUCAUUAUUAAAUGGUGAGAUCCUAGAAGAAUUAUUUAGGGAAUUGACAAGUUUAAGGGCAUUAGAUUUUUGCAAAUCGUAUAACGCAAGCUGGUCUUCGACUCUGGAGAUUCCGAGAAACAUAGAAAAGCUGGUACAUUUAAGAUACCUUAAUUUGUCUUAUCAGGGAAUAAAGAAACUACCGGAGACAUUAUGCGAGUUGUAUAAUCUAGAAAAGUUAGAUAUUAGUUAUUGUUAUAAGCUAGAAGAAGUACCUGAAGGGAUUGGGAAGUUAAUAAACAUGAAGCAUUUACGAAAUAGAGGUACUAGUUCUUUAAGGUACAUGCCGGUAGGGAUUGGGAGAUUAACGGGUCUUAGGACCUUGGGUGAGUUCCACGUGAGUGCAGGAGGAGGUGUUGAUGGUAGGAAAGCAUGUAGGCUUGAAUCUCUUUAAAACUUGGAACACCUUCAAGUAUGUGGUAUAUGUAGACUGGGUGAUGUAUCAGAUGUGGGCGAGGCUAAGCGAUUAGAACUUGACAAAAAGAAAUACCUCUUCAGUUUGACCCUUGAGUUUGAUAAGACGGAAAGAGGAGGAGAAAGGAGGAAGAACGAGGACGAUCAACUUCUUCUUGAAGCCUUGCGACCACCCCUGGAUUUAAAGGAAUUAGAGAUACGGUACUACCGAGGCAACACUGUUUUCCCCAGCUGGAUGGCGUCAUUAACCAACUUAAAGAGUUUACAUCUCCAUAGGUGCGAAAAUUGCGAGCAGCUGCCUCCUUUGGGAAAAUUGCCGUCCCUUGAAAAUCUCUACAUAUGGCGCAUGGAGAGUGUGAAGAGAGUGGGUGAUGAAUUUUUGGGGAUAGAAAGUGAUCAUCAUGACUCAUCGUCAUCUUCAUCAGUUACUAUUGCCUUCCCCAAAUUGAAAUCACUCACAAUUUAUUCGAUGCUGGAAUUGGAGGAGUGGGAUUAUGAGAUUACAAGAACAGGAAACACCGUCAUCAACAUCAUGCCACGUCUUUCUUCCUUGACAAUUGUUGAUUGCACCAAAUUAAAGGCACUGCCCGACCACAUUCAUCAAACGACAACGUUGAAGGAAUUGAGCAUUUUUAUGUGUUGGCUUCUGAACAAACGUUACCGCAAGGGGAAAGGAGAAGACUGGCCUAAAAUAUCACACAUUCCCAACCUCCAUAUUGGGCUUUGACAAGUAAUUUCUUCUCUCACUCUGAUUUGCUUUGUUGUUGUUUUUGUUGAAAAGUUAAAAAGUUUGGUUGGAAAAGAAAAGUGAGCCACAUGCAUUGCUUUUGUUUUUCAAAGUCGGCACCAAAUUGCAAACUGUAUUUGGCAUUUGACAAUCCUGCACCAAAUGAAGAAAAAUGCAAAAGUUAGCAAAAUUUGUCAAAUUGACAGAGAUGGAGAUUGAUAAAUUGCAGAGGGAUUAGGUGGAAUAGUGCAUGCUUGAAGCCUAUAAAUUGAAGCCAUUUCUUCAUUCUAAAUAAUCCCAAAAUUGUUAAACUUAUAAGUUUCUAAGCUUUUGAGAGAAGUGAGAGAAGUGUGUCUGUGGAAUUUAUUUUUCCUGCAGAGUGUGAGAGUACUUGGUAUAUUUGGGUUUCUGGGAAGUGAGAUUCGUUACUCAAAUAUUGUAUUCUAUUAAUUGUUAAAUAAACAAUUAUUCUUUCUUACCUCCGUGGAUGUAGGUUUAAUUACCGAACCACGUAAAAUCUUGUGUCCUUUAUUUUUCAGUAAUUAUUUGGUGCGCUUGAUUCCGCAUUCCGCGCACAACAGUUUUUAAUCUAAUUAAGAAGCGAAAAUAGCAUUUUGAAUCAAACUCUAUAUCAGAAAUCUGCAAUACUUACUUUCUAAUAUUCUGAUUUUCAUAUCCUAUGAAUAUACGAUUUUUAAUUUGUGAGAUGGGUAACGUUACUGUAAAAGAUUAUUAAUGCAAUAUGAGUAAUUCUUUUGCAGGACAAGUGACCUACAUUUAGUUUGGCUUUGGAGUUGAAUAAUAACCUUUCGAGGUCCCGACAACCAAAAAACAAAGCUUAAUUUGCCACAGAUUGAACGUAUUGCCAUUAUUGACAAUUUUCUGCACAAGUGUGACUGAACUUAGGUUGAUGUCAAAAGAGGUAAAUUAUUGGCAUGCCUCACUAUUUUGACCAUUACAUGAUUCAUAAGUUUACAUUAAUUUUGAUUUUGAGUUGAGUGAUUAGUUUUCUAGGUUUGCUUACUUUAACUGGGUGACCAAUUUCUUGUAACUAAAUGUAUGAUGUGAUGCAGGAAGCAGGGCAGGAUAUGAAAAGAGAAGCUUAUUAGAGGAAGGAUUGCCAGUAACAGAAUCCAAAGAAAAAGAAACCAUUUCGAGGCAGCUGUUGGCAGUUGGCAGUGAAUGGAGCCCCUUGAAAAAAUUCCCAAGCCGUUGCACUGCAAUUACGAUCAUCCUCGGCCUCAGGUAAUUUCUUCUCCUGCAUUUUUGUUAUUUGCUAUCAAGUGACUAUUUUAAGUAUGAUUGCAUUAAGCUGCUGCUGGGAAAUUUGAGGUUUUGAUGACUGCCCAUGCUAUUGUCAGAAGCUGCGGUUCUUUUCAUCAGCCUGAACCUGGACCUGCCGCUAUGGAUAACUCAGGUUUUUUUUUUUUUUUAAUCAACUGCCAUCUUUUCCACUGUUUAGAAACUCUUAAGAUUAAACUUUAGUAAAGUUGUUUUAGUUAUCCAUGUAAUCAGGCUGAGGAUACUUAGCUGCCUAUUUAAGCAAAUGUCAGAAUUUAGUUUGUUCGCUGGGAACUGGUGUGGACUGGCAAAGGAUGAUGAGAUAGUUUUUUGAGUGAGUAAAUUUUGGGAGCUUGAGUGUAUUGGGAUUUGCAAUUACAAUCAUCGUCUGCCUCAGGUGAUUUCUUCUCCUGCUCUAUCAUUGUUUGUUCUCUAAUUCAAAAGCAUAAAAUAUUUCAAUCAAUUUUUAUGCCAGGAAUAUGCAAAAGUUUCUAAUAUUUUAUUUCCAUCUGUUACAAGAUCAAACUGAAGUAGAACUCAAACAAAAGUAUGCUACUUCUUGCGGAAAUCUUGCCUUUGUUCAGAUUAUGAAACCAUUUCCAUGCAGCAAAUUCAUCCAAAAGUUUGAAUAAGUUUCAUGGUUGGACACUGUUGGCUUCUUUUUCUUCUGGGGUGCAUUUAGGUGCUAUCAAGUGACAGCUGUAAGUAUGAUUGCACUAAGCUGCCGCUGGGAAAUUUGAGGUUUUGAUGGCUGCCCAUGUUAUUUUCAAGAAACUAUUGAUGUAAGAAGCUGUGGUUCUUUUCAUCAGCUUGAACCUGAAACUGUCGCUAUGGAUAACUCAGGUUUUUGUUAUCAACUAUAUCAUCUUUUUCACUAUUUUGAAACUCUUAAGAUUAAACUUUAGUAAAGUUGUUUCAGCUAUUCAAAUGAAAAACUCAUUGAUUUGAGACUUCCUUCAUUAUUGUUUCUAAUUACAAUGCUAACGAUCUAGAUAAAAUAAUAUUUAAUCGGCGCAGGUGUCCCUUGGAAGUACAUCCAACUUUUUCUUUUAUUAUAUAAAUUCUUGCAAUGAGCUUAGUGAAGCUGUUGUGCUAAUCAUGCCACUGCAUAAUUUGGCCCCUAAUGUGGGUACUCUGUUACAUUGUUCUGCAAAUUCUCCAGAAGUUAAAAUCAAUAAAUUUUCUAUUAGCUCUAGUGCUUUGACCUAAAUGCUAUUCUAUAUUUUGAUUACAAUGUUUUAACCUUUAAAUUAACUACCCCUAGAUGUUGGAUUUUCUAGAACUUCAAAAUGAUUAAUGGAGAAAGAUCCCAUUAUCGUUAUUGCUAUAAGAAAUUGAUUUAUGCAUCCAAAGAUACAUUAUAUAUUUCUGUGUCUCUAUUUGUAGAUGACAUUUAAGCAUCCAUAAACCGUCAGACAGAGGAAGGGUGAUGGGUGUCGAAGCCAACAAAAAUAAAUUCCUACUCUAAAUAAAUUGUGUAUAGUGAUUGAGCAGGGUCGUGUCCACAGAGAUCGGUAAUUAAUUAAAUCCUUUUGAAACGUAAAACAUAAAAUGGGGGAAUUGUUGACAAUAAUAAAAAUCAAAUUAAAAUAACAAGAAUGCAAAUUAAAGUUGUAAUUCAAAUUAGAGAAAGCUCUGGUUGAAGGAAUUAACUCAGCUUGAUUCGACUACUGAUCAUUGAUUCAAAUAUAGAUUAUUAUUACUCAUGAAUAGACCGGUUAUAGCUACUGAGACCCUCUAAUAGCCAAUCUCUCCUUAACUAGUCGAUAACCAAGGUACGACCAUUGGUUAUUUCCCUAAUCAAUAGACAACCCUAGAUACGAUCAUAGAAUUUAAUCAAUUGACAGCCUGAAAAACCAGAGAGACCCAAAUCCUAAUCAACACAUAUGAUGAUUCAUUUAAAUUAGAUUGUUUAUUCUCACAACACAACUCUCUGCUAUGUUAUUUGUCACAAACAUUAAAUUCUUCAUACGAUGAAUCCUUUAAUUGACAAUAGAUUAAGUUGAUAAUUAAAUAGUGGCCAAUUACCUAAUUAACAAACAUAAUCAUGAAAAUAAUUCAGAGAAUAAACAAAUACCCAAAAAGUAAUAAAACAAUUAAAGCACAAGAAAGAUCUCACAGUAGUGAUGAAUCAAAGCUUCAUUAACCUUCAACCAGAAAAAUAGGUUUAGCUCUUCAUAGAGAGAAGAGAAAAAUUAGAUCUAGGGUUUCUUUCUUUUUCUCCAAUCCAAAAAUCCCCCUUUUUCACAAUAGAUUCCUCCCUUAAAUACUUUCUCUCUCUUCUCUUUUAGAAUUCUAUUUAAAAUAAAAUCCUAAUAUCUGAAAUAUUAAAUUCGUAAUUACAAAAAUAACCAAAAAUACAAAACACGUUAAACUAAAAACUGCAGGUCCGCAGUUGACAGCACGCGCCCACGCCUUAUCAACAAAGUUCUUCUGACGCUCAUAAUUUCUCCAAGAGAACAAUCAUCCUUAAACAUCAUCUUAUAGCUCAAUUUUAUCAUCAAUCAAUAGAAUUGCACCUACAAAAGUAAAACACAAGUAAAUCACUAUUAUUAAGUGCAAAACAUUGAUAUUAAGGGAAGUAAAUAAUGCAAAACUAGUGCAUAAAUUGCACUCUAACAAAGGGGGUUCAGUGCAAAGAUUCUGUUGACCUAGGGUUGACUGCAUAAUGUCACUUGUUCGCAAUCUAUUAUUUAUUUUAUAUUUUGAAGAAUUUAAUGGGUAAUCCUAAUUGUUUGUUUUGGCAGGUAUGUGUUGUUAUCUCCUUCUAUCUAACAGUCGUACCUAAAUAGCAUAGUUUCAUCUGUGUUACCAUGUGAUGUACAUAAUUUCACAUUUGCCUCAGAUUAAGCUUAAUUUCCCACAAAAUAGAGCUGUCGCGACUGGACUUAGGUUGAUGUCCAAAGAGGUAAAUUAUUGGCAUGCCUAGAUAAUUUGGCCAUUUCCUAAUUCAUAAGUCUACAUUAUUUUUGAUUUUGAGUUGACUGAUUUCUUUUCAAGGUCUGCUUCCUUAACGGAGUGACCAAUGUUUUUCAACUAAAUUUAUCAUAUGAUGCAGGAAGCAGGGCAGGAUAUGAAAUGAGAUCUCAUUGGUGGAAGUAUUGCCAGUAGCAGAACCCAAUGAAAAUGAAACUAUUUCAAGGCAGCAGUUGGCAGUUGCAAGUAAAUGGAGGCCCUUGACAAAAUUCUCAAGCGGUUGCAAUGCAAUUACGAUCAUCCUCAGCCUCAGGUAAUUUCUUCUCCUGCUUUGUAUUUAUUUGUUAUCUAAUUAGGAAGCGUAAAGUAUCUUGAAUCAUUUUCUGUAUCUGGAAUAUAUGCAAGAGUUUCUAAAAUUUUGAUAUGAGUGUAAUGAUGGUAAUUUCUGUUUUCUGUCUGUCAUCAAAUGUUAGAAAACUUUCAUUGAGACCCUUGAACCGAGUCAUUUUUGACAAGUGAAGGACAAUUGCUGAAGAGUGGGAAUGGUGCUAGAUUGGGGAAUAAAGACAAAGGAGGUAAAUUAUUUGCAGUUUAUUCAGCAUUAUUUGCUUUGGACCACCGCCUGAUUCACAAGUCUCCAUAAUUUGGCUUUUGAGCAGUUGUUAAUAAAUUUUUAAUUCCAUUGGUGCUAAAUGUGCACGUGAAGCAGGCAGAGCAGGACUGUGGAAAUGAGAAGGUUUUUAGUGAAAGCUUAAACUCAGGUAAUUCUAAAAAGUACAUGUUUUUGCUGAUUUAUCUAAAUCAGGAAGUUUUAUUUCCAUCUGUUACAAGAUAAAACAGAAACAGAACACAAAGAAAAAUAUUCUACUUCUUCUGGCAAUCUUGCCUUCAUUCAGACAAUGAAACCAUUUCCUUUCACCAAUUUCUUCCAAAAGUUUGAAUAAGUUUCAUGGUUGGACAUAGUUAGCUUCUUUUUCUUUUGGUGCAUUUAGGUCCUAUCAAGUGACAGCCAUAAGUAUGAUUGCAUUAUUGGGAAAUUUUAGGUUUGGAUGGCUCCCCAUGUUAUUGCCAAGAAAGUCCUCAUGUCAGAAGCUGCGGUUCUUUUCAUCAGCCUGAACCCGAACCUGUCGUUAUGGAUAACUCAGGUUUUUGUCAUCAACUAUAUCAUCUUUUUUACUGUUUUGAAACUCUUAAGAUUAAACUUCAGUAAAGUUGUUUCAGUUAUCCAUGUAAGCAGGCUAAGGAUAUUUAGCAGCUUAUUUAGGCAACUGCCAGAAUUGAGUUUGUUUGCUCGAAACUUGUAUGGUGACAAGGAUACUGGCAAGGAUAGUGAGAUAGUUUUUUGUGUGAGUGAAAUUUGAAAGCUUGGGUGUUCUGGGAUUUGCAAUUGCAAUCAUCCUCUGAGUCAGGUGAUUUCUUCUCCUGCUCUGUCUUGAUUUUCUCUCUAAUUGAAAGCAUAAAGUAUUUCAAUCAAAUUCUGUACCAGGAAUACGUAAAAGUUACUAAUAUUUUAUUUCCAUCUGUUCGCAUUGAUAACUCGGCGGCAUAUGUGUUGUGCGCGGAAUGCGGAAUCAAGCGCGCCAAAUAAUUAUAGAAAAAUAAAGGACACAAGAAUUACGUGGUUCGGUAAUUAAACCUACAUCCACGGAGGCAAGAAAGAAUAAUUGUUUAUUUAACAACUAAUAGAGUACAAUAUUUGAGUAACGAAUCUCACUUCCCAGAAACCCAAAUAUACCAAGUACUCUCACACUCUGCAGGAAAUAUAAAUUCCCCAGACACACUUCUCUCACUUCUCUCAAAAGCUUAGAAACUUAUAAGCUUAACAAUUUUGGGAUUAUUUCAAAUGAACAAUUUCCCUUCUAUAUAUAGGAACCGUAGCUCACCUACCACUUCCAAUUUGGCUACAACUUGCCGAAUUGAUAAAUUGAAUUUAGAAUGGAAAAUCAAUUUGGUGAGCAACAAAAUCAACAAGUUUGAAAAAUCAAUUGGCUUCUAGAAAAACAUCACAUUUUUCCUCCAUACAAUUUCAACAAAAUCGUCCCACCAACCAUGUCUUUUGAAAUUUGCAUGCCAUUCUUUGACUUGUUGUGCGCGGAAUGCGGAAUCAAGCUCACCAAAAAUUACUGCAAAAAUAAAGGACACAAGAAUUUACGUGGUUCGGUAAUUAAACCUACAUCCACGGAGGCAAGAAAGAAUAAUUGUUUAUUUAACAAUUAAUAGAAUACAAUAUUUGAGUAACGAAUCUCACUUCCCAGAAACCCAAAUAUACCCAGUACUCUCACACUCUGCAGGAAAGAUAAAUUCCCCAGACACACUUCUCUCACUUCUCUCAAAAGCUUAGAAACUUAUAAGCUUAACAAUUUUGCGAUUAUUUCAAAUGAACAAUUUCCCUUCUAUAUAUAGGAACCGUAGCUCACCUACCACUUCCAAUUUGGCUACAACUUGCCGAAUUGAUAAAUUGAAUUUAGAAUGGAAAAUCAAUUUGGUGAGCAACAAAAUCAACAAGUUUGAAAAAUCAAUUGGCUUCUAGAAAAACAUCACAUUUUUCCUCCAUACAAUUUCAACAAAAUCGUCCCACCAACCAUGUCUUUUGAAAUUUGCAUGCCAUUCUUUGACUUUUCAACAAUUCUCCACCUCGGCGAAAAUUUUCCAAAUCUGAGCCGACUACCAACUAACCAUCCCCAAAGUGAUCCUUCAAUAAGGAUCCAGAAUGGCUGUGUCGAUUCGACUGCCUACGUACCCAAACUGUCUUGAUUUUCUCUCUAAUUGAAAGCAUAAAGUAUUUCAAUCAAAUUCUGUACCAGGAAUACGUAAAAGUUACUAAUAUUUUAUUUCCAUCUGUUCGCAUUGAUAACUCGGCGGCAUAUGUGUUGUGCGCGGAAUGCGGAAUCAAGCGCGCCAAAUAAUUAUAGAAAAAUAAAGGACACAAGAAUUACGUGGUUCGGGAAGCAGUUGGCAGCAAAUUCAUAUGGAGUGUAGACAAUGAUGAGCAAAAAGGUGAUUCUCAAUUUCUUUUUUUUUUAAAGUGAAAUUAUUUGUUAGAUUGAAGCUGAUAUUGUAAGAAGGCCAUUGAGCUAACCUAUGUCGCCACUUGCCUAGAUUGCAGGGGGUCAAGACUCAAAAGAAGCACUGAAAUUUAAAAAGCAUGCAAUAGUUCUUUUGCCAUGUAUCAAUUAAUGCAAGUUUGAAUAAAAUUAACAUAUAUCAAGACACAACUAGAAACAUCAUACUUUCGUGUAAGUUCAUUUCAGAAUAUUUCUUAGAGUUUGUAUAAAAUGAAAAGAUUUUAAAAUAUAAAUUUAAUAUUUGUUUAUUACCGUUGUUUGGUCUAAUUUCCUCGGGAGAAUUUUCAGAAUUUAUAGGACAUUAGUUUAUAAUUUUGAAAUUUUGUAACCUAAAUGUUUUUUUUUUUCGGUUACCAUUUUGUUUUCCUGCUUUAUCUACGUGUAUGUUGACUAAAACUAAUCUAUUUUGUUAAACCUUUACCACUUUAGACAUUGCACUAAAUAUGAGUUCGUGAUGCUUGCAUUUUAUUGAUGCUGAUGAUUCGUUGAAUGUUUUAUGUUUUUGAUUUUUAAGUAUUCCGGAUCGAAGUUUGUGUCUACGCGGAAAUUGUAAAGGCAGCAUAUAAAGUACUCGUCGUUCUUUAGAUUUUAUUGAGUACACUUUUUUCACAUUUAGCGUAUGCUAUACACUACUGAUUUGCGCAUUGACAUAUAACUUAUUUUAUCAUUUUGAAUGAAUUGCACGGCGAGGCUUAUCAACUUUGGAUGAAUCCUCCAAUUGUCACAGUCCAAGACUGGCUGCAGUGAGUGAAAAUUUACCCAUAUAUAUGCUGGCUAUUUUUAUUGGCGACGAAUUCGUUGUAGUUGGUCCAUCUUGCUAUUCUCGGACAAUAUUAGAGAAAAUAAUCAUAUUAUUUCGCGUGAUGUGACCUUCCAUAACUUAUCAAUUGAAUUACUGUAAAAUUAUUGUGUAAGUUUAGGCCCAAUGGCACUUUAGUUCAUCACAUGAUAGCCUGGAUUUAAAUGGAAAACUAUAUUGCAUUGCUUCAAAAAAAUAAAUUAAUGUUUUUAAUAUGAAUAUUUUUAACUAUAUUCAGUUAAAAUAAUAUAUUCUUAAUAUUAAUAUUCAUAGAUGAAAUUCUUUUGCGGAUUUAAGAAUAAAAUAUCAAAUAGUUUUAUUUUUCUUUUGUUGUGUAACUUGGACCGAAAAAGAAAAUGAGCUUAACAUGACCCUCCUUCCGGCACUAUGCAUGUUUUUCUUGUAUUGAUGACAGUGCUCUUGGUGCUUCUCAUCUGCUUCUUGCUUUGGUUUCAAACAAGUCUUUCUCCGUCAAGACAUUUAUUGUAAUUUCAUUUGGAGACAUCUGUCGUUCAAAUAUAUUUCAUAUUCAAGCUGUUGAUAAUUCUGCUUGAGAAAGCCUACAAAGCAGCUGUGUGAUGUAAUGGAAGACUAUAUAUGCAAGCGGUCAUCAGUUUCUCUUGAAUUCUUUCUUGAGUUUCUUUGAAUUAUUUGUGAAUGAGUUCUUAAUCGGCUGCUGCUCUUCAGGAAAAGGAAAGUUUUGCAAACUGGUGAAGCUGAUCGAUAAAAGCAAUGUACCAUCUUUGCUGGCAUGGAUCGAUGCCAGUGAGUAGCUCAUUGGUGGAAGUAUUGCCAGUAACAGAACCCAAAGCAAAUGAAACUAUUUCAAGGCAGCAGUUGGCGCUUGCAAGUGAAUGGAGGCCAUUGACAAAAUUCUCAAGUGGUUGCGAUGCAAUUACGAUCAUCCUCAGCCUCAUGUAAAUUCUUCUCCUGCUUUGUUUUUAUUUGUUAUCUAAUUAAGAAGCACAAAGUAUCUUCAAUCAUUUUCUGUAUCUGGAAUAUAUGCAACAGUUUCUAAAAUUUUGAAACGAGUGUAAGGAUGGUAAUUUCUGUUUUCUGCCUGUCAUCCAAUGUUAGACAACUUUCAUUGAGACUCUUGAACAGAGUCAUCUUUGCUGGCAUGGAUCGAUGCCAGUGAGUUUUUUUAUUUGUCAACCUUUUUAAUAAUGCAUAUGUGUUUCUUCAACUUGAAGCGGCAUAUAAGACGAAAGAAGUGAUCUUUAUCCAAUUGCUCCAAAUUAUUUGCAAAUUACUGAACACGAAUGCUGAUGAAUAAACUGAUGGCUCUAUGUAUGUAUGCACAUGCAUGGAGAAAUUUUAAGUCAGACAUUGACUCGUGGUACCAAAUCAUUAAAUAAUCUUGAAAUCAAAGUAAUAAUUAAAUACAAAUAAAUUGCUCGAAUUGUACAUAUAUCUGAAUCAUGUAGUGAAGAAAAUACAACAACAACAGCCAAUGGCUCAAAUUCCCUAUCAACUUCUAGUCUCAACACUUUUGAGUGUCAGAAGCAUUACUCUGCUACUAGUUAACAAACAUAUAAUUAGUAAUUUGCCAUUCACUUCCCUUUUAGGCCUAACACAUUUUCUAUAAAAGAGCCACAGAGUGAACUCAGCAGGAAACACUCAAUUUCAACCUACGUAGGACCAGGAAUUUCAACCAAAAAAAAAGUGUGCAAUUGCUUAUCCUAUCCUAUUGCUACUAGAAAGAAAGUGAACAAUUAAUUUCAGUGAAUAAAUUAAAAAAAAAAUUACUUCUGCAGAUACUCAAGCUAAGAACACAUUAACCCAUUAAAGACUCCAAAUUGCAUCAAACAAAUUGUUGUUAAACAAGUAAAACAAAGAAAGAGAGUUAAGGAAGCUGACCAAGUAGUAGGGGAGCUGAAGAAAGACUGCCAGUGAAUGUAAGAGAAAAUAAAAUGCAAGAAAUGGUGAAGUGCAGCUUUUCAUGUCAACUUGAAAUUGAGUUUUCUGUUUUUUUUUUUUUUUUUAAUCUUUUGGAUUUUUCAAACAAAGAAAAUGAGGAGCAACCAGGGAGAUAAAAAGGGCGCCAAGGCAACUGUGUGUUGGGUUUAGAGCCAAAAAAAAAAAGAAUAAGACAUCGUGUUCUUGUGGAGACCAGACCUAUUACGUAACGUCCCCUUCAAUACCACUAGUUCCGUAUCUGGUUUUUUCUUCGUCUUUUACAUAGUUUGCAAUUUUAUUCAUUUGAGCCCUACAGAUGAUAUAAGGGACAAGAGCGCAAAACAGAAACUCUGUCCACUACUGAUGAUAUAACAACGAACCGGGGUUUUUAAUUAAAUACCCUUUAAUAGUUUCAAAAUUAUUUAAAUACCUCCUCCCUUUUUAGUUUUCAUGGAUACCCUAACAAAAUUAUUUAAAAAUGGUUCAAUUUUAUUCUACUCUCAGGAAUUAAGUGUUGGAUAGACUAGAAAAUUCUGAGUACAAAGCAUCGCUUGUUUUCGUUGGUUUUUUUUUUGCAUUCCAGUAGAAAGGUUGUGUACAAUUGAAUCUGAUAACUAUGGCAGGAGGUAAGUUUUCUAACUUGCGCAUGAUGAAUAUAGUCUUUUAUUUCUUCCAUUGUAAUUUUUGUUUAAUAGAAAAUCUAUUUGAGAUUUUGUGAGAAGAAACUCAACAAUAAAGUUUGAUAGACUUUGUGGAUAUUAAGAGUUUGACAAGUAAUUGAAAUCUGAAGUUUACUGAAGUUUACGAGCAAACAAACUGAAAUCCGAAGUUUACUGAAGUUUACUAUCAAGAGUUUCAAAACAGUGAAAAAGAUGAUAUGGUUGAUGACAAAAACCUGAGUUAUCCAUAGCGACAAGUAACAUACUGAAGUAAGCCGUGGGGAGCUGGCCUGUUCAUGGGCUAUUUUUCUCUGAUGAUCUGCAUUUUUCUUCCUUUUAAGUGAACCUUGACUCGUAUCAAACCUGUCAAAAGAACAGUUCAUCAACUGAGCUGAGAUUUGCUUUCCUUUUUCAAAACCCACCUGAGAUAUUGUAAUUCCCAAAUUUCUCUCUCUCAGCUACACGAGCAAGCAGCCGCUUUUUCACUUCAUCGACGAAGGUAAGCGAUAAUAUCUAUUUCGUCCGAUUGAUUUCUUGUUUCCUUUUCAGUGUUCGGGUAAAUUAUUGGCAUGCCUGACUUUUUGACCAUUACAUGAUUCAUAAAUUUAUAUUAAUUUUGAUUUUGAGUUGACCGGUUACUUUUAUUGGUUUGCUUACUUUGACUAGGUGACCGAUUUCUUGUAACUAAAUUUAUGACGUGAUGCAGGAAGCUGGGCAGGAUAUGAAAUGAGAAUCUUAUUAGUGGAAGGAUUGCCAGUAACAGAACCCAAAGAAAAUGAAACCAUUUCAAGGCAGCAGUUGGCAGUUGGGAGUGAAUGGAGGCCCCUGACAAAACUUCAGUAAACUUCAGAUUUCAGUUUGUUUGCUCGAAACUUGCAUGGUGACAAGGAUACUGGCAAGGAUAAUGAGAUAGUUUUUGUGUGAAUGAAAUUACGAUCAUCCUCAGACUCAGGUAAUUUCUUCUCCUGCUUAGUUGUUAUUUGUUACCUAAUUAAGAAGCAUAAAGUAUCUUGAAUCAUUUUCGUUGUCUGGAAUAUAUGCAACAGUUUUUAAAAUUUUGAUAUCAGUGUAAUGAUUGUAAUUUCUGUUUUCUGUCUGUCAUCGAAUGUAAGACAACUUUAUUAAGAUUCUUGAACCGAGUCAUUUUUGACAAUUGAAGAACAAGUGCUGAAGAGUGGGAAUGCAAAAAGUUUUGUUGUUUUUAGCCUUGUUUUCUUUGAACCAGCGCCUGAUUCACAAGAGUUCAUUAAUUUGGCUUUUGAUCAGCUGAUUGAUAAAUGUUCAAUUUCUUUGGUGAUAAAUGUAUAUGUGAAGCAGGCAGCAGGGCAUGACUGUGGAAAAGAGAAGAUUUUAGUGAAAGCUGAGACUCAGAUAAUUCUACGCGUUUUGGCUGAUUUAUAUAAUUCGUGAAAUUUUAUUUCCAUCUGUUACAAGAUCAAACUGCAAUUAGCAAUUUAACAUUCCCUUAAAACCACUAGCUACAUUUCAUCUUUGCACAAUUACACUUAAAAUUCCACUAAAAGAAACUCUUGAGUUGCUCGCAAGCUAUAUGUCAUUAUCCAUUGAAUUCUUACCACAUACAUCUCACCUUUCAAUCAAUCACAUAAUAAUCAAUAUACAUAUUGUAAGAAUUCAACAAAUGGAGAACAUAAUAUACUAUAAAAGCAUCCAAAAUUUUUCCAUCUCAAAUUAUUACUAAACUUCUUGAACAAGUUGAAGAUUGGGGGGAAAAAGUGCAAGAAGGAAAAGCAUUAUUCUACUAGUUUCUAGGUUUCUCAUUUGAACAGAAAGAUUAAAUAAGAUAUUUGUGUAUGGCUGUAGUACUACACGGUAUCUGCUAGAAAGCAAAAUACCUUCUGCUGAUUGCACAUUGGAAUGGGAAUAAGUUGGUAAAUAUAUAAGUUACAUAAAUUAUUUUGGAUAAUUCUGCUGGUGAAUUAAUUAUCUUAAAAUCACCCUUUUAUUUUUUAAAAAAUCUUAAGUUAUUUUUCAUAUAUCUUAGGAAGACAAACAAACUUUCAUCAACUCUCCUUUUUUAGCUUUUCCCUUCAAUAAUGUUAGAAAUUCUAACAUUUGAGUCCUGCUUGAGCUUAAUACUAUUUAUCACUCAUUUAUUAGAUGAUGAAUUUUUUAAAUUAUAAAGUUAUUUGACUACCAUUCAAUGAAUGAAUGUCACAUCAUUUAAAACUCAAAGAAAAGUAUUCUACUUCUUGCGGCAAUCAUGCCUUCAUUCAGACUAUGAACCAUUUCCUUUCACCAAAUUCUUCAUAAACAUUGAAUAAGUUUCAUGGUUGGACAUAGUUAGCUUCUGUUUCUUUUGGUGCAUUUAGGUGCUAUCAAGUGACGGCCGUAAGUAUGAUUGCAUUAUUGGGAAUUUUACGAUUUGAUGGUUCCCCACGUUAUUGCCAAGAAAGUUCUCAUGUCGGAAGCAGCGGUUCUUUUCAUCAGCCUGAACCCGAACCUGUCGCUAUGGAUAACUCAGGUUUUUGUCAUCAACUAUAUCAUCUUUUUCACUGUUUUGAAACUCUUAAUAUUAAACUUACAGUAAACUUCAGAUUUCAGUUUGUUUGCUCGAAACUUGUAUGGUGACAAGGAUACUGGCAAGGAUAAUAAGGUAGUUUUUUGUGUGAGUGGAUUUUGAGAGCUUGUGUGUAUAGGGAUUUGCAAUUACAAUCAUCCUCUGCCUCAGGUGAUUUCUUCUCCUGCUCUGUCUUUAUUUGCUCUCUAAUUGAAAAGCAUAAAGUAUUUCAAUCAAAUUCUGUACCAGGAAUAUGUAAAAGUUCCUAAUAUUUUAUUUUCAUUUGUUUGCAUUGAUAACUUGACGGCAUAUGUACUAGUUAAAGAACAAACAGAAUCAGAGCUCAAGAAAAAGUUUUUUCUGCCAUCAUAUUUGAAAAUGAAGUCAUUUGCAGGAAGCGGUUGGCAGCAAAUUCAUACAAAGUGUAGACAAUGAUGAGCAAAAAAGGUGAUUCACAGUUUGAUUUUUUUUUAAUAAUGAAAAUAAUUUGGUAGGUUGAAGCUGAUAUUGUAAGAGGGCCAUUGAGCUAACCUAUGUCGCUACUUGCCAAGAUUGCAGGGCGUUAAGACUCAAAAGAAGCACUGAAUUUUAAAAGGCAUGCAAUAGUUCUUGUGCCAUAUGUCAAUUCAUGCAAGUUGGAAUAAGUUUAUUGGUUUGAACGCUGUUAGCUCCUUUUCCUUUCGUGCAUUUUGGUAUGCUAUCAAGUGACAGCCGUAUGUAUGGUUUGCAUAUAGCUGCUGCUGGGAAAUGUGAGGAUUUCAUGGCUGGCCGUGUUAUUGUUUUAAAUUAGAUGUGAUAAGCUGUUGCUUGGAGAUUCUGUUGCCAAGACUUUGCUCACAUCAGAAGCUGUGGAACCUCAACCCUUCUCUAGAUAUCAUCUUUUUCAUUGUUUUAAAACUCUCAGGAUUAAACUUGAGUAAAUUUGUUCGGUUGUCUAUAUAAUCAUGUAUUGAGUAAACUCUCAGGAUACCGAGCAGGCAAAUGCCAUAACUCGGUUUGUUCUUCAAAAACUUGUUUAAGAUUCUUGACAAAGCUGCAUGAAGUGAAUCUUGGGAGCUUUGAGGGUGAGAGAAAUUAGAGGGUGUAUAGGGAUUUGGGUUUAUUAGUAAGUUAUAUAUGUAUUUCGUCACUUAUCAUUAUCAUUUUUAUUUUCACAGAAAACCUUCUGAUGGUGCUAAAUUUUCAAACACCGGUCCGAUUCAAAACUUCAUAUUCCAAUUAUAUUCAUAAGACAAAUGGAACACUUUGAACGGCUAGUGUCCGAGCAUUGUAGUUUGAUUUAUUUUGAUGAAAGUACCUUUUGACAUUGAGAUUCUUUCAUGAUUUAAACAUUCUUUUUUAAACCAAAUUAUUAAAAAAAGUAACUAACAUAUAUUAUUUUAUUAGUGCUUUUUAAAUCAAAUAUACAUAGGAGAACUGUAAUUCUUAGCAAUCAAUUUUUCACUAAAUACACCUGCAAUAAACUAUUAAUAACAAAGUGAUAGAAAAUACCUGAUUUUUCAUACUUUCUAAUUUCUUGUGGUCCUAAAAUAUGGGCAUUUGUGUAAUAAUUAGCCCAUGUGGAUCUCUAUGCCAUGAGUUUGAUAAAUAGCUAUCAAGGAUCACUUAUUAAGCUGAAAAUAUUUGGAGGACAAAAUUGUAAAACUAAAAGGGUAGAGCAAAUAUGGCUAUCUAGGAUUAAAUAGUAAGUCAACUAUAUUUAAAGGAUAAAAUGUUAAAACUUGAACUGUGAUAUUAAAAAUAUCUCAACUAUUACAUUAUUAAACCAUAUGUUCUAAUAGUUUUUUUUUAAGCUUCAAAAUGUUCAGGAUUUUAGAUUGAAACAUUUUCAUUUGAAAUUAUUUGGUGCAGUCACAAGUUAAGAAAGAAAAAGUUGUCCCAUUGGUCAUUUCACAAAAAUGAAAGCCCUGUAUAACAUGGACUUGAAUGGAAGCCCAAUUGUUUGUGUUUGAUUAAUUGAUUUCAAGCUUUAUCGGAUCUUUGGACCUGGAUACUUUACCGCGGCCUCUAAGCGCUAUAAUUUUUUUUUUUUUGGGAUAAACGGCGCUUCAAUGAGGGCAUUUCCAAUACUUAACACUAUUUUGGUGUAACACCAACACUAAAAAUGUACAUUUUUCACACUAAAUUACUAUUUAAUCUCCAACCCAUUUGAUCUACCAUGAUUGUGACUCCCACUGGGGCCACGUUCUGUUGAUCACCCUCUCGUCACCGAUAGCGCCUCCGCUUGUGGCGAACUUGCUUGUCUAUUUUCCCUAUUUUUCCGCUUACUCUCCUCAUUUAAUACGGAGGCUGCAACAUCAUCGAAAACUAGACUGUCCACUGAAUUGUAGUUUGUCAGGUUGACGAUGAGUUGUUCAUACGAAUCUUAUAGACUUUGAAGUAGAAGCUCUGCAUGUACAUUAUCCUCUAUAUUAUGACCCAACGUUGUGAGUUGUGAAAAUAGAGUCUUCAAGGUGUUGAUGUGGUCGGUCACCAUUGUAGAUUCCACCAUUCGAAGAGUAUAAAGUCUCCUCUUCAAAAAGAUUUUGUUGUGUAGUGACUUGGCCUCGUACAAUUUUGUAAGAGUAUCUCAUAUUUCCUUUGCUGUAUUUUUCUCUGCCACACUGGAUAAUACUCCAUCCGCAAGUGCCAAGUGUAGAUCAGAAAUAGCGUUGCCAUCUAUCUCAUUCCACUUGUCAUCAGUUAUCUCCAUGGGCCUUUCUCCAAUUGCUGCCAAACAAUUAUUUUUCCUCAAUACAACUUUCAUCUUCAUUUUCCACAAUGAAAAAUUAUUUCCGUUAAACUUCUCAAUUUCAUAUUUUGCUGCCAUUUUUUUGAUAAAUACCGCACACAAGUUAGUGUAUCACCUUGAAUAGUUGUCGGUAUGUGUGAGAAUGCACACCAGGAAAGUUCCCAGGAAAGACUGGAGGGGUCACACUGGUCCACUUAAAACUCAGACUCCUUAAGCACUUAUCGCGUUUGUAACAGAACUUUCCUAGACAUGUACAAAACCACACAGUUGCUUUUACUUACACCACUAUUUCCUACUUUGCAGUGCAAAAGUUCUUGGAUCGCUCCCAUCGUUUCUCGUGAACAGUACCAUAUACGUGAACAGUGCCACAUACAUGAAUAGUACCGUAUACGUGAACAGUACCGUAUACGUGAAUACUACCCUUUACGUGAACAGUACUUGACUCCAAAAAAUUCAACCAAUAGCUUUGAUACCACUGUUAGGAAAUUGGUAGGUGAAGCAGACACGCAGCUAAAAUAAAAUUGGAAGAAAAUAAAGAACAAGUACAAAGUGGACACCAAGAAAUUACGUGGUUCGGCUUUUAGCCUACGUUCACGGGCGAAGAUAGAAGGAAAAUAUUAUACUAGUGAUAUGAAGAUUACAAGUAUUGUAAUAUUUUGGCUCACUAUCCAAAACCCCAAUACACUCAAUCUCUCACUCAAUAAACUCUCAGGAGCUUUAUUAUUUUAAGCUCUUAAAAUCUCUCAAGCUUUCUCCUUAUUAUUCUCUCACAAAUUGUAUGCUAAAAUUAGGGUGGGAAGCCCUCUUUAUAUAUCCAAGAUUUUGGCUCUUUUUUUUUUAUAUAACAAGUCAACACGGCACCAUUAAGAAUGGCGAGCCAUGUUGAAUGGCAUGGCACCGCCCAUCUAGAUGGCCGGUGCCAACCAUGACUUUAACAUUCUAUCACUUGGAGAUUUGAUUGAGAAUCAAUCAAUCUCCACAUCAUCCUUUCUACUUCGCCAUAAUCAUGUUGCCUACGUUUUUACUAGGCCACAAGAGGAUCUACUCCAGUUAAACUUAUCAAUAUUGAUUGGCUUAGUCAAAACAUCUGCUAGGUUCUCCUUCGUAUGGAUUUUUGCAAAUUGACACUUCCAUCUUCCACUACUUCUCGAACGAAGUGAUACUGAACUCCUAUGUGCUUUGUCUUGGAAUGAAAGGCUGGAUUCCUUGCAAUGUGCAAGGCACUCUGACUGUCACAAAACACAGGAAUUUUCUGUUGUUUGUGCCCGAGCUCCUCCAAUAAUCUUUGUAUCCAAAUAGCUUCCUUGCAAGCUUGUAUAGCUGCCAUGUAUUCUGCUUCUGUUGUAGAUAAAGCCAGAACGGUCUGCAGUUUCCAAACCCAACUUACAACUCCUCAUGCAAAUGUAAACACAUAACUAGUAGUGGAUUUCCUUUUAUCAAGGUCUCCUGCAAAAUCUGAAUCCACAUAGCCCCUGACAGUAAACUCUGAUCCUCAAUAACAUAAUACAACAUCUGAGGUUCCUCUUAUGUAUCUCAGAAUCCUCUUCACAGCUAUCCAAUGCUGUCCACCAGGAUUCACCAUGUAUCGACUGAUUGCUCCCACUGCUUGUGCAAUGUCUGAUCUUGUACAUAUCAUAGCGAACAUCAAACUUCCCACUGCUGAUGCAUACGGUACUUGAGACAUCUCCUUCCUCUCUGCUUCAUUGCUAGGACACAUACUUGAGGAUAAUUUGAAAUUAACAGGAAGUGGGGUAGAAAUUGACUUACAAUCUUGCAUGUUGAAGCGCCACAAGAUUUUCUUCAAGUAGUUAUUCUCAGAAAGCCAAAUCUUUCUGUUAUUUCUGUCUCAGUGAAUUUGCAUCCCUAGAAUCUUGUUUGCUGGUCCCAAGUCCUUCAUUUCAAACUCCCUAGCCAACAGUGCCUUCACUUCUUGGAUUCGAUCUUUGUCGGGGCCUGCUACCAACAUGUCAUCCACAUAUAACAACAAAAUAAUGAAAUCAUUAUCUUCAAACCUUUUGUAAUAUGCACAAUGGUCUGAACUGAGUCUGUUAUAUCCAAGACUCAUGAUGAAGGAAUCAAAUCUCUUAUACCAACACCUCGGCGCCUGUUUGACACCGUAUAGAGAUUUGUUCAACCUACAAACCAAGUUUUCCUUUUCUGUUUCUGCAAAACCUUCUGGUUUGAGCAUAUAAAUUUUCUCUUCAAGUUCUCCAUGAAGAAAUACAGUUUUCACAUCUAACUGCUCUAGAUGUAGGUCAAAUAUAGCACACAUUGCCAAGACUACUCUGACUGUUGUGAGUCGAACCACCGGAGAAAAUAUCUCGUUGAAGUCAAUACCUUCUUUCUGAGCAUAUCCUUUCACCACCAAUCUUGCACGAUACCGCUCCACUUGAUCAUUGCCAUCACGUUUGAUCUUGUAGACCCAUUUGUUUCCAAUGACUUUUCUUCCAUGUGGUAGUGGUACAAGUUCCCAUGUCUUAUUUUUAUGUAGAGCUUCAAUUUCUUCCUGCAUUGCUGUCAUCCACAAAGCAACAUUUGAACUUUCUAAAGCUUCAUGGAAAGUUGAUGGCUCUCCAUCCUCUGUUAGAAGACAGUAUGCAACAUGGAUCUCUGUGACAUACUCCGAGUGCCACGCUGGCGAUCGUCUCUCACCAAUUGACCAAAGAACUUCUGGAGUCUCAGACUCGACUGGUUCUUGUUCCUCGUGCUCUGGUGCUGCUUUAGAAGAAUCUGAAUCUUCUAGAUUAUUUCCACAUAUACCGGCACAGUUUCUGACUUUUCUUUUACAGUGUCAUCAUCUCCAUCUUUCCUUUACAGUUGAUCUUCUACAAAAAUAACAUCUCUGUUGAUGACGAUCUUGUGGGCAGUGGGGUCCCACAAACGAUACCCCUUUACUCCAUUAGCAUAUCCCAAGAAGAUACAUCUUCUAGAUUUUGGAUCCAGCUUUGUUCUUUCUUACGGAUUGUACAUCACAUACACAGGACAUCCAAAUGCAUGUAAGUAGGAAUAAUCAGCUGGCUUUCCAGUCCACAUCUCCACGUUGUCUUCAGCCCAAUAGCUGUAGAUGACGACUGAUUUACUAUAUAACAAGCAGUUUUGGCUGCUUCUUCCCAAAAUGAAUUGGGUAGACCAGCAGUCCUCAACAUAGCUCUUAUUCUUUUGUAAGAGUUUUGUUCAUCUACUCCGCCACUCCAUUUUGUUGAGGAGUGUAUGCUACCGUGAACUGUCUAUGAAUACCUUCUUACUUACAGAAAGCAAGAAACUCACCGUCUGUAUACUCUCCACCAUUAUCUGUCCUCAAGCACUUGACCCUUUUACCAGAUUCAAGUUCCACCCGCGCUUUGUAUUCUUUAAAUACUGGAAAUAUAAUUGACUUUUUCAUAAUUGGAUACACCCAACAUCUCCUGGAAUAAUCAUCAAUGAAAGUCACCAUAUACUUUGCACCUCCCAUGGAUAUAUCCAGUGAUUCCCAAACAUCAGAAUGAAUCAAGUCUAAAAUGCAUUUACUUCUAGCAAUAGAUUUACUGAAUUUUAAUCUAUGCUGCUUACUUGUAACACAAUGCUCGCAAAAUGGUAAACUUACCGAUUUAAGCCCCGGAAGUAAUUUUCACUCAGAGAGAAUCUUCAAACAUUCUGACAUGUGACCAAAUUUGAGAUGCCACAUCAUCGUUGACUCUUCUCCAUUUGAUACGAGACACGCAUUAGCCUCCUAUAGUGUUUCUCCUUUAAGCAUGAAUAGAUUAGCACCGAUCUUUUCUGCCUUCAUCAAUACAAGCGCUCUUUUAACAAUUUUCGUAAUUUCAUUCUCCAUAUGAGUUUUAUACCCAUGACUAUCCAUUUGUCCCAAAGACAAUAGAUUUUUAUUCAGGUCAUUGACAUGUCGUACCUCCCCAAUUGUGCGAAUUGUACCAUCAAAAUUUUUAUUUUGAUAGUGUCAAUACCAGCGAUCUCCAAGGUAUGAUCAUUACCCAUAUAUAUAGAUCCUCCUGAGAUAUGUUCAUAUGUGUGGAACCAUUCUCUCCGAGAGGUCAUGUGCCAGGUAGCUCCUGAGUCUAUAAUCCAGACAUCAGAUAGUCGUUUUCUACCUUCUAAAACAGUUGUUGCCUCGCUUUAGAGAAUUUCACCAUUAUCUGAAGUACUUGCUACACACCCUUGAGCAUUUGAUGACUCAGGUUAUUUGCCCUCUCUUCUCUUCUGGUUACUCCAACACUUUUUCUUGACGUGCCCUUUCUUGCCACAGUUGUAGCAUUUAACAUUCUUCUUACUUCUGGAUUUUGAUCUACCAUGAUUAUGACUUCUACUGGGGUCACGUUCUGUUGAUCUCCCUCUCGUCACCAAUAGCGUCUCCGCUUGCUGCGAACUUGCUUGUCUGCUUUCAUUAUUUUUCCGCUUACUCUCCUCAUUUAAUACGGAGGUUGCAACAUCGUCGAAAACUAGACCGUCCGCUGGAUUGUUGUUUGUUAGGUUGAUGAUGAGUUGAUCAUACGAAUCUGGUAGACUUUGAAGUAGAAGCUCUGCAUGUACAUUAUCCUCUAUAUUAUGAUCCAACGUUGUGAGUUGCGAAAAUAGAGUCUUCAAGGUGUUGAUGUGGUCGGUCACCAUUGUAGAUUCCACCAUUCGAAGAGUAUAAAGUCUCUUCUUCAAGAAGAUUUUGUUGUGUAGUGACUUGGCCUCGUACAAUUUUGUAAGAGUAUCUCAUAUUUCCUUCGCUGUAUUUUUUUCUGCCAUACUGGAUAAUACUCCAUCCGCAAGUGCCAAGUGUAGAUAAAAAAUAGCGUUGCCAUCUAUCUCAUUCCAUUUGUCAUCAGUUAUCUCCAUGGGCUUUUCUCCAAUUGCUGCAAAACAAUUAUUUUUCCUCAAUACAGCUUUCAUCUUCAUUUUCCACAACAAAAAAUUAUUUCCGUUAAACUUUUCAAUUCCAUACUUUGCCGUCAUUUUGUUCAUAAAUACCGCACACAAGUUAGUGUACCACCUUGAAUAGUUGUCAGUAUGUGUGAGAAUGCACACUAGGAAAGUUCUCAGGAAAGACUGGAGGGGUCACACUGGUCCCACUUAAAACCCAAACUCCUUAAGCUCUUAUCGCCUUUGUGACAGAACUUUCCUAGACAUGUACAGAAUCACACAGUUGCUUUACUCACACCACUAUUCCCUGCUUUGCACCGCAAAAUUCUUGGAUCGCUUCCACCGUUUCUCGUGAACAGUAUCGUAUACGUGAACAAUGUCGUACAUGUGAAUAGUAUCAUACAUGUGAAUAGUAUCGUAUACGUGAACAGUACCGUAUACAUGAAUACUACCCUUUACGUUAAGAAAUUGGUGGGUGAAGCAGACACGCAGCUAAAAUAAAAUUGGAAGAAAAUAAAGAACAAGCACAAAGUGGACACCAAGAAAUUACGUGGUUCGACUUUUAACCUACGUCCACGGGCGAAGACGGAAGAAAAAUAUGAUACUAGUGAUAUGAAUAUUACAAGUAUUGUAAUAUUUUAAUUUACUACCCAGAACCCCAAUACACUCAAUCUCUCACUCACUAGACUCUCAGGAGCUUUAUUAUUUUAAGCUCUUAAAAUCUCUCAAGCUCUCCUUAUUAUUCUCUCACAAAUUGGAUGCUAAAAUGAGGUGGGAAGCCCUCUUUAUAUAGCCAAAAUUUUGGCUCCUUUUUUUUUUUUAUAACAAGUCAACACGGCACCACCAAGAAUGGUGGGCCGUGUUGAAUGGCAUGGCACCGCCCAUCUAGAUGGCCGGUGCCAACCAUGACUUUAACAUUAUAGUCCAAGUUUUCGAGGACCACUAUAUUGUAUUGAUUUAAAAAAAACUAAUAUUUUUAAUAUUAAUAUUCUAAAUUAUAUUCAGUUAAAAUAUUAAAUAUUAAAAACAUUCUUAAUAUUAAUAUUCUUAGAUGAAAUUAUUUUGCUGACUUAAGAAUAAAAUAUUAAAUAAUUUUAUUUUUCUUUUAUUGUGUAACGUGGACCAAAAAAAAGGAAAUGAAUUUAAUAAAACCUUCAUUCAAAACCUUCAUUCCGCCACCAUGCAUGCAUGUUAAUUGUUUCCAAAUUCCAACCUCCGUACUCUCUUGAGGAGUUUCCCAUUCAUCAAUUAUUAUUUUUUAUAAUCCAUACCAUCCUGAUAUAAUUAAACACCAUUAAUAAUGUACCAGCCUUUAAAUAGUAAUUAAUUUAUUUAGUUGGCCACCUAAAAGAAUCCUGCAGGAAAUAGAGGUUAAAAAUUUUAUUAAAUUUGCUUACCGCUGUAUCAUUAUAUAUAUAAAGAGUGAAAUCUAAAUGAAAUUUUUUAUCAUCCAUUCAGCAAACACUUAUAAUUCACAAAUAGUGAAUCUAUGCAUUGACAAUGUGGAUUAAGAAUUAUAACACAUGAAUUCAAACAUACCCUUGUGAAGUUAAGAAUAAGUUCAUACUUCAAAUGAUUUUUUAGCUAAUAAAGCAAUCAGUUUCAUUAAACGACAGCGUUGAAGGAAUUGUGCAAUUUUUUACGUUCUUUUCUAGACAGACGUUACAGAAAUGGGGUAAGUAGAGGGCUGGCCUCAGAUAUCUCACAAUUGUUAGUGAGAUAAAAUGUUAUUGUAAAAGGCGUUUAAUAGAAUAAUAUUAAUUCUUUUGCAUUGUUAUAAAAAUAUUUUUUUCUUUUGACAGUUCUGCAGGACAAGUGAUCAGAGCUCAAUGAAUAUAGCCGUGGAGGCACAGCAGAGCAGGAUUAUGAAAAAGAGAAGCUUAUUACAGGUCAUUCAAGUUUACUUGCUUUUAUAUAAUAAGUGUUUUGGCCGAUUUAUCUAAUUCACCAAAUGUUUUUUCCGGUACAUAUCUCCAUUGGUAUCAAGAAGAGGCAGAACCCAAAGAAACGUUUCUUGCAUCUUCAUAUUUGUGCGCAUUCAUCCUUUCAUUGAGAAUAACCAUUUCCAGGCAGCAGUUGCCAAUCAAUUCGCACGUCGAUGCUAUUCAUAGAUAUUAAAGACAAUGAUGAACCAAAGGUGAUAAAUCAUAAAUGCAUAAUUACCAAACCUCCAUCCUUCUCUCAUUAUGAUUUGAUUUUAAAUGAAUUAUUGCUUGGUAACAUUAUUUCCAACCAUUGCAAGACCUUUUUUUUUUUUUGGGAGAAAUUUCAAUUGAAAGUGAAACCUUUAGACAUUUACCUAAUGAAGUUAGUUAAUCGGGAGGGUGGAAAAAAAAAAGUUGACGCAAGUCAAUACACAAUAAUGAUUAAUUAAAUCCGGAGUGACUAAAACAGAGCCACUACUUUUUCAAAAAUAUCUGCAUUCAUCACUUUCUCCAGCAGCUAGUCAGCUACACACGAAUCAAUUUCUCUCCUCGUUUGUCAUCCAAAAUUAUUCACCAAUACCAUGGCUGAUGCAAUCGUUUCCACUAUCUUGGAGCAGCUGAUUUCCUUCGCUGCUGAAGAGAUAAAACAACAGGUGAUCGAAGUUACACCCCUCAUAUUACAAAUACUUCCAAUGAUUUUAAUUGGUUUUGUUUUUAUCAAAAACAUUAUAUAUUUUUGCUUUUUUUUAUUUAUCUGAUAAUUUUAUAUUUUGAAAUUUGAAUUGAAUUUAAUUAAAAGGUGAUGUAGUAACCACUCAUUUUUAUUUUAUUUCAUUUAUAUUCUCGAUAACUAACCAUAUUUUGGUAACUUAAUAUAACUCUCGUACAUAAGAAAUGAUCCAAACCCACAAUUUUAACUCUGUAUAAAUAUUCAACGUUGAGUCAUUAAUUCUCAACUCAGCACUGAAUCCCAUAGCUAUUACUUAGACUCUAUGAAAAAUUUCAUAGUUUUCUUACAUUCUUUGAGUUUGGUAAGUGAUUUCGUAUAAUUUCUUUUCAAGUUAAAUUUUAAUUUGGUUUAUGAUAUAGUCUCUGUGCCGAAUUGUAUCUUUUAUGAUUCUUGGAUUUUGGGCUCCAACUUUUUAGGAUUUGAUAGUCACAUUUUAUGCCAUGCUCAGAUUGAUUUUCAUGAUUUUAACUACCCGUUAAGUGGCUUACAAUUUGACAAAAGUUUGAAAGGAAAUAUGUUUCAGGAUUCUGUUUUAAUUGACCUUUAAGUAGAAAUAGGAUGCUUAUAACUUAAUGUGGAUGGUUUGUAAAAUCAUGAAAUUCGGAUAGGAUUCACUAGAAAUAUGUACAAGACUCUCCAUAAAGUUUCAUAAUUUUUCAUUCGGUAUGGGGUGGUACAGGUGAAACUUGUGGUUGGUGUUGAAAAAGAAGUGAAAAGCAAGUUGUGCUCGAUGAUGCAGAGGAAAAGCAAGUGAAGGACAAAGCUGUUAGUCUUUGGCUGGGUAGACUCAAGUACGCAUCCUACGACAUUGAAGAUGUGUUGGAUGAGUGGAUCACAGCAAGACGCAAAUUGCAAAUUGAGGGUGGCGUUGAUGAAAAUGCUCUUGUUGUUCCUCAUAAGAAAAAGAAGGUAUGUCUCUACUUUCCCGGCUCUUGUUUUGGAUUCAAACAAGAAGAAUUUGGUUUCAAACAAGUCUUUCUCCGUCAUGACAUUGCCGACAAGAUCAAAGAAAUCAAUGAAGAGCUACAUGAUAUUGCCGCUCAAAAAGACAUGUUUGAUCUUGUUAAGAGUGGCAAUAAAAGUAGUGAAAGACCAAGGCGUGUACAGAGUACCUCCUUGAUUGAUGAAGAAGAGAUUUGUGGCAGAGUUGGUGAGAGGAAUGAACUCUUAAGCAAGCUGUUGUGUGAGAGUAGCGAGCAACAAAAAGGCCUUCAUAUCAUCUCAAUCGUUGGUAUGGGAGGCAUAGGGAAAACAACUCUUGCACAACUAGCUUGUAAUCAUGACGAGGUGAAGAGAAAGUUCGACAAAAUUCUGUGGGUGUGUGUAUCAGAAACUUUUGAGGAGUUUAGGGUUGCCAAAGCGAUCGUUGAAGUUUUGGAUGGUCGUGAAUCUCAUUUAGCUGAAUUCCAUUCUCUUCUUAUAAGUAUUGAUAAAUCUAUUGCGGGAAAGAGAUUUCUUCUUGUCUUAGAUGACGUAUGGGACGGAGAUUACAUUAAGUGGGAACCGUUCUACCGUUCCCUAAAGAAUGGUCUCCAAGGAAGUAAAAUUUUGGUUACUACACGUAAGGAGUCAAUUGCGUUUAUGAUGGGAUCCAUUGAUAUUAUCUCUAUCAAGGGAUUGGCCGAAGAAGAAUGUUGGUCGUUGUUUAAGCGGUUAGCAUUUUUCGGUCGAUCCAUUGAGGAAUGUGGAAGAUUGGAACAAAUUGGACAAAGAAUUGCAGGAAAGUGUAAAGGCUUACCUCUUGCAGCAAAGGUAAUAGGGAGUCUCAUGCGUUCUAAAAAAACUGAAGAAGAGUGGCAAAGAAUCUUAAAUAGUGAGCUAUGGAAAAUAGAAGAGAUCGAGAAAGGUGUUCUAACUCCUUUGUGGUUGAGUUAUAACGAUUUGUCAUCUCGAGUAAAAAGAUGUUUUUUAUAUUGUGCUGUCUUUCCAAAAGACUACAAUAUAAAAAAAGACAAACUAAUUACAUUAUGGAUGGCUCAAGGUUAUCUUAAUGCAGAACAAAAUGAAGAGAUGAAGACAAUAGGUGAAGAGUAUUUUGGCAUCUUAGCUUCUCGCUCUUUCUUUCAGGAGUUUACGAAAAGUUAUGAUAAUCGUAUUAUAUGGUGCAAGAUGCAUGAUAUGGUGCAUGAUUUUGCCCGAUUUGUAAGUCAAAAUGAAUGUUUUUCGAUGGAAAUUAACGGCAGUGAGGAACCAAACGCCACAAACUCUCCUCAUGGGAAGCUUCGUCAUUUAAUGUUAAUCAUUGGUGAAGGGGCUUCAUUUCCUGUCUCCACUUGUAGAGUCAAAAGAAUGCGAAGCCUCUUAAUUGAUAGUAGCAGAUUUGAUUAUCAGUCGUUAAAUGGUGAGAUCCUAGAAGAAUUAUUGAGGGAAUUGACAAGUUUAAGGGCAUUCGAUUUUUGCAGAUCGGACCACACACGAUUGGGUUUCACUCUAGAGAUUCCAAGAAAUAUAAAAAAGCUGAUACAUUUAAGAUACCUUAAUUUGUCUGGUCAGAAAAUAGAGAAGCUACCGGAGGCAUUGUGCGAGCUAUAUAAUCUAGAGAAGUUAGAUAUUUGUGGUUGUUGGUGUCUUAAAGAAUUACCUGAAGGGAUUGGGAAGUUAAUAAACAUGAAGCAUUUACUAAAUAGAAAUACCGAUUCUGUAAGGUACAUGCCAGUAGGGAUUGCGAGAUUAAAGAGUCUUCAGACAUUGGAAGAGGUCAGUGUGAGUGGAAGAGGAUGUCUUGAUGGUAGGAAAGCAUGUAGGCUCGAAUCUCUUAAAAACUUGGAACACCUUCAAAUAUGCGGUAUACGUGGACUGGGUGAUGUAUCAGACGUGGGCGAGGCUAAGCGAUUAGAACUUGACAAAAAUAAAUACCUCUUCAGUUUGACCCUUUGGUUUGAUAAGAAGGAGGAAGAAGGAGAAAGGAGGAAGAACGAGGACGAUCAACUUCUUCUUGAAGCCCUGCAACCACCUCUGGAUUUAAAGAAAUUAACGAUAUGGUCAUACAGAGGCAACACUGUUUUCCCCAGCUGGAUGAUGUCAUUAACCAAUUUAAGGAGUUUAGGUCUCUGUUACUGCAAAAAUUGUGAGCAGCUGCCUCCUUUGGGAAAAUUGCCAUCCCUUGAAACGCUCCACAUAUUGGGCAUGAAUAGUGUGAAAAGAGCGGGUAAUGAAUUUUGGGGUAUAGAAAGUAAUCACCAUGACUCAUCUUCAUCUUCAUUUUCAUCAGUUAUUAUUGCCUACCCCAAAUUAAUAUCACUUUCAAUUCAUUGUCUGACGGAAUUGGAGGAGUGGGAUUAUGGGAUUACUAGAACGGGAAACACGUUCAUCAACAUCAUGCCACGUCUUUCUUCCUUGCGAAUUACUAUGUGCCCCAAACUAAAGGCACUGCCCGACCACAUUCAUCAAACGACAACACUGAAGGACUUGACCGUUGGGUGGAACUCUGAUCUUCUGCAAGAACGUUACAGCGAGGGUAUAGGAGAAGACUGGCCUAAGAUAUCUCACAUUCCCAACGUCAGGAUUUGGCAAGACGUAAUUUCUUCUCCUACUCUGAUUUGCUUUGUUGUUGUUUUUAAUCUAAUUAAGACGCAUAAAUAGCAUUUUGAUUUUGAGUUGACAAUUUUCUGGACCAGUGAUCAAGGGUGAGAAUGGCGCUAGGAUAUUGAAUAAGGCACUGAACUUAGGCUGAUGUCAAAAGAGGUAAAUUAUUGACAUGUGUAGCUAAUUUGACCGUUUCCUGAUUCAUAAGUCUACAUUAAUUUUGAUUUUGAGUUGAGUGAUUACAUUUUAAGGUUUGCUUACUUAACAGGGCCAGGACAUGAAAUGAGAAGCUUAUUAGUGGCAGUUGGCAGUGAAUGGAGGACCUUGACUAAAUUCUCAAGCGGUUGCACUGCAGUUACGCUCAUCCUAAGCCUCCUGUAAUUUCUUCUCCUGCAUUUUUGUAAUUUGCUAUCUAAUUAAGGAGCGUAAACUAUUUUGAAUCGACUUCUAUAUCAGGAAUAUAUGCAACAUUUUCUAAAAGUUUGAUAUGAGUGUAAUGAUGGUAAUUUCUCUUUUUUGUCUGUCAUCGAAAUGUAAGAUAACAUUCAUUAAGACUCUUGAGAGUCGUUUUUGGCAAUUGCAGGACAAGUGAUGAAGAGUGAGAAUGGUGCUAGAUUGGGGAUUAAAGCAAAAGGAGGUAAAUUAUUGGCAGAGAAUUGUGAGAGCUUGAGUGUACUGGGAUUUGCAAUUACAAUCAUCCUCUGCUUCAGGUGAUUUCUUCUCCUGCUCUGUCGUUGUUUGUAUCUCAAUCAAAUUCUAUAACUGGAAUAUGCAAAAGUUUCGAAUUUUUUAUUUCUAUCUGCUUGCAUUGAUAACAUCACGGCAUAUGCACUAGUUAAAGAACAAACAGAAACAGAGCUCCGGAAAAAGUUUCUUCUGCCAUCACAUUUGAAAAUUCAUGUAAAAUGUAGACAGUAAUCAGCAAAAAGGUGAUUCACAAUUUCAUUUUUUUUAUGAAAUUGAUUGUUAGGUUGGAGUUGCUAAAAGGCCAUUGGGCUAACCUAUGUCGUUACUUACCUAGAUCAAGACUCAAAACAAGCAUUGAAUUUUAAAAGGCAUGCAAUAAUUUUUGUGGCCAUAUGUCAAGUCAGGUAAGUUUGAAUAUAAUUAUUGUUGAAGGGGUUUUAUUUUCGGUGUCCAAAUAGAGAUACUGAUUCUUUAAGGUAAUGCCAGUAGGAAUUGCAAGAUUAACAAGUCUUCGGACAUUGCGAGAGUUCCAUUGAGUGGUGGAUGAGGUGUUGAUGGUAGCAAAGCAUGUGGUAUGCGUAGACUGGAAAACAUGUAAGAUGUGGGCGAGGCUAAGAGAUUAGAGAUUGACCAAAUGAAAUACCUCUUUAGUUUGAGGCUUAAAUUUGAUGGUGAAGAAGAAGGAAGGAGGAAGAAUGAGGAUGAUCAACAUCAGCUUGUUCUUGAAACCUUGCAACCACCUCUGACUUUGAAGGAAUUAGAGAUAUGGUCAUACAGAGGCAACACUGUUUCUGCAAGUAGUCCUCUCUUUUCUUUUUAUUAUAUUUUAUUUAGUUAUUAUUUAUUAUUUAUUUUUUGGUUUACUCUGCUUCUUCUUUUUACGUUUCUCAAAUUUUGAAUUUCAUUACUUUUGAACAUACGACAGUCUGUUAUGUGGCGACCCUGGUUUUUAAUUAAGGUUGUAAAAUAUUAUUGUAAAAGAUGAUUUAUUCAAUUUGAGUAAUUCGUUUGCUUUGAUAAUGAUAGCAAUUUUUUAUUUUGACAAUUUGCAAGGUGAGAAUGGUGCUGAUUGGUGAUUCAGGAUAUGGUUCAAACACCAUUGAAUAAAGCUAUGGACAUGGUGGCUCAACUUAGCUAGAUUGGUAUCAAAAUUGGUAAGUUGGCUUGUCAAUGUACCGAUGCUUUUGUUUUCUCUCAACCCUAAUUACCUUAACUUCAUUUAGUUUGGCUUUGGAGUUGAGUAAUAACUUAUUGUUCAAAUGUUAUUUCCUUAUUGUUCUAAUUCAUCAAAUGUUAUUUCCUUAUUGUUCCAUUGAUAUAUUUGUUGCAUAUCAAGCAGAAACAGAACCCAAAGAAAAUGAAACCAUUUCCAGGCAGCAGUUGGCAGUGAAUUCAUGCAAAUGUUGAUGCCAUUCAUAGAUGUUGAAGACAAUGUUGAGCCAAAGGCGAUAAAUCAUUAAUGCAUAAUUCCCAAAACCUCCAUCCUUCUCUCAUUGUAAUUUGAUUUGAAAUGAAUAAUUGCUAGGUAAUUGAAGCCAAUGUUGUUAAAGACCGUGUUGAGCUACCCAAGCUAAGAAGUUACUUGCCAAAAAAUGCAGGGGAUCAAAAGAAGCAUUGCAUUUGAAAAGGCAUGAGAUUCUGGUGGCUACAUGUCAACUCAUAUAUGUUUGAAUAAGUUUGAUCGUUCAAGAUUGUUAGCUUCUGUUUAAAUUUGUGCUACUGCGGUGCUACAAUGCUGCUACUGGGAAAUUUGAAUCCCAUAUUAGACUUUCCUCACAUCAGAAGCUGUGGAUCUUCGGACAUCAGGUUUUUUCACAGUUCUGAAACACUCAGGAUUAAACUCUAUUAAAGUGUUGUAGUUAUCUUGUUGUCAGAAUUCCCAUAUUAUUAUCUUUUUCAUGUAAAAUUAUCUUGUUGUCUUCGCCCAUGAAUCUAAGCUAAAAUUUGAACCAAUUGUUUGCCAUUAUAAAUUUCAUUGUUAAAUGUUAAUUAUGAUGUUGGCGUUGAGUUUCUUUUAAAGUCAUAGAAGCCUGACGAUUGAGUUCCAUGGGAUUCUGAGAAGCAGUAAUAUUUGAACAAGUGAAGGUUCUUCUCUUUUAAUUAUGUUCUGCACUUUUACAGUUUGGCUUUGGAGUUGAGUAAUAACCUUUCGAGGUCGCGGCUAUAAAAAGGCGAUGCUCAAUUUGCCACAGAUUACAUGUAUUGCCAUCAUUGACAAUUUUCUGGAUAAGUGAUGAAGGGUGAGAGUGGUGCUAGACUUCAGCCCUCCAGAAUAUUGAAUAAAGCUGUCAAAAGAGGUAAAUUAUUGGCAUGCCUGUUAGUGAAUUGGAUAAAGCUGGAGCAGAGCAUGAUGUUGCUGUAUAGCUGGAGCAGAGCAUGUUGUUGCUGUGUAGCUGGUUGUAGCAGAUCAACUCACUGAGCUGACCUGUCAAAGCUGGAGCAGAGCAGAGCAGAGCGGAUAAAGCUGGAGCAGAGCAGAGCGGAUAAAGCUGGAGCAGAGCAGAGCAUGAUGUUGCUGUAUAGCUGGAGCAGAGCAUGCUGUUGCUGUGUAGCUGGAGCAGAGCAUGCUGUUGCUGUGUAGCUGGUUGUAGCAGAUCAACUCACUGAGCUGACCUGUCAAAGUUAGUUAGCUGGUUGAGCUGAUGUGUAAAGUUAGUUAUGCAGCAAAUGGUUAUGUGAUGUAACAAACUCGUGUGUGUAGUGAAGAUUGUAGCUUAGUAUAAAUGUCAAUCAGUAUUCAUUAAGUUGAAAUAUCUGAGGAUAAUAAAAAGGUUCUUUAGAGUUCUCUUUCAUUUUCUUUUACUUUCUUGCUUGCCAAACAAUAUAGAACUAAGUUUCUUUCAUGGUAUCAGAGCCAUAAAUGGCAAAUACAGUUCAAAACAACAACUCUUUUAGUUUUGUUACGCCUGUAAAGCUAGAUCAAAACAACUAUAUUUUGUGGCGCACACAAAUUCUAGCUUCGAUCAAAGGAAAUGGUUUGGAAGGUUUUAUCAAUGGUGAUCGAGAAUGUCCUGAGCAGUUUCUUUCUUCUGGCAACAACAAUGGAGCUGAAAUCUUAACUGAAUCUGGAUCCAGAUCUGUUACUGAAUCUGGAUCCAGAUCUGUUACUGAAUCUGGAUCCAGAUCUGUUAAUCCAGAGUUCGUAGCUUGGAUGAAGGCUGAUCAACUUCUGCUGAGUUGGAUGAUGUCAUCGAUACAACAAAAUCUGCUUGCUACUAUGAUUGACUCAACAACCUCAAAACAGCUUUGGGAGACUCUUGCUAGUAUGUUUAUCUCUCAAUCACAGGCUAGAAUUCAAACACUUAGAAUGCAGAUUCAAACUAUUAAGAAAGGUGCAAUGCAUAUGUCUGAUUACUUUGUAAAAGUAAAACGUAUAGCUGAUACUUUAGCUCUAGCUGGAAAACCUGUUGAGUUAAAUGAUCUUGUGAUGCAUGUAUUAACUGGUCUUGAUUCAUCAGAUUAUGAAUCUUUAGUCACUGCUGUGUUAGCUCGAGGUGAAAAGAUAACAUUAGAUGAACUAUAUUCUUUGCUGUUAAAUCAUGAAAAUAGAGUUGAGCAAAAGAAAGGAAAAAUUGCUGGUGAUGUGAUGCAUAACAUGACAGCAAAUAUUGUUCAGAAGAACUCAUAUGCUAGAAAGAAUAAUGGAAAUUUUCAGAAACAGUAUGGAAAUAACUCUGGAGGUGGUAAUAAUUCUGGAUAUGGAUAUGGUCAGUUUAAUAAUAAUAGUAAUUUCUCUGAAGUUGUUUGCCAAAUUUGCUUCAUACCUGGUCAUGCAGCCUAUAAAUGCAGAAAUAGGUACAACUCAUCUUUUGUUCCACAUAGGAACCAUGGUAGAGGUAAUAUGAAUGGUGGCGGAGGUUUUAAUCAAGGGCAAUAUGGUCGAGGAAGAGCCUUUAAUGGUAAUAGUGGAAGAGGUUUUGGAGGUUUUGGUUCAAAUGCUGGUUUUGGACAAAAUGUUGGUUUUGGUAAUGCCCCCAGGGGUUUUGGCUAUCAAGGAAAUAUAGUAUAUCCAGAGAGCAACCCAUCUGCUUAUUUCUCAUUCAACCCUGGAUCAUCUAAUUUUGUUUCUGGUCUAGGACAUAAUAAUCUGGAACAGUCAAGUGCUUCCUCCUCCUCUGCUAUGUCUUCUUCACUUCCACCUGAACACAUUGAAGAUCCUUCCUGGUAUAUUGAUAGUGGAGCAACAAAUCAUAUUACCAACGAUCUAGGUAAGCUUCUGGAUUCAAAAGUUUACACUGGUACUGAAAGGUUAUUUGUUGGAGAUGGAAAUGCAUUAGCUAUUACACAUGUAGGGUCAGUUGUGCUAAAUACUUCAGCUUCUCAAUCCUUAUUUCUUAACCAUGUUCUUCAUGUCCCUUUUAUUACUAAGAAUUUGCUUAGCAUCUCAAAAUUGUUGGCUGACAAUCCAGUUACUGUUGAAUUUCUUGGUGAUUUGUGUUUUAUAAAGGCCAAGAACACAGGGAAAAUUUUACUUGAAGGUGUUGCUAAAGGUGGGCUUGUAUAGAGUCUCUUCUCAUGCUGCUGUUCAUUCAGUCUUUCUCAGUUCAGUUGGUCAAAACAAAAUUCAGUCUCUUUUUGCUUGUUCUCCUGUUUUUAAUUCUGCUCAGCUCUCUACUGUUAGCUCUUAUGAGUUGAAUAAAACGUCAUGUCUGUCAGUUGUUGCAAAGGGUUCUAUUGAUGUAAAUCUUCUUCAUAGAAGAUUAGGACACCCAGCAUCUUAUACUCUCAAAACCAUUCUCAAAGCUUGUAACAACUCUACUGCUUUUAAUAAAGUUGACAGUUUGAAAUUUUGUUCAGCAUGCCAAUAUGGUAAAAAUCACAUGCUGCAUUUUGAUUCAGUAGAAACAAAAACUUCAGCACCUUUACAACUGAUAUAUGCAGAUCUUUGGGACCCUUCUCAUGUUUGUUCUACCCAAGGAUAUAAUUACUACUUGUCAAUCCUAGAUGAUUACAGUAGGUUUACCUGGAUUUUUCCCUUAUCAGCAAAAUCUGAUGCUCUUGAAGUUUUUACCAAUUUCAAAAUAUUCAUUGAGAAGCAUCUUCAACUUUCCAUCAAAACUGUACAAACUGACUGGGGAGGGGAGUUCAGAACAUUUUCAUCGUUACUCACUACUUCUGGCAUCCAUUUUCGACAUCCUUGCCCCCACAUUCAUCAUCAAAAUGGAAAAAUUGAGAGGAAACAUAGACACAUAGUUGAUGUAGGACUGACUUUAUUAGCUCAAGCACAUUUACCACUCAAAUUUUGGUGGAAUACAUUCCAUACAGCUGUCUACUUGAUAAACAGACUUCCAACUCCAGUUCUAAACAGCAUUUCUCCUUUUCAAAAGUUGUUUAAUUCCCAACCAGAUUAUUCAACACUUAAAAUUUUCGGCUGUGCUUGUUAUCCAACACUCAGACCAUACAAUAGACAUAAGUUUGAUUUCAGAACAGCUAGAUGUAUAUUCAUUGGCUACAGUUCACGACACAAGGGAUAUCAGUGUCUUCACUCUUCUGGGAGGGUCUAUAUUUCAAAUCAUGUAACCUUUGAUGAAAGUUCUUUUCCUUAUGAGUCAGGAACAGAUUUUUCUUCAGUUUCUUCAAACUGUCAGUCAUCAACUCAUUCUGAGUCUUCUUUUAAUUCUUCUACUCCUUUUGUUACUCAGUUACAAGCACCUUUAGCAGCAUCAUCAGAAUAUCAUCUUAAUGAUUCUCAGUCACAUGCUUCUAUUUCCUUCCCAAAUUCUACUCCAGUUUACUUUUCUGAUAAUUUCAAUUCCACUUCUUCUUCUCCUUCUUCACCAUCCCAUCAUUCACCUCCACAUACCUUGUCACAACCUGCAUCAUCUGGUCAUCCAAUGAUAACCAGGUCAAAAGCAGGUAUCUUCAAGCCCAAGAUCUACUUGUCAGCUUUACUAGCUCAGAAAUCAGAACCAACCUCUGUUUCCAAAGCACUUUCUGAUCCUAUGUGGUAUAAAGCUAUGCAAGAAGAGUAUCUAGCUCUUAAAACCAAUCACACCUGGGAUUUAGUCUUACCUGCUACUCCAGUGAAGAUAGUUGGCAACAAGUGGGUAUUUCGAGUAAAGUAUAACUCAGAUGGUUCAGUUUCAAGGUAUAAAGCCAGGCUUGUGGCUAAAGGGUUUCAUCAGACACAUGGGAUUGACUACACAGAAACCUUCAGUCCAGUGGUUAAGUCCUCCACUGUUAGAGUUAUUCUUAGCUUAGCAGUAUUGAGUCACUGGGUUGUAAGGCAGGUGGAUGUUAACAAUGCCUUUCUAAAUGGCAUUUUAAUUGAAGAUGUGUACAUGGCUCAACCUCAAGGUUUUGUUGAUUCAACUAAACCUAAUCAUAUCUGCAAGCUAAAUAAGGCUUUGUAUGGCUUAAAACAGGCUCCUAGAGCCUGGUUUGAUAGGUUUAAGGAUGCAAUGAUCUCCAAGUGGCAUUUUUAGCAUUCCAGGUCUGAUAACUCUCUCUUUUAUGCCUGGAACAGUGGUCAUCUAACUGUUGUUUUGGUCUAUGUUGAUGAUAUUAUCAUCACUGGUUCCAGUCCAUCCAUAAUUCAACAAGUUAUCCAGAAUAUGCAUCAAGCUUUUGCUUUAAAAGACCUGGGGGAACUUCACUAUUUUCUGGGGAUUGAAGUCAGCAAAUCUUCACAAGGGGUUUCCUUGACACAAGCAAAGUACAUUGCUGAUAUUCUGGAUAAACAUGGCAUGACAGACUGCAGUCCUGUGCCAACUCCAAUGUCUACAGGCUUUUAUCUCACCAAAGACUCAGGAGAGCCACUUGAUAAUGUUUCUCAAUAUCGAAGUGUUAUAGGAGCUCUUCAAUAUGUUACUCUUACCAGACCUGACAUUGCCUUCUCUGUAAACAAGUUAAGUCAGUUCCUUUCCAGUCCUAGAACUCAACAUUGGGAAGCAUGUAAAAGGUUAUUGAGGUACUUAAAAGGCAUUAUCCAUCUGGGGCUGCAUUUCUACAAUCAAGGAGCUCUGCAAUUACAUUGUUUUUCAGAUUCUGAUUGGGCUUGUGAUCAUGAUGAUAGGAAGUCAGUGGCUGGCUUUGCUGUUUAUCUAGGUCCUAAUCUUGUUUCCUGGUCGUCAAAGAAACAAGCUGUUGUUUCCAGAUCCAGCACAGAAGCUGAGUAUAGAUCUCUUGCUCAUGCUGCUUCAGAAGUUACCUGGAUUAAAUCCUUACUUGGUGAACUUAGUAUCACAUUAAGCUCCACUCCUAUGAUGUGGUGUGAUAAUCAAGGAGCAAUUGCUUUAGCUUAUAAUCCAGUUUAUCAUGCUAAGACUAAGCAUGUUGAAUUGGAUAUACAUUUUAUCCGAGAUAAGGUCACUGCUAAAGAGGUUGCAGUAUGCUAUGUGCCUAGUCCAGAUCAAACAGCAGAUGUGUUGACUAAGGCUCUUACUUUCAAACAAUUCAGUUACUUCAGAAGCAAGCUGAAUGUUCAUCCUAAACAUUUCAGCUUGAGGGGGGAUGUUAGUGAAUUGGAUAAAGCUGGAGCAGAGCAUGAUGUUGCUGUAUAGCUGGAGCAGAGCAUGUUGUUGCUGUGUAGCUGGUUGUAGCCAAAGCUGGAGCAGAGCAGAGCAGAGCGGAUAAAGCUGGAGCAGAGCAGAGCGGAUAAAGCUGGAGCAGAGCAGAGCAUGAUGUUGCUGUAUAGCUGGAGCAGAGCAUGCUGUUGCUGUGUAGCUGGUUGUAGCAGAUCAACUCACUGAGCUGACCUGUCAAAGUUAGUUAGCUGGUUGAGCUGAUGUGUAAAGUUAGUUAUGCAGCAAAUGGUUAUGUGAUGUAACAAACUCGUGUGUGUAGUGAAGAUUGUAGCUUAGUAUAAAUGUCAAUCAGUAUUCAUUAAGUUGAAAUAUCUGAGGAUAAUAAAAAGGUUCUUUAGAGUUCUCUUUCAUUUUCUUUUACUUUCUUGCUUGCCAAACAAUAUAGAACUAAGUUUCUUUCAAUGCCUAGCUAAUUUGACCACUACCUGAUUCAUAAGCCUACAUCAAUUUUGAUUUUGAGUUAAGUGAUUAAUUUUCAAGGUUUGCUUACUUAACCGGCGACUAAUUUCUUGUAACUAAAUGUAUCAUAUGAUGCAGGAAGCAGGGCAAGAUAUGAAAUGAGAAGCUUAUUAGUGGAAGGAUUGCCAGAAACAGAACCCAAAGAAAAUGAAAACAUUUCAAGGCAGCAGUUGGCAGCUGGCAAUGAAUGGAGGCCCUUGAAAAAAUUCCCAAGCCGUUGCACUGCAAUUACGAUCAUCCUCGGCCUCAGGUAAUUUCUUCUCCUGCAUUUUUGUUAUUUGCUAUCAAGUGACAUUCGUAAGUAUGAUUGCAUUAAGCUGCUGCUGGGAAAUUUGAGGUUUUGAUGGCUGCCCAUGCUAUUGUCAGAAGCUGCAGUUCUUUUCAUCAGCCUGAACCUGGACCUGUCGCCAUGGAUAACUCAGGUUUUUUUUUUUUUUAAUCAACUACGGCAUCUUUUCCACUGUUUUGAAACUCUUAAGAUUAAACUUUAGUAAUGUUGUUUUAGUUAUCCAUGUAAUCAGGCUGAGGAUACUUAGCAGCCUAUUUAGGCAAAUGUCAGAAUUUAGUUUGUUCGCUGGGAAUUGGUGUGGACUGGCAAAGGAUGAUGAGAUAGUUUUUUGAGUGAGUAAAUUUUGGGAGCUUGAGUGUAUUGGGAUUUGCAAUUACAAUCAUCGUCUGCCUCAGGUGAUUUCUUCUCCUGCUCUGUCAUUGUUUGUUCUCUAAUUCAAAAGCAUAAAAUAUUUCAAUCAAAUUGUAUGCCAGGAAUAUGCAAAAGUUUCUAAUAUUUUAUUUCCAUCUGUUUGCCUUGAUAACUUUGCUGCAUAUGUACUAGUUAAAGAACAAAUCGAAACAGAGCUCAGUUAAAAGUUUCUUCUGCCGUCAUAUUUGAAAAAUGAAACCAUUUCCAGGAAGCAAUGGGCAGCAAAUUCAUAUAAAGCAUAGACAAUGAUGAGCAAAAAGGUGAUUCACAAUUUCACUUUUUUUAAUGAAAUUAAUUGUUUGGUUGGAGCGGAUAUUGUUAGAAGGCCAUUGAGCUAACCUAUGUCACUACUUGCCUAGAUUACAGGGGGUCAAAUAAGGCAUCCAAUAAUUCUUGUGGCCAUAUAUCAAUUCAUGUAAGUUCGAAUGUAAUUAUUGGUGAAGGGGUUUCACUUCCCGUCUCUAAAUAAAAAUACUGAUUCUUUAAGGUACAUGCCACUAGGGAUUGCGAGAUUAACGAGUCUUUGGACAUUGGAAGAGCUCCUUGUAGUGGAGGAGGAGGUGUUGAUGGUAGCAAAGCAUGUGGGCAGUGGGCUUGAAUCUCUUAAAAACUUGGAACUCCUCCAAGCGUAAGUAUACGUAUACUGGGAAAUGUGUUAGAUGUGGAUGAGGCUAAGAGAUUAGAGCUUGACAAAAUGAAAUAACUCUUUCAUUGAGACUUAAAUUUGAUGGGGAAGAAGAAAAAGAAGAGGGAAGGAGGAAGAAUGAGGAUAAUCAACUUGUUCUUGAAGCCUUGCAACCACCUCUGAAUUUGAAGGAAUUAGAGAUUUGGUCAUACGGAGGCAACAUUGUUUCCCCCCGGAUGAUGCAAAAAUUGAAGGAAUUUACCAAUCUAAGGAGUUUGACACUCUUUAAAACUGCAAAAAUUGAGAAAAGUUGCCUCCUUUGGGAAAAUUGUGAUCCUUUGAAAAUCUCAGCAUAUUGUACAUGGAGAGUGUGAAAACAGUGGGUAAUGAAUUUCUGGGAAUAGAAAGUGAUCUUCAUGACUCAUCUUCAUCUUCAUCAGUGAUUAUUGCCUUCCCCAAAUUGAAAUCACUUUCAGUUGAGGGAUUGAUGGAAUUGGAGGAGUGGGAUUAUGGGAUUAAAAGAACAGGAAACACCUCCACCAACAUUAUGCCACGUCUUUCUUCCUUGGAAAUUAGUGUGGGGUUAUGGGAUCGCACAACGACGUUGAAGGUAUUGCAGAUUGUGGCAUGUGGUACUCUAAGAAGACGUUACAGACAGGGGAGAGCAGAAGACUGGCCUAAGAUCUCUCACAUUCCAGACAUCAUGAUUGUGUGAAAAGAUGCCCGUGACAAAAUUCUCUAGGCGGCUACAUGGAGUACAAUCAUAAAAUGCUAAUGUGGCCACCCUGGUUCUUAAUUAAGGUUGUGAAAUAUUAUUGUAAAAGAUGAUUAAUUCAAUUUGAGUUAUUCGUUUGCUUUGAUAAUGAUAGUAAUUUUAUAUUUUGACAAUUUGCAGGGUGAGAAUGGUGCUGAUUGGUGAUACAGGAUAUGGUUCAAACACCAUUGAAUAAAGCUACGGACAUGGUGGCUCAACUUAGCUAGAUUGCUGUCAAAAUUGGUAAGUUGGCUUGUCAAUGUAUUGAUGCUUUUGUUUUCUCUCAACCCUAAUUACCUUAACUUCAUUUAGUUUGGCUUUGGAGUUGAGUAAAUUCUGGCCUCUUCCGAAAAAAAAAGCUUAAUUUGCUACUGAUCACGUGUUACCAAUUAUUUAAGGUAAUUCUCGCUUACUUGCUUCUGCACUAUAGAGUACGUGUUCUGGCUGGUUUAUCUAAUUCAUCAAAUGUUAUUUCCUUAUUGUUCCAUUGAUAUAUUUGUUAGAAAGUGAAACCAUUUCCAGGCAGCAGUUGGCAGUGAAUUCAUGCAAAUGUUGGUGCCAUUCAUAGAUAUUGAAGACAAUGAUGAGCCAAAGGUGAUAAAUCAUUAAUGCAUAGUUACCAAAACCUCCAUCCUUCUCUCAUUGUAAUUUGAUUUUAAAUGAAUAAUUGCUAGGUAAUUGAAGCCAAUAUUGUUAGAAACGGUGUUGAGCUACCCAAGCUAAGAAGUUAGCUGCCAAAAAAUGCAGGGGAUUAAAAGAAGCAUUGCAUUUGAAAAGGAAUGAGAUUCUGGUUGCUACAUGUCAAUUCGUAGAAGUUUCAAUAAAUUUAAUGGUUCAAGAUUGUUAGUUUCUGUUUAAAUUUGUGCUACUGCAGUGCUACAACGCUGCUACUGGGAAAUUUGAAUCCCAUAUUAGACUUUCCUCACAUCAGAAGCUGUGGAUCUUGAGACAUCAGGUUUUUUCACAGUUCUGAAACUCUCAGGAUUAAACUCUAUUAAAGUUGUUGUAGUUGUCUACGUUCUCAGGUCAAGGAUUCUAAGCUGCCGAUUAAGCAUUGCGCAUUUUCAUUUGUCCGAUUCAAGAGGAACGUCACAGAAAGGGGUAAAGAAAAGAGUAGCCUAAGAUAUUAAAGACAAUGUUGAGCCAAAGGAAACAUAAAUCCCAACCAUUGCAUGUGAACAUGAUCACAAUAAGGUCAAGAACCUACCAAACCAUUUUUUUGAGAAUUUUCAAUUGAAAGUGAAACCUUUUGAUAUUUACCUAAUAAAGUUAGUUAAACGAGAGAAAUAAAGGGGGAAAGAAAAGUUGACUCUAAGUCAAUACAGAAUAAUUAGUUCAAUACAGAAUAAUUGCUGUAAAAUAUUAAAUAGUUUUAUUUUUCUUUUAUCGUUUAACUUGGACCAAAAAAGGAAAUGAGUUUAACACGACCCUCAUUCUGCUUCUUGCUUUGGUUUCAAACAAGUCUUUCUCCUUUAUGACAUUUAUUGUAAUUUCAUUUGGAGACAUAUGUCUGUCGUUCAAAUAUAUUUCAUACGCAAGCUGUUAAUAAUUCUGCUUGCAGAAAGCCUACAAAGCAGCUGUGUGAUGUAAUAGAAGACCAUAGAUAGUCUCGUCAAUUUUUCAACAUUAGAUAUUCAGGUCAUCAGCUUCUCAUGAAUUCUUUCCUGAGUUUCUUUGAAUUAUUUGUGAUGUAAUAACUUGUGCAUUUGAGAAACUGUUCUCUUGAAUUCUUUCUUGAGUUUCUUUGAAUUAUUUGUGAAUAAGUUGUUAAUCGGCUGCUUCUCUUCAGGAUAAGGAAAGUGUUGCAAACUGGUGAAGCAGCUGAUAGAUAAAAGCAAUGGGUACAUCUUUGCUGGCAUGGAUCGAUGCCAGUGCGGCUGAAUUCAGCAAGACUGCCGUUCGUGAUGUUGUUGAUUGGGAUUACAUUAAGGAUGAUGACAACAUUGAUUAAAAUGGGACGUGAAGAUAUAUGGUGUGCAAAUUAACCCAACCCAACCAAACCCGUACAUUUUAUCAACCCAACCCAACCUGUAAAAAAUCACACGGGUUAGGUUAGUUUCACGGAUUGGGAGGUUGGUGCCCACCCCUAAAUAUAACCUCCAUUUCAGCACAAUGCAUGUUAAUUGUUCCCCAAGGACUUCUCCUGAUUCCCAUUCCCAACCUCCAUGCUCUUGAGAGGAAUUUAGCACCCAUCAAUUUUUAUUUUUGAAAACUCGUAAUGGUCUGAUAAAAUUAAACAACAUCAAUAAUGUUACCAGUCUUUAAAUAGUAAUUAAUUUAUUUAAUUUGCCACCUAAAAGAAUCCUGCUGGAAAUAGAGGUUAAAAAUUUUAUUAGAUCUGCUUACCUUUGUUCAUUCAGCAAAAACACUUACAAUUCACAGCUAGAGAAUCUAUCCAUUGACAAUUGUGGAUUAAAAUUAUAACACCUGAAUUCCAACAUAUCCUUAUGAAGUUAUGAAUUUGUUCAUACUUCAAAUGAUUUUUUUUUCCCAAGCUAAUAAAGCUACCACUUUGAUCAAACGACGACGUUGAAGGAAUUGCGUAUUUUCAAUGUCCUUUUCCAGACAGACGUUCGAGAGAGAGAAAGGAGAAGACUGGCCUAAUUAAGAUAUCUCACAAAGAUUAUUAUUGAGUUAAAAUGUUAUUGUAAAAGAUGUAUAAUACAAUAAUAGUAAUUCUUUUGCAUUGUUAUAAUGAGGCUGGUGGGUUUCCUCAGAGGAUGGAUCUUGCUCGCUAGUAUGCAUUUGGGAAGCUGCUAAUUAUUGGCCAUAAAAAGUCAGGGGGUUGUGGCUCUUCCGUCGCCCAGAAAUUCCUCAACUCAUAUCUCAAACUUCAGAUGAACUUGGGCAUUAUGUAAAUAUGUAUUUUGAGAAUUAAACUAGUGCCUUAGAAAAAAUUUGAGCCAUUGUAAUCAUUUUAUUUUGCUAAGGGAAAAUUUUACUUUGUGUUUCGCUUUGACUUUUUUUUUUUUGCCUUGUGAUAAUAAGAUUCAUACGAAAGUGAUUACACGCCUAUCAUGCAUCUAUUUUCAUUUGCUUGUCAUGAGAGAUCAACAUGCUCGAAAUAAUUACUUAGGUUGGAAAUAUUUGAAUCCACUAAAAUACUAUACAAACCCAUUUUAAAAUUAAAAAAAUGAUUAUCAUAAUACUUGUGAAGAUAACACGAUAUCAUACAUAAAAUAAAAUAUUUCGCAAAAAAGAUACGAUACAAAUCUUGAGUAAACAGGUACAAAAAAUAUUUUUUUUUGGUUAAACCACGAGGUACAAAAAAUAUUUUAGUGGGUUAAGUAGCACUAAUGCCCCCUUAUCAAAAAAUAUAGAAAAAUAACUAGUUUGAUUGGGUAUACCGUUUAUAUAUAUGUACAUAUUCUUGAUAAUGUGUAAUGUAUAUUAUAGACAAAGAUUUUGAAAGCAAUAUUUUUUGGUAUUAUUAUAUAAUAUUUUUUAAAAAGUUGAGAGAAUAGGCAAAGUCCAAAUCAACUUUCUAAUCCCUACCUCCUUUAUGAUUUAAACUUUAGCGUUUAGUGUCGCGAGCCACUCAAAUUUUCUAAUCAAAGAGACUAAAUUGCACGAAAUUGUGCUAGCUUAUUUGAUUCUAGAAAUUUCCAGUACACUGUAACACACUCUCAGGCUUGUACAUACCUCGAAAUUCUCUAGAAUUAAUUUACUAGAGUAGUGUUGCAUGUAGCUUGUACAUAGGUUUUUCUGGAACACUUCAGGUAUUACUAAGCAUGAGAGCUUUGAGAACUCUCUAGCCAUAAAACAUUCUAGGGUAUGUCUACCCUAAAAAUUGGGCAUGAUGCUUGCCACUUGAGCAUACAACAAGUAAGAACAAAUCAAGCAUACUUGUAAGCUCUCAAACUCUCUUAUACACACUUUUAUGAAUAAUAUACUUUCUCUUUGGCUAUAUUGCUCUCUCUUCUCUCUAGUUUUUUCGCAAGCAUCAUACCUUAGUUAGUCGAAAAGUUCAAGGCUUACUUUAUAGCUAUCUCACAAAAGUUGUUUAAGUACCACAUGGAUUUGCUGUGUAAAAUACUCAUCACAUGACAUUAGCUAAAUAGAUUUGUUUGAAAGCCACUUACCCAAACUAUUAAACGAAUAUUAACUUUUGUCUUAAUUUUCUAUCACCUAUGAUAAAAUUUAUAAUUAAAAAUUGAAAAAAUUAAUAACUAUUAGAUAGAGCAUUCUUUACUGUUAAAAGAAAUCUAUAUAGAUAGAUAGAUGGUAAUAUAAAAACUUACUUAUUGUAGUAUAAUGUUUUUAGUUUUUUGAAACAUAGAUUCUUACUUUUUUAAGAUAAAAUUCAAAGAAAACAAGUUAAAUGUUGUGGAAAAUCUUCCAGCCAUACAAGAAAUUGUGAUAGCUAAAUGCAAACCUAACUAAAGUAUUAGUUGUUUUAUUACAAUCUCCAAAAAGAUGAGCAAUUCCAAAAUAUUUUUUUGUAACAAUAAACACUAUAGGUCAGCAAUUAUCCAAGUCAAAAGCAAGCUACUCUAUUAAAAAAAAAAAAAACUUGUAGUGAAUCUGAAGAUAAACCAAUUUUACUAGCAAGUUGGAUACCAAAGAGUAGGGCUUCAGCCUCAAUUACUCAAUGUACCAACAACACAGUCUCGGUGAGUUAAAAUCAACUUCUACCACUCUUUUACUUGCUGAUAGAUCGAUUAAGGUACCAAAAGGAAUAAUCGAAGAUGUAUUAGUUCGAGUUGAUAAAUUCAUAUAUCCUGUGGAUUUUAUUGUUUUGGAAACUGAACCAAUUGCUAAUGAAUGCAAACAAAUUCCUGUUACAUUGGGUCGUCCAUUUUUAGCUACUGCUAAUGCAUUGAUUAAUUGCUGGAAUGGAGUAAUGAGUUUAUCUUUCGGCAACAUGACAUUGGAACUCAAUGUGUUCAACAUAUGUAAACAACCUCACCACCAGGAAGAUGAUGAUAAUGAGAAUGAGGAGAUUGAUUUCAUCGAGCCAAUCAUUGAUGAACACAUUCAGAAUAAGAAUUUUACAAACUCAGUGGAAAUUUAUUCUGCUCGUUCUUUUGAAUCGAGUAAGAAAUUAGAUUACGAUACUGAUAACAUAUACCCUACACUUGAUUCUAUGCAGGUACUUGCUGACGGUGACCAAUCAAACUUUAAAAAUACAGAACAAUCUAAAGAACCAAACGAAGAGGAAGUACCAGAGCUCGAAUUAAAGCCCUUACCGGAAGAAUUGAAGUAUGCCUAUCUUGGAGAAUAACAAACUUAUCCGGUGGUAAUUUCUUCCCAACUCACGCAUGAUCAAGAAGGUAAGUUGUUGUCUGUACUAAAAAGGCAUAAAACUGCAUUUGGUUGGACCUUAAAAGACAUAAAAAGUAUUAAUCCUUUAAUCUGCACACACCGAAUACACUUAAAGGAAAAUACCAGAACAACCCGUUAACAUCGACAUUAUCAGUGUAAACAUUAAAUACCAAAAUCAACCCCAAAAACUAUAACUAAACUAUCAUGACUAAAAUAAAGUUUUUUUUUUUUAGAUAUUCGUUGUAGUAUCUCUUUAGAUGACAAACAAGAGAUAAAAUACAUAAAUAUUUGCUGUGUAAAUAAAAAUAAAUAAUUUUUUUGAACUGAAAAAUAUUCUCAAAAACUAAAUAGUUCAAACUUUUUUUAACAUUAUCGGUUCUGGACCUGAACCGAACCGUGAACCGUAAACUGCCCACCCUUACGUAGUUGUUUCCGUUAACCGAUGUUGUAUUGCUGGUAUAAAAUUGUUCAAAUGUUCAAAUCACAGUCUCCCGCUCUCAGCUCAGUCAGAGUUUCAGGUCCAGAGACUUCCCGCUGACUGAGAGCUUUUUUGUAGCAGUUCUACAAAUAAUGGAGUAGAGCUGAUUUUAUGAUUAAUUUAUUUCCUUUUUCAAUUUCUUAUGAUUGCGAUUUAAUCUGGAAAGUUAAACGUGAAUUGUUUAGUGCGGAUUAAAUGUUCGACGAAUUUCCCGCAAGAGUAUUAAGUUAAAGAGAAAAAAGAAAACAAUUGAGCGUGAGCGUGAGCGUGAGCGAGAAUGGUGUUUGGGCAAGUGGUGAUUGGUCCGCCCGGCUCGGGAAAGACCACUUACUGCAAUGGCAUAACUCAGUUUCUCAGCCUUGUUGGCAGGUAACUUCGUUUCUUGAUUUCAAGCAGCUUUAUCUUUGAUGACCAAAAAAAUUGAUUUGGGCUUUGCCCAUUAAAUGAAUGUAAGAGCGGUAGGGAAUAACUGAGUUAUAGGAUUAGCUUUAAGUGAACAUUGAUGGUAACAUGCGCGUGAAGGUUGUAUGUGUUCAGUGGCAAGCUGUAUGCCAAUUUGGUCUAUAUGGUUGCUUAGGUAGUAACUUAUUAAUUUUUACGCAGGAAGGUUGCAGUCAUCAAUUUAGAUCCUGCUAAUGAUAGUUUGCCGCAUACUUUGUCAUUGAACUUUCUUACAAAUGCUGUGGUUUGUUGUAGUAUAAUUAGUUCAAUUGGAAACUUCCUUGAUGUUAAUAUAGAAAUGAGUGUGCUGUGAAUAUUGAGGACCUCAUUAGACUAAGUGAUGUGAUGAUGGAGUAUUCACUUGGUCCCAAUGGAGGUUAGUCAGCCUAUUGUUGUUUACUCUUUCUUGCUUUAUCACGCAAUGAUAUUCCUUUGCUUUACAACAAAUUUCGUGAAAUUAACUUCAAUCAAGUGGCAAUGUUCAUAUGCUGUUGAGAUUUUAUGGACAAUGAUUGGUAGACUUUAUAUGCCGUCUUCUUUCUUUUUGCAGUGAUAUGCUUGUAUUCAAUGAGCAUGUACUUAUUCUAUGGUUUCUAAAGUAGGUGUUUUUAUGAUAAACUAGGUCUUGUGUAUUGUAUGGACUAUCUAGAGAAGAAUAUUGACUGGCUGCAGUCGAAAUUAGAACCACUUUUGAAAGGUAAGAAGAGGCCAUUUUCCUUCAUUCUAAUGCCAAUAAUGCUGUCAUGAGACUCAUAAAAAUGUUAAAACGUUAAUGUUUUUGGUAUUUUGCAGAUCAUUAUCUUCUGUUUGAUUUUCCUGGCCAAGUUGAAUUAUUUUUUCUUCAUUCCAAUGCCAAGACUGUUAUAAUGAGACUCAUAAAGAAGUUAAAUCUCAGGGUAUUGUUACAUCUUACAUCUAUGAAGGGACUCAAAGAGUUGAGAUGAAUUCAUCUUUGUUAUUUUGAUGCCAGAAUUGUGCAAUUCUCAGUUGGUUCCUUGCACAUGCAGUUGACUGCAGUGCAUCUAGUUGAUGUGCAUCUUUGCAGUGACCCCGGGAAGUAUGUUAGUGCUUUGCUUCUCUCAUUGUCUACGAUGCUACAUCUGGAACUUCCCCAUGUCAAUGUCUUGUCUAAUCGAUCUGAUUGAGAAUCAUGGAAAGCUAGGUGUGGUUUUAAGUGUAUCUCUCCUACUUGUUUGUUUAGUUUGAAAUAUCAGAUAUUGUCACAAGCUCCUAUUUGCUACAUUUCCUCACCAAUCAAUUACUUUGGGUAUGUUGCAGCUUUUAAUCUCGAGUACUAUACAGAUGUGCAAGAUUUGUCAUAUUUACAGCAUGCUCUCGGUCAGGACCCUCAUUCUGCUAAGUACAGGUUUGAAUUCUAGCUGAAUCAAUGAUGCAAAUUAUGUUCAUUGCUAUUUCUGCUGUUGUUUCUAUCAUUUUCAAUUGUUACCUCCCCUUGCCAUCUACUGCCACACUGCAAUGCCUACACAAAUGUUAUGAAAUUUGUCAAUGGCAAUGCCAUCCUGUUUGUCCAGAGACAGCUCUUAGAUGCAAGUGAACAAUUUUUGGCUUUGGCCGUAGUACAGCCUUAGAUUUCAACUUGCCAUAUCUUGUCUCGGAAGUCAAAAGAAAGCGUAUAUGUUAGCCAAAUUUUAUUUGAAUUUAUUAAGUAACAAUGAAUGGGUCAGAAAAACAGUUCCUCUUUUGUUUUGAUCAGACUCAAUGAAUAAGUGUUUAAAAUGUGCCUGUCCUAAAAAUAUAGAUGUGUGGUUUCACAAAAUUUUCUUGAUCUUAAGAAAGAGUUAUCUUGAAAAGAAGAUAACAUGGAGAAUUCAGCAACUAUACAGUCAUAUUGAUGUCUGUCAACUUGGGUCAGAUGGUGUCGUUUGGAUGGAGAUGUUAGGUCCCAGAUGGUAUGCUUGUUAUCAAAUUCCAGUCUAAUUCAUUCAUGCUUUGAUGACAUAUGCGGUGCAGCUUCUUAUCUAAGACCUGUAUAUGUUCAGUCAUCAUUCAGUUCUGUAUUUGGCUGUCAUUCUUUCAAUGAAUUCAAACCACUUUCUGAAUACUUGCAAGGGAAAUUAUCAUUCGUAUACCCUAUAUUUACUCUGUUAUCAAAAAUACUACAACACUUUGAGGGUGUAUCAAUCGUCCACCAUAAGUUGACAAAAUGUAUCAACCGACCACCAAACCGUUAAUUGUCGUUUGAAAGUUAACGGAAUUACAGUGAAUUGACGAUUUUACCCUUGAAAAUUAUCACUUGUAUACCCAUAAAAUUCUCUUUUUAGCACUUGUAUACCCUUAAAUUAUCACUUGUAUCAUAUGAAAAGACCAAAUUACCCUUCUGAUGUUAUCAUAUUUAAACGGCAACUAACGGUUUGGUGGUCGGCUGAUACAUUUUGUCAACUUAGGGUGGACGAUUGAUACACCCUCAAAGUGUUGUAGUAUUUUUGAUAAUUGAGUAAACUAAGGGUAUACAAGUGAUAAUUUCCCUACUUGCAAAUUCAUCCAGUGUUGUCAUUGAGAUGCCAAUAUGUAAAGGAGCAAUAGUUGCCCUUGAUAGUAUGCUUAUUGAUUGCCUCUUGCCUCACUCAGCCUAAGGAAUCUGGUUGUAUGGUGUUCUUGUAAUUUCAUUUGGAGAUAAGUAAUAUCUGUUGUUCAAAUGUAUUUUAUAUACAACCAGUUCAUAAUUCUGCUUGCAGAAAGCUUACAAAGGAGCUGUGUGAUGUAAUAGAAGACUACAGUCUGGUCAAUUUUUCAACUUUAGAUAUUCAGGUCAUCAGUUUCUCUUGAAUUCUUUCUUGAGUUUCUUUGAAUUAUUUGUGAAUAAGAUCUUAGUUGGCUGCUCCUCUUCAGGAUAAGGAAAGUGUGGCAAAACUCGUGAAGCUGAUAGAUGAAAGCAAUGGGUACAUCUAUGCUGGCAUGGAUGCCAGGGCAGUUGAAUUCAGCAAGAUUGCCGUUCGCGAUGUUGAUUGGGAUUAUUUCGGAUAUCCUUCUUUUCACCUAUUUUCAAUCUUGUUAUUCUCAUAUUCAUAAAACAUUUUGGUUAUUUAAUUAUGGUUCAUCAUAUGCAUCUGCAUCUUCUAACUUGUUCGUUUGAGAAACUAAUUUUGCCGUUAGGUAGGCUUCAAGCUUGAUUCAUGCUUUUUUCAAAAAUGUACCAAAAUCAUGGAAACUUCUUUUUCCCAGAUAUUGUAUCCACACUUUUCCCAUAUAAUUGGGUCAGACAAGUUUUGCUUAACAAAGAUAUCUACAGUAGCCGAAGUGCAGGAGAAGUACAUUAAGGAUGAUGACGAUGUUAACUAAAAUGGGACGUGAAGAUAUGUGGUGUGCAAACCGUAAGCCUGCCUCUUAUUUUUGUGCAUGUUUACUUGCUUGUGAUUCACGUUUGUUAAUCUAUUUUGCUCUCUUGCAGGAGUUAUAAAGUUUUCAAUCAAUCAAACAUUUAACUCAAGUCCUUAGCUCUUCACGGCUUGAAUGGGUCAGAUAGGACAAGCGCCGAAGAGGUGGUUUUAAUCAAACCCCUCCUAAUUAUGAUGUAUGGUCCAAAUCUCGGACUUUCUGUACAAUAUCGAGCGAUUCGGACCUUUCAAGUCGAAUAUUGAUUUUUCUCCAGUAUUGUUUGUAAUUACAAGAAACGAAGUAAUGAAAUUUAUCACUGCGUUCAUAGUUAUGCUUAAGCUCAAAGAUUACCGUCAAGAUCAUUUUGGGCCCUCAAAGAAACAUGAUGUUGACACAUGUAAAAUUAUGAAGCUUGUGAUUAAAAUACUUUUGACAUAUAUAUGUUAAGUACUAUUAAUAAUUAAACAUAUGAAUAAAUAUGGUCAAUGAGGAGAGGAUAAAAUAAAAUGGUUUCAUUUUUUGAAUUACUCAACCGCUUCAAACUUCUAAGAAGUAGAUAUACAAUGAGUGGAAUACUGAAUUGAGUGCGAGCUGCGGAUAACUUAUAAAAUUGGGAUGCAAGCUUCAAGGAAAGUGUAUUGCUAUUCAAAUGUAGAUUUCAAAUUAGGAAGAUAUGCCAGCAAAUUGUAUAAAAAUGUAUAAAUUGAUCAGUAACAUUAAUUCCAAAUGAUGAAAUGAGUUAUCUUGAUCAAAAGGUCAAGAACCUACCUUACUUCUCUUAGAGAUAACUUGCAUCAACCGUUGUGGUAUUCAUACUUGUCUUCAGCUAGUAAAAGUGAAAGUUUCACAAUUGAAAUAAAGCUAAGGGAAGAUGCUAUGCUGCAUUUAUUAUUAUUAUUAUUGAUGUGGUCGAGAAGUAAAGCCAUGCAUAUGAUGAAGUAUAAAUAAGAAUGCAAUAGCCCGGAAUUCAUUUUCACAAACACUUCAAUAUCCUUUUGAUCACUUUUGCAAACAUCAAUUUGUCUCCUCUUGUAUUCACCAUGGUUGAUGCCGUCAUUUCCCCUCUCGUGGAGCAGCUGACUUCCUUCGCUGCUAAAGAGAUAAUACAACAGGUGAUCGAAGUUAAACCCCCCAUAUUAUAAAUACUUCUAAUGAUUUUAAUUGGUUUUGUUUUUAUCGAAAACAUUAACUUUGCUUUAUUUUACUUAUUUAGGCAUUUUAAAUUUUGAAAUUUGAAUUGAAUUUAAUUAAAAUGUGAUGUAGUUAGUAACCACUUUUUUUUAUUUCAUUUAAAUUCUCAAUAACUACCUAUAUUUUGGUAACUUACUGUAACCCCCGUAUCUAAGAAAUGAUCAAAACCCACAAUUUUAACUCCACAUAAAUAUUCCAUGUUGAGCUAAGUUCGAUGUUGAGGUAAGUUUUUGCAUAACAUUCAAGUUUGUCAAAUAGUCAUUAAUUAAAUGUUUAGUAAAAACUUAUCUCUGAAAAAUUUCAUAAUUUUCUUACAUUCUUUGAGUUUGGUAAGUGACUUCAUAUAAUUUCCUUUCAAUUUAAAUUUUAAUUUGGUUUCUGAUAUAGUCUCUUUACUGAAUUUAUAUCUUUUAUGAUUCUUGGAUUUGGGGCUCCAACUUUUUAGGAUUUGAUAGUCACAUUUUAUGGCAUGCUUAGAUUGAUUUUCAUGAUUUUUAGUACUCGUUAAGUGACUGAGAAUUUGACAAAAGUUUGAAAGGAAAUCCGUUUCACGAUUCUUAUGUGGAAGGUUCAUAAAAUCAUUAAAUUUGGAUAGGAUUCAUUAGCAAUAUGUACAAGACUCUCCAUGAAGUUUCGUAAUUUUUCAUUCGGUCUGGGGUGGUACAGGUAAAGCUUGUGGUUGGUGUUGAAAAAGAAGUGAAAAGCCUUACCAGCCACCUUCAAGCCAUUCAAGCUGUUAGCGAUGAUGCAGAGGAAAAGCAAGUGAAGGACAAAGCUAUUAGACUUUGGCUGGGUAGGCUCAAGUACGCAUCCUACGACAUUGAAGAUGUGUUGGAUGAAUGGAUCACGGCAAGAGGCAAAUUGCAAAUUAAGGGUGGCGCUGAUAAGAAAAAGAAGGUUUGUUUCUGCUUUCCCGCCUCUUGUUUUGGAUUCAAACAAGUCUUUCUACGUCAUGACAUUGCCAACAAGAUCAAAGAAGUCAGUGAAGAGCUACAUGAUAUUGCCACCCAAAAAGACAUGUUUAAAUUUGAGAGUAGCAGUAAAAGUAGUGAAAGACCAAGGCGUGUGCAGAGUACCUCCUUGAUUGAUGAGGAAGAGAUUUGUGGUAGAGUUGGUGAGAGGAAUGCACUCUUAAGCAUGCUGUUGUGUGAGAGCAGUGAGCAACAAAAAGGCCUUCAUAUCAUCUCAAUUGUUGGUAUGGGAGGCAUCGGGAAAACAACUCUUGCACAACUAGCAUGUAAUCAUGUUGAGGUAAAGAGAGAGUUUGACAAAAUUUUAUGGGUGUGUGUAUCAGAAACUUUUGACGAGUUUAGGAUUGCCAAAGCGAUGCUUGAAGCUUUGACUGGUUCAACUUCUAAUUUAGAUGCAUUGCAAUCUCUUCUUAUAAGUAUUGAUGAAUCUAUUGCGGGAAAGAGAUUUCUUCUUGUCUUAGAUGACGUGUGGGACGGAGAUUACAUUAAAUGGGAACCAUUCUACCGUUGCCUAAAGAAAGGUCUCCAUGGAAGUAAAAUUUUAAUUACGACACGUAAGGAGUCAAUUGUGAGCAUGAUGAGAUCCACAGAUAUUAUCUCUAUCAAGGAAUUGGCUGAAGAAGAAUGUUGGGCAUUGUUUAAGCGGUUAGCAUUUUUCGGUCGUUCCACUGAGGAGUGUGAAAAAUUGGAACAAACUGGUCAAAGAAUUGCAAGAAAGUGUAAAGGUUUACCUCUUGCUGCAAAGACAAUGGGAAGUCUCAUGAGCUCUAAAAAAAUUGAAGAAGAGUGGAAAAGAAUUUUAAAUAGUGAUUUAUGGAAGGUAGAAGAGAUCGAGAAAGGUGUUCUAACCCCUUUGUGGUUGAGUUAUAACGAUUUGCCAUCUAGAGUAAAAAGAUGUUUCUCGUAUUGUGCUGUCUUUCCAAAAGACUACAAUAUAGAAAAAGACAAACUAAUUACUUUGUGGAUGGCUCAAGGUUAUCUUAGUGCAGAAGCAGCAGAACAAGAUGAGGAGUUGGAGACUAUAGGUGAAGAGUAUUUUGGCAUCUUAGCUUCUCGCUCUUUCUUUCAAGAGUUUGAGAAACGUUAUGAUAAUCGUAUUAUAGCGUGCAAGAUGCAUGAUAUGGUACAUGAUUUUGCCCAAUUUGUUAGUCAAAAUGAAUGUUUUUCGUUGGAAGUUAAUGGUAGUGAGGAACUAAACGUCACAAACUCUACAAACUCUCUUGAUGAGAAGGUCCGUCAUUUAAUGUUAAUCUUUAGUAAAGGGGCUUCAUUACCGGUUUCCACUCUUAGAGUUAAAAGAAUGCGUACCCUCUUAAUUAACGAUAGUAGAUCUGAUCAUUCAUUAUUAAAUGGUGAGAUCCUAGAAGAAUUAUUUAGGGAGUUGACAAGUUUAAGGGCAUUAGAUUUUGGCAAAUCGUAUAACUCAAGUUGGUAUUCGACUCUGGAGAUUCCGAGAAACAUAGAAAAGCUGGUACAUUUAAGAUACCUUAAUUUGUUUUAUCAGGGAAUAAAGAAACUACCGGAGACAUUAUGCGAGUUGUAUAAUCUAGAAAAGUUAGAUAUUAGUUUAUGUUUUAAUCUUAAAGAAUUACCUGAAGGGAUUGGGAAGUUAAUAAACAUGAAGCAUUUACGAAAUAGAGGUACUAGUUCUUUAAGGUACAUGCCAGUAGGGAUUGGGAGAUUAACGGGUCUCAGGACCUUGGAUGAGUUCCACGUGAGUGGAGGAGGAGGUGUUGAUUGUAGGAAAGCAUGUAGGCUUGAAUCUCUCAAAAACUUGGAAAACCUUCGAGUGUGUGGUAUAUGUAGACUGGGUGAUGUAUCAGAAGUGGGCGAGGCUAAGCGAUUAGAACUUGACAAAAAGAAAUACCUCUCUUGUUUGAGACUUCGGUUUGAUAAGAAGAAAGAAGAAGGAGAAAGGAGGAAGAACGAGUACGAUCAACUUCUUCUUGAAGCCCUACAACCACCUCUCAAUUUAAAGGAAUUAGAGAUAGAGUACUACCGAGGCAACACUGUUUUCCCCAGCUGGAUGACGUCAUUAACCAACUUAAAGAGUUUAGAUCUCUCUUCCUGUGAAAAUUGCGAGCAGCUGCCUCCUUUGGGAAAAUUGCCAUCCCUUGAAAAUCUCCACAUAUAUCGCAUGGAGAGUGUGAAAAGAGUGGGUGAUGAAUUUUUGGGGAUAGAAAGUGAUCAUCAUGGCUCAUCUUCAUCGGUUAUUAUUGCCUUCCCCAAAUUGAAAUCACUCACAAUUUCUUUGAUGCUGGAAUUGGAGGAGUGGGAUUAUGGGAUUACAAGAACGGGAAACACCGUCAUCAUCAUCAUGCCACGUCUUUCUUCCUUGACAAUUGGGAAUAGUCCCAAAUUAAAGGCACUGCCCAACCACAUUCAUCAAACGACAACAUUGAAGACAUUGCGCAUUUGGAGGUGUGACCUUCUGGAAGAACGUUACCGCAAGGGGGAAGGAGAAGACUGGCCUAAGAUAUCACACAUUCCCAAUCUCCAUUUUGGGCUUUGACAAGUAAUUUCUUCUCUUACUCUGAUUUGCUUUGUUGUUGUUUUUAAUCUAAUUAAGAAGCGUAAAUAGCAUUUUGAAUCAAACUCUAUAUCAGAAAUCUGCAAUACUUACUUUCUAAUAUUCUGAUUUUCAUAUCCUAUGAAUAUACGAUUUUUAAUUUGUGGGAUGGGUAACGUUACUGUAAAAGAUUAUUAAUGCAAUAUGAGUAAUUCUUUUGCAGGACAAGUGGCCUACAUUUAGUUUGGCUUUGGAGUUGAAUAAUAACCUUUCGAGGUCCCGACAACCAAAAAACGAAACUUAAUUUGCCACAGAUUGCACGUAUUGCCAUUAUUGACAAUUUUCUGCACAAGCUUAGGUUGAUGUCAAAAGAGGUAAAUUAUUGGCAUGCCUGACUAUUUUGACCAUUACAUGAUUCAUAAGUUUACAUUAAUUUUGAUUUUGAGUUGAGUGAUUAAUUUUCUAGGUUUGCUUACUUUAACUGGGUGACCAAUUUCUUGUAACCAAAUGUAUGAUGUGAUGCAGGAAGCAGGGCAGGACAUGAAAAGAGAAGCUUAUUAGAGGAAGGAUUGCCAGUAACAGAAUCCAAAGAAAAAGAAACCAUUUCGAGGCAGCAGUUGGCAGUUGGCAGUGAAUGGAGCCCCUUGAAAAAACCCCCAAGCGGUUGCACUGCAAUUACGAUCAUCCUCGGCCUCAGGUAAUUUCUUCUCCUGCAUUUUUGUUAUUUGCUAUCAAGUGACUAUUUUAAGUAUGAUUGCAUUAAGCUGCUGCUGGGAAAUUUGAGGUUUUGAUGACUGCCCAUGCUAUUGUAAGAAGCUGCGGUUCUUUUCAUCAGCCUGAACCUGGACCUGCCGCUAUGGAUAACUCAGUUUUUCUUUUUUUUAAUCAACUGCCAUCUUUUCCACUGUUUAGAAACUCUUUAAGAUUAAACUUUAGUAAAGUUGUUUUAGUUAUUCAUGUAAUCAGGCUGAGGAUACUUAGCUGCCUAUUUAGGCAAAUGUCAGAAUUUAGUUUGUUCGCUGGGUACUGGUGGGGACUGGCAAAGGAUGAUGAGAUAGUUUUUUGAGUGAGUAAAUUUUGGGAGCUUGAGUGUAUUGGGAUUUGCAAUUACAAUCAUCGUCUGCCUCAGGUGAUUCUUUUUCCUGCUCUGUCAUUGUUUGUUCUCUAAUUCAAAAGCAUAAAAUAUUUCAAUCAAUUUUUAUGCCAGGAAUAUGCAAAAGUUUCUAAUAUUUUAUUUCCAUCUGUUACAAGAUCAAACUGAAGCAGAACUCAAACAAAAGUAUGCUACUUCUUGCGGAAAUCUUGCCUUUGUUCAGAUUAUGAAACCAUUUCCAUGCAGCAAAUUCAUCCAAAAGUUUGAAUAAGUUUCACGGUUGGACACUGUUGGCUUCUUUUUCUUCUGGGGUGCAUUUAGGUGCUAUCAAGUGACAGCUGUAAGUAUGAUUGCACUAAGCUGCUGCUGGGAAAUUUGAGGUUUUGAUGGCUGCCCAUGUUAUUUUCAAUAAACUAUUGAUGUAAGAAGCUGUGGUUCUUUUCAUCAGCUUGAACCUGAAACUGUCGCUAUGGAUAACUCAGGUUUUUGUUAUCAACUAUAUCAUCUUUUUCACUAUUUUGAAACUCUUAAGAUUAAACUUUAGUAAAGUUGUUUCAGCUAUUCAAAUGAAAAACUCAUUGAUUUGAGAAUUCCUUCAUUAUUGUUUCUAAUUACAAUGCUAACGAUCCAGAUAAAAUAAUAUUUAAUCGGCGAAGGUGUCCCUUGGAAGUACAUCCUUCUUUUUCUUUUAUUAUAUCAAUUCUUGCAAUGAGCUUAGUGAAGCUGUUGUGCUAAUCAUGCCACUGCAUAAUUUGGCCCCUAAUGUGGGUACUCUGUUACAUUGUUCUGCAAAUUCUCCAGAAGUUAAAAUCAAUAAAUUUUCUAUUAGCUCUAGUGCUUUGACCUAAAUGCUAUUCUAUAUUCUGAUUACAAUGUUUUAACCUUUAAAUUAACUACCCCUAGAUGUUGGAUUUUCUAGAACUUCAAAAUGAUUAAUGGAGAAAGAUCCCAUUAUCGUUAUUGCUAUAAGAAAUUGAUUUAUGCAUCCAAAGAUACAUUAUAUAUUUCUGUGUCUCUAUUUAUAGAUGACAUUUAAGCAUCCAUAAACCGUCAGACAGAGGAAGGGGGUUCAGUGCAAAGAUUCUGUUGACCUAGGGUUGACUGCAUAUGUCACUUGUUCGCAAUCUAUUAUUUAUUUUAUAUUUUGAAGAAUUUAAUGGGUAAUCCUAAUUGUUUGUUUUGGCAGGUAUGUGUUGUUAUCUCCUUCUAUCUAACAGUCGUACCUAAAUAGCAUAGUUUCAUCUGUGUUACCAUGUGAUGUACAUAAUUUCACAUUUGCCUCAGAUUAAGCUUAAUUUCCCACAGAAUAGAGCUGUCGCGACUGGACUUAGGUUGAUGUCCAAAGAGGUAAAUUAUUGGUAUGCCUAGAUAAUUUGGCCAUUUCCUAAUUCAUAAGUCUACAUUAAUUUUGAUUUUGAGUUGACUGAUUUCUUUUCAAGGUCUGCUUCCUUAACGGAGUGACCAAUGUUUUUCAACUAAAUUUAUCAUAUGAUGCAGGAAGCAGGGCAGGAUAUGCAAUGAGAAUCUCAUUGGUGGAAGUAUUGCCAGUAACAGAACCCAAAGAAAAUGAAACUGUUUCAAGGCAGCAGUUGGCAGUUGCAAGUGAAUGGAGGCCCUUGACAAAAUUCUCAAGCGGUUGCAAUGCAAUUACGAUCAUCCUCAGCCUCAGGUAAUUUCUUCUCCUGCUUUGUAUUUAUUUGUUAUCUAAUUAGGAAGCGUAAAGUAUCUUGAAUCAUUUUCUGUAUCUGGAAUAUAUGCAAGAGUUUCUAAAAUUUUGAUAUGAGUGUGAUGAUGGUAAUUUCUGUUUUCUGUCUGUCUUCAAAUGUUAGAAAACUUUCAUUGAGACGCUUGAACCGAGUCAUUUUUGACAAGUGAAGUGCUGAAGAGUGAAGAGUAAGAAUGGUGCUAGAUUGGGGAAUAAAGCAAAAGGAGGUAAAUUAUUGGCAGCUUCUUCAGCCUUAUUUUCUUUGGACCAGUGCCUAACUCACAAGUCUCCAUAAUUCGGCUUUUGACCAGUUGAUAGAUAAAAUUUUAAUUUCAUUGGUGCUAAUGUACCCGUGAAGCAGGCAGAGAAGGACUGUGGAAAAGAGAAGGUUUUUAGUGAAAGCUUAAACUCAGGUAAUUCUAAAAAUUAUAUGUUUUGGCUGAUUUAUCUAAAUCAGGAAAUUUUAUUUCCAUCUGUUACAAUAAAACAGAAACAGAACACAAAGAAAAAUAUUCUACUUCUUGUGGCAAUCUUGCCUUCAUUCAGACUAUGAAACCAUUUCCUUUCACCAAUUUCUUCCAAAAUUUUGAACACGUUUCAUGGUUGGACAUAGUUAUCUUCUUUUUCUUUUGGUGCAUUUAGGUACUAUCAAGUGACAGCCAUAAGUAUGAUUGCAUUGUUGGGAAAUUUUAGGUUUUGAUGGCUCCCCAUGUUAUUGCCAAGAAAUUUUAAGUCCUCAUGUCAGAAGCUGCGUUUCUUUUCAUCAGCCUGAACCCGAACCUGUCACUAUGGAUAACUGAGGUUUUUGUCAUCAACUAUAUCAUCUUUUUCACUGUUUUGAAACUCUUAAGAUUAAACUGUUGAGAAGUCAAUAUUAGCCCAAAUAAGUCCACACCUAAAUUAAUUUGAUGUCAUUGCUUACAUCAAUUUAGUUAGGUGAAUAUUAGCCCAAAUAAGUCCACACCUAAAUUAAUUUGAUGUCAUUGCUUACAUCAAUUUAGUUAGGUGAAAAUUAGGUAUUUUUCCCAUGUUUAAUUUCAAUGGUUUAAAUUAGUUUGUGGUUAUUUUAAUGAGUGGUUUAGAUUGUUUCUUGUAACCUAUAAAUACCUCAUUUGUAUUUGAGUUUUAUUAUUCAACAAUAAAAAGCUUUAUUAUAAGCAUUUGAAAGCUUUCUUAAGAGUUCUUCUCUUUUUGCAAUUUUGUGAGAUUAUUCUAAAGAGAGUUUUUCUUCUUCUUGAUCAAUUAGAGUUUUUACUCUAUUUUGAUUCAACAUUUGGUAUCAGAGCAUUGGUUGUAAAGUCUCUUGAAAUUCCGAGUAUGCUCUGUGGUUGCAGUUUUGACUGAUCUUCCACAUCAGAAAAGAUUUCUUGAGAUUAUUGCUGGGGUUAUCACAAACCUUGAGAGGGAGCUUCUUUGUGUCAAGAGUAGUGUAUUAUUCUGCACGGUAGUCACUCAAGAUUGUUCGGUGUAGUCAAAGUCUUGUCGAUACGAUGGGUGAUCUUCAAGUUGUUGGAGGAAUCAAGAAGCUCAACAACCAAAACUAUAACACGUGGGCAACGUGUAUAGAAUCUUACCUUCAAGGUCAAGACUUGUGGGAGGUUGUCGGUGGUAGUGAAGUUACACAACCGGCAGCGGAAGAUGCUAACGGCGUCUUGCGGAAGUGGAAAAUUAAAGCAGGCAAAGCAAUGUUUGCUUUAAAGACCACAAUAGAAGAAGAAAUGUUGGAGCACAUUCGGGAUGCUAAAUCACCGAAGGAAGCGUGGGACACCUUCGCUACACUCUUUUCGAAGAGGAACGAUACAAAAUUGCAACUUCUCGAGAAUGAACUUCUAUCAAUGGUGCAACGCGACAUGGCGGUUGCCCAAUACUUUCACAAGGUGAAGUCGAUAUGCCGUGAAAUUUCAGAAUUAGAUCCGACAGCUGCUAUUGGGGAAGCCAGGAUAAAAAGAAUAAUUGUCCAUGGCUUGAGACCCGAAUACCGAAGCUUUGUAGCCGCUGUACAAGGAUGGCCGACACAACCAUCACUUGUUGAGUUUGAAAAUUUGCUGACAGGCCAAGAAACUAUGGCCAAGAAAAUGGGAGGAGUCUCACUAAAGGGUGAAGAGGAAGCGCUUUACACCAACCAAAGCAGAGGUGGUUCAAGACAGCACAACAAAGGCGGAUCUAGAAAGACUGGUGAACAGACAAAAAGUCAUCAGGGAGGGAAUGGCUCUCGUCCAGGGGGAGCUUCGAAGAAUCGUGACAGUAAUAGAAAGUUCGAUGGCGAAUGUUACAAUUGCGGGAAGAAGGGCCACAUGAAGAGAGAUUGUUGGUCCAAAAAGAAGUCUACCGAAAGCAAUAUUGCUACUUCUAGUUCUAAAGAAGAUAGUGAAGAUAGCUGGGAUGCCGAAGCAUUACUCGCUAUGGAGGAAGAAGAAUUAGCUCUCACGGUAACAACACCAGAAAAGAUUAACUACGAGAAUGAUUGGAUCGUAGACUCAGGCUGCUCAAAUCACAUGACGGGUGAUAGACAGAAGUUGCAAAACUGUUCUGAGUACAAGGGAAAUCGUGUGGUGGUAACAGCUGACAACUCAAGGUUACCGAUAGCUCACAUCGGUAAAGCGAUCGUUACACCUCGAUAUAGUCCCAACCAAGUGCCACUUCAAGAUGUCUACCAUGUUCCAGGAAUGAAGAAAAAUUUGCUAUCCGUAGCUCAAUUGACAUCAUCAGGCCACUAUGUCUUGUUUGGUCCACAAAAUGUGAAGGUAUUUCGAGACCUGAAGAUCUCAGAAAACCCUACGAUGGAGGGACGACGAUUGGAGUCAGUUUAUGUGAUGUCAGCUGAGUCUGCAUACGUAGACAAGACAAGAAGGAAUGAGACGGCAGAUCUGUGGCACAUGCGGCUAGGUCAUGUUAGUUAUUCCAAGCUAAGUGUGAUGGUGAAGAAGUCGAUGCUUAAGGGACUUCCACAACUUGACGUGAGAACAAAUACUGUUUGCGCGGGAUGUCAAUAUGGUAAAGCACAUCAAUUGCCAUACGAGGAGUCGAAGUUUAAAGCAAAGAAACCAUUAGAGUUAAUUCACUCUGAUGUGUUUGGACCAGUUAAGCAACCAUCAAUUGGCGGAAUGCGGUAUAUGGUUACGUUCAUUGAUGAUUUCUCCAGAUAUGUAUGGGCUUUCUUCAUGAAAGAAAAAUCUGAAGCAUUCUCAAAGUUCAAAGAGUUCAAAGAGAUAGUCGAAGGAGAAGUGGAGCAAAAGAUUCGUUGCUUGCGCACAGACAACGGGGGUGAGUAUAGCUCGAGAGAGUUUUCUCAAUACCUACGGGAAUGCCAAAUACGUCAUCAGUAUACUUGUGCCAAUACGCCACAACAAAAUGGUGUAGCAGAGAGGAAGAAUCGGCACCUUGCUGAAAUUUGCCGGAGUAUGCUACAUGCGAAGAAUGUACCUGGAAGAUUUUGGGCCGAAGGUAUGAGAACUGCAGCUCAUGUCAUCAACAAGCUUCCUCAACCAAGGUUGGAGUUUGUUUCACCCUUUGAGAAAUUGUGGAACAAGAAACCUACAGUUAGCUAUUUUCGAGUAUUCGGUUGUGUAUGCUAUGUAUUUGUUCCUGACCAUCUACGUAGCAAGAUCGAUAAGAAAGCAGUCAGAUGUAUCUUUGUGGGAUACGACAAUCAGCGAAAAGGGUGGAAGUGUUGUGAUCCAGUAGAUGGAAGGUGCUACACAUCACGAGAUGUGGUGUUUGAUGAAGCAUCCUCAUGGUGGACCUCAGAAAAAGAAGUGCUGCCAGACUCGAAAGAAUUCGGAGACAUGCUACAACAAAAGAUGGGGGAGCAUACUGUCCAAAUUCAUCUAAGCUCAGCUGGGGAUCUAUGCGAUAGUGAUAGCGAACGAAGAGUAACUCUAAAUCCUUGGCAAUCUGGGGUGUAUCGACAACCAGAUGAAGAAGGUGUGCCUAGUGAAACAGAAGAAUCAACUCCAUUACGAAGGUCAACAAGAACCCGAAGGCCAAAUCCCAAAUACGCUAAUGCAGCCAUAGUUGAAGAAGCAACUGGAAUAGAACCUGAGACGUUCGAAGAAGCGUCACAGAGUUCUGAGUGGAUGACAGCUAUGAAAGACGAGAUCACUGCACUUGAGCAAAAUCAGACCUGGGAACUCGUGCCAAAGCCAAAAGAUGUGAAACCCAUAUCCUGCAGAUGGGUUUACAAAAUAAAGCACUGUCCAGAUGGGUCAAUCGAGAGGUACAAGGCUCGAUUGGUAGCUCGUGGUUUCUCUCAACAAUAUGGACUAGAUUAUGACGAAACGUUUAGUCCAGUGGCAAAACUUACAACCGUCCGAGUCUUACUUGCACUUGCAGCCAACAAAAGCUGGAACUUGUGGCAGAUGGACGUGAAGAAUGCCUUUCUCCAUGGAGAGCUGGAUAGAGAGAUCUACAUGAUUCAACCGAUGGGUUUUCAGAACCGAGGUCACCCUGAGUAUGUGUGUAAACUGCGAAAGGCUCUCUACGGACUAAAACAAGCACCCAGGGCGUGGUAUGGCAAGAUUGCUGAAUUUCUAACUCAAAGUGGGUAUUCAGUAACAUCUGCAGACUCCAGCUUGUUUGCUAAAGCUAAUGGAGAAAGGAUAGCUAUUGUGCUCGUGUACGUAGAUGAUCUAAUCAUCACUGGAGAUGAUGUUGAAGAAAUUUUCCGAACAAAGGAGAACUUGUCAGUUCGUUUUCAAAUGAAAGAACUUGGACAACUUAAGCAUUUCCUUGGGCUAGAGGUUGAUCAGACGAAAGAAGGGAUAUUUCUUUGUCAACAGAAAUAUGCCAAAGAUUUGUUGAAGAAGUUUGGGAUGCUAGAAUGUAAGCCGAUCUCAACACCGAUGGAACCAAAUGCCAAGAUGUGUGCACAUGAAGGCAAAGACCUGGAAGAUGCAUCGAUGUAUCGACAAUUAGUGGGUAGUCUAAUCUACUUAACCUUGACUCGACCUGACAUUUCUUAUGCAGUUGGCGUGAUGAGUCGAUACAUGCAAAAUCCGAAGAAGUCUCAUUUAGAAGCGGUUCGGCGAGUACUCAGAUAUGUGAAGAGUACAAUAGACUAUGGUCUUUUAUACAAGAAAGGUGGAAAUUGCAAACUAGUUGGCUACUGUGAUGCUGACUAUGCAGGAGAUCACGAUACUCGCAGAUCAACUACUGGGUAUAUGUUUACCCUUGGAUCUGGAACGAUUUCUUGGUGUAGCAAGAGACAACCGACUGUGUCCAUGUCAACUACGGAAGCAGAGUAUCGAGCAGCAGCAAUGGCAGCUCAAGAAAGCACGUGGCUGAUACAACUAAUGAAUGAUCUACAUCAACCACUAGAUUAUACAGUUCUGUUGUACUGUGACAACCAAUCGGCAAUUCGGCUGGCGGAGAAUCCUGUUUUUCAUGCAAGAACUAAACAUGUGGAAGUGCAUUACCACUUUGUUAGGGAAAAAGUUCUGCAAGAAGAGAUUGAGAUGAGGCAAGUCAAGACAGAUGAACAAAUUGCUGACUUGUUUACAAAAAGCUUGAGUGUUGGAAAGUUUGAACAUUUCCGUCGUCAGCUUGGCAUGAUUCAAAGAAUGGGGGCUAACAUUGAGGGGGAGUGUUGAGAAGUCAAUAUUAGCCCAAAUAAGUCCACACCUAAAUUAAUUUGAUGUCAUUGCUUACAUCAAUUUAGUUAGGUGAAUAUUAGCCCAAAUAAGUCCACACCUAAAUUAAUUUGAUGUCAUUGCUUACAUCAAUUUAGUUAGGUGAAAAUUAGGUAUUUUUCCCAUGUUUAAUUUCAAUGGUUUAAAUUAGUUUGUGGUUAUUUUAAUGAGUGGUUUAGAUUGUUUCUUGUAACCUAUAAAUACCUCAUUUGUAUUUGAGUUUUAUUAUUCAACAAUAAAAAGCUUUAUUAUAAGCAUUUGAAAGCUUUCUUAAGAGUUCUUCUCUUUUUGCAAUUUUGUGAGAUUAUUCUAAAGAGAGUUUUUCUUCUUCUUGAUCAAUUAGAGUUUUUACUCUAUUUUGAUUCAACAUAAACUUCAGUAAAGUUGUUUCAGUUAUCUAUGUAAUCAGGCUAAGGAUAUUUAGCAGCUUAUUUAGGCAACUGCCAGAAUUCAGUUUGUUCGCUCGAAACUUGUAUGGUGACAAGGAUACUGGCAAGGAUAGUGAGAUAGUUUUUUGUGCGAGUGAAUUUUGAAAGCUUGGGUGUUCUGGGAUUUGCAAUUGCAAUCAUCCUCUGCUUUAGGUGAUUUCUUCUCCUCUUCUGUCUUUAUUUUCUCUCUAAUUGAAAGCAUAAAGUAUUUCAAUCAAAUUCUGUACCAGGAAUACGAAAAAUUUACUAAUAUUUUAUUUCCAUCUGUUUGCAUUGAUAACUUGGCCGCUUAUGUACUAGUUAAAGAACAAACAGAAGCAGAGUUCAGGAAAAAGUUUCUUCGGCCACCAUAUUUUAAAAUGAAACCAUUUCCAGGAAGCAGUUGGCAGCAAAUUCAUAGAAAGUAUAGACAAUGAUGAGCAAAAAGGUGAUUCGCAAUUUCAUUUUUUUAAAAUGAAAUUAUUUGUUAAGUUGGAGCUGAUAUUGUUAGAAGGCCAUUGAGCUAACCUAUGACACUGCUUGCCUAGAUUGCAGGAGGUCAAGACUCAAAAGAUGCACUGAAUUUUAAAAGGCAUGCAAUAAUUCUUAUGGCCAUUUGUCAAUGGUGGAAUGCUUUUAGCUUCUUUUCCUUUCGUGCAUUUUGGGGUUCUAUCAAGCGACAGCCGUAUGUAUGGACGGAUAUAGCUGCUGCGUUGAUUUCUAAUGCGUUGUAUGAUGUUAUAGCAACUAUCUAUCUGGUCAAUGUUUCAAAAGAAUAAGACACAGGGAAAAAGAGAAAGCAAGUGGCCAAUCAAGUAUUCAUGUCCCAAAGAAAAGAAUGAUUCGACAAUAGCAUUAAGGGUUAAUUGGACACAACAGAAGUGUUUUAACCACUUCAAGGAAUGUAAAUGUAAUUUUCCAUUCUAAAGAAAAAGUAAAUAUAUGCACUGUCAAUUAAUCUUUGGUCAACCAGCAACAUUCAUAAUUUCGUGUAAGUUUCAUUUCUGUUUGUUGGAAAUAGCAGUGUAUUUCUGAGAGUUUGUUCAAAAUGGAAAGAUUUUAAAAUAUAAAUUUCACAUCUGUUUAUUACUGUUGUUUGGUCUAAUUUCUUAUGUAGAAUUUUCAGAAUCUGUCGGACAUUAGUUUAUAAUUUUGAGAUUUUGCAGCCAUAAAUUUUUUUUUUUUUUGGUUGCCAUUUUAUUUUGCUCCUUUAUCUAUGUGCAUGUUGACUGGCUGCAGUGAGUGAAAAUUUACCCAUAUUUGCUGGCUAUUCUUGGACAAUAUUAGAGAAAAUAAUCAUAUUAUUUCGCGUGAAGUGAACUUCCAUAACUUAUCAAUUGAAUUGCUGUAAAAUAUUAAAUAGUUUUAUUUUUCUUUUAUCGUGUAACUUGGACCAAAAAAGGAAAUGAGUUUAACAUGACCCUCAUUCCGGCACUAUGCAUGUUUUUCUUGUAUUGAUGACAGUGCUCUUGGUGCUUCUCAUCUGCUUCUUGCUUUGGUUUCAAACAAGUCUUUCUCCGUCGAGACAUUUAUUGUAAUUUCAUUUGGAGACAUAUAUCUGUCGUUCAAAUAUAUUUCAUAUGCAAGCUGUUAAUAAUUCUGCUUGCAGAAAGCCUACAAAGCAGCUGUGUGAUGUAAUAGAAGACCAUAGUCUGGUCAAUUUUUCAGCAUUAGAUAUUCAGGUCAUCAGCUUCUCAUGAAUUCUUUCCUGAGUUUCUUUGAAUUAUUUGUGAUGUAAUAACUUGUGCAUUUGAGAAACUGUUCUCUUGAAUUCUUUCUUGAGUUUCUUUGAAUUAUUUGUGAAUAAGUUGUUAAUCGGCUGCUUCUCUUCAGGAUAAGGAAAGUGUUGCAAACUGGUGAAGCAGCUGAUAGAUAAAAGCAAUGGGUACAUCUUUGCUGGCAUGGAUCGAUGCCAGUGCGGUUGAAUUCAGCAAGACUGCCGUUCGUGAUGUUGUUGAUUGGGAUUAUUUUCAACCUUAUGAUUCUCAUAUCCAUAGAACCUUUUGGUUAUUUAAUCAUAUUUCAUCGUAUGCAUCCGCAUCUUCAUGUGCGUUUGAGAAACUGUUUUGCGGUUAGGCAGGUUUCAAUCUUGAUUCAUGCGUCUUUCAUAAAUGUACAAAAUUAUGGAAACUUCUUUUUCCCAGAUAUUAUAUCUGCACUUAUUCCCAUGUAAUCGAGUCAGACAAGUUUUGCUUAACAAAGAUGUCUACAGUCGCUGAAGUGCAGGAGGAGUACAUUAAGGGUGAUGACAACAUUGAUUAACCCAACCCAACCUGUAAAAAAUCACACCGGUUAGGUUGGUUUCACGGAUUGGGCGGGUUGGUGCCCACCCAUAAAUAUAACCUCCAUUUCAGUACAAUGCAUGUUAAUUGUUCUCCAAGGACUUCUCUUGUUUCCCAUUCCCAACCUCCAUGCUCUCGAGAGGAAUUUGGCACCCAUCAAUUUUUAUUUUUGAAAACUCGUAAUGGUCUGAUAAAAUUAAACAACAUCAAUAACGUUACCAGUCUUUAAAUAGUAAUUAAUUUAUUUAAUUUGCCACCUAAAAGAAUCCUGCUGGAAAUAGAGGUUAAAAAUUUUAUUAGAUCUGCUUACCUUUGUUCAUUCAGCAAAAACACUUACAAUUCAUAGCUAGAGAAUCUAUCCAUUGACAAUUGUGGAUUAAAAUUAUAACACCUGAAUUCAAACAUAUCCUUAUGAAGUUAUGAAUUUGUUCAUACUUCAAAUGAUUUUUUUUUCCCCAAGCUAAUAAAGCGACCACUUUGAUCAAACAACGAUGUUGAAGGAAUUGCGUAUUUUCAAUGUCCUUUUCCAGACAGACGUUCGAGAGAGGGAAAGGAGAAGACUGGCCUAAUUAAGAUAUCUCACAAAGAUUAUUAUUGAGUUAAAAUGUUAUUGUAAAAGAUGUUUAAUACAAUAAUAGUACUUCUUUUGCAUUGUUAUAAUGAGGCUGGUGGGUUUCCUCAGAGGAUGGAUCUGGCUCGCUAGUAUGCAUUUGGGAAGCUGCUAAUUAUCGGCCAUAAAAAGUCAGGGGGUUGUGGCUGUUCCGUCGCCCAGAAAUUCCUAAACUCAUAUAUCAAAUUUCGGAUGAACUUGGGCAUUAUGUAAAUAUGUAUUUUUGAGAAUUAAACUAGUGCGUUAGAAAAAUUUUGAGCCACUGUAAUCAUUUGAUUUUGCUAAGAGAAAAUUUUACUCUGUGUUUCGCUUUGCCUUUUGUUUUUUCUGUGAUAAUAUGAUUCAUACGAAUGUGAUUACACACUAUCAUGCAUCUAUUUUCAUUUGCUUGUCAUGAAUGAUCAACAUGCUCGAAAUAUUUAUAUAGGUUGGAAAUAUUUAAAUCUAUUAAAAUACUAUACACACCCAUUUUAAAAUAAAAAUAUGAUUAUUAUAAUGAUCGCGAAGGUAACACGAUAUCAUAAAUAAAAUAAAAUAUUUCGCAAAAAAGAUAAGAUACGCUUGAAUACAUUGGUAUAAAAAAUAUUUUAGUGGAUUCAAGUAGCACUAAUGCUCCCUUAUCAAAAAAUAUAUAAAGAUAACUAAUCUGAUUGGGUAUACCGUGUGUGUGUGUGUAAUAUUUUUUGAUAUUAUUAUAUAAUAUUUUUUAAAAAGAAGAGAGAGUGGGCAAAGUUCAAAUCAAUUUUCUAAUCCCUAUCUCCUUUAGGAUUUAAACUUCGGUGUUUAGUGUCACGGGUCGCUCAAAUUUUCUAGUCAAAGAGGCUAAAUUGCACGAAAUUGUGCUAGCUUAUUUGAUUUUAAAAUUUUCCAAUGCACUGUAACACACUCUCAUGCUUGUACAUAGCUCGAAAAUCUCUAGAAUUUACCAGAGUAGUGUAGCAUGUAGCUUGUACAUAGGUUUUUCUGGAACACUCCAAGCAUUACUAAGCAUAAGAGCUUUGAGAACUCUCUAGACAUAAAACAUUCAAGGGUAGGCCUGCCCUAAAAAUAGGGCAUGAUGAUUGCCAUUUGAGCAUACAAGAAGUAAGAACAAAUCAAGUAUAUUUGUAAGCUCCCAAACUCUCUCGUACACACUCCUGUGAAUAUUAUGCUUUCUCUUUGACUAUAUUACUCUCUCUUCUCUCUAGUUUUUUUUCGCAAGUAUCAUAUCUUAGCUAGUCGAAAAGUUCAAGUAAGAAUGAUAAUUUUUCCUGAUGGGAUGGGAUGGGAUGGGAUCCUGUGGGAUCCCAUCUCAUUUAGGACGGGAUUGGGAUACAUUUUUAUCCCAUAAAAAAAUAUAGGGACGGGAGUAGAACUUUUUUUAUCCCACUUGUAUCUAUGGGACAGGACUGAGAUUAACAAAUCCAGUCUCGUCACGUCUCGUCUCAUUGCCAACUAGGGAUGGAAAUUUUUCCAAUUGAGAUGGGCUCUCACAGAAUCCCAUUUUUUUGGGGAUGCGAUUGAGACAUAUUUUUAUCCCAAAAAAAUAUAUCGACAGUGACACUUUUUUUUAUCCCACUUGCAUAUUCGGGACGAGACUGAGAUUAGUAAAUCCCACUCUAUCCCAUCACAUUGCCAACCCUAAGUUCAAGGCUUACUUUGCAACUAUCUCAUAAAAGUUGUUUUAAGUACCACAGGAGUUUGUUGUGCAAAAUACUCAUCCCGUGACAUUAGCUAAAUAAAAUUGUUUGAAAGCCACUUACCCAAACUAUUAAACAAAUAUUAUUCUUUUAAUAUGCAAUCUUUUAAUAUAAACUUUUGUCUUAAUUUUCUAUCUCCUACAAUAAAUUUUAUGAUUUUAAAAAUUGAAAAAAUUAAUAACUUUUAGAUAGAGCAUUCCUUACUGUUAAAAGAAAUAUGAAUGGUAAUAUAAAACUUACUUAUUAUAGUAUAAUGCUUUUAGUUUUUUGAAAUAAGGUUCUUAUUUUUUUCAAGAUAAAAUUCAAAGAAAACAAGUUAAAUGUUGUGGAAAAUCUUACGCCCAUACAAUAAAUUAUGACAGCUAAAUGCAAACCUGGCUGAAGUAUUAGUUGUUUUAUUACAAUCUCCAAAAAGAUGAGCACUUCCAAAAUCUUUCUUUGUAACAAUAAACACUACUGGUCAGCAACUAUCCAAGUCAAAAGUAACUCAAUGUGAGUCUUAGUGCACUUGCAGUGAAUCCCAAGAUAAACUAAUUUCACUAGCAAGUUGGAUACCAAAGAGUAAGGCUUCAGCCUCAAUUAUAUUAAAAUCUGAGUAAACAUUAAAUACCACAAUCAAACUCAGAAAUCAUAAUUAAACUAUCAUGAUUAAAAAUAAAGUUUUUUUUUUAGAUAUCCGUUUGUAGUAUCUCUUUAGAUGACAAAUAGGAGAUAAAAUAAAUAAAUAUUGGUUGCGUAAAUAAAAUAAAUAAUUUUUUUAACUGAAAAAAAUUCCUAAAAACUAAAUAGUUCAAACUUUUUUUAACAUGAAAUAAAUAUUAGAUGCGUAAAUAUAAAAAAAUUAACUGAAAAAAUUUCCCAAGAACUAAAUAGUUCAAACUUUUUGUUUAACAUCAUGGGUUUUGUAUAUUCAAUUGAACCGAACAACUAAAUUAAAUCGAAAUUACCCUGUUCGGUUCAAAUGAAUAGACGAAAACCGAACAGUUCAUAUUUUUUGAACUGAUGGUGCGUUUACUUCAUGAAAUGAAAAUAUGGUGGAAUGAGAAUGGGCUGGAAAUGAGAAUGUGUUGAAAUGAGAAUGAAGAAUGAGAAUGAGAUUCUAAUGUUUACUUAAUAAAAAUAAAGGGAAAUGAGAAUGUGCUGGAAUGUCAUUGAUGUGUUUAUUUGACAAAAUAAAUGGGAAUAAAGAAUGAGAAUGAGAAUUAAUUUACCAAAAUACCCAUAGUAUUAAAUAAUAUAAUUUUUAUUUUACUAGAUACAUGUAUAAAUAUUAUUAUAAAAAUAAUAUUAAUUAAAAUAAUAAAUGUUAAGAAUGAUAAUAUUAAUAAAAAUAAUAAUAACAAUAAUUAAUAAUAACUAAAAUAAUAAAGUUAAUAAAAAUAACAACAACAAUAAUAAUAAUAAUAAUAAAUGUUAAUGAUGAUGAUGAUGAUAAAUGUUAAUAAUGAUAAUAUUAGUAAAAAAAUAAUAACAGUAAUUAAUAAUAACUAAAAUAAUAAAGUUAAUAAUAAUAAUAAUAACAUUUAAAAUAAUAAAAUUAAUUGUGAUUUGAAUCAGAGUAAUUCGAAAAAUAUAAAAAAAUUAAAAUGAUACAAAAAUAAACAUAAAUUUUAUCCCCGUUCCCUCAUUUUCAUUCUCAAUUCCCCAUGAAAAUAGAAUUCCCAUUUCUUAUUUUCAAAUUACGGAAUCCCCAUAUUUUAUUAUCAUUCCCAAAUUAUAUUUUACCAAAUAAAUAUAAAUUUUAUUCAUAUUUUUUCAUUUCCAUUCUUUAAACCUUCAAGUAAACACAAUUUUCUUUUAAUUCGGGUUCUGGGCCUGAACCGAACCGUACCGUAAACUGCCCACCCUUACAGUAGUUUUCGGGGUUUUUAAUUAAAUAUGCCUUAAAAGUAGUGUAUUUAGUUAAAUAUACCCAUGUUUGAAAAUUAUCUAAGUAUGCCUUUUUAUGUGGUACAUUGUCUAAAAUAUCCCUAAAGAAAAAUAUAAAACACACACACAACUCACAACACUCUUUGCUUCUCACGUAUUUAUCAUCUAUACAAAAACUCACACCACACUCAAAAUCACUCACAAACAGCUAAUGCACUGAGUUUGUUUGCAGUUGGGUGUAUUAUUCAUCCCAUGAAUAAGGUAUUUGAAACUUUUUUUAUUUUAUUUUGGGCUAUCUAUUCAAUUUGUUGACAUUAUAUUAUUUUUAGGGUUUUGUUUGGUUUGUGAUAAACACUAAAGCAACUCAUAUUUUCAUUACAUUUGCAUCAUAUGACUGUUAUUUGAUGGAUUUUAUAACUACAUUCGUUAAAAUCUGAAGUUGUUGUCAAAUUUUUUUCUGCACCCGACAUACACGACAGCAGUCGUGUAUGUAUGUAUUUACAUGACUGUAGUCGUGAAAAUGUGCAAAAAAUUUCAAUUAUUAUGACACCUUAUUAUUCUAUUGGUUCAAAAAAUAUAUAUUUUUCACUAUAUAUAUCCUUUUACUAUUACUAUACUAUAGUCGUGUGUGUGAAUAAGUUACACGACUACUAACGUGUACGUAUAAACUUACAUACUAUAAUUGUUAAUAAGUUACACGACUACUAUGAACCUUAUAUACUUGUUAUUUUUUGUUGUUUUAAUUUUUUUAAUAUCUUUCAUAUUUAGUGAUAAAUUUUUACCUUUUUGUUUCGCAGAUGAAUAAACAUGUUUGUGUGACUUUCUAAGAACAAGUAUUGAAGGGAGGCGACCAGAGACUUAUAAAAUAUGGACUGAGUGUUUGGGUUGAAUAUGCCAAAAAUUUAUGAUGAAUGUUAAAUAACUUCUAUUAUAUUACGACUUAUUUACGAUUUCAAUAAUUAUUGGAUUUGUGUUAUUUGAUAGGCAAUCGAACUAUAGUUAGUUUCAUUUAUUUGAAGUUUGAUAUGUUUAAAAUCUAUAUUGAUUGUGUCAUCAAUAUAAUGAAUGAUUGAAAAGAAUUUUUAUUCUGUGCACAUACCCGAGUACAAUCGUGUAUUUUGGCUGUUACAAAACUAGUCAUGUUUAUUUCUAAAUACUCGACUACAGUCGUGUAUCUGUGCAAAUACUCGAUUAUCACAGAGAGUUUGUCAUAUUUAUUUCUAAAUACUCGACCAUAGUCGUGUAUCUAUGCAAAUACUCGACUACAGUCAAGUAUUUUGUCACAGAGAGCUUGUUAUUUUUAUUUGUAAAUACCCGACUACAGUCGUGUAUAUGUGCAAAUACCCAACUGCAGUCGAGUAUUUUGUCACAGAGCUUAUUAUGUUUAUUUCCAAAUACCCGACCGCAGUCGUGUAUCUGUGUAAAUACUCGACUGCAGUCGAGUAUUUUGUCACAGCUUAUUAUGUUUAUUUUUAAAUACCCGACCACAGUCGUGUAUCUGUGCAAAUACCCGACUACAGUCGAGUAUUUUGUCACAGAGCGUAUUAUGUUUAUUUCCAAAUACCCGACCGCAGUCGUGUAUUUGUGCAAAUACCUGACUGCAGUCAUGUAUUCUCUUACAGUGUAUUCCUUGUGUAUAUAUUGUGCAAACUAUCUUAUCUAUCAUUAAUAUAAAUAACAAAGAAAUAAAAUAUAUUAAUGCUGUCAAUUGUCUUUAAUGACAUCAAAUAUCAAUAACAUCCUCAUUACAACUAUUACAUCUCAUAAUCUAAAAAAUGACACUACAAAGUUUUUUUCCAUGACCUAUGCCCAAAUAAUUUUACAACCAAGGCUUGUCGAAAUUAUGUAACAUGAUUUUGUUGGCAUUAUGAAUUGACAUCAAGUCCAUGGACUAGGACCUCCAAGUACCGCAACAAAAAUGCUCCACAUUCACCACUAAAAAAAUUCAUAUAAAUCAAUUGUUAAAAAUCAUCAUUCUUAUUAUUAUGUUCAAAACACAUUAUAUAUAUAGUACAUACCCUGAUUUUUGUUGCGGGAUGUCACGCACUCGCACGAUGGGCCAAGGAAUUUUCGAAAUAACCUCACUACAGUCUGGAUGUGUUUCGUGAUAUGCUAUCUUCUGAAGUACUAGAGGUAUCAUGUCUGCAACAGGCAGCAAUUGUCUCACCAAAACUGAAUCCUUUGUUAAGUCUAUCAUGGAGUCAUAAAUAGAAAUCUUGCCCCCAAGUAUAUCGACCACACCGAGAACCCAAUGAUCAUUCAUGAAUAUUGGCAAAUACACCUACGAAAUACAGACAAUAUUCUUAACAAGUAACGGCAAAUAUAUCUACGAAAUGCUGUAACUGUUUUUAUCUACUUGCAGUUGAUUUAUUAAUAGUAUACUAUCAAUAGUUUUAUGCUAAAACAAAUAGCAAAUUGUUAAUAAAUUAGAAUUGUAAAAUAAAGGUUCUACAACAAAUAAUAGAGAAAACCCAGAUUGUAGCAUAAUGAAUGCAUACGCAGUUGAAGAAAAUUGAUAUAUAAUUCCCAUGGAUGAAGUUCAACUACAAACAAUAAGUAAAAUUAUAUAAAGAUCUAAUGCAUAAACUAGUGUAGCCAUAACCGAAAAUUCAUAAGGAUAAUAUUUAAUUAGGAACUCCCACAACCAUUAUUAAAGAGCUAUUAAUUCACUCUCUUCAAUUUCAAAUUCACAAGUUAAAGAAGCUUCAUUACAUUACCAACAAGAAAGAUUAUCAGUAAAUAAGCAAGAUAAUGACCAAAAUCAUGUGGGUAAUUUGUUUUUUAAAACCCUAUUGCAUAUAACCCUAACAAUUAUGCACCAUAAAUUCUCUUUAUAAAGUAAAAAAUAAGUGUAAAUGUGGUUAAUGACCUUUAGUUCGGUGAAUUUCCAGCCUUUAAUUCGGUGAUUUUGUAGCCUUUAAUGUGGUGGAUGAACUUGCAGCAGCAGGAGCAUGAACUUGCAGCAGCAGGAGCAUGAACUUGCAGCAGCAGGACAAGCGUUGUGUAUGGUAGCUCGUGAAUGCAGAUUUUGAAAUUUGAAGAAUUAAAUUGGGGUAAUUUUAUAAUUGCACAUUGAAAAAGGUAUAUAAAAAAAAUUUUGAAUUAUGGGGGUAUAGUUGGAUAAAUACCUAACCUUUAGGGUAUAGCGGGGACAAAUCCCUGGUAGUUUUCAUUAACCGACGUUGUACUGCUGGUAUGAAGUUGUUCAAAUGUUCAAAUCAGUCUCUCGCUUUCAGCUCAGUCAGAGUUUCCAGGUCCAGAGACUUCCCGCUGACUGAGAGCUUUUUUAGUAGCAGGUCUACAAAUAAAGGAAUAGAGCUGAUUUAAUGAUUAAUUUAUUUCCUUUUUCAAUUUCUUUUGAUUGCCAUUUAAUCUGGAUAAGUUAAACGUGAAUUAUUUAGUGCAGAUUAAAUGUUCGACGAAUUUCCCGCAAGAAUAUUAAGCUAAAGAGAAAAAAAGAAAACAAUUGAGCGUGAGCGGGAAUGGUGUUUGGCCAAGUGGUGAUUGGUCCGCUCGGCUCGGGAAAGACCACUUACUGCAAUGGCAUGUCUCAGUUUCUCCGCCUUGUUGGCAGGUAACUCCGUUUCUUGAUUUCAAGCAGCUUUAUCUUUGAUGGCCAAAAAAAUUGAUUUGGGCUUUGCCCAUUAAAUGAAUGUAAGAGCGGUAGGGAAUAACUGAGUUAUAGGAUUAGCUUUAAGUGAACAUUGAUGGUAACAUGCAUGUGAAUGUUGUAUGUGUUCAGCGGCAAGCUGUAUGCCAAUUUGGUCUAUAUGGUUGCUUCGGUGGUAACUUAUUAAUUUUUAUGCAGGAAGGUUGCAGUCAUCAAUUUCGAUCCUGCUAAUGAUAGUUUGCCAUAUCCUUUGUCGUUGAACUUUCUUACAAAUGCUGUGGUUUGUUGUAGUACAAUUAGUUCAAUCAGAAACUUCCUUGAUGUUAAUAUAGAUAUGAGUGUGCUGUGAAUAUUGAGGACUUCAUUAGACUAAGUGAUGUGAUGAUGGAGCAUUCACUUGGUCCCAAUGGAGGUUAGUCAGCCCAUUGUUGUUUACUCUUUCUUGCUUUAUCACGCAAUGAUAUUCCUUUGCUUUACAACAAAUUUCGUGAAAUUAACUUCAAUCAAGUGGCUAUGUUCAUACGCUGUUGAGAUUUUAUGGACAAAGAUUUGGUAGACUUUAUAUGCCGUCUUCUUUCUUUUUGCAGUGAUAUGUUUGUCUUCAAUGCACUUGUACUUGUUCUAUGGUUUCUAAAGUAGGUGUUUUUAUGAUAAACUAGGUCUUGUGUAUUGUAUGGACUAUCUAGAGAAGAAUAUUGACUGGUUGCAGUCGAAAUUGGAACCACUUUUGAAAGGUAAGAAGUGGCCAUUUUCCUUCAUUCUAAUGCCAAUAAUGCUGUCAUGAGACUCAUAAAAAUUGUUAAAAUGUUAAUGUUUUUGGUAUUUUGCAGAUCAUUAGCUUCUGUUUGAUUUUCCUGGCCAAGUUGAAUUAUUUUUUCUUCAUUCCAAUGCCAAGAAUUUUAUAAUGAGACUCAUAAAGAAGUUAAAUCUCAGUGUAUUGUUACAUCUUACGUCUAUGAAGGCACUCAAAGAGUUGAGAUGAAUUCAUCAUUGUUAUUUUGAUGCCAGAAUUGUGCAAUUCUCAGUUGCUUCCUUUCACAUGCAGUUGACUGCAGUGCAUCUAGUUGAUGCGCAUCUUGGCAGUGACCCCGGGAAGUAUGUUAGUGCUUUGCUUCUCUCAUUGUCUACGAUGCUCCAUCUGGAACUUCCCCAUGUCAAUGUCUUUUCUAAGAUCGACCUGAUUGAGAAUUAUGGAAAGCUAGGUGUGGUUUUAAGUGUAGCUCUCCUACUUGUUUGUUUAGUUUGAAAUAUCAGAUAUUGUCACAAGCUCCUAUCUGCUACGUUUCCUCACCAUUCAUUUACUUUGGGUAUGUUGCAGCUUUUAAUCUCGAGUACUAUAUGGAUGUGCAAGAUUUGUCAUAUUUACAGCAUGCCUUGGGUCAGGACCCUCGUUCUGCUAAGUACAGGUUUGAAUUCUAGCUGAAUCAAUGAUGCAAAUUAUGUCCAUUGCUAUUUCUGACUAUUGUUUCUAUCAUUUUCAAUUGUUACCUCCCCUUUCCAUCUACUGCCACACUACAAUGCCCACACAAAUAUCAUGAAAUUUUUCAAUGGAAAUGCCUUUCUGUUUGUCCAGAGACAGCUCUUAGAUGCAAGUGACCAAUUUUUGGCUUUGGCCAUGUUACAGCCUUAGAUUUCAAUUUGCCAUAUCUUGUCUCGGAAGUCAAAAGAAAGCAUAUUUGUUAGCCAAAUUUUAUUUGAAUUUCUUGUGUAACAAUGAAUGGGGGAAAAAAAAAAGUUCCUCUUUUGUUUUGAUCAGACUCAAUGAAUAAGUGGUUAAAAUGUGCCUGUACUAGAAAUAUAGAUGUGAGGUUUCAUAAAAUUUUCUUAAUCUUAAGAAAGAGUUAUCUUGAAAAGAAGAUAACAUGGAGAAUUCAACAACUAUACAGUCAUAUUGAUGUCUGUCAACUUGGGUCAUAUGGUGUUGUUUGGAUGGAGAUGUUAGGUCCCAGAUGGUAUACUUGUUAUCAAAUUCCAGUCUACUUCAUUCAUGCUUUGAUGACAUAUGCGGUGCAGCUUCUUAUCUAAGACCUGCAUAUGUUACAGUCAACAUUCUGUUCUGUAACUCAACCUCAGGAAUCUGCUUGUAUGGUGUUCUUCUAAUUUCAAAUGGAGAUAAGUAAUAUCUGUUGUUCAAAUAUAUUUUAUUUACAAGCUGUUAAUAAGUCUGCUUGCAGAAAGCUUACAAAGGAGCUGUGUGAUGUAAUAGAAGUCUACAGUCUGGUCAAUUUUUCAACCUUAGAUAUUCAGGUCAUCAGUUUCUCUUGAAUUCUUUCUUGAGUUUCUUUGAAUUAUUUGUGAAUAAGAUCUUAGUUGGCUGCUUCUCUUCAGGAUAAGGAAAGUGUGGCAAAACCUGUGAAGCUGAUAGGUAAAAGCAAUGGGUACAUCUUUGCUGGCAUGGAUGCCAGUGCAGUUGAAUUCAGCAAGAUUGCCAUUCGCGAUGUUGAUUGGGAUUAUUUCAGAUAUCCUUCUGUUCACUUAUUUUGAAUCUUGUUAUUCUCAUAUUCAUAAAACUUUUUGGUUAUUAUUAUGGUUCAUCAUAUGCAUCUACAUCUUCUAACUUGUUCGUUUGAGAAACUAAUUUUGCCGUUAGGUAGGCUUCAAGCUUGAUUCAUGCUUUUUUCAAAAAUGUACCAAAAUCAUGGAAACUUCUUUUUCCCAGAUAUUGUAUCCACACUUUUCCCAUAUAAUUGGGUCAGACAAGUUUUGCUUAACAAAGAUAUCUACAGUAGCCGAAGUGCUGGAGAAGUACAUUAAGGAUGAUGACGAUGUUAACUAAAAUGGGACGUGAAGAUAUGUGGUGUGCAAACCGUAAGCCUGCCUCUUAUUUUUGUGCAUGUUUACUUGCUUGUGAUUCACGUUUGUUAAUCUAUUUUGCUCUCUUGCAGGAGUUAUAAAGUUUUCAAUCAAUCAAACAUUUUAACUUAAGUCCUUAGCUCUUCACGGCUUGAAUGGGUCAGAUAGGACAAGCGCCGAAGAGGUGGUUUUAAUCAAACCCCUCCUAAUUAUGAUGUAUGGCCCGAAUCUCGGACUUUUUUUACAAUAUCAAGCGAUUUUUUUUAGUUGAAUCGGCUAGUGUACACAAAUGUCGAUUAUUGAUUUUUCUUUAGUAUUGUUUGUAAUUACAAGAAACGAAGUAAUGAAAUUUAUCAGUGCGUUCAUAGUUACGCUUAAGCUCAAAGAUUACCGUCAAGAUCAUCAACCUGCUGAUGAUCUGAAGCUUCCAUAGAAAAAGGAACCGGACAAAACCCAAGAGAGAGAACAAAAAUAAAUUAAUUAAAAAAAAAGAAGAAAAAUUGCCAAAGCUACUGGUCAGUUGACAUCAAUCUUUUGCACGUGGGAUGGAAAUGGAACACUGGGCACUUUGGAUGACUCAUAACUCACAAGAGAGCAUCGAAUUUAGGCCGAAUCAUAUAAAGUACGCUAAGCCUUAGUGCGUGCGCUGUUGCGUUGCUGUGUCUGCCGGUGAGAAUAAUUUUUCGUUUUUAAGGUAAUUUUCAUUUAUUUAUUUAUUUUUUUGGUGCAUAUGGUCGAACACUUGGUGGGCACCUCAGUUUUUGGAAUGUUCUCUUCAAUGAAUACAGGGAAAAAGGGACAAAAAUUAAGAACUUUAUUUUGUUCGCGUGGAAUCGAUAUCUGGAUUGGGAUUGUAUGUCGUGUUUAAUUUGAAUUGGUUGAUUCCUCUAAUGAAUUAUUUGAUAAAUUUAGUAGCAGUAUUUGGUGGCAAAAGUAUCAUUAAUUUUUGGAAAUAUGAUUAUAUUAUUAAUUAUUUUAGCAUUCUAAAAAGUCAAUGGUUAUGUUGGAAAUACUCUAAGGUAGACUAGAGUACAAAUCACAAUCACACAUAAAAAGUGAUAAAUAAUAAAAAAUAUAUUAUAUUUUUGAUCAUAUGAUUAUGAAGAUGUAUUUUACCUUAAAGAAGUUAUAAUAAGCGAAUUCUUUUAAAAAAGAAUAAAAUUUCUUUUUUAUCAUACUCAACCGCUUCAAACUUCUAAGAAGUAGAUAUACAAUGAGUGGAAUACUGAAUUGAGUGCGAGCUGCGGAUAACAUAUAAAAUUGGGAUACAAGCUUCAAAGAAAGUGUAUUGCUAUUCAAAUGUAGAUUUCAAAUUAAGAAGAUAUGCCAGCAAAUUGUAUAAAAAUGUAUAAAUUGAUCAGUAACAUUAAUUCCAAAUGAUGAAAUGAGUUAUCUUGAUCAAAAGGUCAAGAACCUACCUUACUUCUCUUAGAGAUAACUUGCAUCAACCGUUGUGGUAUUGAUACUUGUCUUCAGCUAGUAAAAGUGAAAGUUUCACAAUUGAAAUAAAGCUAAGGGAAGAUGCUAUGCUCCAUUUAUUAUUAUUAUUAUUGACGUGGUCGAGAAGUAAAGCCGUGCAUAUGAUGAAGUAUAAAUAAGAAUGCAAUAGCCCGGAAUUCAUUUACACAAACACUUCAAUAUCCUUUUGAUCACUUUUGCAAACAUCAAUUUGUCUCCUCUUGUAUUCACCAUGGUUGAUGCCAUCGUUUCCACUGUCUUGGAGCAGCUGAUUUCCUUCGCUGCUAAAGAGAUAAAGCAACAGGUGAUCGAAGUUACACCCGCAUAUUAUAAACACUUCUAAUGAUUUUAGUUGGUUUCCUUUUUAUCGAAAACAUUAUUUUUGCUUUAUUUUAUUUAUUUGGCAAUUUUAAAUUUGGAAAUUUGAAUUGAAUUUAAUUAAAAUGUGAUGUAGUUAGUAACCACUUAUUUUUAUUUUAUUUCAUUUAUAUUCUCAAUAACUACUCAUAUUUUGGUAACUUACUAUAACUUCCAUAUCUAAGAAAUUAUCAAAACCCACAAUUUUAACUCAGCACGAAUAUUCAAUGGUGAUCUAAGCUUUUGCAGAACACUCAAGUUUGUCAAACAUUCAUUAAUUCAAUGUUUAGUGAAAAAAACUCUUCUCAGCACAGAAUUCCAUGUCCAUUACUUAGGCUCUCUGAAAAAUUUCAUAAUUUUCAUACAUUCUUUGAGUUUGGUAAGUGAUUUCAUAUAAUUUCUUUUCAAGUUAAAUUUUAAUUUGGCUUCUGAUAUAGUCUCUUUGUUGAAUUUGUAUCUCUUAUGAUUCUUAGAUUUUGGGCUCCAACUUUUGAGGAUAUGAUAGUCACAUUUUAUGCUAUGCUCAGAUUGAUUUUUAUGAUUUUUUGUUCCCGUUAAGUGACUUAGAAUUUGACAAAAGUUUGAUAGGAAAUCUGUUUCACGAUUUUGUUUUAAUUGACCUUUUAGUGGAAAUAAGAUGCUUAUAACUUAAUGUGGAUGGUUUGUAAAAUCAUGAAAUUUGGAUAAUAUAAAUUUGUACGAGACUCUCCAUAAUAUUUCAUGAUUUUUCAUUAGCUCUGGGGUGUUACAGGUGCUACUUGUGACUGGUGUCAAAAAAGAAGUGAAAAAAAUUACCAACCACCUUCAAGCCAUUCAAGCUGUGCUCGAGGAUGCAGAGGAAAAGCAAGUGACGGAAACAGCUGUCAGACUUUGGCUGGGUAGGCUCAAGUCCGCAUCCUACGACAUUGAAGAUGUGUUGGAUGAGUGGAUCACAGCAAGAGGCAAAUUGCAAAUUAAGGGCAGCGUUUAUGACAAUGCUCUUGUUGCUCCUAAUCAGAAGAAGAAGGUAUGUUCCUGCUUUCCUGCCUCUUGCUUUGGUUUCAAACAAGUCAUUUUGCAUCGUGACGUAGCUGUCAAGAUCAAAGAAAUCAAUGAAGAGCUGGACGAUAUUGCCACUCAAAAAGACAUGUUUAAAUUUGUUGGGAGUGUCAGUAAAAGUAGUGAAAGACCAAGACGUGUGCAGAGUACCUCCUUGAUUGAUGAGGAAGAGAUUUGUGGUAGAGUUGGUGAGAGGGAUGCACUCUUAAGCAUGCUGUUGUGUGAGAGCAGUGAGCAACAAAAAGGCCUUCAUAUCAUCUCAAUUGUUGGUAUGGGAGGCAUCGGGAAAACUACUCUUGCACAACUAGCUUGUAAUCAUGACAAGGUGAAGAGUCAGUUCGACAAAAUUUUAUGGGUGUGUGUAUCAGAAACUUUUGAUGAGUUUAGGAUUGCCAAAGCGAUGCUUGAAGCUUUGACUGGUUCAACUUCUAAUUUAGAUGCAUUGCAAUCUCUUCUUAUAAGUAUUGACGAAUCUAUUGCGGGAAAGAGGUUUCUUCUUGUCUUAGAUGAUGUGUGGGACGGAGAUUACAUUAAAUGGGAACCAUUCUACCGUUGCCUAAAGAAAGGUCUCCAUGGAAGUAAAAUUGUAAUUACCACACGUAAUGAGUCAAUUGCCAGCAUGAUGAGAUCCGCAGAUAUUAUCUCUAUCAAGGAAUUGGCUGAAGAAGAAUGUUGGGCAUUGUUUAAGCAGUUAGCAUUUUUCGGUCGAUCCACUGAGGAGUGUGAAAAAUUGGAACAAAUUGGUCAAAGAAUUGCAAGAAAGUGUAAAGGUUUACCUCUUGCUGCAAAGACAAUGGGAAGUCUCAUGAGCUCUAAAAAAACUGAAGAAGAGUGGAAAAGAAUUUUAAAUAGUGAUUUAUGGAAGGUAGAAGAGAUUGAGAAAGGUGUUCUAACCCCUUUGUGGUUGAGUUAUAACGAUUUGCCAUCUAGAGUAAAAAGAUGUUUCUCGUAUUGUGCUGUCUUUCCAAAAGACUACAAUAUAGAAAAAGACAAACUAAUUACUUUGUGGAUGGCUCAAGGUUAUCUUAGUGCAGAAGCAGCAGAACAAGAUGAGGAGUUGGAGACUAUAGGUGAAGAGUAUUUUGGCAUCUUAGCUUCUCGCUCUUUCUUUCAAGAGUUUGAGAAACGUUAUGAUAAUCGUAUUAUAGCGUGCAAGAUGCAUGAUAUGGUACAUGAUUUUGCCCAAUUUGUUAGUCAAAAUGAAUGUUUUUCGUUGGAAGUUAAUGGUAGUGAGGAACUAAACGUCACAAACUCUACAAACUCUCUUGAUGAGAAGGUCCGUCAUUUAAUGUUAAUCUUUAGUAAAGGGACUUCAUUACCUGUUUCCACUCGUAGAGUUAAAAGAAUGCGUACCCUCUUAAUUAACGAUAGUAGAUCUGAUCAUUCAUUAUUAAAUGGUGAGAUCCUAGAAGAAUUAUUUAGGGAAUUGACAAGUUUAAGGGCAUUAGAUUUUGGCAAAUCGUAUAACUCAAGUUGGUCUUCGACUGUGGAGAUUCCGAGAACCAUAGAAAAGCUGGUACAUUUAAGGUACCUGAAUUUGUUUUAUCAGGGAAUAAAGAAACUACCGGAGACAUUAUGCGAGUUGUAUAAUCUAGAAAAGUUAGAUAUUAGUAUAUGUUUUAAUCUUAAAGAAUUACCUGAAGGGAUUGGGAAGUUAAUAAACAUGAAGCAUUUACGAAAUAGAGGUACUAGUUCUUUAAGGUACAUGCCAGUAGGGAUUGGGAGAUUAACGGGUCUCAGGACCUUGGAUGAGUUCCACGUGAGUGGAGGAGGAGGUGUUGAUUGUAGGAAAGCAUGUAGGCUUGAAUCUCUCAAAAACUUGGAAAACCUUCGAGUGUGUGGUAUACGUAGACUGGGUGAUGUAUCAGAUGUGGGCGAGGCUAAGCGAUUAGAACUUGACAAAAAGAAAUACCUCUCUUGUUUGAGACUUCGGUUUGAUAAGAAGGAGGAAGAAGAAGGAGAAAGAAGGAAGAACGAGGACGAUCAACUUCUUCUUGAAGCCCUACAACCACCUCUCAAUUUAAAGGAAUUAGAGAUAGAGUACUACCGAGGCAACACUGUUUUCCCCAGCUGGAUGACGUCAUUAACCAACUUAAAGAGUUUAGAUCUCUCUUCCUGCGAAAAUUGCGAGCAGCUGCCUCCUUUGGGAAAAUUGCCAUCCCUUGAAGCACUCAGCCUAUGGGACAUGAAGUGUGUGGAAAGAGUGGGUGAUGAAUUUUUGGGGAUAGAAAGUGAUCAUCAUGGCUCAUCUUCAUCGGUUAUUAUUGCCUUCCCCAAAUUGAAAUCACUUUCAAUUGAGUUUCUGCGCGAAUUGGAGGAGUGGGAUUAUGGGAUUACAAGAACGGGAAACACCGUCAUCAACAUCAUGCCACGUCUUUCUUCCUUGACAAUUGCUCAUUGCCCCAAAUUAAUGGCACUGCCCGACCACUUUCAUCAAACAACAACAUUGAAGGAAUUGCACAUUUGGGAGUGCAGGCUUCUGGAAGAACGUUACCGCAAAGGGGAAGGAGAAGACUGGCCUAAGAUAUCACACAUUCCCAACCUCCGUAUUGGGCUUUGACAAGUAAUUUCUUCUCUUACUCUGAUUUGCUUUGUUGUUGUUUUUAAUCUAAUUAAGAAGCGUAAAUAGCAUUUUGAAUCAAACUCUAUAUCAGAAAUCUGCAAUACUUACUUUCUAAUAUUCUGAUUUUCAUAUCCUAUGAAUAUACAAUUUUUAAUUUGUGAGAUGGGUAACGUUACUGUAAAAGAUUAUUAAUGCAAUAUGAGUAAUUCUUUUGCAGGACAAGUGACCUACAUUUAGUUUGGCUUUGGAGUUGAAUAAUAACCUUUCGAGGUCCCGACAACCAAAAAACGAAGCUUAAUUUGCCACAGAUUGCACGUAUUGCCAUUAUUGACAAUUUUCUGCACAAGCUUAGGUUGAUUUCAAAAGAGGUAAAUUAUUGGCAUGCCUGACUAUUUUGACCAUUACAUGAUUCAUAAGUUUACAUUAAUUUUGAUUUUGAGUUGAGUGAUUAGUUUUUAUACCCGGAAUAUGCAAAAGUUUCUAAUAUUUUAUUUCCAUCUGUUACAAGAUCAAACUGAAGUAGAACUCAAACAAAAGUAUGCUACUUCUUGCGGAAAUCUUGCCUUUGUUCAGAUUAUGAAACCAUUUCCAUGCAGCAAAUUCAUCCAAAAGUUUGAAUAAGUUUCAUGGUUGGACACUGUUGGCUUCUUUUUCUUCUGGGGUGCAUUUAGGUGCUAUCAAGUGACAGCUAAGUAUGAUUGCACUAAGCUGCCGCUGGGAAAUUUGAGGUUUUGAUGGCUGCCCAUGUUAUUUUCAAGAAACUAUUGAUGUAAGAAGCUGUGGUUCUUUUCAUCAGCUUGAACCUGAAACUGUCGCUAUGGAUAACUCAGGUUUUUGUUAUCAACUAUGUUGAUGCGAGAUUCCGGUUCUCCUCGUUCUACGACCAGGAUCUCUGCUCGAUCAACUUCACCACGACCAGGAGGUCUCCUAGUAAUGCUUCUUCUCCAGAUGUCCCUGCACACACAGACAAGUCAGAGUACGCCGGUUGUUCUCCCGGCGCAAACCCUCCGACGCUCAAGUCAGAUAUGAAGGUUCGGGGAACGCUUGCCACAGGUCUUAUGGCUUUUUCGUGGUUUUCUCUUUUAUCUCAAAAAUGCUAACCCUUUUACCUUCGUUGGCUACCUUUUUAUAGGCUUCCUCUGAAUCCCAGUUUUCCGCUUUUUUCGAGACGGUCUGGGGCUCUGACUGCUGCGUUAUGGGCAAACGUGGGAUCUUGCGUGUUACGCCACGGUUCAGGGGAAAGCGUGGCUGUCGUGGUUCUGUGAGAUCUUGUGUGUUACGCCACGGUUCAGGGGAAAGCGUGGCUGUCGUGGUUCUGUGAGAUCUUGCGUGUUACGCCACGGUUCAGGGGAAAGCGUGGCUGUCGUGGUUCUGUGAGAUCUUGCGUGUUACGCCACGGUUCAGGGGAAAGCGUGGCUGUCGUGCCUAGAUUCUUGGGCUGGAGAGUAUGUCUUGCCAACUGCCGUCGACCGGGUCUCCUCGCCUCUCGACCUCUAGCCGGAAUGGCCUUAUGCCUCUUAUAGGAAAUUGGCCUAGCGGAUGACAACAUCGUGGACGAGCAGGAUACUUCUGCUCCUGUUCUGAUGGCUGCCCAUGUUAUUAACACACCGGUUCACAGAACUCCGCUGUGGUUCUUUUCAUCAGCCUGGUCUCGUCGACGUAUUUAUGGAUAACUCAGGUUUUUGUUACAAACUAUAUCAUCUUUUUCACUAUUUUGAAACUCUUAAGAUUAAACUUUAGUAAAGUUGUUUCAGCUAUUCAAAUGAAAAACUCAUUGAUUUGAGACUUCCUUCAUUAUUGUUUCUAAUUACAGUGCUAACGAUCCAGAUAAAAUAAUAUUUAAUCGGCGAAGGUGUCCCUUGGAAGUACAUCCUUCUUUUUCUUUUAUUAUAUAAAUUCUUGCAAUGAGCUUAGUGAAGCUGUUGUGCUAAUCAUGCCACUGCAUAACUUGGCCCCUAAUGUGGGUACUCUGUUACAUUGUUCUGCAAAUUCUCCAGAAGUUAAAAUCAAUAAAUUUUCUAUUAGCUCUAGUGCUUUGACCUAAAUGCUAUUCUAUAUUCUGAUUACAAUGUUUUAACCUUUAAAUUAACUACCCCUAGAUGUUGGAUUUUCUAGAACUUCAAAAUGAUUAAUGGAGAAAGAUCCCAUUAUCGUUAUUGCUAUAAGAAAUUGAUUUAUGCAUCCAAAGAUACAUUAUAUAUUUCUGUGUCUCUAUUUAUGGAUGACAUUUAAUCAUCCAUAAACUGUCAGACAGAGGAAGGGGGUUCAGUGCAAAGAUUCUGUUGACCUAGGGUUGACUGCAUAUGUCACUUGUUCGCAAUCUAUUAUUUAUUUUAUAUUUUGAAGAAUUUAAUGGGUAAUCCUAAUUGUUUGUUUUGGCAGGUUUGUGUUGUUAUCUCCUUCUAUCUUACAGUCGUACCUAAAUAGCAUAGUUUCAUCUGUGUUACCAUGUGAUGUACAUAAUUUCACAUUUGCCUCAGAUUAAGCUUAAUUUCCCACAGAAUAGAGCUGUCGCGACUGGACUUAGGUUGAUGUCCAAAGAGGUAAAUUAUUGGCAUGCCUAGAUAAUUUGGCCAUUUCCUAAUUCAUAAGUCUACAUUAAUUUUGAUUUUGAGUUGACUGAUUUCUUUUCAAGGUCUGCUUCCUUAACGGAGUGACCAAUGUUUUUCAACUAAAUUUAUCAUAUGAUGCAGGAAGCAGGGCAGGAUAUGAAAUGAGAAGCUCAUUGGUGGAAGUAUUUCCAGUAGCAGAACCCAAUGAAAAUGAAACUAUUUCAAGGCAGCAGUUGGCAGUUGCAAGUGAAUGGAGGCCCUGACAAAAUUCUCAAGCGGUUGCAAUGCAAUUACGAUCAUCCUCAGCCUCAGGUAAUUUCUUCUCCUGCUCUGUUUUUAUCUGUUAUCUAAUUAAAAAGCAUAAAGUAUCUUGAAUCACUUUCUGUAUCUGGAAUAUAUGCAGCAGUUUCUAAAAUCUUCAUAUGAGUGUAAUGAUGGUAAUUUCUGUUUUUUGUCUGUCUUUGAAUGUUAGACAACUUUCAGUGAGACUCUUGAACCGAGACAU